rnacentral:lncRNA from 1 species
GCGCACGCGCCUGCCUCAACUGGAGGAUGCAGCCACCGGCCCGCACCGCCAUGCGGACCCUCUUCUCCCCCGUCUCCGAGGCAAAAGGCUCCGCGGAGAAGAGAUGAGUCCAUAGAUCCCAGUGGGGGCAAUCCCCAAAAAAUCCUUCGCAAACCGUCGCGAUGGAGUUGGGGCUAAGGUUGUGCAGCUCCACCCCAUAGUGAUGCAGGAGCGCCCGCAUAAAACGGCUUGCUGGCACACCAAACCCCCGCUCAUGGAAGGCGACGAAACUCAGCACAUACCCCGACGGCGGGUUCGGGUCGGCCUCGCUCGGAGGGACCAUCCACUCCGGCCGCAGGACAUCAGAGAGGGGGCGGAGCAAGCCAUCGGCAACGAGGGCCUCCAGGUCGUCCACCGUGACAGUGGAAGAAGGCCAUGGGUCGCGCGGCGGAACGAUGGUUACCCGGUCGGCCAUCGCCAAGCAAAGGAGGUGGCGGCGGGGCGGACAAGGUGCGAGGUUUUCUUUCUCUGGCUAUUCACUUAGGUUGCAGAAACCUAAGCAGAGGUGAGCAGCAGAGUAAAGAACCACCACCAGACCCUCCUCCGAAUAUAUAAAGACCCAGGCAAGACCCGUUCAACGCUCGGCCCGAACCCGCCGCGAAAUCCAAAACUCGAAGGCGAAACGCCCGUUCCUCGAACGGCUCGCGCAUGCACAACGGCUGCCCCGCGAAUCACUCGUCUCGUCGCAUUAACUCUGCGACAGGACAGGCGACACCUUUGGCAGGCGAAGCGGGCGACGCUUCACCUCCGCCAUAAUGACCGCGUCAAAAAAGGUGCGCCACGUCGUUCAAUUUUGUAUCCUUUUCCUCUUCCCCUUUCUCUCUCUUGCUACAGGGACCGAGAAAGGGGAUACUCCGAAAGGGAUCCUUCUCCACGAAGGAAGCGGGCCUCGAGCCCCCCUACUGAUCAGAGGUUCAAAGGCUGGCCCCUCGGAAGGGUUCGACAGCCGCCUCAGAGCACUCGGGCUCCGCGCCCACUACUGGUCAGAGGUUUAAAGGCUUGCCCCUUGGAAGGGUUCGACAGCCGCCUCAGGCCACUCAGGCUCCGCGCCCACUACUGGUCAGAGGUUCGAAGGCUGGCCCCUCGGAAGGGUUCGACAGCCGCCUCAGGCCACUCGGGCUCCGCGCCCACUACUGAUCAGGGGUUCGUAGGCUGGCCCCCCGACGGGUUCGACAGCCACCCCAGAGCACGCAGAGUGAGGGAUGACUCUGGGUACGUUUGAUACAUAACCAAGGCUCGGGCUACGCUCCCGAGGUACCCUAGGACAUUUCCGAGACCAGCAGGAACGAUUCUGUAACGGAAUCCCAUCAGAGGGAGGCAUCGAGCCCUCGGACCCUAUCGAACGGGACCGGGUCCGGCAAAUCACCUGCAGGUACUUUUGGAGCGCGCCUCUGGGCCACUAGCCGACCCUUAUCGAACGGGGCACGGGCGUCCACUCGGAUCACCCGUUAGCAACUCACUGGAGACACCAUGUUCGGCGCCCACCUAGGGCAACAUGGCGCUUUCCCCCCUCCUCCUUGCGGAAAGGCGACGCAGGGGCAUAUGAAAAAAGCUGAGUCUGCCCUUGACCGUCCUCUCGCCCUGUGCAGAGGCUCGGGGGCUGCUCUCGCAAACCCAGCUCCGGCCAAACCGUUGACAGCGUCAACAUACCAGCCCAAGAACUCGAAACCUGACUAUGCACCCAGGCAACGACCAGUUCGCAUGAGGGAACAACCAGACCGGCCGAGCCAUCACGAAAGGCAUUAAGACCUCGAAGGAGUCAAACCACUCCUCCGUGGCCUCGGGGGCUACACCCGGCGGGUGCGCUCGCGCGCACCCACUUGAACAAAAUGCAACCGAGAAAGGCCGGUCCCCUUGCAAAAAAGUGCGACAAAGCCUCCAAGUGAGUACCCACACUCCCUUUGAGGCUCGGGGGCUACUGUCGGGGACCGUAAUUAGGGGUACCCCCAAGGCUCCUAAUCUCAGCUGGUAACCCCCAUCAGCACAAAGCUGCAAAGGCCUGAUGGGCGCAAUUCCGGUUAAGGCUCCGUCCACUCAAGGGACACGAUCUUGCCUCGCUCAAGCCCAACCUCGGGCAAGAACGGAAGACCAAGGCAGAUUCACGCCUCGCCCGAGGGUCUCCUCAAGCAACGGGCGCACCUUCGACUCGCCCGAGGCCCAGCUCGGGCAGGCUUCACGGAGAAGCAACCUUGGCCAGAUCGCCUCGCCAGCCGACUGGAUCGCAGGACCAUUCAAUGCAAGGAUUGCCUGACACCUUAUCCUGACGCGCGCUUUCCAGUCGACAAGGCCGAAGCGACCGCAGUCAUUUCGCCCCUCCACUAACUGACCUGACAGGAAAACAGCGCCGCCUGCGUUGCUCUGACUGCUGUGCCACCCACCAGGGUGAGGCUGACAGCAACCAAGUCCAGCCUCGGGCGCCAUAGGAAUCUCCGCCUCGCCCGACCCCAGGGCUCGGACUCGACCUCGCCUUGGGCGCCAUAGGAAUCUCCGCCUCGCCCGAUCCCAGGGCUCGGACUCGACCUCGCCUCGGACGACGAUCUCCGCCUCGCCCGACCCCUGGGCUCAGACACAGUCUCAACUCCGGAUGACGAUCUUUGCCUCGCCCGACCCCCGGGCUCGGACCCAGCCUCAACUCCAAAAGACGGUCUCCGCCUCGCCCGACCCCAGGGCUCGGACUCGACCUCGACUCCGGAAGAAGGUCUCCGCCUCGCUCGACCCCCGGGCUCGGACUCAGCCUCGACCUCGGAGGAGUCACCACCUCGCUCGGACCGACCACGCCACAAGGGGAGGCCAUCAUUACCCUACCCCUAGCUAGCCCAGGCUACGGGGAACAAGACCGGCGUCCCAUCUGGCUCGCCCCGGUAAAACAAGUAAUGAUGGCACCCCGUGUGCUCCAUGACAACGGUGGUUCUCAGCCCCCUACGGAAGCAAGGAUACGUCAGCAAGGAUCCGACAGCCCCGACAGCUGUGCUUCUACAGGGCUCAAGCGCUCCUCCGACGGCCACGACGCCACAUGAACAGGGCUCCAACACCUCUCCGACAGCCACGUCGGCACGUACAUAGGGCUCUAGCUCCUCUCUGCUAGACACGUUAGCACAUUGCUACACCCCCCGUUGUACACCUGGACCCUCUCCUUACGUCUAUAAAAGGAAGGUCCACGGCUCUCAUACAAAGGAGGUGGCCGCGCGGGAGAACGGGCAGCCUCACGCCCCCUGUCUCUCUCUCUCCCUCGCGAACGCUUGUAAUCCCCUACUGCAAGCGCAUCCGCCCUAGGCGCAGGACAACACGAGGCCGUGGGUUUCCCCUUACUGUUUUCCCCCCCUUGUGUCUCCGUCUCGCGCCGACCCAUCUGGGCUGGGACAUGCAGCGACAAUUUACUCGUCGGUCCAGGGACCCCCUAGGGUCGAAACGCCGACAGUUGGCACGCCAGGUAGGGGACUGCUGCGUGUUGACGAACAGCUUCUCGUCAAGCUCCAGAUGGGAAGUUAGAAGGGAUUUCAUAGCUAAAGGUCAGACUCAACCAAUUGGUCAUAAUUUUCCUCAAUCACAUAACAAAAGGAGCUUUCAAAAACAUUGGUUCAGACAACAUAGUUGGUUGGAAUAUAGUGUGGAGAAUAAUAAGGCUUAUUACUUCUAUUAUUACCUUUUUAAGCAUGAUCAAAUGGAUGAUAAAUUUUUCCAUGAUGCAUUUACAAAAGUUAGCUUCUCAUAAUGGAGAAAGGUUUAUACGACAUUUCCCAAACAUGUUGGUGAUCCUAACAUCAUACACAAUGCUGCAGCAACGACAUUCCAUGAUUUUUGUAACCAAAAGUCAAGUGUUAGUCAUGAGGUUUCAAAUUAUAGUAAAGAUGCAUUAGUCAAAUAUGAGACACGGUUGGAAACUUCCUUAAGUAUGGACAGUCUUCUUGCAUUGCAAGCUGAAUCAUUCUAAGGACAUGAUGAGACUAGUACUUCCUUAAACAAAGCAGUUUUUUUAGAAUUUCUAGAUUGGCACAAACAAAGGAAUGAAGAGAUGAGAAGAGCUUUUGAUGAGUUGUGGGGUUACAAGAUUACCACAGACCUAGAGAUACAAGAUGGGGAUCUCAUUACAAGACUUUGCUCCGUAUUGAGUCAAUGUGGGAAUCAAUAAUAGAAGUUUUAGAAAUUGUGCAUCAAGAUGAGCACAAUCCAUCAGGUGCUGGUAUCUUUGUUGGAAAAAUGGAGUGUUUUAGCUUUGUGUUUAUGAUGAAGCUGAUGUUACAUAUCCUAGAUAUCACAAAUGAGCUUUCUCUUCUCUUGCAAAAAAAGGAUCAAAAUGUUGUCCAAGCCAUGUAUUUGGUUGUUGAUGUGAGAACAUGUUUGAUUAAUUUGAGAAAUGAUGGUUGGGAGCCAUUGCUGGAAGAAGCCAUAACAUUAUGCCUUGCAAAUGAUAUCCUAAUACAAAAUAUGAGUGAUGUUGUACCACAUUUUGGUCGAUCAAGGAAAGGUGGGAGAAACAAUAUUACCACAAAGCAUUUUUAUCGUGUUGAUACUUUCUAUGAUGCUAUAGAUUCUAUCACCACAAAGUUCGAUCAUCGCUUUAAUGAACUAUCUUUAGAGUUGCUUGUGUGUUCUUCUUGUCUUGACUCAAGGAGUUCGUUCUCUAAGUUUGAUGUGGAUAAGCUUGCUCAGCUCGCGGAUAUGUAUUAUGAUGAUUUUUCUUUUGAUGACUGCAAGACUAUAAAAGAUCAACUAAGAACUUUUAUUAUUCAUGUACAAAGAAUUGAAGAGUUCAAAGCUUGUUAUGAUCUUGUGAUCCUAUCAAAUACAAUGGUUCAACUUGAGAGACAUAUUGUGUUUCCAUUGGUAUAUUGACUUAUUGAGUUAGCAUUGUUGUACCGGUGGCGACUGCAACAGUUGAAAAGGCCUUCUCUACUAUGGAGAUUAUUAAGUCUGAGUUGCACAACAAGAUGUACGAUGGUUCGUUAAAUGACUUGAUAGUGUGUUACAUUGAAAGAGAGAUUUUUAAAGGACCCGAUCUUUAGAAAAUUAAGAAGGCAUUUCAAAAUAAGAAAACUAGACAAAUGCAAUUGUCUAGGUCUCCUACAACUCGGCUCAACUAGAGGUAUAUUCUUAUUUCACUUGUUCAACAAUUUUUACUUCAAUUUGCCAUUGUUAACUUAUUUUUUUCUUUUUUCAGAUUUUAUUCGAUAUAUGGCAUUUGGUUGUAAAUGGAUUGUGAUCACGAUUACUCUUGAAUAAGGUAUUUUUCCAUAUCUAUCACUUAUUUACUAGCUACGAGUUGUUUUAAAUUGUGUCGUGAAUUUUCAUUCACCGUUGCGUUAGCAACACCUUGAUUUUUCGACGUCCUCCGCCACUGACUCAACCUUGGCGCAACACAUGGAGAUUGUAGCUUGACGCUUCAAAGACCAUGACACAAGCGAGGCAGUGAGGAAUACACAAUAGCCCGAUAUCAAUUAUUGAGUGUUUGGGCAACCCGCACAAUUGGCGUAGGAGUAUACCUUGAGCUUAGUUGACGGAGUAGCAUAGAUCUUGAUAUUCUGUUUGAUCGAGCAGCAAAGGUAUCUAAGGAUAUGCUUGCCAAAGUUCUAAUGCACAUCACAUGGAGCAUGAUAUGGAGGCAAGCCUUGUUCACAACAUAGGUGAUGUCAAAAUGAGGUGCUGAAGGGCGCCAAUAAUACUUGUCAGGCCAAUGGAAAUUAAAUUUAUCCACAUCAGCUACGUUGGUGGCUGACGGGAGUUAAAUAACUCCUAUCGGCUGUCAGACUAGCUGAUGGGAGUUACUAUCUGUCGGGUAUCAUAAUUAUGGGUACCCAGAUUAUGCCACUAAACAUGAUUAACACAUAACUGCUGAAAAAUCAUAAGACAUAUUCCCGAAGGUCAGGCAGGGUUGAAUCAUGAAUCGUCCGAGACCCCGCUUGACGGUCGCUCAAAACUUCACCUCGCCCGAGCCCAUCGUCAGGCGGAGGCCGCGCUAGAGAGAAAUCCUCAUCUUGCCCAAGGUCCUCUCUUCACAGAACGGCAAUAUCCGCCUCGCCCGAGCUCGUCUCAGAUUGGAGGACGACCCCAAGCCCAGCACUCAGUCAAAGGCCCUGGGAACCUUGGAGACAUGCACAUUUAAUGCGAUGAUUCAGAUAUCUACCCCACGUGACGACGCAGUUAAACAGGGAGCGAUGGGACCGUAAUCCCAUCUACUUUCACCAAUAACGAUGAUGCACGGUCGAGAAUAACGGACAGAUGUGAAAGUCGCCUAGAGGGGGGGUGAAUAGCGCGAAUCUGAAAUUUACAAAGUUUAAGCACAACUACAAGCCGGGUUAGCGUUAGAAAUAUAAACGAGUCCGAGAGAGAGGGCGAAAACAAAUCACAAGCAAAUAAAGAGUGUGACAUAGUGAUUUGUUUUACCGAGGUUCGGUUCUUGCAAACCUACUCCCCGUUGAGGUGGUCACAAAGACUAGGUCUCUUUGAACCCUUUCCCUCUCUCAAACGGUCACUUAGAUCGAGUGAGCUUCUCUUCUCAAUCACACGGGACACAAAGUCCCCGCAAGGACCACCACACAAUUGGUGUCUCUUGCCUCGGUUACAACUGAGUUGAUCUCAAGAAAGAAUGAGAAAGAAAAGAAGCAAUCCAAGCGCAAGAGCUCAAAUGAACACAAGUCACUCUCUCACUAGUCACUAUUUGAUUGGAAUUGAACUAAGGACUUGGGAAAGGAUUUGAUCUCUUUGGUGUGUCUUGUAUUGAAUGCUAUAGCUCUUGUAAUGUGUUAGAAGGUGGAAAACUUGGAUGCAAUGAAUGGUGGGGUGGUUGGGGUAUUUAUAGCUCCAACCACCAAACUAGCCGUUUGGUGGAGGCUGCUGUCGAAUGGCGCACCGGACAGUCCGGUGCGCCAGCCACGUCACCCGACCGUUAGGGUUCGACCGUUGGAGCUUCUGUCUUCUGGGUCACCGGACAGUCCGGUGAUGCACCGGACAACCACUGUGCACUGUCCGGUGCGCCUUCUGGCGCUGCUCUGACUCUGUCGCGCACUGUAGCGCAUUUAAUGCGGUUGCAGACAACCGUUGGCGCUGAAGUAGCCGUUGCUCCGCUGGCACACCGGACAGUCCGGUGUUGAACCGGACAGUCCGGUGAAUUUUAGUGGAGUGGCUCCGAGAAUUCCCGAGACUGGCGAGUUCGGAGUUGGAGUUCCCUGGUGCACCGGACACUGUGAGAGCACCUAGAGGGGGGGGGGUGAAUAGGUGAUCCUGUGAAACUUGAAAACUUAAGCCACAAAACUUGGUUAAUCGUUAGCACAAUAAUUGCCAAGUGGCUAGAUAGGAAUCUUCAACAAAACACAAUAACCAACAAGGAUCAAUCAUAGAGAUGGCACGGUGGUUAUCCCGUGGUUCGGCCAAGACCAACGCUUGCCUACUCCACGUUGUGGCGUUCCAACGGACGAGGGUUGCAAUCAACCCCUCUCAAGCAGUCCAAAGACCCACUUGAAUACCACGGUGUUUUGCUUGCUUUUUCUCAAUCCCGUUUGCGAGGAAUCUCCACAACUUGGAGCCUCUCGCCCUUACACUUGAAAUUCACAAAGAAGCACAGAGCAAGGGAGGGAUUAGCAACGCACUCAAGACAAGAAAUCACAGCAACACCACGCACACAAGUCGCAACGAGAGCUCACAACACAACUCAAUGAGUUCACCACUCAACUAGAGCUCUAAUUGCUAUCACAAAGAAUCAAAGGCGUGGAAUCGAUGUCUUGGUGCUUAGGAAUGUUGUAGAGAUGAUUGGUGUUUUCCUUCAUGCGCCUAGGGGUCCCUUUUAUAGCCCCAAGGCAGCUAGGAGCCGUUGAGAGCAAUCCAGGAAGGCUGAUCUUGCCUUCUGUCGACUGGCACACCGGACACUGUCCGGUGCCCGAUUUCUUUCCUUAAAUGGCGAAGCCGACCGUUGGUAGACUUGGAGCCGUUGGCGCACCGGACAUGUCCGGUGCACACCGGACAGUCCGGUGCCUCCUUCUAGCCGUUGGCUCGGCCACGUGGCCCGCGCAAAUCGCGCGGUCUACCGUUGGCCCGGCCGACCAUUGGCUCACCGGACAGUCCGGUGCACACCGGACAGUCCGGUGAAUUAUAGCCGUACGUCGCCGGUGAAUUCCCGAGAGCGGCCAUUUCGCUCGAGCCAGCCUGGCGCACCGGAUACUGUCCGGUGCACCACCGGACAGUCCGGUGCUCCCAGACUCAGCAGAGUCUUGGCUGCUCGAGCCAAGACAUUUACAAUUGGAUUUUCCUGUUUCUAGCACUUAGACACAAUACAUUAGUCCAUAAAACAAUGUACUAAGUCUGAGAAACAUACCUUUAUCCUUGAUUUGCACUUUGUCCACCAUUUUACACUUAGGCACCUGUGUUGGGCACUAAAUCACCAAAAUACUUAAAAAUGGCCCAAAGGCACAUUUCCCUUUCAAUCUCCCCCUUUUUGGUGAUUUAUGCCAACACAACAUAAAGCAAGUAGAACAAGUACAAAAUCAAUUCAACUAAGAACUCAAAAUUGUUUUGAUUCAAAUUUGACAUAUAUGGAUCACUCUAUGCCACCACUUGGUUUGUUUUUGCAAAUCAAACUCAAAUUCCUAUCUCUAAGUCAAAUCCACUUGUAGAGACAUAAAGAGAGGUUUUCCAAAGAAAUUUGAUCAAGGAUUUCAAAAACUCCCCCUUUUCCCAUAAUCAACACUUCUCCCCACAAGAGGCCAACUUUUGACAUAAGAGACAAUAAAAGAGUUUUGACAAACCAAAAGCUCUAAUCUACUAUUUUCAAAAUUUCUCAAGUGGUAGCUGAUCCAUUUAUCGCUUUGGCCUUUAUUUUCUCCCCCUUUGGCAUCAAGCACCAAAACGGGAUCAAUCUUGGCCCUUAAACCCCAUUGCCUCACCAAAAUCUUCAAAUAAGAACACAAAGGCAAUAAGAGUAUAAAGAUGAACUUGGAAAAGUUACUCUUUUUAUCGGAGUGCAGUGGAAGUCUUGCAUGGUCCAAGUCCACCUUUUCCCUUUCAAUUCUCCUUGGAGACUAAAACAACCAAACUCAAGUACAUGGUUAGUCUCAAAGGGUCAAGUUGUAGCACAGCUCCCCCUAAAUACGUGCAUCACUUGCAAACAGGACUUGUGAGGUCCAGGGAGUGUUUGUACAACUUGAGCACCACAAUAAGCAACAAAAUGCAGAAUGAACGUGAUCAAAGGCAUAAACACAUGUAUGCUACAUUUCAAUCCAAGUUCCACGAAUCCAAGAUAUUGAGCUCACUACGCAGCCUGCAAAAGGUCUUCUCAUCUAGAGGCUUGGUAAAGAUAUCGGCUAGCUGGUUCUCGGUGCUAACAUGAAACACUUCGAUAUCUCCCUUUUGCUGGUGGUCUCUCAAAAAGUGAUGCCGGAUGUCAAUGUGCUUUGUGCGGCUGUUCUCAACAGGAUUUUCCGCUAUUCGGAUAGCACUCUCAUUGUCACAUAGGAGUGGGACUUUGCUCAGAUUGUAGCCAAAGUCCCUGAGGGUUUGCCUCAUCCAAAGUAGUUGCGCGCAACACUGUCCUGCGGCAACAUACUCGGCCUCAGCGGUGGAUAGAGCAACGGAAGUUUGUUUCUUAGAAUUCCAUGACACUAGGGACCUUCCUAAGAAUUGGCACGUCCCCGAUGUACUCUUCCUAUCGACCUUACAUCCAGCAUAGUCGGAAUCUGAGUACCCAAUCAAGUCAAAGUUAGACCCCUUUGGAUACCAGAUCCCGAAGCAAGGCGUAGCGACUAAAUAUCUAAGAAUUCGCUUCACAGCCACUAAGUGACACUCCUUAGGAUCGGAUUGAAAUCUAGCACACAUGCAUACGCUAAGCAUAAUAUCCGGUCUACUAGCACAUAAAUAAAGCAAAGAACCUAUCAUGGACCGGUAUGCUUUUUGAUCAACGGACUUACCUCCUUUGUUGAGGUCGGUGUGUCCGUCAGUUCCCAUCGGCGUCUUUGCGGGCUUGGCGUCCUUCAUCCCAAACCGCUUUAGCAAGUCUUGCGUGUACUUCGUUUGGGAGAUGAAAGUGCCGUCCUUGAGUUGCUUUACUUGGAACCUAAGGAAGUAGUUCAACUCGCCCAUCAUCGACAUCUCGAAUUUCUGCGUCAUCACCCUGCUAAACUCUUCACAAGACUUUUGAUUAGUAGAACCAAAUAUUAUGUCAUCGACAUAAAUUUGGCAUACAAAAAGAUCACCAUCGCAAGUCUUAGUAAAAAGAGUUGGAUCGGCUUUCCCAACCUUGAAAGCAUUAGCAAUUAAAAAGUCUCUAAGGCAUUCAUACCAUGCUCUUGGGGCUUGCUUAAGUCCAUAGAGCGCCUUAGAGAGCUUACACAUGUGAUCGGGGUACCGUUCAUCCUCGAAGCCAGGGGGUUGCUCUACGUACACCUCCUCCUUGAUCGGCCCGUUGAGGAAAGCGCUCUUCACAUCCAUUUGGUACAACCUGAAAGAAUGGUGAGCGGCAUAUGCUAGCAAGAUACGAAUUGAUUCUAGCCUAGCCACAGGAUCGAAUGUCUCCUCAAAGUCCAAACCUGCGACUUGGGCAUAACCUUUUGCCACAAGCCGAGCCUUGUUCCUUGUCACCACCCCGUGCUCGUCCUGUUUGUUGCGGAACACCCACUUGGUUCCCACAACAUUUUGCUUGGGGCGAGGCACCAGUGUCCAAACUUCAUUGCGCUUGAAAUUGUUGAGUUCCUCCUGCAUGGCCAACACCCAGUCCGGAUCUAGCAAGGCCUCUUCUACCCUGAAAGGCUCACUAGAAGAGACAAAAGAGUAAUGCUCACAAAAAUUAACUAAUCUUGAACGAGUAGUUACUCCCUUGCUAAUAUCACCCAGUAUCUGGUCGACGGGAUGAUCCCUUUGAAUCGUCGCUCGAACUUGGGUUGGAGGUGCCUGAGGUGCUUCUUUCUCUUCAACUUGAACAUCCUGUGCUCCCCCUUGAUCAUGCGCCUCCACUUGAGGUACCUGUUCGUCAUCUUGGGUUGAGGGAUGCACCAUAGUUGAGGAAGACAGUUGAUCUUGCUCCAAUUGUUCCUGAGGCCGUACAUCUCCAAUCGACAUGGUGCGUAUCGCGGCCGUUGGAACGUCUUCUUCAUCUACAUCAUCAAGAUCAACAACUUGCUCUCUUGGAGAGCCAUUAGUCUCAUCAAAUACAACGUCGCUAGAGACUUCAACCAAACCCGAUGAUUUGUUGAAGACCCUAUACGCCUUUGUAUUUGAAUCAUAACCUAAUAAAAACCCUUCUACAGCUUUGGGAGCAAAUUUGGAAUUCCUACCCUUCUUCACUAGAAUGUAGCAUUUACUCCCAAAUACACGAAAGUACGAUACAUUGGGUUUGUUACCAGUCAGCAGCUCAUAUGAAGUCUUCUUGAGGAGGCGGUGAAGAUAGACCCUGUUGAUGGCGUGGCAAGCCGUGUUCAUGGCUUCCGACCAAAAGCACUCGGGGGUCUUGAACUCUCCAAGCAUAGUCCUUGCCAUAUCUAUGAGCGUCCUGUUCUUCCUCUCUACUACACCAUUUUGCUGAGGUGUGUAGGGAGCGGAGAACUUGUGCUUGAUCCCCUCCUCCUCAAGGAACUCCUCCACUUGAAGAUUCUUGAAUUUGGACCCGUUGUCGCUCCUUAUCUUCUUUACCUUGAGCUCAAACUCAUUUUGAGCUCUCCUGAGGAAGCGCUUGAGGGUCCCUUGGGUUUCAGACUUAUCCUGCAAAAAGAACACCCAAGUGAAGCGGGAAAAGUCAUCAACAAUAACUAGACCAUACUUACUUCCUCCUAUGCUCAGAUAGGCGACGGGUCCGAAGAGGUCCAUAUGCAGCAGCUCCAGAGUUCUUGACGUGGUCAUCACAUUCUUGCUGUGAUGUGCUCCUCCCACUUGUUUACCUGCUUGACAAGCUGCACAAGGUCUAUCUUUUUCGAAAUGAACAUUGGUUAGACCUAUCACGUGUUCUCCCUUUAGAAGCUUGUGGAGGUUCUUCAUCCCCACAUGUGCUAAGCGGCGAUGCCACAACCAACCCAUGCAAGUCUUAGCCAUUAAGCAUGCAUCUAGACCGGCCUCUUCUUUUGCAAAAUCAACUAAGUAAAGUUUGCCGUCUAGUACACCCUUAAAAGCUAGUGAACCAUCACAUCUUCUAAAGACAGACACAUCUACAUUUGUAAAUAAACAGUUAUAUCCCAUAUUACAUAAUUGACUAACAGAUAGUAAAUUAUAUCCAGACUCUCCACUAAAAACACAUUAGAGAUAGAAUGCUCAUUUGAUAUUGCAAUCUUGCCUAAACCUUUCACCUUGCCUUGGUUCCCAUCACCGAAUAUGAUUGAAUCUUGGGAAUCCUUAUUCUUGACGUAGGAGGUGAACAUCUUCUUCUCCCCCGUCAUAUGGUUUGUGCAUCCGCUGUCGAUAAUCCAGCUUGAACCCCCGGAUGCAUAAACCUGCAAGGCAAAUUUAGGCUUGGGUCUUAGGUACCCAACUCUUGUUGGGUCCUACAAGGUUAGUCACAAUUUCCUUAGGGACCCAAAUGCAAGUUUUAUCGCCCUUGCAUUUUGCCCCUAAUUUCCUAGCAACUAUCUUCCUAUCUUUUCUACAAAUAGCAAAAGAAGCAUUUAAGGCAUGAUAAAUUAUAGAUGGUUCAUUAAUUUUCCUAUGAACAUUAGCAACAUUUCUCCUAGGCAUAUUGUGAACAAUAUUUUUCCUACCAACAUUUCUAUCAUGCACAUAGGAAGAACUAGAAGCAAACAUGGCAUGAGAAUCAAAAGCAUCAUAUGCAUUAUAACUUCUAUAAGCAUUUCUAUAUUGUCUCAUGUCAUGAUACAUAAAAGCAUGGUUUUUUUAGCACUACUAGCCAUAGGGGCCUUCCCUUUCUCCUUGGUGGAGAUGGGAGCCUUAUGGCUUGUUAAGUCCUUGGCUUCCCUCUUAAAGCCAAGUCCAUCCUUAAUUGAGGGGUGUCUACCAAUCGUGUAGGCAUCCCUUGCAAAUUUUAGCUUAUCGAAAUCACUUUUGCUAGUCUUAAGUUGGUCAUUAAGACUAGCUACUUCAUCAUUUAAUCUAGAAAUUGCAACUAGGUGUUUAUUACAAGCAUCAAUAUCAAAAUCCUUACACCUAGUACAAAUUAUAACAUGUUCUACACAAGAAUUAGAUUUAUUUGCUACUUCUAAUUUAGCAUUUAAAUCAUUGUUAACACCUUGUAAAGUAGAAAUGGUUUCAUGACAAGUAGAUAGUUCAUAAGAAAGCAUUUCAUUUCUUUUAACUUCUAAAGCAUAGGAUUUUUGUGCCUCUACAAAUUUAUCAUGUUCAUCAUAUAACAAAUCCUCUUGCUUUUCUAAAAGCCUAUCCUUUUCAUUCAAGGCAUCAAUCAAUUCAUUGAUUUUAUCAAUUUUAUUUCUAUCCAAUCCCUUGAACAAGCUAGAGUAAUCUAUUUCAUCCUCAUCACUAGAUUUGUCCUCACUUGAAGAAGCAUAAGUAGAGUUUCGAGUACAUACCUUCUUCUCCCUUGCCAUGAGGCAUGUGUGACGCUCGUUGGGGAAGAGGGAUGGCUUGUUGAAGGCGGUGGCGGCGAGUCCUUCAUUGUCGGAGUCGGACGAGGAACAAUCCGAAUCCCACUCCUUGCCAAGAUGUGCCUCGCCCUUUGCCUUCUUAUAGUUUUUCUUCUUCUCCCUCUUGUUCCCUUGAUCCUGAUCACUAUCAUUGUCAGGACAGUUAGCAAUAAAAUGACCAAGCUUACCGCAUUUGAAGCAUGAGCGCUUCCCCUUGGCUUUGGUCUUGCUUGGCUGUCCCUUGCGACCCUUAAGCUCCGUCUUGAAUCUUUUGAUGAUGAGGGCCAUCUCUUCAUCAUUAAGUCCGGCCGCCUCAAUUUGUGCCACCUUGCUAGGUAGCGCCUCCUUGCUUCUUGUUGCCUUGAGAGCAAGGGGUUGCGGCUCGUUGAUCGGACCAUUCAAAGCAUCGUCCACGUACCUCGCCUCCUUGAUCAUCAUUCGCCCGCUGACGAAUUUUCCUAGGACUUCUUCGGGCGACAUUUUGGUGUACCUGGGAUUCUCACGAAUAUUAUUCACCAAAUGAGGAUCAAGAACGGUAAAGGACCUUAGCAUCAGUCGGACGACGUCGUGGUCCGUCCAUCGCGUGCUUCCGUAGCUCCUUAUUUUGUUGAUAAGAGUCUUGAGCCGGUUGUAUGUUUGAGUUGGCUCCUCGCCCCUUAUCAUCGCGAACCGUCCAAGCUCGCCCUCCACCAACUCCAUUUUGGUGAGUAAGGUGACGUCGUUCCCCUCAUGAGAAAUCUUGAGGGUGUCCUAGAUCUGCUUGGCGUUAUCCAAGCCGCUCACUUUGUGAUAUUCAUCCCUGCACAAUGAAGCUAGAAGAACAGUAGUAGCUUGUGCAUUCUUAUGGAUUUGCUCAUUAAUGAUCAUGGGACUAUCCGAACUAUCAAAGUGCAUUCCACUCUCUACAAUCUCCCAUAUACUAGGAUGGAGAGAGAAUAGGUGACUACGCAUUUUGUGGCUCCAAAAUCCGUAGUCCUCCCCAUCAAAGUGUGGGGGCUUGCCGAGUGGAAUGGAGAGCAAAUGUGAAUUUGAACUUUGCGGAAUACGAGAGUAGUCAAAAGAAAAGUUCGAAUUAACCGGUUUCCUUCUCUCGUAGUCGUUGUGGUCGUCGUCCUUUUGGGAAGAAGUAGACUCAUCGCUGUCGUCGUAAUAGACGAUCUCCUUGAUGCGCCUCAUCUUCUUCUUCUUCUUCCCUUCCUUCCGUCUAUGGCCCGAGCCGGAGUCGGUAGCUUGUCGUCCUUCGGCUCGUUGACGAAGGAUUCCUUCUCUUUGUCGUUGAUCAUGAUUCCCUUCCCCUUAGGAUCCAUCUCUUCGGGCGGUUAGUCCCUUUGUGAAGAGAACGCCUCUGAUACCAAUUGAGAGCACCUAGAGGGGGGGGUGAAUAGGUGAUCCUGUGAAACUUGAAAACUUAAGCCACAAAACUUGGUUAAUCGUUAGCACAAUAAUUGCCAAGUGGCUAGAUAGGAAUCUUCAACAAAACACAAUAACCAACAAGGAUCAAUCACAGAGAUGGCACGGUGGUUAUCCCGUGGUUCGGCUAAGACCAACGCUUGCCUACUCCACGUUGUGGCGUCCCAACGGACGAGGGUUGCAAUCAACCCCUCUCAAGCAGUCCAAAGACCCACUUGAAUACCACGGUGUUUUGCUUGCUUUUUCUCAAUCCCGUUUGCGAGGAAUCUCCACAACUUGGAGCCUCUCGCCCUUACACUUGAAAUUCACAAAGAAGCACAGAGCAAGGGAGGGAUUAGCAACGCACUCAAGACAAGAAAUCACAGCAACACCACGCACACAAGUCGCAACGAGAGCUCACAACACAACUCAAUGAGUUCACCACUCAACUAGAGCUCUAAUUGCUAUCACAAAGAAUCAAAGGCGUGGAAUCGAUGUCUUGGUGCUUAGGAAUGUUGUAGAGAUGCUUGGUGUUUUCCUUCAUGCGCCUAGGGGUCCCUUUUAUAGCCCCAAGACAGCUAGGAGUCGUUGAGAGCAAUCCAGGAAGGCUGAUCUUGCCUUCUGUCGACUGGCACACCGGACAGUCCGGUGCACACCGGACACUGUCCGGUGCCCGAUUUCUUUCCUUAAAUGGCGAAGCCGACCGUUGGUAGACUUGGAGCCGUUGGCGCACCGGACAGUCCGGUGCCUCCUUCUAGCCGUUGGCUCGGCCACGUGGCCCGCGCAGAUCGCGCGGCCGACCGUUGGCCCGACCGACCGUUGGCUCACCGGACAGUCCGGUGCACACCGGACAGUCCGGUGAAUUAUAGCCGUACGUCGCCGGUGAAUUCCCGAGAGCGGUCAUUUCGCUCGAGCCAGCCUGGCGCACCGGACACUGUCCGGUGCACCACCGGACAGUCCGGUGCUCCCAGACUCAGCAGAGUCUUGGCUGCUCGAGCCAAGACAUUUACAAUUGGAUUUUCCUGUUUCCAGCACUUAGACACAAUACAUUAGUCCAUAAAACAAUGUACUAAGUCUGAGAAACAUACCUUUAUCCUUGAUUUGCACUUUGUCCACCAUUUUACACUUAGGCACCUGUGUUGGGCACUAAAUCACCAAAAUACUUAAAAAUGGCCCAAAGGCACAUUUCCCUUUCACACUGUCCGGUGGCACACUGGAUGGUCCGGUGCGCCAGACCAGGGUUGCCUUCUGUUAUCUUUUGCUCCCUUUGUUUGAACCCUUUCUUUUGACUUGUAUUGGUUUAUUGUGAACCUUUGGCACCUGUAACAAUUAUAAUCUAGAGCAAACUAGUUAGUCCAAUUAUUUGUGUUGGACAAUUCAACCACCAAAAUCAAUUAGGAAAAGGUGUAAGCAUGUUUCCCUUUCAAGAUGGGACCACGGUCCCAUCUACUUUCACCAACAACGAUGAUGCACGCUCGAGAAUAACGGACAUUGUCCCCCCAUUCUGGCCACUGUUCCCGAACAACUCCGGAUGGGACACACACGCUUUGAGCACAACCUCACCCUCGAGAGAGAAUUCCGCCUCACUCGAAGACGGCUUCAGCCUCAGGAGAAGUCUCUGCCUCGCCCGAGCUCAGCCUCGACCAACUGCACCGGCAACAACUCCCCGCGAAUCCCGCAGGAGGUCACUCCGAUGACUGUACUAACCACUCCGCACGACUGCGUGCCCCGACAUAGGUUCGACCGUGACCUCGGGAGGAACCUCUGUCUCGCCAGAGCAUGGCCUCGGCCUAGAUAACAAAUGUAGUGUGAAUCAAGAGGCCGAGACGUGCACCUUGGAAUGGAAGCUGGACGUGAGGCUCUCUCCAAGAUUUACUGUACAACUCCAACGAUAUAUACAUCAUGCAUAGUACUCUAACAGUUCUUUGUAAAAGAUUCUCGUAUGUACAGGGACAAUAAACCCCUCAAUAUUUUCUAUAUGUCAAUUACAUCAUUCUUAACCCUAAUAAAGUCGUGUGACAUGAUACUAGUGUGUGUUAUGGUACUAUAAAUAUUAUAUGUUUUUAAUUUUUAAGAAAAUGAUAAACAAAUGUUAAUUAACUGAGUUGUACGGUAUAAGAGGAGCUGGAAUGGUGGGUCUGUUUGUUUCGGCUUCUCAGCAGCUUUUGGCUAGCUGUUGAUGACUGUCAAACACCUAACUUUUUAGAUAGUUUUUAUAAGAAUCACUUUCGUGAUAAUCAACUAAAAUUAUGUGAACAAAAAAUCGAUCGAGUCGUCACGAAAGUAAGAAUCCAUCACUUUUUAGAUCCUAAACUCUAUGAAUAUCUUCAACUCCCUGCACACACGUAAUCCUCGUGAUACUUAGAUUCUUUUCAUAACUAGAUUUUCAGAAAAGCUCGUCCGAAAAAGCUGAAACAAACAAGUCGUCAGAAAAAGCCGAAACAAACUAGUCUAAUCUACGAGAGAAAUUUGUAAAGAGAGCGAUAAUAAAAUAUAUUUAAAAAAAUAUAUAGGAAGAUGUACAGAGAGAAUCGUUGCUCGAAGACGAAGGACCCAACCCGUCGAAGCCGUGUAGGUGUAGGGUUGCUGUUUUUUGAAAGGAAAUGUAGGGUUGCUGUCAUCCUACAGUUCUACUAUUCAUCCUACUGAAUGCCACUUUAGAGUCCUAUGCUCGCAGUCAUGAACGGUACUUCUUUUUAGUGGCCAUCCAGUUUUUCGUACCAUACCGAAAUCAAAAGAAGUGCGAACCCAUCCAAACCACACCAAUCCAUUGUCAAAACUAAUAAAAAAGAUCAGGUAAUUAGAUUUUGCACCCCAUCUUCCACCAAACUAGACCAGCUUAAAAAUAAAUACACCACCCAAUAAACCGGUUAGGACCGAAAACGUUAGCAGCUUUAGUUGCAGCAGAGUCUGAACACACCACAUGCGCCCAUGUGCCUAAGUCUCUGGUACAUUAUAUACUACUCCUUCCGUUCCAAUUUAUAAUUCAUUUAACUGAUCUUAUUUUAAAAAAUUAGAAAAAAACUCAUUAUAGUUUUGUUUAUUAUCAAAUAUACAUAUGAUGAAUAGUUAAAGUUGGAGUAGAAAAAGUCAAACUUUUAUAUUUUAAAAUGGAGAAGUAUUAAAUCGUAAUUUACACCCACGCUGGUUGAGUUGUGGUAGCAAUAACGCCCGGAUCAAAGGUGACGUGGCAGCGUGGGCGGUCUGUAUCAACUGGUCUAAUCCUAAUAUGGAUCAGUACAUUAGAAUUAUAACGUGUCAAUUUGGUUGGUUAUGAUCAUGUUGAAACUGGACUGGUUGAUACCAAAUCACAUACUAGUGACCUGGUCAGUAUCGACCGCAUGUUACCACGUGACAGUUCUUGAUUGGUUCACACCAUUUUGAAUUUCAAAAAUAAAAAAUUAAAAGAAAUAGAAUCUGACCUAUAAAUAGAGAAGUGUGGGAGUUCAUUAACACCCCUCACUCUAAUUUUUUUCUUACCACUUCAUAUUACACUCCUCUCACUCUCGUUUCACUCCACUAAAUCAUUGUCACCAUAUCUUCCUCGAACUCGGACGUUAAGACGACCGAAGACGAAAUACUCAACAUGUUGCAUCAAACUAUGAUGGAUGUAGCGAUAAAGCUCGCCUUCGGGUCUUCAACGAGUAGGAGGCGAAGGACACAACAAUGGAGCUACAUCGAAUAGGAUCAUGAAGUUGUCCACGACAAUUUGAUGCAAGAUUACUUUAACGAACCGUGUGUCUACCAUCCACUAGUUUCGUCGAAGGUACCACAUGCAACGUCUCUUUCUUCAACUCUUGAAGAGGUUCGCUAAGCAUCCCCUAAUCCACUCUUAGAACUAAUGCGCUCAACCACAACACUUUCUCACCCCACCCCCACCACCAAAAAUGCAUCGUCGCCCUAUGCACACUCGCCUAUGGUAGCAUCGUUGAUUUCAUUUUAAUAUACCAAAAUAGUAAAAAAAAUCCGGUCUAAGAAUGCCUCAAGCAUUUCUAUAGGGGUGUUAUUUCAUGUUUUGGUGAGGAGUAUAGUCGAUGUCUCACUGUUAAUGAUCUUAGACGACUUUUAGUUAAGGGGAAGGAAGAGAAUUUUAUGGUAUAUGAUCGGAAGUAUAGAUCGCAUGCAUUAUUAGUGAGAAACUAUAUCAUUGGAUGGCGAGGAUCGUUUACAAGAGGGACAUUAGAUUCGUGACCAUCAUGCUCGAGGCUUGCCUUAUGACUUGUGGAUUUGGCAUUAGUUUUAUGGGUAGCGAGGACGAACAACGACAUUAACAUGCUUAACCAGUCGUCGUUGUCCACUAACAUUCUUAAGGGGAGAAGCACUAAAAGUAAACUUCACGGUCAAUGGACAUGAGUACAACCAUGGGUACUACCUCGCUAAUGGUGUCUACCCUUAUUAGCUGAUGUUUGUGAAGACAAUUCCCCUUCCAUAAAUUUUGAAGAAUCGGAUGUUUGCUGCAUGCAAGGACGACACAUAGAAGGAUGUAGAGAAAGCAUUUUGGAUCCUUAAAGUUCGCUUCCAUAUUCUCGCUAGCCUAGGUCAUUCUUUGCCCUCACCAAGUAUUCAAUGUGAUAUCAUGCAAGCAUAUCUCUACUACUCUAUAAGACUCUAAUGUAGACCAUCCAUGCACCGUGGUUCUGCCUCCUGUUCUGCCCCCCAGACUCUAGCAGGUGGGCCCGUGGCUCCUCCCCAUGUCAGUGUCUACGUCUCUCACCCUCACGCAACCUAGCAGCCCAUUUAACCAAAAACAAAAACAUAUUAGGAGCGAGAAGGUGAUGCGCGCGGCGUGGGUGUCGUGGCAGGGGAAGACGGAGCAAGCGUGGAUGGAAUGGCACUACGAGAAGACAAAGGGCUACGCGGAGGCGGUCUGUGGCGGGCCAGCCACUGCAGCGCGGAGGCGGCGGGGGAGGUUGAGAAGGUGAGCCGAAAGGAGGCGGUGUCGUGGGGUAGGGCGAGGGUCAGCGCCGUGCCGAGGGAGAAGAGGAUGGGCUCCGGCGGGUCGGCGUGGGUGGAGGCGGAGUGGACGGCGAGGGCGCAGGUGUCGAGGAGGAGGUCGCCGGAGUGCGGCGCGGAGAGGGUGAGCACCGCAGAGGCGUGUAUGGUGGAGGCGGCGAAGUCGAGGUAGAAGGUGAGCGCCGUGCACGAGACCACCGGGUGCAUGCCAUCGGUGUAGGAGUGGGGAUCGACUGGCGCCGUGGCUGCUCGCUCGGUCGCUCUUGCCGCGGCAAACGAGACGGGGCUAGACACUGGAGGGUUUGGUUCGAAAUCGAGCCGGUGUGUUUCGGUACCGUGUCGGUGGAUCGCCGAGGCCGAGGCGUCCAGGUUGAGCAGACAAAGCUUUUUGAGCUCUUCUUGGAAGGAACUGAUUCCUCCAUCGAAGCGAAUCGACUCUAGCAGGUGGGCCAGUGGCUCCUCCCCAUGUUAGUGUCUAUGUCUCUCACCCUCACGCAACCCAACAGCCCAUUUAACCAAAAACAAACACGGAUUAGGAGUGCAGCAUUGCAGACUGUCUUGGUGCCUCCUCGGGGCGCCUACACAACGAACUGAGAAACAGUACUAUAGCCUCCGCACCUGAGUUUAUAAGCCAGGUUAUGCAUCAUUUGGUAGUCCAUAUGGUACUAAUUUAAAGUUGCAACACCCAUAAAAACGAAGCCACAGACGUCGUGGGCUAGAUAUCUUAUUGCGGUCCAAAUAGAGCAGAGCGAGCAAAGUACUGGGGCGGCCCAUAUCUCUGACAAUUUCUUCGUGCGUGGCUCACUUUGUUCUCUCCACGCUAGACUAGCUCCCCUCCAGAGACAUAGCAACUGCUCCUAGUACUUUAUUAUUAUUGUAAAGAUUUUAAAAUAUGUUUUAAAAAGUAUCCAUUUAAACAAUGCCUAUAUAUAUCCGUGGAUUGCUGGAACACAAUAUUGUUUAUAUACCAAUGUGUUUUAUCAUAUUAAUUCCGUAGCAACGCACGAGCAAAUGACUAGUAUUAUUUAUGAUCAUUAGGGAUGAACGUGAAGGAUCAUAUAAUGAAGGAUCAUAUAAUGCGGACGACUACGAGAUAAUUGAGUUCUCAGUUGCAGCGUUGUCGGUGUUUCGAAACCCGGGGGGUCCCUGGACCGACGAGUAAAUCGUCGCCGCGUGCCCCAGCCCAGAUGGGUCGGCGUGAGGCGGAACGCGAAGGGGGGAGAGAGCAGCCGGAGGGAGACAGGCGUGGGUGGUGGAACCCGCGGCCUUCGUGUUAGCCCCGUGCCCAGGUCGGGUGCGCUUGCAGUAGGGGGUUACAAGCGUCCACGCGGGAGGGAGCGAGCGGCCUUGCGCGAGCGCCGUCCCGUCCUUCCCCGCGUGGCCAACCCUCUGUAAGAGGUCCCUGGACCUCCCUUUUAUAGGCGUAAGGAGAGGAUCCAGCUGUACAAUGGGGGUGUAGCAGUGUGCUAACUUGUCUAGCGGAGGAGAGCUAGCGCCCUAAGUACAUGCCAUCGUGGCAGCCGGAGAGGUCUUGGCACCCAGUUCGUGUGAUGUCGUGGUCGUCGGAAGAGCGCUGGAGCCUAGCGGAAGGACAGCUGUCGGGGCUGUCGAGUCCUUUCUGAUGUCCUCUUGCUUCCGUAAGGGGGCUGAGAGCCGCCGUCGUCACAGGGCAUGCGGGGCGCCAUCAUUACUCGUAUGGUGGAGCGAGCCAGAUGGGACGCCGGUCUUGUUCCCCGUAGCCUGAGUCAGCUCGGGGUAGGGUAAUGAUGGCGCCUCCUGUCGACGUGGUCGGUCCGUACCCUAGGUUGGGCGAGGUGGAGGCUCCUCCGAGGUCGAGGUCGAGUCUGUCUUCCAAGGUCGAGGUCGAGUCCGGGCCCCCGGGUCGGACAAGGCGGAGACCGUCGGCUGAGGCCGGGGCUGAGUCCGAGCCCUGGGGUCGGGCGAAGCAGAGUUCGUCGUCCUUCGGGGCUGAGCCCGAGUCCGAGCCCUGGGGUCGGGCGGAGCGGAGUUCGUCGUCUUCCGGGGCUGAGCCCGUGUCCGAGCUCUGGGGUCGGGCGAAGCAGAGUUCAUCGUCUUCCGGGGCUAAGCCCGUGUCCGAGCCCUGGGGUCGGGCGAAGCGGAGUUCGUCGUCUUCCGGGGCUGAGCCCGUGUCCGAGCCCUGGGGUCGGGCGGAGCGGAGUUCGUCGUCUUCCGGGGCUGAGCCCGUGUCCGAGCCCUGGGGUUGGGCAGAGCGGAAUUCGUCGUCUUCCGGGGCUGAGCCCGUGUCCGAGCCCUGGGGUUGGGCGAAGCGGAGUUCGUCGUCUUCCGGGGCUGAGCCCGUGUCCGAGCCCUAGGGUCGGGUGAAGCGGAGUUUCCUAUGACGCCUGAGGCCGGACUUGGCUGCUGUCAGCCUCACUCUGUCGAGUAGCUCAGCAGUCGGAGCGGCGCAGGCGGCGCUGUCCUCUUGUCAGACCGGUCAGUGGAGCGGCGAAGUGACUGCGGUCACUUCGGCUCUGUCGACUGGAGGGCAUGUGUCAGGAUAAAGGUGUUAGGCCACCUUUGCAUUAAAUGCCCCUGCAAUUUGGUCGGUUGGCAUGGCGAUAUGGCCAAGGUUGCUUCUUGGUGAAGACUGGGCCUCGGGCGAGCCGAAGAUGUGUCCGUUGCUGGAGGGGGUCCUCGGGCGAGACGUAGAUCCUCCGGGGUCGGCUGCCCUUGCCUAAGACUGGGCUCGGGCGAGGCAUGAUCGCAUCCCUUGAAUGGACCGAUCCUUGACUUAAUCGCACCCAUCAGGCCUUUGCAGCUUUGUGCUGAUGGGGGUUACCAGCUGAGAUUUAGGAGCCUUGAGGGUACCCCUAAUUAUGGUCCCCGACAGUAGCCCCCGAGCCUCGAGGGAGUGUUAAUACUCGCUUAGAGGCUUCUAUCGCACUUUUUUGCAAGGGGACCAGCCUUUUUUGGUUGCGUUUUGUUCCGGUGGGUGCGCGCGAGCGCACCCGCCGGGUGUAGCCCCCGAGGCCUCGGAGGAGUAGUUUGACUCCUUCGAGGUCUUAGUGCGUUUCGCAACACUUCGGCUGGUCUAGUUGUUCCCUCAUGCGAGCUGGCCGUAGCCCGGGUGCACGGUCGGGUCCCAAGUUCUCGGGCUGGUAUGUUGACGCUGUCAACGGGUUGGCCAGAGCCGGGUUUGCGAGAGCAGCCCCUGAGCCUCUGCAUAGGGCGAGAGGACGGUCAAGGACAGACUCGACUUUUUUACAUACGCCCCUGCGUCGCCUUUCCGCAAGGAGGAGGGGGGAAAGCGCCAUGUUGCCCUCGGAGGGCGCCAAACAUGGUGUCUCCGGUGAGCUACUGGCGGGUAAUCCGAGUGGACGCCCGUGCCCCAUUUGUUAGGGGUCGGCUAGAGGCCCGGAGGCGCGCUCCAAAAGUACCUGCAGGUGAUCUGCCGGACCCGGUCCCCUUUUGACGGGGUCCGAGGGCUCGAUGCCUCCCUCUGAUGGGACUCCGUUACAAGAUCGUUCCCGCUGGUCUCAAAAAUGUCCUAGGGUACCUCGGGAGCGUAGCCCGAGCCUUGGUUAUGUAUCGAACGUACCCAGGGUCAUCCCUCGCUCUGUGUCUGAGGCGACUGUGAACCCUUUGAGGGCCAGCCUACGAACCCCUGAUCAGUAGUGGGCACGGAGCUCGAGUGGCCUGAGGCGGUCGUUGAACCCUUUCGAGGGACCGGCCAUCGAACCUCUGACCAGUAGUGGGCGCAGAACCCAGGUGCUCUGAGGCGGCCAUUGAACCCCUCCGAGGGGCCAGCCUUUGAACCUCUGAUCAGUAGGGAGGCUCGGGGCCUGGUUUCCUUCACGGAGAAGGAUCCUUUUCAGGGUAUCCCCCUUUCCCGGUCCCUGUUGUAAGAGAGAGAAAGAGGAAAAGGAAAAGGACACGAAAUCGAAUGACGUGGCGUACCUUUUUUGACGCGGUCAUUAUGGCGAAGGCGAAGCGUCGCUUGCUUCUCCUGCCUGAGGCGCCGCCUGUCCCGCCGCGAAGUUAAUGCGAUGGGGCGAGUGGUUCGCGAGGUGGUCGUUGCGCGUGCGCGAGCCGUUCGAGGAACGGAACACGGGCGCGUCGUCUUCAUGCCGUGAGAGAGGGUUCUCUCGCUGCCCCUGGAUGGGAUGUAAGCUUGGCUGACGACGUGUCCGCUGCUCCUGCCCGCCUGCCACCGCCAUUACUGCCGGCCCAUUUUUUAGCCGUAUUGACCGUCGUGCCUGGAUGGCACUGCUGGGUCAUACGCACGGUUGCCUCGAGUCGCGGUACUGGUUCCGCAGUCGAGGAGGCGCGGUAGUGGUGCGAGUGGCGGUGCAGUUGCUCGCACGUAGCAAUCGGCGCGCCGGUUGCAUGACGCGUGGGCCUGGACCUCCAUGCUGGGCGCGUUGGAGUCGAAGGGGCGCACCCACUUGGCGCGGUUGCAUGCCGACUGCACGGCUGUCCACCCUUUCACCCGUUGGUCUGGGCGUAAGUGGCGGAAUGCUUGUAACCGCUGGGCAGUUGCAUGCCCUGCGCGCGGCGGUUUGGCUCCUUCUGCCCUGGACCAGCUUGCAUGACGCGUGGGGCCCAGCCCCCGUGCCGUAGGGGGAGGACCUUGGAGCGUGUUGGAGAAGACUCAGCCCGCGAUGGCUGAGGACGCAAGCGGGGAGAGUCGCCUUUAAAAAGAGGGUGACCUCCUUGAAAGGCGGCCAUGUCUUCGCGCUCCCUUAUGCACCGUGUCUUUCCACCUUCCGAGCCCCCGGAUGGGGGACGCCCGCAAUCCUUCCGUCUUGUCGUCGGAGGAACGCAACUUCGUGGGAGUUGGUACCUUUCAGCCAUCGUUCGGCUUCAAGGAUUUUCAUCAUGCAGCCCGGCUGCAUCCCCUCGUCGGUGGUCGCCCAAGGCGGUGACCACCAGCCCCUGGAUGGGGAGAAGCAAGCCGGGCUGCGAUCUUGGUCCCGCCCUCAGCUUCAAGGACGUUCGUCAUCCUUGCUGGGGCGGAGGCCGGGCUGAGCCGGAGCUCUUCCCCCCGUGCGGGCCGGCCGGUCACCUCCUCUUCCAGCUUCUGGUGGUGGAAACCAUCCUCCGGCCCUACGGAGGAGGCGUCCUCCAGCCAUGCAGGGGAAGUCGAACUGUUGCUGUCCAGCUAGGAUGCAACAUUCUGUCCUUCUCCUCGCUUUCGUGGCGAGGACGGGAUUGAGGACCUGCCGGUGCACCUUGCCCACUGUCGGCGUUGGUGGAGAGGCGGACGCCGCCGUCUAUGCUGACGUGGGGGCAGCUGGAGGAAGCUUGCCCCCCGUCGAGGCCGUCGGCGCCGCCUACGGGCCGGCCCCCGGCUCUUUGGCUUUAAUGUCUGGUUCGCGUUCCUUGAGUGGGGACACGAACGAGAGCCUUCCGGUGGCCGCGUCCGUCCUGGGACCAUAGCCGCUGCUGUGGGGAUGGAACCUGAGUUCCGUUUGUAUUGGCACUUUGAGUGCCGAUGUUUUGUUCAUUGCGGCCGUCGGGGCCUGAACAUGUGUGUAUUUUCGGCACGGAGCCGUGUUUUUUCUUCAUUUCGAGCACUAAGACUUGCCUGUUGGCUAUCUGAACCGCUUCACCGAGCGUGAGUCGCCUCGUGCGAAGGUGACGAGUGAGGCAUCCGUAUCCCGGAGGCGUAGGAGUCCCUCGGCUCGUUCGGCCUUGCUGUCCGAGGCUUCUCUUGCUUAGUUAAAGGAACCCCUCGGCCGCUCUUUGAUGAGCCAAAGCCGGAGGUAGCGGUGUCAGCAUGGACAGAGGCAGAGUUGGCUCAAAAAGAAGAUUUGGUCGGCCGGAGCCUGGCCGGGUCGUCCACUGGCGGGACCGACGCCGGAGUUGAGCUGCCGAGGCCACAAGCCGGGCUGAUGUCUUCGGGGGACAGCUGGCCGAGGCCUCGGGGUGGCCGGCCGAGCCGUCUGCUCGAGCCGGAUUCCUGGAGAAGACCCUAGCGGCGAUGGCCCAGGUGUGGUGCUGAUGUCGUCCUUCAGAGUGGGGAUCCUCCAACCGCGUCGCCGUCCGAGGCUAGGUCAGACCCCGCCGAAGGUGUAGUUGACGCCGAGGGUGCUGCUGUCCCCUUCAACUGUCGACGUCCGAGCCUGCAGGAUCGGGUUGUCUUGUAGCGUGUGUAUGUUUUCUGCGGCCGCCGAGGCCCAAACACACUGUCGUCGUGUUGUAAAGCUGCGUUUCUUUUCCUCUUAUUUCGAGUAUCCAGACUUAUUUGUCGGUAACAGAAUUGUUUGUGUGGGCGAGAGUUGCUUUUCACGGAAGGUGAUGAGUGAGGUAUCCGUAUCCCGGAGGCGUAGGAAUCCCUCGGCUCGGUCGGCCUUGCCGCUUACGCGCACUCUUACUCGUCCAUAGGGUUCUGUCACCGACGCAGUCGAGAAGGCCCGAAAAACCGUUCCGGCAGAGAAGCUUUCGAGCGUGAAGACUUGUUCGGUCCGCGGAAUCAGUUAUCCGAGCGCGAGUUACUUAUCGCAGAAGGUGAUGAGUGAGGUAUCCGUAUCCCGGAGGCGUAGGAGUCCCUCGGCUCGGUCAGCCUUGGCUGCUUACGUGUACUCCGUCGUUUUCAGGAUCCACUUUCGAAGUAGUCGAAAAGCACGAAAGGCAUUCUGGCAGGAAAGAUUUUUUUCUUUUUUCGAGGAAAAUUUCGACGCAGAGGGGGUUCCCCCCUUCUAGCCCCCGAGGGAGGGUCGGGCUUUGCCGAGGCAAGGCUGACCCUUCCUUGACGACCAGACUUUGUGUGUGAACGGGGUGUAUGAAUAACUUGGAAGCAUCUUAAGGGUAGAAGCGACAUAGCUGUUGGAUGUUCCAAGCAUUGCUGUAGACCUCGCCUUGACUGUUGGCUAGCUUGUAUGUUCCGGGCUUCAGAACCUUGGCGAUGACGAACGACCCUUCCCAGGGAGGCGUGAGCUUAUGCCGCCCUCGGACAUCUUGUCUUAGCCGAAGCACAAGGUCGCCCACCUGGAGGUCUCGGGACCGAACCCCUCGGGCGUGGUAGCGUCGCAGGGACUGCUGGUACCACGCCGAGUGUAGUAAGGCCAUGUCUCGAGCCUCUUCCAGCUGGUCUAGUGAGUCUUAUCGAUUAGCUUGAUUGCUUUGGUCGGCGUAGGCCCUCGUCCACGGGGAACCGUAUUCUAAGUCUGUGGGCAAGAUGGCCUCGGCCCCAUAGACUAGAAAGAACGGUGUGAAGCCCGUGGCUCGGCUCGGCGUUGUCCUCAGACUCCAGACCACCGAUGGGAGUUCCUUCAUCCACCGCUUGCCGAACUUGUUGAGGUCGUUGUAGAUCCGAGGCUUGAGUCCUUGCAGAAUCAUGUCGUUGGCACGUUCUACCUGCCCAUUUGUCAUGGGGUGAGCCACGGCGGCCCAGUCCACCCGGAUGUGGUGAUCCUCGCAGAAGUCCAGGAACUUUCUGCCGGUGAACUGGGUGCCGUUGUCGGUGAUGAUGGAGUUCGGGACCCCAAAGCGAUGGAUGAUGCUGGUGAAGAACGCCACCGCCUGUUCGGACCUGAUGCUGUUUAGGGGUCGGACCUCGAUCCACUUGGAGAAUUUGUCGAUGGUGACCAACAGGUGCGUGUAGCCCUCGGGUGCCUUCUGCAAGGGGCCGACGAGGUCCAGACCCCACACAGCAAACAGCCAGGUGAUGGGUAUGGUCUGCAGAGCCUGAGCGGGCAGGUGGGUCUGCCUUGCGUAGAACUGACACCCUUCGCAGGUGCGGACAAUUCUAGUGGCGUCGGCCACCGCCAUCGGCCAGUAGAAACCUUGUCGGAAGGCGUUUCCAACAAGGGUUUGAGGUGCUGCGUGAUGGCCGCAAGCCUCCGAGUGUAUCUCUUGUAGGAGCUCCUGGCCUUCGGCGAUGGGAAUGCAUCGCUGGAGGAUGCCCGAGGGGCUGCGGUGGUAGAGCUCCUUCCCAUCUCCCAGCAAGACAAAAGACUUGGCACGCCGCGCCACUCGCCGAGCUUCGGCUUGGUCGAGGGGUAGCUCUCCUCGGUGGAGAUAUUGCAGGUACGGGGUCUGCCAGUUUCGAUCAGGCGUGACCUCACUCUGCUCCCCCUCAAUGCGCAGUGCCUCACCCUCGGGAGCCGAGGGUACCUCGGGCUGAGCCGAGGGUGCCUCGGGUUGAGCCAAGGGUGCCUCGGGCCGAGCCGAGGGUACCUCGGACUGAGCCGAGGGCGUCUCAGGCUGGGCCGAGGCCUCCUCGGGCUCGGGCGUGUCGUCGGUCUUGACGGAGGGUUGAUGCAGGUCUCGGGAGAAUACGUCCGGGGGAACCGUUGUUCGCCCCGAGGCUAUUUUAGCCAGCUCGUCCGCAGUCUCGUUGUAGCGUCGGGCGGUGUGGUUGAGCUCGAGCCCGUAGAACUUGUCUUCCAGGCGCCGAACCUCAUCGCAGUAGGCUUCCAUCUUUGGGUCGCGGCAGUGGGAGUUCUUCAUGACCUGGUCGAUGACGAGCUGCGAGUCACCGCGAGCGUCGAGGCGUCGGACCCCUAGCUCGAUGGCGAUUCGCAACCCGUUUACCAGAGCCUCAUACUCAGCCACGUUGUUGGACGCCGGGAAGUGGAGGCGUAGCACGUAGCGUAGGUGCUUCCCGAGGGGCGAGAUGAAGAGCAGGCCCGCGCCGGCCCCGUCUUCAUCAGCGACCCGUCGAAAAACAUGGUCCAGAGCUCCGGUUGGAUCAGAGCUGUUGGGAGCUGGGUGUCGACCCAUUCAGCCACGAAGUCCGCUAAGACCUAGGACUUGAUGGCCUUUCGAGGGGCGAACGAGAUCGUCUCGCCCAUGAUUUCCACCGCCCACUUUGCAAUUCUACCUGAGGCCUCUCGGGACUGGAUGAUCUCCCCCAGGGGGAAGGAUGACACCACAGUUACCGGAUGAGACUCGAAGUAGUGUCGCAACUUCCGCCACGUCAGGAUCACCGCGUACAGCAGCUUCUGGAUUUGUGGGUAGCGGAUUUUGGUCUCGGACAGUACCUCACUGAUGAAGUAGACUAGCCUCUGGACGGGCAAUGCAUGCCCCUUUUCUCGUCUCUCAACCACAAUUGCGGCGCUAACCAACUGAGUGGUCGCGGCGACGUAGAUCAAGAGGGCUUCUCCGGCAGCGGGGGGCACCAAGAUGGGCGCGUUCGUGAGGAGCGCCUUCGGGUUCGCGAGGGCUUCCUCGGCCUCAGGGGUCCAAGCGAAGCACUCGGCCUUCCUUAAGAGGCGGUACAGAGGCAGGGCUCUUUCGCCGAGGCGCGAGAUGAAACGGCUCAGAGCCGCGAGGCAUCCCAUAACCCUCUGUACGCCUUUCAGGUCCUUGAUGGGCCCCAUGCUGGUGAUGGCUGCGAUCUUCUCCGGGUUGGCCUCGAUGCCUAGCUCGGAGACGAUGAACCCCAAUAGCAUGCCUCGGGGAACCCGAAGACACACUUUUCGGGAUUGAGCUUCACGCCUUUCGGCUUGAGACAUCGGAAUGUCACCUCAAGGUCGGAAAGGAGGUCGGAGGCUUUCCUCGUCUUGACUACGAUGUCAUCGACGUAGGCCUCGACCGUUCGGCCGAUGUGUUCACCGAACACAUGGUUCAUGCACCGUUGGUACGUUUGAGAGCACCUAGAGAGGGGGGGGGGUGAAUAGGUGAUCCUGUAAAACUUGAAACUUAAGCCACAAAAAACUUGGUUAAGUGUUAGCACAAUAAUCGCCAAGUGGCUAGAGAGGAGUCUCAACAAAACACAAUAACCACAAGAGAUCAAUCACAGAGAUGGCACGGUGGUUAUCCCGUGGUUCGGCCAAGACCAACGCUUGCCUACUCCACGUUGUGGUGUCCCAACGGACGAGGGUUGCAAUCAACCCCUCUCAAGCGGUCCAAAGACCCACUUGAAUACCACGGUGUUUUGCUUGCUUUUCUUAAUCCCGUUUGCGAGGAAUCUCCACAACUUGGAGCCUCUCGCCCUUACACUUGAAGUUCACAAAGAAGCACGGAGUAAGGGAGGGAUUAGCAACUCACACAAGACACAAAGAUUACAGCAAAUACGCACACACAAGACCCAGACUUAAGCUCAAAAGACUAGCACACUAGAACGGAGCUCAAAUCACUAGAAUGUCGAACAAGUGCGCAAGAAUGGAGUGUGAGUGAUCAAGAGUGCUCAAAGAAUGCUUGGAUGCCUCCUCCAUGCGCCUAGGGGUCCCUUUUAUAGCCCCAAGGCAGCUAGGAGCCGUUGAGAACAAUCCUGUAAGGCAGAUCUUGCCUUCUGUCGACUGGCGCACCGGACAGUCCGGUGCCCCACCGGACACUGUCCGGUGCAGAUAUCCUUCCUUAUUUGGCGAAGCCGACCGUUGGAGUCUGAGAGCCGUUGGCGCACCGGACACUGUCCGGUGCACACCGAACAGUCCGGUGCACCAAUGUGACCGUUGGCUCGGCCACGCAUCACGCGCGGAAUCCUCGGCCGACUGUUGCCCCGGCUGACUGUUGACUCACCGGACAGUCCGGUGCACCACCGGACAGACCGGUGAAUUUUAGCCGUACGCCGUUAAUCAUCUCCCGAGAGCGACGAGUUCGCCUGUGAACGGCGCAUCGGACAGUCCGGUGAAUUAUAGCCGUACACCGCCGUCGAAGUCCCGAGAGCAGCCUGUUCGCUAGAGCCAGCCUGGUGCACCGGACACUGUCCGGUGCACCCAGACCGAGCAGACUUUGGCUGAACAAUGUCCUCUCAUUUCCAAUUCAAUUUUUCCUGUUUCCAGCACUUAGACACAAUACAUUAGUCCAUAAAACAAUGUACUAAGUCUAGAAACAUACCUUUUGACAUGAUUUGCACUUUGUCCACCACUUUGCAUAGAUUAGCACAAAAGCACUUGUGUUGGCACUCAAUCACCAAAAUACUUAGAAAUGGCCCAAGGGCACAUUUCCCUUUCAACGUUGCACCCGCAUUCCUCAAGCCGAACGGCAUGGUAACAUAGCAGUACAUGCCGAAGGGUGUGAUGAAAGAAGUCGCGAGCUGGUCGGACUCUUUCAUCCUGAUCUGGUGAUACCCUGAGUAGGCAUCGAGGAAAGACAGGGUUUCGCACCAGCAGUGGAAUCCACGAUUUGAUCGAUGCGAGGCAGAGGGUAGGGAACUUUCAGACAUGCUUUGUUUAGACCAGUGUAGUCUACACACAUCUGUCAUUUCCCCCUUUUCUUUCUCACAAGCACAGGGUUGGCAAGCCAUUCGGGAUGGAAUACCUCUUUGAUGAACCCUGCCGCCAUUAGCUUGUGGAUCUCCUCACCUAUGGCUCUGCGCUUUUCUUCGUCGAAUCGGCGCAGAGGCUGCUUCACGGGUCAGGCUCCAGCUCGGAUAUCCAGCGAGUGCUCGGCGACUUCCCUCGGUAUGCCGGGCAUGUCCGAGGGACUCCACGCGAAAACGUUGGCGUUUGCGCGGAGAAAGUCGACGAGCACUGCUUCCUAUUUGGGGUCGAGCUCGGAGCCGAUCCGGAUCUACUUGGAGGCGUCGUCGCAGGGGUCGAGAGGGACAGACUUGAUCGUCUCCGCUGGCUCGAAGUUGCCGGCGUGGCGCUUCACGUCGGACGCCUCCCUAGAGAGGCUCUCUAGGUCAGCGAUGAGGGCCUCGGCGUACUCCACGCACUCCACGUCGCAUUCGUACGCGUGUCGGUACGUGGGCCCGACGGUGAUGACCCCGUUGGGGCCCGACAUCUUGAGCUUGAGGUAGGUGUAGUUGGGGACGGCCAUGAACUUGGCGUAGCAUGGCCUCCCCAGCACUGCGUGGUAGGUUCCUCGAAACCCGACCACUUCGAACGAGAGGGUCUCCCUUUGAAAGUUGGAGGGCGUCCCAAAGCAGACGGGUAGAUUGAGUUGUCCGAGGGGCUGGACGCGCUUCCCGGGGAUGAUCCCGUGGAAAGUCGCAGCGCCCGUCCGGACCGAGGACAGAUCGAUCCGCAAGAGCCCGAGGGUCUCGGCGUAGAUGAUGUUGAGGCUGCUGCCUCCGUCCAUGAGGACCUUGGUGAGCCUGACAUUGCCGAUGAUGGGGUCGACAACGAGUGGGUAUUUCCCCGGGCUUGGCACGUGGUCGGGAUGGUCGGCCUGGUCGAAGGUGAUGGGCUUGUCGGACUAGUCUAGGUAGACUGGCGCUGCCACCUUUACCGAGCAGAUCUCCUGAUGCUCUUGCUUGCGGUGCCGAGCCGAGGCGUUUGCCACUUGCCCAUCGUAGAUCAUGAAGAAGUCGCGGACCUCGGGGAACUCUCCUGCCUUGUGAUCUUCCUUCUUAGCGUCGUCGAGGGCCUUGCCACCCUCCGCGGGUGGCCCGGCCUUGUGAAAGUGGCGUCGAAGCAUGGCACACUCCUCUAGGGUGUGCUUGACGGGCCCCUGAUGAUAGGGGCACGGCUCCUUGAGCAUCUUGUCGAAGAGGUUGGCACCUCCGAGAGGUUUCCGAGGGUUCUUGUACUCGGCGGCGGCGAUAAGGUCCGCGUCGGCGGCGUCGUGUUUCGCUUGCGACUUCUUCUUGCCUUUCUUCUUGGCGCCGCGCUGAGUUGACGCCUCAGGAACAUCUUCCGGUGGGCGGCCCUGAGGCUGCUUGUCCUUCCGGAAGAUAGCCUCAACCGCCUCCUGGCCAGAGGCGAACUUGGUGGCGAUGUCCAUCAGCUCGCUCGCCCUGGUGGGGGUCUUGCGACCUAGCUUGCUCACUAGGUCACGGCAGGUGGUGCCGGCGAGGAACGCGCUGAUGACAUCCGAAUCGGUGACGUUGGGCAGCUCGGUGUGCUGCUUCGAGAAUCACCGGAUGUAGUCCCGGAGAGACUCUCCCGGCUGCUGGUGGCAGCUUCGGAGAUCCCAGGAGUUUCUAGGGCGCACGUACGUGCCUUGGAAAUUGCCGGCGAAGCCUUGGACCAGGUCGUCCCAGUUGGAGAUCUGCCCCGGAGGCAGGUGCUCCAGCCAGGCUCGAGCGGUGUCGGAGAGGAACAGGGGGAGGUUGCUGUUGGGGACCUUCGGCGUCCGAACGUCCUCAAAAACAGGAUUUAACAGUAUUUCUGUAGUACAAUGUGUGAACAGGUACCCUCGGACUAAAGUCGGCAUUGCAGUAGACCGGAAUAAUACGAAGCUUGAUACAGAGCCGAAGGUGUUGAGCAGGAAAGCUUCGGCGUAACAGCAAAGAGUGGAACCGACUUAAAGAUGAAAAGGCUAUUCAGACCUCGAUAGACUACUAUAGAGUUAUUAUCAAAUGUAAAGGGCAUGAAUGUAAUUUUGUAAGGGCUGUGUCCCGUGUCUAUAAAUAGGUGAACAGUAUCCCCGUACUGUUCACGUUGACUUGGCAUUCGCUUUUUGCGUCACGCUUGUACUGUCAUUUCCUUCCGAUUGAAGGUACACUUGUAGUUCAAUAAUAUUUUUGUUUAUGCUCAAUAAUAAUAAAUGAUUGUUCAUGUUUUCUUUUACAUUCUUUAUAUUUCAUCCUUCGUCAUUGUUUGAACUUAUGAAGGUAUGACCUUCAUAACCUUCGUCCGUAAGUCAUUAUAUCCUAGGGGAAAUAAUGCUUCGGAGGACGAAGGGCGUUAACGAUUAACAUUUUCUAUGUUGCCUUGUUCUUAACUCUUAGCACUUGAGAACAAGUCCCCAACAUUGGCGCCCACCUCCGGUGAACUCACUUCCAUUUCUUGAGCUUUUCAACACCUUCGGCAAGCAUCACCUUCGUCAUGCCGCCGAAGAAGGCUUCAGCACCAGGGGCUGGCACGCUGCAGCCGCUGGACCCCAAUCAAGACGUCCUUUCUCUUAGAGAGGCACGAAGCCAGAAGAGGAAGGCUACCAGUCCAACACAUCCGGAGGAUGAUCUAGAUCAGGAGAUUCAAAAUCUGGAAAUCCUUCAGCAGCAGGUUCAACGCAAGAAGGAGAAGAUGGCCAGGCUAGCUGAACUGCAGAGGCAGAUAGAUGAAGCCUCUGAAGAAGUUCGUCAUCUUGCUCAGGAUGAGCAACACCGAAGGCCUCAGCAUCAAGACCUUCAUCAGGAGGGCUUUCCCAACGAAGAUGACUGGUAUGACAAUUUCCAUCAUGGGAAUUUUGUUUUUGAUGAUGCUUCUCCCCUGUCCGCUGAGUUACAGGCUACACCUUGGCCUCCGUCCUACAAGCCGCCUCAGCUCCCCGUAUUUGAUGGCCACUCAGACCCGAAGCAGUUUUUGAUGAGCUACGAAGCAACAGUGUCUUCGUACGGUGGCAAUGCUUCAGUCAUGGCCAAAUCUUUCGUUAUGGCUGUCAGAAGUGUUGCUCAAACCUGGUAUUCCUCCCUUCGACCAGGAACGAUCACUUCAUGGCAGAAGCUGAAGGAUUUGUUGUUAACCAGCUUUCAAGGAUUUCAGACGAAGCUGGUCACUGCUCAGGCUCUGUUCCAGUGCACUCAGGACCACGAAGAAUACCUUCAGGCAUAUGUCCGAAGGUUCUUGCGUCUGAGGGCACAGGCACCAACGGUGCCCAAUGAAAUUGUCAUCGAGGCCAUGAUCAAGGGGCUUCGGCCAGGUCCGUCAGCUCAGUACUUCGCCAGGAAGCCUCCUCAAACUUUGGAGAAGCUUCUCCAGAAAAUGGAUGAAUACAUUCGGGCCGACAAUGAUUUUCGCCAAAGAAGGGAGGAGGCUUUCAGGUUUUCUGAAAUAACCAGGAGCUUCGGAGGGAGGUUUUACCCGAGGCAUGUGAGAUCAAUUCACAAUUCUACACAAAAUGAUGACAGAGGAAGCCAACAGCAAAGGCCACAAUGCUCCUCACAGGCUUCUGGACAACAGCAAAGCUCCUUCCGGCCACCAGCUCCAAGAGGCAGAGGCGCCAGGGGCUUCGGAGGAAGAUUUGGCGAUCAACCGAGAAGAAUCUUUUGCUUAUUCUGCGGUGAGAACAAAGGCCAUACUACCAGGAUGUGCCAUGUUACUAUACAGAAGCAAAAGGAAAUAGCUGAAGCAGCAGCACAACAAGCCCAGCCGAAGCAGGUCAUGCAUACAGCUUCGUAUCAUUCGCCCUACAUCCCAGAAUAUGUGGGCAACCAUCCUGCAGUCUCUGCUGCUUCGGCGAGUCAGCCUCAAGCUUCCUGGCAACAGCCUCCGCCUCCACCUCCGUUGCAACAAGGCCAGCAGCCAGAAGGGAGCCAAUAUGCUCCGCAUCAAAGGGACUUCAGAGAACAGUCCGAAGCUCGCACGGUCAAUAGCACUGUGCCAGAAUCAAAGCACAUCUAUUGACAAAUAUCCUACCUUAAUAGCAAUCUUUUUCAUUCAGUUUUAUUUUCUGUAAUAAAGGACAUUGUUUAGGUUUCAUGUAAUUAGUUUCGUUGAUUCCUACAAGAGAAAUAUGUUUUCUUCACAGGCUUGUGAUAAUAAAAAGGACCUUCGGACUACCGAAAAUUCUUCGAAGCAACAAAAAGUCGUUCUAAGGAACGCAGAGUAAGUUUGACGAAGUCACAAAAAGUCGUUCUAAGGAACGCAGAGUAAGUUUGACGAAGUCACAAAAAGUCGUUCCGAAGGGAGCGCAGUGUAAGUUUUCUGCUCCAAAGUCGUUCCAAAAGGAAUGCAGAGCAUACAGCGAAAAGUCAACGCUGAUACCGCCUAAGUAAAAGGCGAAGAAGCUCCAAAGACGUUCCUAAGGGAAUGCAGAGCUUACAGCGAAAAGUCAACGCUGAUACCGCCUAAGUAAAAGGCGAAGAAGCUCCAAAGACGUUCCUAAGGGAAUGCAGAGCUUACAGCGAAAAGUCAACGCUGAUUCCGCUGAAGUAAAAGGCGAAGAAGCUCCUAAGGGAGGCUUAUAGCGAAAAGUCAAUGCUGAUUCACAAAAAGAUUAUGUGUUUUAUCGCGCAAAUAUGCGUGUAUCUUCGGAAUAUCGCCUUACAUAGCAUAGCAUCAUCACAUCAUCUUUGCAUAACAUAAGCAUCAUACAUCAUACUGCAUGUGGCAUAAGGAAAUAUGAUAUUAAUCUUCGGAAAAACGCUUUGAAAAAGGGGCAAAUCAUGCCAAGUAACAAGGAGAAACAAUAUUGAUCUCUGAAGUAUAGCCUUGAAGAAUGUUUCUACGAAGCUUCAAAACUUUCCAGGAUACUUCGGAUAUUGUUGUGAUAAAUGGUAAUUCUUCUUCACGAAGCAUGAAAAGAAGGGAAGGUGUUUUUUCGCCAAAGACUCAAAAAAGGUACGUAUGUAAAGUUUCAUGCAUCGUAAAGAAUUGAACCAUAAAGAAAAAUAAAACAAAUAUGUUACAUACGGGAUUACAAGAUAUUACACAUGUUACAUUUAAAAUGUUUUUACAAUAGCAUCUAGUCUUCCCUAAGUACCACUUCUGCAGCUUCGUUCAACAGUCGAUCGACAACUUCAUCCAUAAUAGCUUCAGCCAUCUUUUUAAUCUCAUCGUCACCCUUAGGCCGUGCACCCGGAGAUACUUCAGUAGGAUCUGAGGAAGGACAGGACACGGCUACUUUGCUAUUACAAAUCAUAAACAAAUCUUAAAGCCUAAGAUUACAACACGAUAAAAACUAUUAGUUGAUACCUAAUUGACCUUCGGCCUCUGCGCUCUUUUUAGCAGCCUCAGCUACUUCUCUAGCAUCGUGAAUACCCUUUUCACUUCUUCGAAUAAUUUCUCCGGCCAUCUCUCGGCCACCAUUAUCCCAGAUAUCAGUAAAAAACUUUCCACCAAUUAUACUAGCUUCGGCCGAAGGAUCUUUUGUAUCUUCAAAGGACAAAGCAGCUUCGGACUGUGCUAAAAUUUUUACAUGUUCACAGCCCUCCUUCUCUAAGAUAGUGGCAAUCCCUCUGGCGCCAGAGAAGGCACAUAUAUCUCCUCGACUAUUUAAAAUUUCUUCAAAGGCUUCGGCUUCGUGGUUAAUCCAUUCGAUGACACCUUCGGGAUUGCCUCUUGAAAAGUUUUCCUCACUUGAGAAUGCGCCGACCUUGGCGAAGCUAGCCUUUAAUUUCUUGACACAAUCUAUAGAUUUAUUGUAGCAUCUCUUUUUGGACGAACGAAGCUCUUCAACAGUCACUUCUAGGUGAUCUGCCCAUUGAUCGCUGAGUUCACGCUUUGUUUCUUCAAGUAUGCGUUCUUCCUUGGCUCUGGCCAGUUGUUUCCGAAGGUCUUCAAUUUCGCGUUUCUGAGCUUCAGCUUGAAUUUUAAAAGCAGCUUCGUCCUCUUUUAUUUUAUUUAUCAAUGAGUAUAAUAUUUUGUCUUUUUCGAGACCUUCGUUCCUCAGUUCAAUUACUUCGGAACGAAGGUUGCUCAGGGCUAUUGUACACCCUUCGUCUUCAGCAUCUUUCUGUGCUCUAAGAGCAUUGCUAAGUAUCAAGCCCUGCAAAAAGAAAUAUGUGUGUGUGUCAGUGGGUUUAAACGAACGGAAAAAUACAAGGAUUUCAUAUAUCGUACCUUUAAGCUAUUGUAAGCCAGGCUGUCGGCCAGAUCGUUCUUCGACAGCACUGAGAGCCCGUCUUCUAAAGUCGGGAAUCCGAAGCUCUUGCUCAUCUCCCGGCAGACAGAAAUUUCCUUGCUGUCGGGAAGACAAUACAAGAAGUCUUCUUCUCCACUGCCAUUAAAUAUUAACGCCCCCUUUGGAUAUUUCAGUUUUUGGGCAUAAUGCUGGGCCUCUUGUUCUUCUUUUUCUGAUAAUUUUUUCCCCGAAGCAUGACGGAAAAUAUAAUCACGAAUUUUGGGGGAUGCUUCGGGGGCAACAACACCGGUUUCUUCAACAAAAGUUGGCUUUGUUAUUUUUUCUGCCUCACUUUCCAAAGGUUUUCCCUUUACGGGCUCUGAGGGCCCAGCUUCGGCUUCAGCCCCUUGCUCUGGGAUUGUAGAACCAGAAGUUUCAACUGUUGUUUCAGGAGUAACAGCAGCCUUCUUCGGAGGUGUGCUCGAAGAUUUGAUCGUUUCUAGUACAUCUAGCACAUUAGCCAUUCUCUUUCUCUUCGGAGUUACGGCUGGCACUUUUUCAUUUUUUGCUGUCCCAAUGAUUGCUGUAGGACUCAAAACUUCUGAUGUUUUGGAGCCCUCAGUUGUUUCCUUUAUCUCUUCCAUUUUUUCUGUGAAUGGCGCUUCGGCCUUCUCUUUCGUUUCUGGUAACAAAAUCUUUGAUUGCUCCAAUUUUGUCUUUGUUGGCACUUCGGCCGUUUCUGCGACUUCUGGCAGCAAAGUUGGCUCGGCUGGUUUUUUAGCUUCGGUGGCCGAAGAAGUUUCUCCGGUAAACUCAGGCACCGAAGCUGGUUCAAUAUAGCGCGGCCGAUGCGUGAGAACCUUUAUCUUCUUCCUUUUCGGUUCUGGCUCGCUAGGAGCAGCUGCAGUUUCUUCUUUUGCAGAGGUUGUGUUUUUUCUUUUCUGCCUUCGGAUGGGAUAGCAAUAGUCAGGGUAGACAAACCCAAUAGCAUCAAAUACCCGAUUCAGCCUCUUCUUUUUUCGGCCUCCGAAGGCUGCUGACAUUGCAGUAUCUUCGGCCUUCGAGUAGGUACCAAGCAGCUCAUCACUUAAAUUAUCAAUGCUUUUCAACCACUCAUCAUCUGGUUCAAUAAAUUUAUCUCCAAACUUAAAAGUGUACUUAAACCUGACAAGUCCACCUUCGUCGGCCUCUUUAAUGGUUUCUUGUGGCAUUUCCCAUUUCUCUGCAAGCGGCCACACCCUGAAAGCGAUGUGCUCUUGUACUAAGUCCCUUGUUCCUAUAAAAGAACAGACAAUGCCGAAGGCUCUCUGGCAUUCUUCGGCAGCUUCAUUCAUUUCAACCUUCGGCCUGCGAAGGCCGAAGCUUUGCCAAAUAGGGCGCAUAAUUAUACCCUUGAUAUCUUCUCGUGCUUUCAGAUCAUUUUUUACAUAGAACCAUUCUGUCAUCCAGCCGCUGGGCCAUCUUUUCCGAAAAGUUGGCACGGGGCAGCUUGAUCCAGACCGAGAAACAAAAUUGUAGCAGCCAAAGUUAUUGUGAUACUGUUCCUUACCCCAAGGUAUUGUCUCGUAUGAUAAUUCGUGCAUAUUGCAGAAACUUUUUGCAUCAGGCUUCAGACCUUGGCUUCGCACGGCCCACACAAAGAUAUUCAGCCUUAUGAUUGCCUCGGGGGUAAGUUGGUGAAGAUAGACUUCAAAAAUCUUCAGCACCUCCACGACGAAGCUGCUCAAGGGCAAUCGCAGCCCAGCCUUCAAAAAGCUUCGGAACACUACGACUUCAUUCUCUUCGGGGUGUGGACAAGUCUUCUCCCCUUCGUCGGCCCUCACAACGGACAAAUCCCGGAAAUACCUUCCUCUCAUGUUAACAAGAUGAUUCUCUUUGAUAGUUGAUUUACCAUAAACUGAAUGGCUUGGUCGCCAGGGGCGAUCUUCGGAGUCUUCGCCACCGCUGUCCACAUCAUAACUUUCACUGUCACCAGUAUCUUCAGACAGCCCUUCCAGAAUCUCCUUGGUGAUUUUUUUUGUGUUGGUCUUCGACAUCGCUAUAAGAAAUCCUAAGUUCUUCUCUUCAUCAAGACUCAGCUUCAUCUCAGCAGCAGCCUUCUUAGCAGCUUCAGACAUCUUCGGAAACACUAAAAAACUGUUUUCAAAGCCGAAGCUUCAAAGCUGAAAGCUUAGCAAAUCACAGCGCACAAGAGCUAAAAAUUGAGUGAGCGGGAGUGGUUGGCCAGAAAGCGUGCAAAAUGAGUUUGCGGUAUGGCCGUAUUUAUACGCUCGGUGCAUUGAAAGUUGAAAGACCCCACUUGUCAUUGAAUGUUGCUAUUCUAGCAAAGGGAAGGUGUUUUUUCGGACCUUCGGCGUAAAGCCUUCGUCCAUAUCGCAAUCUAAAUUUAUUAUUUCAAACAAAUUAAUAUUGCGAGGGGCUACUGUUGGGGACCUUCGGCGUCCGAAGGUCCUCAAAAACAGGAUUUAACAGUAUUUCUGUAGUACAAUGUGUGAACAGGUACCCUCGGACUAAAGUCAGCAUUGCAGUAGACUGGAAUAAUACGAAGCUUGAUACAGAGCCGAAGGUGUUGAGCAGGAAAGCUUCGGCGUAACAGCAAAGAGUGGAACCGACUUAAAGAUGAAAAGGCUAUUCAGACCUCGAUAGACUACUAUAGAGUUAUUAUCAAAUGUAAAGGGCAUGAAUGUAAUUUUGUAAGGGCUGUGUCCCGUGUCUAUAAAUAGGUGAACAGUAUCCCCGUACUGUUCACGUUGACUUGGCAUUCGCUUUUUGCGUCACGCUUGUACUGUCAUUUCCUUCCGAUUGAAGGUACACUUGUAGUUCAAUAAUAUUUUUGUUUAUGCUCAAUAAUAAUAAAUGAUUGUUCAUGUUUUCUUUUACAUUCUUUAUAUUUCAUCCUUCGUCAUUGUUUGAACUUAUGAAGGUAUGACCUUCAUAACCUUCGUCCGUAAGUCAUUAUAUCCUAGGGGAAAUAAUGCUUCGGAGGACGAAGGGCGUUAACGAUUAACAUUUUCUAUGUUGCCUUGUUCUUAACUCUUAGCACUUGAGAACAAGUCCCCAACAGUUACUGAUGAUGAGAUUAUCAUCGUCCGUUCCACCCAGUUGGCAGGCCAGCCGAUAGUCCGCGAGCCACAGUUCCGGUCUCGUCUCCCCCGAGUACUUUGUGAUAGUAGUCGGGGUUCGGAACCGGUUCGGGAACGGCGCCCGUCGUAUGGCGCGGCUGAAAGCCUGCGGACCGGGUGGUUCGGGCGAAGGACUCUGAUCCUCCCCGCUGUCGUGGCGUCCCCCACGCUUGGGGUGGUAGCCCCGGCGCACCCUCUUGUCGAGGUGGGCCCGACAGCUGUGGUGAUGGUGCUCGUUGUCGAGGCGACCCGGGGCCACAGGCGCUGUGUUGCGCGUGCGCCCGGUGUGGACCGAGGCUUCCCGCAUGAAUCGGGAAGUCGCGGCGCGAUGUUCCGAGGGGUACCCCUGCCUUCGGGAGGCAGAGCUUUUGGCCCGUCGGACCGCGGCGUCCUCCAGGAGAUUCUUGAGCUCUCCCUGGAUACGCCGCCCCUCGGUGGUUGAUGGCUCCGGCAUCGCGCGGAGAAGUAUUGCCGCUGCAGCCAGGUUCUAGCCGACUCCACUGGAAACCGGUGGCGGCCUUACCCUGACGUCAUCGGCGAUGCGGUGCUGGAUGCCCUGGGGGAGAUGACGUGCUUCUCCGGCCGGAGGUUGGCCCGCCCAUUCCUGCCCGAUGUCCCGGCGGAUCGACCCAAGCGUUCCUGCUUCCUCGUCGAGCCUGGCCUGCAUCUCGCGGAUUUGCUCGAGCUGUGGGUCAGGACCCCCCACCGGAACGGGGACCACAGCUAGCUCCCGAAGGAUGUCAACGCGAGGCACGGGCCUAGGGGGAUCACCGUUCUCCGGUAUACCGAGAUGGUUGCCUUCGCCGGGACCCCCUAGAUCGACGUGGAAACAUUCGCUACUUGGGCCGCAGUCCUCGUCGUCGAGGCUGCGACUACCGUCGGAACAGUCGGAAAGGCAGUAGUUGCAUGCGGUCAUGAAGUCCGGCAUGGCAUUGGGGUUACCUAGCCCGGAGAAAUCCCAACAGAGGUCGAGCUCGCCAUCUUCCUCGGACCCCGAGGGCCCGUAGGCCGAGACGGCCGUCAGCCGGUCCCAGGGUGACCGCACACGAUACCCUAGAAGGUUUGGACUCGCCUCUAUGGGAGUGUCCACCGAAGCGGAGUUGCUUGGUGGGUCGAGGCCGAAUCCGAAAGGCGCGAGAUGGGAAUCGGUCGGUACCUUUUGGUCGACGGGCGGUGACGAAGUCACGUCAGGGACUGACUGCACCGUCGUCUCAGGUACGAGGGUGACGCCCAGCAAGUCCUUCGCGAGCGUGCUGGCGUCGUCCGUUUGCUUGAGGUUGGUGUGUUGCGGGGAGACGACGCUCGUCUUCGUCUCAGACGCGAGGUCGAUGCCCGACACGCUCUCCAUUGGGGCCGGCACCGUCAACUCGCUCGACAGCCAACGAGGUGCCACCUCCCGCUUGGCCUUGGUUGCUCCGCCUCCUCCUCCGUCGGCGGGGGAGGGGACGGGACAAGUCCGAAUGUCGUCCUUCCACCACGUGGGGAAGGCGUCGUCGAUUUCCCCGCCGGCGGGCGGGUUGUCGACCGCCAUUGUCGCUGUCACGCGGCGGGGGAAGGAGUAUCAUGUCGUAGCUGUCGUCGAGGGACAUGAACUCAAGACUCUCGAAACGGAGCACCGUCCCGGGUUGGAGAGGUUGCUGGAGACUGCCAAUCUGGAGCUUGACGGGAAGCUGUUCGUCAACACGCAGCAGGCCCCUACCUGGCGUGCCAACUGUCGGUGUUUCAAAACCCGGGGGGUCCCUGGACCGACGAGUAAAUUGUCGCCGCGUGCCCCAGCCCAGAUGGGUCGGCGCGAGGCGGAACGCGAAGGGGGGAGAGAGCAGCCGGAGGGAGACAGGCGUGGGAGGUGGAACCCGCGGCCUUCGUGUUAGCACCGCGCCCAGGUCGGGUGCGCUUGCAGUAGGGGGUUACAAGCGUCCACGCGGGAGGGAGCGAGCGGCCUUGCGCGAGCGCCGUCCCGUCCUUCCCCGCACGGCCAACCCUCUGUAAGAGGGCCCUGGACCUCCCUUUUAUAGGCGUAAGGAGAGGAUCCAGGUGUACAAUGGGGGUGUAGCAGUGUGCUAACGUGUCUAGCGGAGGAGAGCUAGCGCCCUAAGUACAUGCCAUCGUGGCAGCCGGAGAGGUCUUGGCACCCAGUUCGUGUGAUGUCGUGGCCGUCGGAGGAGCGCUGGAGCCUGGCGGAAGGACAGCUGUCGGGGCUGUCGAGUCCUUGCUGACGUCCUCUUGCUUCCGUAAGGGGGCUGAGAGUCGCCGUCGUCACAGGGCAUGCGGGGCGCCAUCAUUACUCGUAUGUGAGAGCACCUAGAGGGGGGGUGAAUAGGUGAUCCUGUGAAACUUGAAAACUUAAGCCACAAAACACAGUUAAUCGUUAGCACAAUAAUUGCCAAGUGGCUAAAGAGAUGUCUUAGCAAAACACAAUAACCACAAGAGAACAAUCACAGAGAUGACACAGUGGUUUAUCCCAUGGUUCGGCCAAGACCAAUGCUUGCCUACUCCACGUUGUGGCGUCCCAACGGACGAGAGUUGCACUCAACUCCUCUCAAGUGAUCCAAUGAUCAACUUGAAUACCACAGUGUUUUGCUUUUCUUUUCUUAUCCCGUUCGCGAGGAAUCUCCACAACUUGGAGCCUCUCGCCCUUACACUUUUGAUGUUCACAAAGAAUCACGGAGUAAGGGAGGGAUGAGCAACUCACACAAGACUCACAAAUCAGAGCAACAACACGCACACAAGUCGCAACAAGAGCUCGCAACACAACCCAAUGAGUUCACAACUCCACAAGAGCUCUAUAUGCUAUCACAAAGAAACAAAUGCGCGGAAUCGAUGACUUGGUGCUUAGGAAUGUUGUAAGUAUACUUGGUGUACUCCUCCAUGCGCCUAGGGGUCCCUUUUAUAGCCCCAAGGCAGCUAGGAGCCGUUGAGAGCAAUCUAGGAAGGCUGAUCUUGCCUUCUGUCGACUGGCGCACCAGACUGUCCGGUGCCCGAUUUCCUUCCACAAAUGGCGCAGUCGACCGUUGGCAGCCUGAGAGCCGUUGGCGCACCGGACAUGUCCGGUGCACACCGGACAGUCCGGUGCCCCCUUCUAGCCGUUGGCUCGGCCACGUGUCCCGCGCAGAUCGCGCGGCCGACCGUUGGCCCUGCCGACCGUUGGCUCACCGGACAGUCCGGUGCACACCGGACAGUCCGGUGAAUUAUAGCCGUACGUCGACGAUGAAUUCCCGAGAGCGAUGAGUUCGCCUGUGAACGGCCCACCGGACAGUCCGGUGCACCACCGGACAGUCCGGUGAAUUAUAGCCGUACACCGCCGUCGAAGUCCCGAGAGCAGCCACUUUGCUCGAGCCAGCCUGGCGCACCGGACACUGUCCGGUGCACCACCGGACAGUCCGGUGCACCCAGAUUGAGCAGUCUUUGGCUGCUCGAGCCAUCUCUUCUCCAACUCGAUUUUUUCUGUUUCCAGCACUUAGACACAAUACAUUAGUCCAUAAAACAAUGUACUAAGUCUGAGAAACAUACCUUUAUCCUUGAUUUGUACUUUGUCCACCUUUUUACACUUAGGCACUCGUGUUGGACACUAAACCACCAAAAUACUUAGAAAUGGCCCAAGGGCACAUUUCCCUUUCAAUCUCCCCCUUUUUGGUGAUUUAUGCCAACACAACAUAAAGCAAGUGGAACAAGUACAAAAUCACUCCAAAUAAGAACUCGAAUUAUUUUGAUUCAAAUUUGACAUAUAUGGAUCACUCUUUGCCACCACUUGGUUUGUUUUUGCAAAUCAAACUCAAAUUCCUAUCUCUAAGUCAAAUCCACUUGUAGAGACAUAAAGAGAGGUUUUCCAAAGGAAUUUGAUCAAGGAUUUCAACAACUCCCCCUUUUUCCCAUAAUCAACACUUCUCCUCACAAGAAGCCAACUUUUGACAAGAGAGGCAACAAAAGAGUUUUGUCAAACCAAAAACUCUAUUCUACUAUUUUCAAAAUCUCUCAAGUUUCAAAAUCUCUCAAGUGAUAGCUGAUCCAUUUAUUGCUUUGGCCUUUAUUUUCUCCCCCUUUGGCAUCAAGCACCAAAACAGGAUCAGUCUUGGCCCUAGAACCCCAUUGCCUCACCAAAAUCUUCAAUAAUAAUACAAAGGCAAUAAGAGUACAUGAGAUGAACUUGGAAUAAGUUACCCUCUCAUCGGAGUGCAGUGGAAGUCUUUCAUGGUCCAAGUCCACCUUUUCCCUUUCAAACCUCCUUCGAGACUAAAUCAUCAAACUCAAGCACAUGGUUAGUCUCAAAGGGUCAAGUUGUAACACAUCUCCCCCUAAACAUGUGCAUCACUUUGCAACGGACUUGUGAGGUCCAGGGAGUGUUUGUACAACUUGAGCACCAUUAUUAAGCGACAAUAUGCAUAAGGAACAUGAUCAAAGGCAUAAACACAAGUAUGCUAUAAAUCAAUCCAAGUUCCGCGAAUCUAAGACAUUUAGCUCACUACGCAACCUGCAAAAGGUCUUCUCAUCUAGAGGCUUGGUAAAGAUAUCGGCUAGCUGGUUCUCGGUGCUAACAUGAAACACUUCGAUAUCUCCCUUUUGCUGGUGGUCUCUCAAAAAGUGAUGCCGGAUGUCUAUGUGCUUUGUGCGGCUGUGCUCAACAGGAUUUUCCGCCAUGCGGAUAGCACUCUCAUUAUCACAUAGGAGUGGGACUUUGCUCAGAUUGUAGCCAAAGUCCCUGAGGGUUUGCCUCAUCCAAAGUUGUUGCGCGCAACACUGUCCUGCGGCAACAUACUCGGCCUCAGCGGUGGAUAGGGCAACGGAGGUUUGUUUCUUAGAAUUCCAUGACACCAGGGACCUUCCUAAGAAUUGGCAUGUCCCCGAUGUACUCUUCCUAUCGACCUUACAUCCAGCAUAGUCGGAAUCUGAAUAUCCAAUCAAGUCAAAGGUAGACCCCUUUGGAUACCAGAUCCCGAAGCAAGGCGUAGCAACUAAAUAUCUAAGGAUUCGCUUCACUGCCACUAAGUGACAUUCCUUAGGAUCGGAUUGAAAUCUAGCACACAUGCAUACACUCAGCAUAAUAUCCGGUCUACUUGCACAUAAAUAAAGUAAAGACCCUAUCAUGGACCGGUAUGCUUUUUGAUCAACGGACUUACCUCCUUUGUUGAGGUCGGUGUGUCCGUUGGUCCCCAUCGGAAUCUUUGCGGGCUUGGCGUCCUUCAUCCCAAACCGCUUCAGCAAGUCUUGCGUGUACUUCGUUUGAGAGAUGAAGGUGCCAUCCUUGAGUUGCUUCACUUGGAACCCAAGGAAGUAGUUCAACUCGCCCAUCAUCGACAUCUCGAAUUUCUGCGUCAUCACCCUGCUAAACUCUUCACAAGACUUUUUAUUAGUAGAACCAAAUAUUAUGUCAUCGACAUAAAUUUGGCACACAAAAAGAUCACCAUCACAAGUCUUAGUGAAAAGAGUUGGAUCGGCUUUCCCAACCUUGAAAGCAUUAGCAAUUAAAAAGUCUCUAAGGCAUUCAUACCAUGCUCUUGGGGCUUGCUUAAGUCCAUAGAGCGCCUUAGAGAGCUUACACACGUGGUCGGGGUACCGUUCAUCCUCGAAGCCAGGGGGUUGCUCCACGUACACUUCCUCCUUGAUCGACCCGUUGAGGAAAGCGCUCUUCACAUCCAUUUGGAACAACCUGAAAGAAUGGUGAGCGGCAUAUGCUAGCAAAAUACGAAUUGAUUCUAGCCUAGCCACAGGAGCAAACGUCUCCUCAAAGUCCAAACCUGCGACUUGGGCAUAACCUUUUGCCACAAGUCGAGCCUUGUUCCUCGUCACCACCCCGUGCUCGUCCUGUUUGUUGCGGAACACCCACUUGGUUCCCACAACAUUUUGCUUGGGACGAGGCACCAGUGUCCAAACUUCAUUGCGCUUGAAGUUGUUGAGUUCCUAAACCCUAAACCCUCUGAUACCAAGUUCCUCCUGCAUGGCCAAUACCCAAUCCGGAUCUAGCAAGGCCUCCUCUACCCUGAAAGGCUCAAUAGAAGAGACAAAGGAGUAAUGCUCACAAAAAUUAACUAAUCGAGAUCGAGUAGUUACUCCCUUGCUAAUGUCACCCAAAAUUUGGUCGACGGGAUGAUCCCUUUGAAUCACCGCUCGAACUUGGGUUGGAGGUGCCGGUUGCGCUUCUUCCUCCAUCACGUGAUCAUCUUGUGCUCCCCCUUGAUCACACGCCUCCUUUUGAUGAACUUGUUCAUCGUCUUGAGUUGGGGGAUGCACCGUUGUUGAGGAAGAAGGUUGAUCUCGUUCAUCUUGUUCCUGUGGCCGCACUUCUCCAAUCGCCAUGGUUCGUAUAGCGGCCGUCGGAACAUCUUCUUCAUCUACAUCAUCACAAUCAACAACUUGCUCUCUUGGAGAGCCAUUAGUCUCAUCAAAUACAACGUCGCUAGAGACUUCAACCAAACCCGAUGAUUUGUUGAAGACUCUAUACGCCUUUGUAUUUGAGUCAUAACCUAACAAAAACCCUUCUACAGCUUUGGGAGCAAACUUAGAAUUUCUACCCUUCUUUACUAGAAUGUAGCACUUGCUCCCAAAUACACGAAAGUAAGAUACAUUGGGUUUGUUACCGGUUAGUAGCUCAUACGAAGUCUUCUUGAGGAGGCGAUGAAGGUAGACCCUGUUGAUGGCGUGGCAAGCCGUGUUGACGGCUUCCGACCAAAAACGCUCGGGGGUCUUGAAUUCUCCAAGCAUCGUCCUCGCCAUAUCAAUUAGCGUCCUGUUCUUCCUCUCUACCACACCAUUUUGCUGUGGUGUGUAGGGAGCGGAGAACUCGUGCUUGAUCCCUUCCUCCUCAAGGAACUCCUCCACUUGAAGGUUCUUGAACUCGGACCCGUUGUCGCUCCUUAUCUUCUUCACCUUGAGCUCAAACUCAUUUUGAGCUCUCCUGAGGAAGCGCUUGAGGGUCCCUUGGGUUUCAGACUUAUCCUGCAAAAAGAACACCCAAGUGAAGCGGGAAAAGUCAUCAACAAUAACUAAACCAUACUUACUUCCUCCUAUGCUUAGAUAGGCGACGGGUCCGAAGAGGUCCAUAUGUAGCAGCUCGAGGGGUCUUGAUGUGGUCAUCACAUUCUUGCUGUGAUGCGCUCCUCCCACCUGUUUACCUGCCUGACAAGCUGCACAAGGUCUAUCUUUUUCGAAUUGUACGUUAGUCAAACCUAUCACAUGUUCUCCCUUUAGAAGCUUGUGAAGGUUCUUCAUCCCCACAUGUGCUAAGCGGCGAUGCCACAACCAGCCCAUGCUAGUCUUAGCAAUUAAGCAUGCAUCUAGACCGGCCUCUUCUUUUGCAAAAUCAACUAAGUAAAGCUUGCCGUCUAAUACACCCUUAAAGGCUAGUGAACCAUCACUUCUUCUAAAGACAGACACAUCUACAUUUGUAAAAAGACAAUUAUAUCCCAUAUUGCAUAGUUGACUAACAGAUAGCAAAUUGUAACCAAGAGACUCAACUAAAAACACAUUGGAGAUAGAGUGCUCAUUAGAAAUUGCAAUUUUACCUAACCCUUUUACCUUGCCUUGGUUCCCAUCACCGAAUAUAAUUGAAUCUUGGGAAUCCUUAUUCUUGACGUAGGAGGUGAACAUCUUCUUCUCCCCCGUCAUAUGGUUUGUGCAUCCGCUGUCGAUAAUCCAGCUUGAACCCCCAGAUGCAUAAACCUGCAAGGCAAAUUUAGGCUUGGGUCUUAGGUACCCAACUCAUGUUGGGUCCUACAAGGUUAGCGCAGAUAUCCUUAGGGACCCAAAUGCAAGUUUUGUCUCCCUUGCAUCUUGCCCCUAAUUUUCUAGCAACUAUCUUCCUAUCCUUUCUACAAAUAGCAAAGGAAGCAUUUAAAGCAUGAUAUAUUGUAGAUGGUUCAUUAACUUUCCUAGGAACAACAUUUCUCCUAGGCAUAUUAUGAACAACAUUUCUCCUAUCAACAUUUCUAUCAUGCAUAUAAGAAGAACUAGAAGCAAACAUGUCAUGAGAAUCAAAAGCAUCAUAUGCGUUACAUCUCCUAUAAGCAUUUCUAGAUUGUCUCCUAUCAUGGUACAUAAAGGUAUGGUUCUUUUGCACACUACUAGCCAUAGGGGCCUUCCCUUUCUCCUUGGCGGAGAUGGGAGCCUUAUGGCUUGUCAAGUUCUUGGCUUCCUUCUUGUAGCCAAGUCCAUCCUUAAUUGAGGGGUGUCUACCAAUUGUGUAGGCAUCCCUUGCAAAUUUUAGCUUAUCAAAAUUACUCUUGCUAGUCUUAAGUUGAGCAUUAAGACUAGCCAAUUCAUCAUUAAGUUUGGAAAUUGAAACUAGGUGUUCACUACAAGCAUCAAUGUCAAAAUCUUUACACCUAUUGCAAGUUUCAACAAUUUCUACACAAGAUGUUGAUUUACUAGCUAUUUCUAACUUAGCAUUCAAAUCAUCAUUAACACUUUUUAAUUUAGAGAUGGAUUCAUGACAAGUAGAUAAUUCACUAGAGAGCAUUUCAUUCCUUUUAAUUUCUAGAGCAAGAGAAUUUUGUGCACUAACAAAUUUAUCAUGCUCCUCAUAUAAAAGAUCCUCUUGUUUUUCUAGUAAUCUAUUCUUGUCAUUCAAAGCAUCAAUCAACUCAUUAAUCUUAUUAAUUUUAGAUCUAUCUAAUCCCUUGAAUAAGCAUGAGUAAUCUAUCUCAUCAUCAUCACUAGACUCAUCCUCACUUGAAGAAGCAUAAGUACUAGUAUCAUGAGUGCUUACUUUCUUCUCCCUUGCCAUGAGGCAAGUGUGACGCUCGUUGGGAAGAGGGAUGACUUGUUGAAGGUGGUGGCGGUGAGUCCUUCAUUGUCGGAGUCGGAGGAGGAGCAAUCCGAAUCCCACUCCUUUCCGAUAUGUGCCUCGCCCUUGGCCUUCUUGUAAUGCUUCUUCUUCUCCCUUUUGUUCCCCUUUUCUUGGUCACUUUCAUUAUCGGGACAGUUAGCAAUGAAAUGACCAAUCUUACCACAUUUGAAGCACGAGCGCUUCUCCUUUGUCUUGGUCUUGCUUGGCUGUCCCUUGCGACCUUUAAGCGCCGUCUUGAAGCGCUUAAUGAUGAGGGCCAUCUCCUCAUUAUUUAGCCCGGCCGCCUCAACUUGCGCCACCUUGCUCGGUAGCGCCUCCUUGCUCCUCGUUGCCUUGAGAGCAAUGGGUUGAGGCUCAUGAAUAGGACCGUUCAACGCGUCGUCCACAUAUCUUGCCUCCUUGAUCAUCAUUCGCCCGCUUACGAACUUCCCCAGAACUUCUUCGGGCGACAUCUUGGUGUACCUAGGAUUUUUACGAAUAUUGUUCACCAAAUGAGGAUCAAGAACGGUAAAGGACCUUAGCAUUAGGCGGACGACGUCGUAUCCGUCCAUCGCGUGCUUCCGUAGCUCCUUAUUUUGUUGAUAAGGGUCUUGAGCCGGUUGUAUGUUUGAGUUGGCUCCUCGCCCCUUAUCAUUGCGAACCGUCCAAGCUCGCCCUCCACCAACUCCAUCUUGGUGAGCAAGGUGACAUCAUUCCCCUCAUGAGAGAUCUUGAGGGUGUCCCAGAUCUGCUUGGCAUUGUCCAAGCCGCUCACCUUAUGGUACUCGUCCCUGCACAAAGAGGCUAGCAACACAGUAGUAGCUUGUGCAUUUUUAUGAAUCUGUUCAUUAAUAAACAUGGGACUAUCCGUACUAUCAAAGUGCAUUCCACUUUCUACAAUCUCCCAUAUGCUAGGAUGGAGAGAGAACAAGUGACUACGCAUUUUGUGACUCCAAAAUCCGUAGUCCUCUCCAUCAAAAUGAGGAGGUUUACCAAGUGGAAUAGAUAAUAAAUGAGCAUUAGUACUUUAAGGAAUACGAGAGUAAUCAAAAGAAAAGUUCGAAUUGACUGGUUUCUUUCUCUCGUAUUCGUUGUGGUCGUCGUCCUUUUGGGAGGAAGUAGACUCAUCGCUGUCGUAGUAGACGAUCUCCUUGAUGCGUCUUGUCUUCUUCUUCUUCCCAUCUUUGCGUCUGUGGCCCGAGCCCGAGUCGUUGGACUUGUCAUCCCUUGGCUCGUUGACGAAGGACUCCUUCUCCUUGUCGUUGAUCACGAUUCCCUUCCCUUUAGGAUCCAUCUCUUCGGGCGGUUAGUCCCUUUGUGAAGAGAACGGCUCUGAUACCAAUUGAGAGCACCUAGAGGGGGGGGUGAAUAGGUGAUCCUGUGAAACUUGAAAACUUAAGCCACAAAACACAGUUAAUCGUUAGCACAAUAAUUGCCAAGUGGCUAAAGAGAUGUCUUAGCAAAACACAAUAACCACAAGAGAACAAUCACAGAGAUGACACAGUGGUUUAUCCCAUGGUUCGGCCAAGACCAAUGCUUGCCUACUCCACGUUGUGGCGUCCCAACGGACGAGAGUUGCACUCAACUCCUCUCAAGUGAUCCAAUGAUCAACUUGAAUACCACGAUGUUUUGCUUUUCUUUUCUUAUCCCGUUCGCGAGGAAUCUCCACAACUUGGAGCCUCUCGCCCUUACACUUUUGAUGUUCACAAAGAAUCACGGAGUAAGGGAGGGAUGAGCAACUCACACAAGACUCACAAAUCAGAGCAACAACACGCACACAAGUCGCAACAAGAGCUCGUAACACAACCCAAUGAGUUCACAACUCCACAAGAGCUCUAUAUGCUAUCACAAAGAAACAAAUGCGCGGAAUCGAUGACUUGGUGCUUAGGAAUGUUGUAAGUAUACUUGGUGUACUCCUCCAUGCGCCUAGGGGUCCCUUUUAUAGCCCCAAGGCAGCUAGGAGCCGUUGAGAGCAAUCUAGGAAGGCUGAUCUUGCCUUCUGUCGACUGGCGCACCGGACUGUCCGGUGCCCGAUUUCCUUCCACAAAUGGCGCAGUCGACCGUUGGCAGCCUGAGAGCCGUUGGCGCACCGGACAUGUCCGGUGCACACCAGACAGUCCGGUGCCCCCUUCUAGCCGUUGGCUCGGCCACGUGUCCCGCGCAGAUCGCGCGGCCGACCGUUGGCCCUGCCGACCGUUGGCUCACCGGACAGUCCGGUGCACACCGGACAGUCCGGUGAAUUAUAGCCGUACGUCGACGAUGAAUUCCCGAGAGCGAUGAGUUCGCCUGUGAACGGCCCACCGGACAGUCCGGUGCACCACCGGACAGUCCGGUGCACCACCGGACAGUCCGGUGAAUUAUAGCCGUACACCGCCGUCGAAGUCCCGAGAGCAGCCACUUUGCUCGAGCCAGCCUGGCGCACCGGACACUGUCCGGUGCACCACCGGACAGUCCGGUGCACCCAGAUUGAGCAGUCUUUGGCUGCUCGAGCCAUCUCUUCUCCAACUCGAUUUUUUCUGUUUCCAGCACUUAAACACAAUACAUUAGUCCAUAAAACAAUGUACUAAGUCUGAGAAACAUACCUUUAUCCUUGAUUUGUACUUUGUCCACCUUUUUACACUUAGGCACUCGUGUUGGACACUAAACCACCAAAAUACUUAGAAAUGGCCCAAGGGCACAUUUCCCUUUCAGUAUGGUGGAGCGAGCCAGAUGGGACACCGGUCUUGUUCCCCGUAGCCUGAGUCAGCUCGGGGUAGGGUAAUGAUGGCGCCUCCUGACGACGUGGUCGGUCCGUGCCCUAGGUUGGGUGAGGUGGAGGCUCCUCCGAGGUCGAGGUCGAGUCUGUCUUCCAAGGUCGAGGUCGAGUCCGGGCCCCCGGGUCGGACAAGGCGGAGACCGUCGGCUGAGGCCGGGGCUGAGUCCGAGCCCUGGGGUCGGGCGAAGCGGAGUUCGUCGUCCUUCGGGGCUGAGCCCGAGUCCAAGCCCUUGGGUCGGGCAGAGCGGAGUUCGUCGUCUUCCGGGGCUGAGCCCGUGUCCGAGCCAUGGGGUCGGGCGAAGCGGAGUUCGUCGUCUUCCGGGGCUGAGCCCGUGUCCGAGCAAUGGGGUCGGGCGGAGCGGAAUUCGUCGUCUUCCGGGGCUGAGCCCGUGUCCGAGCCCUGGGGUCGGGCUAAGCGGAGUUCGUCGUCUUCCGGGGCUGAGCCCGUGUCCGAGCCCUGGGGUCGGGCGAAGCGGAGUUUCCUAUGACGUCUGAGGCCAGACUUGGCUGCUGUCAGCCUCACUCUGUCGAGUAGCUCAGCAGUCGGAGCGGAGCAGGCGGCGCCGUCCUCUUGUCAGACCGGUCAGUGGAGCAGCGAAGUGACUGCGGUCACUUCGGCUUUGUCGACUGGAGGGCGUGCGUCAGGAUAAAGGUGUCAGUCCACCUUUGCAUUAAAUGCCCCUGCGAUUUGGUCGGUUGGCGUGGCGAUAUGGCCAAGGUUGCUUCUUGGUGAAGACUGGGCCUCGGGCGAGCCGAAGGUGUGUCCGUUGCUGGAGGGCGAGACGUAGAUCCUCCGGGGUCGGCUGCCCUUGCUUAAGACUGGGCUCGGGCGAGGCAUGAUCGCAUCCCUCGAAUGGACCGAUCCUUGACUUAAUCGCACCAAUCAGGCCUUUGCAGCUUUGUGCUGAUGGGGGUUACCAGCUGAGAUUGAGGAGCCUUGAGGGUACCCCUAAUUAUGGUCCCCGAUAAGCACCAACUAUUUCCCCCAAAACACAGAUGAUCUUUGCAAGUGUCCUUCAAUGUAUAAAAUAAUUUAAUGAAGUAUAUCGAUGAUCUGCACCAUAGAAAUUAGAUUUUAUUUUACAAAUUAUAUUGCUUCUUAUUUGUUUGAGUCAUAUAAAAUUUUGUUAUUUUUAUUAAUUGUGUAUUUUUAUAGUUGCUUAAUGACGCGUUUGAUGAAUUUUUCCUUAAUAAAACAUCAUGUUUUUAUUCUAAAUAAAAGUAUAUAAAAAAAGUUGAUGUAGCGCUCAUGUGAUUAUAAACUAACGAUAAAGAUUAUGAAUUGCAGCAGAUAAAGACUAACGACAGUCUACAGUAUGAUCGAUAACCUAACAAUCGUUAGGCCUUGUUCGGUUUGAAUUGGAUUGAGGGUGAUUAGAGCGGAUUAAAUCGAAUUGUUAGGGUAAGUAGAUCCAGACUUAAUUGAGCCAACGUCGACUAGUCCUCUAUAGUUUACACACGGAGACGUGACGCACGUUGUUUUUCACUAGGUCCAGCCUUAAUUGCGGCGACAUCCAGUACUAGUACUAAUACACUGUAGUUGGCACACACGGAGACGUGUAUCACGUUGUUUUAUUAUUUCGAAUCAUCAUGCUCAACCUCGACAUCUUAUUCUUCAUGAGGCCGCAGUUCGUCUCCCGCUCUAUAAAUAGCUGGCCUGCUCGCUCAUCCAUCACUCACUCACUCACUCAUUCACUCACACAGCAAAUACCCACAGUCCACAGCAAGAACCGAAGAUGUUCGGAAACAUCGGAAAGAUCCCGAUCAUCGGCGACCUGACGGGCAGCAACAAGAAUGCGCACCUCAAGGGCAACCUGGUGCUCAUGCGCAAGACCGUGCUCGGCUUCGACGUCACCAGCAUCGCCGGCUCCCUCAUGGACGGCCUCGGCGAGUUCCUCGGCCGCGGCGUCACCUGCCAACUCGUCAGCUCCACCGUCGUCGACCCCAGUAAGAGAAACCGACAAAAACAAAACUAGUAGAACUACGGCUACGGGUGCUGACCCUGAGACAACCAUCGCGACGAAAACGAUGACCCAUCGAGACAACGAGCGGAUCUAGCUAGAGUCUGGACAAAUUAAGAACGGAUAAUUACUUUUAUUUACACUAAUAUGUACAGUAUGCAGUAGUAGGUACUAGUAGCAAGGAGUACAUUUUACACGCCGCUCUGAAUGAUGAUAUUGACGCUGACCCUGACGUUGACCGGCGCCGGCGUGUGCAGACAACGGGAACCGCGGGAAGGUGGGUCAGGAGGCGAGCCUGGAGCAGUGGCUGCUGCACCCGCCGCCGCUUCUGGCCGGCGAGGACCAGUUCCGCGUCACCUUCGACUGGGAGGUGGAGAAGCACGGCGUCCCGGGCGCCAUCAUCGUGAAGAACAACCACGCCUCCGAGUUCUUCCUCAAGACCAUCACCAUCGACGACGUCCCCGGCCACGGCCCCAUCGUCUUCGUCGCCAACUCAUGGGUGUACCCGCAGUACAAGUACCGCUACAACCGCGUCUUCUUCUCCAACGACGUGAGUACCCCGUCGUCCGUCUCCGUCCAUUAGCGAACCAAGGAGCAGAGCCAUCGAUCGGUUGACAUGAACACACACGCAUUCUCCUUUCUAUGCGACGUACGCACACGCAGACGUACCUCCCCAGCCAGAUGCCGGCGGCGCUGAAGCCUUACCGCGACGACGAGCUCCGCAACCUGAGGGGCGACGACCAGCAGGGCCCGUACCAGGAGCACGACCGCGUCUACCGCUACGACGUCUACAACGACCUCGGCAACCCCGACGCCAAAAACCCGCGCCCCGUCCUCGGCGGCUCCAAGCACCACCCCUACCCGCGCCGCGGCCGCACGGGCCGGAAGCCGACGCAGACAGACCCCAACAGCGAGAGCAGGCUGACGCUGACCGACGGCGACGUCUACGUGCCGCGCGACGAGCGCUUCGGCCACAUCAAGAACUCCGACUUCUACGGCUACACCAUCAAGGCGUUCGUCGACGGCCUGGUGCCCAUCCUGGAAGGCUACCUCCUCGGCAUCGAGUUCAACUCCUUCAAGGACAUCCUGCAGCUGUACGAGGGCGGUAUCAAGCUGCCCGACAUCCCCGCCCUCGAGGAGUUCCGCAAGCAGUUCCCGCUACAGAUGGUCAAGGACCUCAUGCCCGCCGGCGGCGACUACGUCCUCAAGCUCCCCAUGCCCAAAAUCAUCAAAGGUUAAUAAAUUGAAUCUCACGCUGGCUGGUGAAUCAUUAAUUUCUGGCGUCAUUAAAAUGUCUCUUACUCCUCUGUUGGGCUCCCGCGCCGCAAGCAGAGGACAAGAAAGCUUGGAUGAGUGACGAGGAGUUCGCAAGGGAGACCCUCGCCGGCGUGAACCCCUUGAUCAUCAGGCGUCUCACGGUGAGCGUGGACGUACAGUCUUGCUUGAGCAAUUGGAUGUCGACCUUAUACAAGCAGUAACAUUAUUGUCCCGGCCGGUUACAGGAGUUCCCUCCGAAAAGCACCCUUGAUCCGAGCAAGUACGGCGACCAGACGAGCACCAUCACGGAGGCGCACAUCGCGGGGAGCCUGGAGGGCCUCACCGUGCAGCAGGCGCUGGACAGCAACCGGCUCUACAUCCUGGACCACCACGACCACUACAUGCCGUUCCUGAUCGAGGUCAACAGCCUGAACGACAACUUCAUCUACGCCACCAGGACGCUCCUGUUCCUGCGCGGCGACGGCACGCUCGCGCCGGUGGCCAUCGAGAUGAGCCUCCCCGAGCUCCGGGACGGCAUCACGGCCGCGAAGAGCACGGUGUACACGCCGGCGCCGCCGACGGCCGGCGCGGAGGCGUGGGUGUGGCGCCUGGCCAAGGCCUACGUGAACGUGAACGACUACUGCUGGCACCAGGGCAUCAGCCACUGGCUCAACACGCACGCGGUGAUGGAGCCGUUCGUGAUCGCCACCAACCGGCAGCUCAGCGUGACGCACCCCGUGCACAGGCUGCUGCUGCCGCACUACCGCGACACCAUGAACAUCAACGCCCUCGCGCGCCAGAAGCUCAUCAACGCCGGCGGCAUCUUCGAGAUGACCGUCUUCCCGCGCAAGUACGCCAUCGAGAUCUCCUCCAAAGUCUACGGCAGCUGGAACUUCACCGAGCAGGCCCUCCCCGACGACCUCAUCAAGCGGUAAUUAUAUAUUAAACUGAUCCACGACACUGGCCUCGAUCACUGCAGUGCAGGCUAUCGUCCGUCCAGCAGCAGCAACAGCUAAAAAAAAAAUUAACAAUCGUGCUGCUGCUCUGCUUCAUGCAAUGCAGAGGCAUGGCCGUUCCAGAUCCGUCGAGCCCCUACAAGGUGCGGCUGCUGAUCGAGGACUACCCGUACGCCUCGGACGGGCUGGCCGUGUGGCACGCCAUCGAGCAGUGGGUGACGGAGUACCUGGCCAUCUACUACCCCAACGACGGCGUGCUGCAGGCCGACGUGGAGCUGCAGGCGUGGUGGAAGGAGGCGCGCGAGGUCGGGCACGCCGACCUCAAGGACGAGCACUGGUGGCCCAAGAUGCAGACGGUGCCGGAGCUCGUGAAGGCCUGCACCACCAUCAUCUGGAUCGCGUCGGCGCUACACGCUGCCGUCAACUUCGGGCAGUACCCGUACUGCGGGUACCACCCGAACCGGCCGUCCGUGAGCCGGCGGCCCAUGCCGGUGCCGGGCUCCGACGCGUACAAGGAGCUGGAGAAGAACCCGGAGAAGUUCUUCGUGCGCUCCAUCACCGCCCAAUUCCAGGCCGUCGUCGGCAUCUCGCUGCUGGAGAUCCUGUCCAGCCACUCCUCCGACGAGGUGUACCUCGGCCAGCGCGACACCAAGGAGUGGACGUCGGACGCCAAGGCGCAGGAGGCGUUCAAGCGGUUCGGCGCGCGGCUGACCGAGAUCGAGAAACGCGUGGAGGCCAUGAACAAGGACCCGCGCUUCAAGAACCGCUACAGCGCGGCCCAGUUCCCCUACACCCUGCUCUUCCCCAACACCUCCGACAAGGGCGAUAACACCGGCGUCACCGCCAAGGGCAUCCCCAACAGCAUUUCCAUCUGAUUCGAUCGAGUCCUGGCCAGCGUUUCACCCAAAAAAGCAGAGCUAGCGGUGAUUCCCGUAUGUCAUCCGUUUCAUUUUUUACAUGAAUGAGAAGCGUGGUAAUAAAAAGGUUUGUAGUUGCGUGCGCGCCGUGUAUUCCUUGGUGUACUGGUGCUGGCGGUAACCACUUAUUACCAGGGAUCCUUGUAAUUUUUCCUGUUGGUUUCCCAAUAAUAAUGUGAAUAUAUUGGUCACAUGCAUGGUGUUUCCAAGGAUUUUUUAGCUAAUUACUUUUUUAUGUUUUGAACCAAUCAGUUGUCCGUAUUUUAUUACAGUUGUUAUAUAUCAUAUAAAUAGAUAUUGAGAUAUUUAUUCAAAUACAAUUAUUAUUUAUUUUUAAAUAAUAAGUUACGUGUGGUCUGAUGGUUAGCCCUAAAAUUCUGCAGAGGGGUGUGGGUUCGAGUGCUCCCUCUACACUAUUUUUUUGCGCGGUGUGAUUGCUGCGCGGACGGGGUCGGGCGCCUGGCCGCGCCGCAGUAGCCGGCGGCGAAACCAGUCAGGGGAUGUGUGGGACGGGUCCAGAGUAUCAUCGCCGAGAGACCCCAGCGCCUGCAAGGACGCUGGGCAUGGGGCCCACAAGGCACGGCACCAAGGCGAGGCGCGUGGGGCGAGCCAGAGUAUCAGCGUGUAAGGUGAAGUCGUGGUAGCACCAUAUAUGCACAUUAAGUUCUUAAUAAAGUAGUAUAAAUUACAAGUUAUUUUCAUUUUUUAAUAUAUAGUUCUUAUAUAUAAAAAAUCUAUGUAUCUAAAAAAACCUAUAUCUUUUGAACGGAGUAGAAUUUAAAUCAACUUAGGACCCUAUGGUGUACCAACACAUGAAAAAGUAUAGACUCAAAUCUUAUGAGCCAUAAGCAUUAGACCUAUAUAUAUAUAUAUAUAUAUAUAUAUAUAUAUAUAUAUAUAUAUAUAUAUAUAUAUAUAUAUAUAUAUAUAUAUAUAUACGAUAUACGGUGGCACUAAAAUGCACCUGGGUGCAUUCUCUAUAUUGAAUGCACCCAGGGUGCAAUAACACCCGAGCACGCCUUCCCAUAAGAGCACGCCCUCGACUCUCCUGUACGCACGCCUCCCUGCUCCCCGCCGCGAGUAUCCUCUAAUUGCAAACUUGAGUCUCUGUUUUUACUCCUUGAUUACCAUUGCAUGCUGUGUUGUUACUCCAGUUGCAACGUUUGUUGCUUGUUGAUUGCAACUAUGUGUAUCCGCUAAUUGCAAACUCAUGAUUGCGUGUUGUUCUGCAAGAUGCAAACAUACUUGAUGUGUUUGUUCCCAGGGUGCGGCAAACAUUUGAUACAAGGGAAGAAGCCUACCUCUUUUACCUUGAUUAUGCAAAGUUGGCUGGUUUUAGUGUCAGGACAAAGAGUUGUAAUUGCAACUGCUGGUGUGGUGUGAUUGCAACCCCGCAUUAGGUGUGAUUGCAACUGCUGUAUAAUUCUACCCAAAUAUCUGUUAAAAAAAUGUAAACAAAAUGAUUGCAACUGCUGGUGUGUUGUAAUUGUAAAUACUGGUGUGGUGUGGAUGCAACUGCUGAGUUGCUCUAAUGUGAUUGCAAGUACUGAAUAACUCUGGGAAAUUUUGUUAAAAAAUAUGAUUGCAACUGCUGGUCUGGUGUAAUUGCAACUGCCGGUCUGGUGUGAUUGCAACUUCUAUAUAACUAGAUGCAACUGCUGGUCUGGUUCGAAAAUUGUAGCAUUCUAUCGGGAGCGUGCGGGAGAGACGAAGACGAAGCGUCAGUUCAGCCUAGGUGGGGCGGUUGGCUCGUACCAGGUGCUCCUGGCGCGUAGGUUCGGCCUGGGUGCAUUCUCUAUAUUGAAUGCAUCCAGGUGUAAUAUAUAAAUACAGUAUAUAUAUAUAUAUAUAUGUGUGUGUGUGUGUGUGUGUGGAGCCCUGGGCUUCCAAUAGCACGGCGAAAGCCCUGGCCCGAUGUUGCCAACCGGUUCAGCCACACCAGGUCCGAAGCGUCUAUAAAAGAAGCUCUAGAUCGCUAGGGUUCAGUUUUAGCGACACCGACAGUUACGCCCCAACCCUGAAACGCGCGCGCGACGGCGGAUCCUGGGAGCAAGUGCACGAUAGCGGAUCUGAGGGACACGCUCGCGAUGGUGGGUCGAGGGACACGCUCGCGGCGGUGGAUCCCUGAGACCAGCAUGCGGCGAUGGGCCCCCUGAGGCGCGCACGACGGCGAGGUGGGAGCGGCUGUGGCAUCGAAUCCCGAGGGCACGCACGCGGCGGCGGCGGCCUCAUGAGGUGUGCACGACAGUGAGGUGGAGCCACGACGACGGAUCCCGAGGGACACGAGCGCGGCAGCGUCUCCCUGAGGUGCACGCGACAGCGACCCCUUGAGUUGCGCAUGACGGUGAGAUGGGAGCGGCUGCAGCGGCGCGACGGCGGAUCUCAGGGGCACGUGAGCAACGACGACACCCCUAAGGCGUGCAUGACGAUGAGGUGGGAGUGGCUGAUGCGACGGAUCUCCGGAUGCACUCGCACGAGGGUCGACCCCUGAACGCGUACGACUACAAUGUCAUCCAAGGUGGGAGCGACGAUGGCAGACUUCCCUAGGCGUGAGCGACGACGACAGCCUCCCCUAGACACGAAGUGGUGGCGCAUCCUAGAUGCGAGGCGGCGGUUUCGCAGGGCUGUGGUCCUAUUUUUAUACUAUUUUGUAUACAUAUUUAUGGCAAUUGUGGGGGAUGGAUAUCCCCCGGGUCCACUAAAAGAGUAAAAGACCUCACGAAAGGCCCAAGGGCCCAAUAAAUCGUAAGGUCAUUCUUUCGUGGGCCUGGGGAGAGACAACCAGCAAAGCAGAUCGACAUGAGGCCGGAUUGGUGCAAACCCGGACGACCCACAACGUCGAGCGAGUAACCACAACAGAGAUCCGAUUUUCCGCGCUGGAGCCCCCAUGCAACGGAGCCAUGCGAGGAUAAGUCGGCAGAACUACAAGGAGAUAAACUCGAGCAGUUCACUAUAUUUUAGCUACACAUUGUUAUCAUAUCCACAUGUAUGGCCCUACGCUCGAGUAUAUAAGGCCUAGGGGGCACCCCUUCAGAACGAUCGACCCUAUUACGUAGCCACCCACACCAACUCUCUGCACUCUCAAUUCAGAAGAGCUCUCUUGUAACCUUGUCCACCAAGCAUACUCACCAGGACGUAGGGUGUUACGCAUCUCUAAGCGGCCCGAACCUGUAAACCUUGUCCACUGACCCUCGUGCAAUCGGCACGAACCAUUUUGCUACAGUUGUCGACACCGUCCUACUCCUAAAAACACCUUGAGGGGCAACCCCGGGUGUGCGGUCGGACCCAAAACACCGACAGCUGGCGCGCCAGGUAGGGGGUGUGUUGACGAUCCAAGCUAGCUCAAUGGCCGUCACCUUCUACAGCAAGAUCACCCUUCGUCCCGGAUCCGUAUUCUGCUUCGGAACAAUCUCAUCCGUAGCAGACGAAAAGGGAACUCUACACCGCAUUGCGGAUCCACCUGAAAAGAAGUUUCCUCCAACAAACUCCGAAAAUGUCGGAGAAGCGCAACCUCCAGCUCUCCGGAAAAAGAUCGUCUCCGGAAAGUCGGGGGCCAAGGGCCCGCAGACCCGGAGAACUCCACUGUCUACUUCCCCGACAAGAGAAUGGACACAGAUCGCAAGGAAAAAAGAAACCAAGGGGAAGCAAGUUGUUCUUUCCGUUCCUCCGCCCUCAAAGGAGAACGGAAAGAAGGUCGCCACGACAGCAGUACCAUUCUAUCCCGACGUCCUCUUCAUCGGGAGAGCGGAGUCACCCACCGUCUCCGACGACGAGCCGACCGCACCCGGAGAAGAACCGCCUCAACGAGAAUCCCGCCGACGGAGGAACCGGCGCAUGAACGUUCGACGACACCACGCGGCCGGAGAACGGGAUCCGGAGCAACCUGUCUCGCGAGACGAGGUCUCGGAGAUAGGAGAAACUCCAGAAGAACGUGUCUUCAGAGAACGAAGAAACUCCCGACAACGUGAUCGCCGACGGGCUCAGGAACAAGCCGAGCAAGACGCAAGGCAACGCCGGGAGAAUCCAUUCUUCGGGCGCAACCUGAACCCCGACUUCGCCCGAGCCAUGAACAUGCCGAGCGAAGUCGGAGGAGUACUAGCUCGAAUAGCCGAUGGACUCCCUCGGACUCCUGACGCCGAGGGCUACCGACGACUGUUCACCCAGGCGGCCAACCAUCUUCUACCGCUUGCUCACCCGCCGAACGAUCUACGACACGCCAUCAACAGUCGUCGAGACGCGCGAAGCUCCAUCAAUGCUUCGCGUGAACGGCGGCAUGAGAACGAAAUCCGCCGCCGGGAGGAGUACGACAGGGAUCAUGGCAUCCCAGCUCGGAGCCAGGCCACCAGAACUGAGUCGGCAACGGCCUCAACAGGCGGUACCACCCGGGGACGGUCGAGGAACCACAACAAUUACUCCCCUCCUCGGGACAGACAUCAUCCCCGACGACAGGAGGACACAUGCGGAGUGUCUGCUCUUACUCCGCGCCUUAGGGCCAUCCAAUGGCCUCCAAACUUCAAGGUAUCCAAUGUCGACAAAUAUGAACCUAAGCAGGAUCCAGGGGGUUGGCUAGCCGUCUACACCACCACUGCUCGAGCUGCCGGGGCGUCCGAAGACGUGAUGACCGCGUACUUACCCAUUGUCCUUGGGCAAGACGCGCUGCAAUGGCUGCGACAUCUACCCCGACACUGCAUCGACAACUGAGGGGACUUCAGUCGACGCUUCACCGCCAAUUUCCAGUCCCUCUCCGACAAACCGGCGCAACCAUGGGACCUCAAAUCCAUCAAGCGCCGGGGGACGAAACUCUCCGGUUGUACCUCAAAAGGUUCCAGACCAUGAGAAAUCGUAUCCCUGAGGUCACGGAGGCGGCCGUGAUCGAGGACUUCUACAGAGGAUCCAAUGACUCGGCUUUCGUCCGAGCCAUACUACAGAAGGCGCCGACUACCUCCGAGGAGCUGUUCCGGGAAGCCGACCUCUACAUCACCGCUGACGAGCGGGCCCAGAACCUCGUCGGAGCAGCAAAGCCCGCGCCGGCAGCACCACGACGCGACGCGAACCAGCAACCCGACAAACGAUGGGAGAAGAGGCCUCGCGAAGAGGUACACGCCGCCGGACCACCUGCCUCUCGCACCUGAGGAGGACCUCGUGGAGGCGAGCGCACGCUGGACGACAUCCUCGACGCCCAGUGCCCGUACCAUAAAGACAUGCGCCACACUCUUCGUAACUGCCGGGACUUCAAGCACUCCGUCGGGCACGGCCGACCCUUCCAACCUCUACCUCCUCCUCCGCCGAGGGGAGGACCAGAUGAACCACGACAACCCCAUCAGCAGGAGGAGGGAGGAGGAGGAGCUUUCCCGCGCGUUGACAGGGAGGUCAACGUCAUUUUCGGUGGACACGGGUCGCAGGAGAACAAAAGGCAACAAAAGCUCAACGACCGCCAGAUACUGGUGGCGACCACCGGUCCUCCCGCCCCAUACCGGUGGUCGGAGCACCCGAUCACCUUCACUCGGGAAGAUCAAUGGCUCAACUUCGACCAUCCAGGCAAAUACCCGCUCCUCGUCGAUCCGGUGAUCCGAGAGAGCCGGGUGAAGAAGGUGCUAGUGGACGAGGGGAGCAGCAUCAACGUCACCUUCCCCCGGACACUCCAAGGCUUGGGAGUUCACCUCAAAGAGCUCCACGAGUCGGACACUCCUUUCUUCGGCAUCGUGCCGACGAAAGGGGAAUACCCGCUGGGCCACAUCUACAUGCCGGUCACCUUCGGAACUCUGGAGAACUACAGAACCGAGUUCCUGAGGUUCGAAGUGGCGAACUUCGACUGCGGGUACAACGCCAUCAUCGGGAGGCCGGGAUUGGCCAAAUUCAUGGUCAUUCCACAUUACACAUACAUGAUACUGAAGAUGCCAGGACCGCAAGGAAUCAUAACUGUGCGCGCCGACUUCCAAGGCGCCGCAGAGUGUUUCCGAGUGGCCAUUCAAGCAGCCCUCACCACCAAGCCGUCGACGGUCUCUUCAGCACAGGCGGACUCUAAGCCUGAGGAGGACCUCGCGGUACCGACAAACGAAGCUCAGGCCGCGACCUCUAUGCGGCCGACUGAAGAAACCAAGAGGAUCAACCUGGGGUUCGCUGAUGAACGCAAGACUGCCGUCAUCAGCUCCAGCCUGGACGACAAAUAGGAAAGCGCGCUCGUCCAGUUUCUGCAAGAUAACCGAGAUGUAUUCGCAUGGCAACCUGCGGAUAUGCCGGGAGUCCCAAGAGAACUGGCCGAGCACAAACUGAAGGUCUAUCCCCAGGCAAGGCCGAUUCGGCAAAAGCUACGUCGUUUCACGCCCGACAAGAGAGAGGCCAUUCGCGCCGAGUUAGCUCGCUUGGUCGCGGCUGGAUUUAUUAGAGAGGUGUUACACCCCGAGUGGUUGGCCAACCCUGUUCUUGUACUCAAAAAGAAUAAAGUGGAUUGGCGCAUGUGCGUCGACUAUACUGAUCUCAACAAACACUGUCCGAAGGAUCCCUUCGGGCUCCCAAGGAUAGAUCAGGUGGUGGACUCCACCGCUGGAUGUUCUGUGCUAUCUUUCUUGGAUUGCUAUUCCGGAUACCACCAGAUUAGUUUGGCGAAGGAAGACGAGGAAAAAACGACGUUCAUCACUCUGUUUGGUGCUUUCUGUUAUACCUCCAUGUCGUUCGGCCUCAAAAACGCUGGAGCGACUUAUCAGAGAGCCAUCCAAAUGUGCUUAGCCGAUCACUGGGGCAAGCGUGUGGAGGCCUACGUAGAUGAUGUGGUAAUCAAAACGGAGAAUUCGGAAAACUUCAUCGAAGACUUACAGCUGGUUUUCAACAGUCUGAGACGAUAUAGAUGGAAGCUUAAUCCCGAAAAGUGUGUUUUCGGGGUACCAGCAGGAAAGUUACUCGGGUUUAUUGUCAGCCACCGGGGAAUUGAGGCUAAUCCGGAUAAGAUUGAAGCUAUCAUGAAGAUGGAAGCACCUCGAUCACAAAAGAAGGUUCAGCGACUUACUGGGUGUAUGGCAGCUCUGAGCAGAUUUAUAUCCAGGCUGGGGGAAAAAGGUUUGCCAUUUUACAAACUACUCAAGAAGGUGGAUAAGUUUCAGUGGACUUCAGAAGCACAGGGGGCUCUAGAUGCACUGAAGAAAUUCUUGACAACACCACCAGUACUGAAGCCACCCCGACGAGCUACGUCAACUCAACCAGCUGAAGAUCUGCUACUGUAUAUCUCUUGCACGACUCAUGUGGUAAGCACCGCGUUGGUAGUCGAGCGAGCAGAGGAAGGACAUGCCUACCCAGUACAACAUCAUGUUUACUUCAUCAGUGAAGUUCUAGGCCCCUCAAAGAAAAAGUAUCCUCAAGUUCAGAAGCUAUUAUACGCAGUACUUCUAACUGCCCGCAAGCUACGUCACUACUUUGAUGACCACAAAGUCAUAGUAGUCACUGGUUUUCCAAUAGGGGAUAUUCUUCAUAACAAGGAGGCCAUUGGCCGAAUAGCCAAGUGGGCUUGCGAGCUGGGAUCUCAUGACAUCGAGUUUCGACCUCGCACUGCCAUCAAAACUCAAGCACUGGUUGAUUUCGUAUCUGAGUGGACUGAACAGCAAGUACUAGAUAAUCCAGAGACUGUAGAAGUAUGGCGAAUGUAUUUUGACGGCUCGCUGAGGCUGCAGGGAGCAGGAGCAGGGAUUCUCUUCACCGCACCUAGAGGCGAGCACCUCAAAUAUGCCCUCCAGUUGCUGUUUCCGGCCUCCAAUAAUGCAGCCGAGUAUGAAGCUUUGAUCCACGGAUUGAACAUCGCCGUAUCAUUGGGCAUCAAGAGACUGAUGGUAUACGGAGACUCUCUGGUAGUCAUUAGCCAGAUAAACAAAGAGUGGGAUUGUUCAAGUGAUUCAAUGGGAAAAUACUGCACCGCCGUCCGGAAGCUGGAAGAUAAAUUUGAGGGCCUGGAAUUUCAUCACGUAGAAAGAGAUCGGAACACAGCAGCCGAUGUAUUGUCCAAGCUAGGAUCCAGUCGAACUCAGGUCCCAUCUGGAGUCUUCGUGCAAGAAAUACUACAUCCAAGCAUCUCAGUGGAUCAAGCAGAAGAGUGCAACAUUAUAGAUCAACCUGAGUCAGACUCUGAUGACUGGAGAAGGCCAAUUAUCAAGUACAUAAAGAAUGAAGAAGAACCAGAUGACAAGAACUCAGCUGAGCGCAUUGCCAGACAGUCGGUUCACUACACACUCAUUGGGGAGACAUUGUACAGAAGGGGUGCGUCGGGCGCCCUCAUGAAGUGCAUUCCCUCAUCUGCUGGGAAGCAACUUCUGGAGGAGGUCCAUGAUGGGCAAUGUGGAAUACAUGCAGCCUCCAGAACACUAGUCGGGAAGGUCUUCAAGUCAGGAUUCUAUUGGCCAACAACAAAGAAUGAUGCAGCAGAGUUAGUUCAGAGGUGCGAAGCUUGCCAAUACUUGUCAAAGCAACAACAUCUGCCGGCACAGCAAUUGCAGACCAUACCAGUAACUUGGCCUUUCGCAUGCUGGGGACUGGAUAUGAUUGGACCUUUCAAGAAAGCUCAAGGAGGAUACACUCAUGUAUUGGUAGCAAUCGACAAAUUCACUAAAUGGAUAGAGUUCAAGCCCAUUGCUUCUUUAACCUCUGCUAAGGCCGUGGAAUUCAUACAAGACAUAAUAUUCAGAUUCGGGAUACCAAACAGCAUCAUAACCGACUUAGGAUCCAACUUCACAAGUUCAGAGUUCUUCGACUUCUGCGAGCAAAAGAGCAUUCAGAUCAAGUAUGCAUCUGUAGCACACCCAAGAGCCAACGGGCAGGUUGAGCGAGCUAACGGGAUGAUACUAGAGGCACUCAGGAAAAAGGUUUUCGAUAAGAAUGAAAAAUUCGCAGGAAAGUGGAUAAGGGAGUUGCCCUAUGUCGUUUGGAGCCUAAGAACCCAACCUAGCCGAGCUCUGCAUGGAAAUACUCCUUUCUUCAUGGUCUAUGGUUCGGAGGCAGUGCUGCCCGCUGAUCUCAAGUUCGGGGCGCCAAGGUUGAUCUUCAAAAACAUAGCAGAAGUCGAGGCCACCAGGCUGGAGGACAUUGAUGUACUUGAAGAAGAACGACUGAAUGCGGUAAUCCAAUCAGCACGGUACCAGCAGACUCUAAGACGCUAUCACGACAAGGUUGUGCGACAGCGAUCCUUCUCAGUAGGAGAUCUCGACCUCCGCCGAAUUCUAACGGGGGAGGGACGGCACAAGUUAUCGCCCUUAUGGGAAGGACCCUUCAUAGUAGCAGAAGUCACUCGGCCCGGAUCAUAUCGCCUCACUCAGAUGGAUGGCACAGAAGUCGGGAACUCCUGGAACAUAGAACACCUCAGGAAGUUUUAUCCCUAGCUGUAUCUCAAAAAGCUAUCAGGACGACGAUGUAUUCUGUAAAGUGGAAAUAUGUCAUCAAUAAAAAAGAUGUUUCAAAGAUACUCAAUUUGUUCACGACUGACUUGCAUUCUUACUUAACUUGGGGUGACCACUAUGCCCUGCUAACGGAGCAAUCGACUUAACUCGGCAACGACUUAAGGCGGUGCGACAUGCUCACGCUUACUUAACUCGGGGUGACCACUAUGCCCUGCUAACGGAGCAAUCGGCUUAAGUCGGAAACGACUUAAGGCGGUGCGACAUGCUCACGCUUACUUAACUCGGGGUGACCACUAUGCCCUGCUAACGGAGCAAUCGGCUUAAGUCGGAAACGACUUAAGGCGGUGCGACAUGCUCACGCUUACUUAACUCGGGGUGACCUCUAUGCCCUACGAACGGAGCAAUCGGCUUAAGUCGGCAACGACUUAAGGCGGUGCGACAUGCUCACGCUUACUUAACUCGGGGUGACCACUAUGCCCUACUAACGGAGCAAUCGGCUAAAGUCAGUGGCGACUUAAGCCGAUGCAACAUGCUCACGACUACACAAUUCAGGGUGACCACUACGUCCUAUUAACAAAAGCAAGCGACUUAAGUCAGCAGCGACUUAAAGCGAUCCGACGAGAUUACAAUUACUCAUAUAAGGAUGACUUCUAUAUCCCGCAAACGAAUUUCAUAACCAUCGCGCUUUGUUUUACUACUGCAAAUUCACGGACUGAUGAAUUCUGAGACAAUACGGGAAUAACAAUGUCGUUUAAGUACUAAAAUGACGUCCUCUAAAUGUCUGACCAUGCUAACCGCGCGCUCAGAGCACGCAAAACGUUUCUCUACUUGGUGAUAUUUUUCUCAGGAGCGAUCGACGAGGAAGGACGACUCGAGGAAUCAGGGGCAGCGUUCACAUCAGCCCUUAUAUCUUCAGGAACAACCACGCCGGGUCUCCUCAUCAAGAUUCGCCCCGCCCGAAUAGCCUUGUCCAUGGCUCUGUCGCGCUGGGCUCUGAGAGUAACAGAAGUUUCUUCGGCAACCUUGGCAGCCAGUCGAGCAGUUUCUAACUCCUGGACAAUGGAUUUCUUGGAAGCUCGGAGUUCUUUGAUGGUAGCGUCCUUCGCUGAUAUCAGCUGCCUGAGACGGGUCACUUCAUCCGCGGAUUCCUGCAGCUUACAGCGUUGAUUGUCCAAUUCUUCCAUAGUAAAGCGGUGACUCCUCUCCAAGAUGGUCAGCGAGUUACUAGAAUCAUGAUACAAUCUGUCAAGACUUUCACGAGAAGCAGCAAGGAUACGUUUUUCUUCCUGCAAGCAAAAGUCAACCCCCUCAAAAACCGAGCAAGUAAUAGGAACACAACAAGGCAAAGCACAGUUUUGUAAAUCACCUUCUCAGAAUUGAGCUGAGCAUGAAGAGAAGAACUCAGCGCAUUGGGGUCAUCCAAGGCAGCGGAGACCUGACCCAGUUCAGUUUGGCUCUGAGAGUACUUUUCCUCAAAAUCGGUACACCGCUGGACCAAUUCAGCCUGAUCUCGGGAAUGCUUUUCCUCAAGAGUUGAAAUCUGCCGAGUUAUUCCUGGAAGGAGAUAAUCAAACAAAAAGGGGUAAGAAUAUAAAGCAGUCCACAGUGAAGGCAAAGAGAAGCAAAAAAGCACUAACCAGCGUUGGUUGCCUCCAAUUCAGAGACGCGACGUUGAAGUGACACUGGAUUCCAACAUGCAAGAGACGAAGCUACUUCUGGGACAGAAGCACCCUGUAGCCUCAGCUGGCUAGCCAUCCCAUCCACCAAAGCCUGAUGAGGAGAACAGAUGAGUGUAAUGACAGCAGUUCAUGCAAUGUGAAAAUCAAGCUAAAAUGCAUCACCGUACCUGAAGGUUGGAAAAGAACGAAGGGAUCCCCAAAUCAGGAGAGAUCAAUUGAUAACCAGGUGUAAGGCCACCGCCCGAAGCAGCUUGCAACAAACCAGCAGAAACCAGCUCGGUACCAUCAACAGAGCUCAACACUCGGUCAGCGGGGACGCUGCCCUCUAAAGCGACUCCAUGGUCCAAGGUUUGGGCUACCACCAUACAGCCAGAGUGUGGAGGAGAUCCCGCAUGAACGUCCAUGGAAGUACAGGAGGGAGACCCCGCUCGGGCACCCUCGGGGGCUGGGUCAUAGUUUGCACUGCCCACUUGAGUUGGAUCAUCCCCGGCAGCACCCUCGGGGGCUGGGCAGUGGCUUACACUCCCCACCCGAGCCAAGUCAUCCCCGGCGACAUCCUCGGGGGCUGGGCAUGUGUCAGCACCAUCCUUGGGGUCCAAGUUCUCUGCAGUAGCCACCUCUAAGGUUGACGGGCCCUCAGCUACUUCCAUAGGACCAGGACGAUCCAAGUCAGUCUCCCGACCCUCGAGAUCGCGCUCUAAGGUCGACGAGGCACAGGAUGACCUCAACCCAGCAUCAGGCACGUCAGCGCAAACCUCCAUUACACCAUCAUCCACUGGCUCUGAUAACAAGUCCUCUAGGACCAUAUCCUCAAGAGUCUGAUCAAAGUUGGCCAGGGACAGUUCUUGUAGACCAAUGAGGGCAGACAAAGCAGGAGAUGGAACUCCACUACUUUCACCGCUGGCGAUGAACUGCCGACUGUUUUUCCGAGUCAAAGGAAUUUCAUUUUCUUCCUCCUCGUCAUCCACGUUGGCAACACAAGCAGCACCCCCAUUGGGAUCAGCAACAGAUGGAGCACCCACAUCGGGAUCAGUAGCGGGUUGGGUACACCCAUUGGGAUCAGCAUCAGCAAAGUUAGUCACUGGCAUUCCUUCAACGGUAGGAACCGAGGUACCGACAUCCCGAUCCAAACUGGAUACUCGCUGAAGGCGUCUCUUUUUCUUUUUCUGCUCAUCAGCAGAAGGAUCAGGUUGAUUGGCUCGGCAAGGGCGCCUCGGGCGAGUACUGACAGGCUUCUGAGUAUCCAAAGUUGUAUCAGCCUCUGUGAGGGGCGCCACUACCAACACCCCAGCAGGAGCAGCGUCGGAAGAAUCCUCAGCCAGCAAAUCAAGCAUAGCGCUUAUCUCUGCAUCACUAGGGUUCAAGGGCACCUCAAAAUGGACCUGCCGUUCAUCAUCAGGAAUCUCCCCAAGUGAGGCAACCAAGGCACUAACUUCUUCAGCAGAGGGUCGCACUCUAAGGCCCAAACUGCCAUCAUUGACAGGUGGGUUCGACACAAAAGGGUGAAGGCUUUGGGAGGAGGCAGGUUCCAGGCCGAGUAUGCCACUGGAGCACCAGCAUUUGACACUUUGCCCCUAAGGAUCAUCUCAAGUCGGCUUACCAAGUCUGUAGAGGAAAUUCUUCUGUUGGUAACCCGAGUUGAGUCGGCUAGCCCUCGAUACAGAUAAGCUGGGUAUGCCCUGUCUUUCAAUGGAUGAAUAUUCUUGAAAACAAAAUCAGUAACCACGGCUUCAGCUGUCAGACCCCUCUCUUUCAGCAGUCCAACUUAAGCUAGCAACACACCUGCCUCAGCUACCUCCUGAUCUGUGGGAGACUCAGUCCAGCUUGGGGUGCGAACGUCCGGCUGUCUUCCCGACCGGGAGGGGAGGGAAUUCCCAUAAUUCUCAACUACGAACCACUCCAAGCACCAUCCCUUGAUACUGUCCUUGAGAGGGGUCUCGAGAUAUUCAGUCUUCCUCCCGUGGCGCAUCUCUAAGCUGGCACCCCCAACCAACUGAUGUUGUCCCCCGGCCAUCCCAGGGUGACAAUGAUACAAGUAUUUCCACAAACCGAAAUGCGGCAGCACGCCAAGAAAGGCCUCGCAUAAAUGAACAAAAAUGGAGAUUUGCAGGAUAGAAUUGGGGUUCAAAUGGGUCAAGUUAAGAUGGUAGAAAUCAAGGAGGCCGCGAAAAAAGGGAGAAAUGGGAAGGCCAAGGCCGCGGAGAAGGAAAGGGGCAUAGACAAUGGACUCAUGGGUAUCCUCAGUUGGAACAGUAAACCCAUGGCAAAUCCGCCAAGAACAGAGUUCCCGCGGAGGAAGAACCCUGAUAGACAUCGUUCAGGCUGUUGGGGUCAUGUGGUUACCUGCGAAAGGCAACUGGCUGUUGGGGUCGAUUGGAGGAAUCACCACAGCAGACGAACUCGAGUUUUUCCUCUUAGGCGCCAUCUCGAUUCUAUCGGCGAGCAGAGUGGAAGGCGAAUUGCAGAGGGGAUUUGGAAGCCAGAAAGCAAGAACUAGGGCAUGGAAAGCAGAGGCGGCUAAAAGCACAGCACUUAUGGGAUAUUCCCGAGCCAGAUACCGUUUCAAAAAGUGCCCAGUCAGCACCCGGCGGUUAUUUCCAAAACACUGCUGUGCCACGUGGUCACCCGGCGGUUAUUUCCAGAACACCGGUGCGCCACCUCAUCACUCGGCUAUCAUCCUCAAAGUGGCUCGCGUGGCCUGCUAUCACUCCGCGUUGCCUCCAAAACGCUGAUAUCGUGUUCAGUCGCUCGGCAUUACCUCUAAAAUGCUGACGUCGCUUUCCAAUCACUCGGCGUUGCCUCUAAAACACUGAUAUAGUGUUCAGUCGCUCGGCGUUGCCUCUAAAACGCUGACGUCGCCCUCCAGUCGCUCGGCGUUACCUCUAAAACGCUGAUAUCGUAUUCAGUCGCUCGGCGUUGCCUCUAAAACGCUGACGUCGCCCUCUAGUCGCUCGGCGUUACCUCUAAAACGCUGAUAUCUUAUUCAGUCGCUCGGUGUUACCUCUAAAACGCUGACGUCGCCCUCUGACAUCGUCUCAAGUCGCUCGGCAGUUAUCUCUAAAACUCUGACAUUGUGUUCGGUCACUCCGCAGUUACCUCUAAAGCGCCAACGCCGACUACAAGUUACUCGGCAGCUAUUUCUGAAAGCAUCAGUUUGAUGCCCAAGUCAUUCACUUACUGUCUCAAAGGAAUCAGCUUCACAAAUGAGCAGGACAAUCAUCAAGGAGAAGCCAACAUCAUUCUUUCAUUAGAAGGAAGAUAACAUACUUACAAAUCAACUCUUUACGAGUUGAUACUUCCCUACUACUACUACAUUACAUUACUGCUACUACUACAUUACAUUACUGCUACUACUACACUAUGCUAUACUACUCUACACUACUACUACAUUAUUCUAACUAUACUAUACUAAUAUCUAAAAGACCAGUGGCAUCUAGCCAUUGGCCCUGUUGCUGCCGCCGCCGCUGCCGCCCCUGGUGCUGCCCCUGCUGCUGCCGCCCCGGUUGCUGCCCCUGCUGCCGCCGCCGUCACUGUCCUUGCUGCCGCCGCCGCCACCCUUGCCGCCGCCGUCACCGUCACUGUCGCCACCGCCGCCGCCGCCGUCGUCGUCGUCGUCCUCGCCGCCGCCGUCCGAGUCCUCCUCAUCCGAGGAGUACUCUGACUCAUUCGAGCCCUCGAGCCCGGAGCGCUCGACGGCCCGGAUGUACGUCCAGACCUCCGCCGCGAGCCCCUGGGAGUCGUCUGAGUCGUCAGACGACUCACGCAGGGGGAUGGGAGCCGGAGACCCCUCAGACUCAGAGGAGAACUCCUCCUCUGAGUACUCCGAGUCACCAAACUCCUCCGAUGGAGGAGUUGGCUCACGCUUGCGCUUAUUGUUCUUGCCCAUGGUGGAAGCAAAAGGGAGAGAAGAAAGAGAAGCGACAGAGAACAGCGAGAGAUGUGAAAAAGCCAGAGAGACAAUGGUGUUAUUUAUAGAAGGAGAAGGCAACCGCUCACCUCCAACCGCGGUCACCGAACAGUCGCAAAAAGCAUUCAAUAAGCACUCUAACCCGUCUGAAGACGCGUCAGGCGGCUGACGCCGUUUCACGCAACACAACACCCAUUGGGACUCCAGUCAACAGCGCGGAGGAUAUGAUUACACCCGCCGUCACAUCACAUUACUACUCAGAAGCAGCCGGCUAAAACACUCAGCGUACCAAGCUGUCCCUUGCCCACACCCAUUGGGGGGGACGUCCAGGAAAUAUCGGUAUAUUUUUCAAAAAGGUCACAUCUGUGCAGGGCACGCAGUGAAUACCUCAAGACAAAAAUGAGAUACCAGUAAUGAUCAGAGGAAAGCCAAAUAUAGCCAGUGAAGUACAAAAUAUGGCCGACAGAAGCGACGUGAAGACUAGACAGAGAACGUCCAUCAAACGUCCAAUCAGUCGCAGAGCAAAUAAAUUGCACUACCUAGCAAGAUAUGGAGGGAUUGCGAACUCGGCUGCUAAAGACAAAAUACAUGCUGACCUCUGAAGCAUAAUAUUGAUGACAUAAUGCUGACCUCCAAAGCAUAAUGCGGAUAGCUUCAUGUCAAUUUUUACAAACAGAAAGGAUCAUUCUCAGUAAAGAGACACAAAAGGAAGACCUUCAAAUGGAUUAUCCUCAAAAAUCCAUUUGAAGGUCGGGGGCUACACCCAUUGGGUGCACCUCCGGUGCACCCCAUGGAUUAUCAUUCCAAGCCAAGAUAGUGCCGACUUCUAAGGCAUGGGACAAGAUUAAAAACAAGGCCGGCCCUCAACCAAAACGCAGGAGCACAAAUGAAAAUAAUUUCUGGGGAAGACCUUCGAGUAGAUUAUUUUCUAAAAUCUACUCGAAGCUCGGGGGCUACACCCAUUGGGUGCACCUCCGGUGCACCCAAUGAAGUUCAGAGUCCUACAAAUUGAAAUGCCGGCCUCUAAGGCACAAGCACGAAACAAAGCUUCGGUUUACGAGUGAUCAAAGCAGGAGGAGACAAUAAGAAGUCGUUUUCUUCAAAUCCCUGCAAGCUGGACCUGGGAUCUUUGGGCUGAUUACCUCUAAAUUAACCCAAAGAUCGGGGGCUUGUGGGGGAUGGAUAUCCCCCGGGUCCACUAAAAGAGUAAAAGACCUCACGAAAGGCCCAAGGGCCCAAUAAAUCGUAUGGUCAUUCUUUCGUGGGCCUGGGGAGAGACAACUAGCAAAGCAGAUCGACAUGAGGCCAGAUUGGUGCAAACCCGGACGACCCACAACGUCGAGCGAGUAACCACAACAGAGAUCCGAUUUUCCGCGCUGGAGCCCCCAUGCAACGGAGCCAUGCGAGGAUAAAUCGGCAGAACUACAAGGAGAUAAACUCGAGCAGUUCACUAUAUUUUAGCUACACAUUGUUAUCAUAUCCACAUGUAUGGCCCUACGGUCGAGUAUAUAAGGCCUAGGGGGCACCCCUUCAGAACGAUCGACCCUAUUACGUAGCCACCCACACCAACUCUCUGCACUCUCAAUUCAGAAGAGCUCUCUUGUAACCUUGUCCACCAAACAUACUCACCAGGACGUAGGGUGUUACGCAUCUCUAAGCGGCCCGAACAUGUAAACCUUGUCCACUGACCCUCGUGCAAUCGGCACGAACCAUUUUGCUACAGUUGUCGACAUCGUCCUACUCCUAAAAACACCUUGAGAGGCAACCUCGGGUGUGCGGUCGGACCCAAAACACCGACAACAAUGUCAAUAGGUUUUUAUGAUUUAUAUUUCAGUUCAUGGCUCCGCUUUCAUCUAUUUGUCUGUUUAUGAUAUGUCUAUUCAUAUUUUACGUAAACGAUUUAUUGAUUUUUUGUAUUAUCUCGUUUACUUAAUCCAGUGUGUAUUGGGUUCCUACCAUUUAUGCCAUAUGUAUAAGAUAUAUUUACGACCCACACAUUUAUGAAACAAAAUAGAAAUUUAGAAAAAGGUAACCGCUCUAAAAAAAUGAGGUUAUUUACCACGAUUCCAUAAAUCUCGUGUAUGCCGAUCCAUUUCCUUUUCAACUCACAUUCUUGUCAUCCUAAAUUUGUGCACAUGCAGUAGAAAAUAGAUUUUUUACGCAAUCUACCGUAGUGCAUAAAUAACUUUACCGUGUAGUAUAAUUAGUAUCAGUAUAUAUCAUAAACUGGUUCUAACGAGCCUUGAUGCAUGGAUGUUGGAGAGAUCCUAUAUUUAUGAAGGAUAUAAAACAUUUAAAUAAGUUUUUUUGUUUCCAUACAUGUUUUCGUUAUGAAAUAGAUCGAUGAUUUACACUAAAAUUCAUACCCAUUUACGCUGUUUUGGUUCACGUUUUACGCUGAAAUCCGCCUGAGCUCCUACGAACGAUUGGCUCCAUAUCUUCUGUUCUGAUAUAUACGGUAACUUCUAGCUUCAUGGGCGCGCUAAUCAUGGUGGUGUGUGGACCCACAUGAAUGAACCAAUGAAAGGUUUGUUGCCCUCUCCUGUUAUGUAAGUCUAAACCAUUAAAUAUGCUAGCAUAAACACGAGUAGGAACCAACUACCCGACCAGCGAACACGAUGCUGGCCCACCUUCGUCCAUCCCAACUCGACCCCACCACGUACGCACCUUCUGUUUACACAAAACAUAACACAUGCUUACACAUGCAUAAACAUGCCCCACAAUCGCGCAGACGCACGCGCCCCACUGGCCCGACCUGACGACUCGCGUGACCACUACCCUGGCUAGGGCUUCCCAUGCCUAUCGGAAGCCCUGGGCUUCCAUUACCAACAACCUAUAAAUAUACCAAUAAAAAUACAUACAUUAAUUUGCAUGCUUUUAUCUUUGUUUAUGUCAUAAUUCAAUACGCAUGCGCAUAUAGAUUUUAUCUAAUCUCUAUCCAAGAUUAAUAAAACCAACCAAUGGAUAGUUGUUGGGGAGAGCCCCUCAUCCAAGGUCCAUUCUAACAGGGGAUUGUCAAGUUUAUGACUCUAGGACAACGGACGAAACCAGAUUUAAAGCGCAAAGAAGCUUUAGAUCAAGGCCAUAGUUGAAGUGUCACACCCGGAUUUAAGGGAUAAAGUUGGGUGCGUCUCAUAUGUGCGCCAAAGAAGAACAUCACAUAUAAUAACAAAGUGUAUACAGAUAAAUGUCACAAGUAUCAUUAUUACAUAGCGGAAGUCUUACAAAAAUAAAUGAUAAUAAUAAAGCGAGCUAAACAUCCAUCCUUGGUGCCAUAAAACUGACUGGAAGACACCACCUACAUCAACUUGUACUCCUCAUUGUACGGCUCCUCCUAGACCACAUGUUCUUCUCUUGUGGGGGGUUUAUAUAUCGCAAGGGUGAGCUCACAAAAGAUCAUAGCUCAACAAGUUGUGUGGAAUUAUGUGCAUGAACACACCAAAGGUGGGAGUUCAUGUGAAGUGUAAGGCUGACCAAUAAAUAAGGGUUAAAGCUGAGUAUUGUUUUUAAUAAGUUGGUCAAGUUUUAUUAGCAGUUACUAAAUGUAAGUAGAUACUAAACUAGAGUAAUAGUAGAUCAAAAUUAAUAAUAAAUCCUGCGAUGCAAAUGACAAAUUGAAUUUAAUUCCAUAAAUUAAUCAUGCAAGAGUCUUGAGCUGCUCCUGACCGCGAGCACGACUAGUAUACCACUUUUACACUCUGCACAGGUUGUACCCUGUACCCACAAGUCGUGUAUCUCAUCUCACCAGGGUUAGCUAGACCUUUAGACACUACCAAGGUGAAUGGCUAGGAAUCCACUACGAGGCCUUCACAAAGUUCUAUUAGCUUCAGAGAACCCGCUACAAUUUCUAGGAAGAGCAAUGCAGGAAUCCUCCGUCUGACCGCCAUCGCAGCAAAAUCAAUCCGAGAACCUCCCUACACACCUACUCCCCUACUGACCUUGUCCCUUUCGGGUAAGGUAGUCAUCCACUAACUUUCCUAGUUAGUCAGCCAAAGGUGUCCCAUUCCACCCUUGUGGUGGCACGUGUUUCUCAAGUUAAGCUCGAUGUUCCAAUUAACAUAGUUGUCUUAUCACGAACAGAAAUAGAACAGAAAUAAAGAAUGAACAAGUGUAAUAGUUAUCUCAACACCAAAAACUAUAUAUAGCAAUAGCAAUGACUACCCAAAAAUUCAGGGGUAAACAAGGUGAAAAGAUAACCAGACUAGGGUGACCUAUUGGGUCCCAUCAAAAUUAAGCCUAUGCAUGAUAAAAUGAUUAUAGCGAACAUUAUUGGGUAAAUAAAAGUGGUCAAUGACACAACUUGCCUUCAAUGAUCUCAUGCUCAGCAACUUCUACAUGCUAAACACCCGGAUCCUCUGUGGCUUGCUCGUCUACUAGCAACAUUACAAACAAACAUGGUAUAACUGAGAGCACCUAAAGAGGGGGUGAAUAGGUGAUCCUGUAAAAAAUAAAUACUUGUAGCCACAAAACUUGGUUAAGAGUUAGUGCAAUAGGACCAAGUGGCUAAGUACCGAGCUUUUGUGAAACACGAUGAUCACAUAGAAGAACAACGCAAAAGACACGGUGAUUUAUCUCGUGGUUCGGCCAAGUAUAACACUUGCCUACUCCACGUUGUGGCGUCCCAAUGGACGAGGGUUGCACUCAACCCAUUUAAAGUGAUCCAAUGAUCAGCUUGAAUACCACGGUGUUUUCCUUUCUUAUACUUUCUCCUGUUUGCGAGGAAUCUCCACAACUUGGAGCCUCUCGCCCUUACAAUUGAUGAUCACAAAGAAGCACAAAAGUAAGGGAGGGGAGAGCAACACACACAAGACUCAAAACGAGAGCACAAUCAUGCACACAAAGCCACAACUUGAGCUCACAACACAACUCGAGGAGUUCUCUACUCAAAUGGGGCUCAAGUCACUAUCUCAAAGAAUCGAAUGCGCGAGAAUGGAGUCUUGGUGCUUAGGAAUGAUCAAGGAAUGCUUGGGUUUUUCCUCCAUGCGCCUAGGGGCCUCUUUUAUAGUCCCAAGGCAGCUAGGAGCCGUUGGAGGCAAUCUGGGAAGGCAAUUCUUGCCUUCUGUCGGGUGGCGCACCGGACAGUCCGGUGCACCACCGGACAGGCACUGUUCAGUGCCGGUGCAGACCGCCUUCCUAAAAUGGCACAUCCGACCAUUGCAGAGUUGUAGCCGUUGGCGCACCGGACACUGUCCGGUGCACACCGGACAGUCUGGUGCCUCUUGCCGACCGUUGGAGCGAGCCACGCGUCGCCCGCGGAUUUGGCGGCCGACCAUUACGCUGGCGGUCGUUGGCUCACCGGACAGUCCGGUGCACCACCGGACAGUCCGGUGAAUUAUAGUCGUACGCUGCCGACAAAUUCUCGAGAGUGGCUAGUUCGCCAGAAGCCAGCCUGGUGCACCGGACACUGUCCGGUGCACCACCGGACAGUCCGGUGUGCCAGACUGCGCUGAGUCUUGGCUGCUCCAGCCAACUCUUUUCCUUUUUCUCUUUUCUCUGAUUCUAGCACUUAGACAAAUAGAUUAGUACACAAAAACCAAUGUACUAAGUCUAGAAACAUACCUUCUUGUUGAUUUGCACUUCAUUCAUCAUUUGGCACAUAAUUACUCACUCAAUAUGUGUUGAGCACUUAAUCACCAAAAUAUACUAGAAAUAGCCCAAGGGCACAUUUCCCUUUCAAUAACAGAAAUUAACAUCACACCAAACAUAAAUACAAAAUACAUAAUAAUAAUCUACGCAUCGAAACGAGAUCGUAUGAACAAGAAUCACUAAAUUCGAAGUUACUAUUAUCAAGUUAUGAAUUUCUGAAGUUCUGUAGUGUUUGGUACAAAAUUAAUUGAGUGAUCAAUUCUAAUAUGGGUUUCAUGUUAAAACAAUGUUACCAAGUGAUAGACAAUAUUAAUAAAAAUUAUAGGAAUUGGAAUGGACUAAAAAGGAGUUAAAAUAAAUUUUCUAGGAAUUAAACAAGUUUCUGUAAUUUUUUUGCAUUAAAAAUUAUUUUCAAAAUGAAUUAUCUGGUUUUCCCACUUCUCUGGACUGCGCGCGCAAUUUAAACCAAAAGCUAGGGGCCUCGGCGCAAAGAUUCCAAAGACUCGGAACUCUGUGUCGUGGACUGCGGGUUGAUAACUGUCGGCGUUUCGAGACAGGGGGGUCCCAAAGCCGACGAGUGAGUGUGCUGCGUGCCCCAGCCCAGAUGGGUCGAGCGCGUGGGCGAGCGCGAAGGGGGGAGAGGCGAGGUGGCCGGAGUCGAGCGUGAGAGAGGUGGAAGUCCCGCGGCCUUCGUGUUCGUCCCGCGCCCAGGUCGGGUGCGCUUGCAGUAGGGGGGUUACAAGCGUCCACGCGGGUGAGGGAAGCGAGCGGCCCCAAGAGAGCGCCUGUCCCGUCCUCGGUCCCGCGUGGCCAACCUCCUCUAAGAAGGCCCUGGUCCUCCCUUUUAUAGUCGUAAGGAGAGGAUCCAGGUGUACAAUGGGGGGUGUAGCAGAGUGCUACGUGUCUAGCGGAGAGAGAGCUAGCGCCCUAGGUACAUGCCAAUGUGGCAGCCGGAGAGGUCUUGGCACCUUGCUGGCGUGAUGUCGUGGCUGUCGGAGGUGCGACGGAGCCUGGCGGAGGGACAGCUGUUGGAGCGGUCGAGUCCUUGCUGACGUCGCCCUGCUUCCGUAAGAGAGCUGGGGGCCGCCGUCGUCACAGAGCUUGUGGAGCGCCAUCAUUGCCCAUCCGGCGGAGCUGGCCGGAUGGGACGCCGGUCUUGUUCUCCGUGACCCGAGUCGAUUCGGGGUAGGACGAUGAUGACGCUUCCUGUUGACGUGGCCGGUCUGUGCCCUAGGCGGGGUGACAUGGGGGCUCCUCCGAAGCCGAGGUUGAGUCUGUCUUCUGUUGCCGAGGCCGAGUCCGAGCCCUGGGGUCGGGCGAGGCGGAGGUCGUUUGGCCGAGGCCAGGGCGGAGUCCGAGCCCUGGGGUCGGGCGAGGCGGAGUUUCGUCGUCUUCCGGGUCUUAGCCCGAGUCCGAGCCCUGGGGUCGGGCGGAGCGGAGUUCGCCGUCUUCCGGGUCUUAGCCCGAGUCCGAGCCCUGGGGUCGGGCGGAGCGGAGUUCGCCGUCUUCCGGGUCUUAGCCCGAGUCCGAGCCCUGGGGUCGGGCGGAGCGGAGUUCGCCGUCUUCCGGGUCUUAGCCCGAGUCCGAGCCCUGGGGUCGGGCGGAGCGGAGUUUGCCGUCUUCCGGGUCUUAGCCCGAGUCCGAGCCCUGGGGUCGGGCGGAGCGGAGUUUCGUCGUCUUCCGGGUCUUAGCCCGAGUCCGAGCCCUGGGGUCGGGCGGAGCGGAGUUUCGUCGUCUUCCGGGUCUUAGCCCGAGUCCGAGCCCUGGGGUCGGGCGGAGCGGAGUUCACCGUGGCGCCUUUGGCAAGGCCUGACUGUCUGUCUGACUCACUCUUUGCGUUAAAUGCUCCUGCAACUCGGUCAGUCGGUGUGGCGAUUUAGUCAGGGUUGCUUCUGAGCGAAGCCAAGGCCUCGGGCGAGCCGGUGAUGUGUCCGCCGUAAAAAGGGGGGCCUCGGGCGAGACGGAAGUCUCUCGAGGUCGGCUGCCCUUGGCCGAGGCUAGGCUCGGGUGAAGCGUGAUCGAGUCACUCGUGUGGACUGAUCCCUGACUUAAUCGUACCCAUCAGGCCUUUGCAGCUUUAUGCUGAUGGGGGUUACCAGCUGAGAAUUAGGCGUCUUGAGGGUACCCCUAAUUAUGGUCCCCGACAGUAGCCCCCGAGCCUCGAAGGGAGUGUUAGCACUCGCUUGGAGGCUUUCGUCGCACUUUUUUGCAAGGGGGACCAGCCUUUCUCGGUUGCAUUUUGUUCCGGUGGGUGCGCGCGAGCGCACCCGCCGGGUGUAGCCCCCGAGGCCUCGGAGGAGUGGUUACACUCCUUCGAGGUCUUAAUACCUUGCGUAAUGCUUCGGCUGGUCUGGUCGUUCCCUCAUGCGAACUGGCCGUAGCCCGGGUGCACGGUCGGGGCCCAAGCUCUCGGGCUGGUAUGUUGACGCUGUCAACGGUUUGGCCGGAGCCGGUUUUUGCGAGAGCAGCCCCCGAGCCUCUGCACAGGGCGAGAGGACGAUCAGGGACAGACUCGACUUUUUACAUACGCCCCUACGUCGCCUUUCCGCAAGGAGGAGGGGGGGAGUGCGCCAUGUUACCCUCGAUGGGCACCGAACAUGGUGUCUCCGGUGAGCUGCAAGCGGGUAAUCCGAGUGGGCGUCCGUGCCCCGUUCGUUGGGGGUCGGCUAGGGGCCUAGAGGCACGCCCAAAAGUACCUGCGGGUGAUUUGCCGGACCCGGUCCCCUGGCGACGGGGUCCGAGGGCUCGAUGCCUCCCUCCGAUGGGAUUCCGUUACAAGAUCGUUCCCGCUGGUCUCGGAAAUGUCCUAGGGUACCUCGGGAGCGCAGCCCGAGCCUCGGUUAUGUAUCGAACGUACCCCUGGUCAUCCCUCGCUCGGUGUCUGAGGCGACUGUGAACCCUUUGGGGGCCAGCCUUCGAACCCCUGAUCAGUAAUGGGCGCGGAGCCCGAGUAGCCUGAGGCGGCCAUGGAGCCCUUCGGGGGGCUGGCCUUCGAACCCCUGACCAGUAGUGGGUGUCGGGCCCACGCGAUCUGAGGCGACUGUUGAACCCUUCGGAGGCCAGUCUUCGAACCCCUGAUCAGUAGGGGGGCUCGGAGCCCGGUUCCUUCGCGGAAAAGGAUCCUUUUCGGGGUAUCCCCCUUUCCCGGUCCCUGUUGCAAGAGAUAGAGAAAGAGGAAAAAGGAAAAGGAAACGAAAUCGAACGACGUGGCGUACCUCUUUUUGACGCGGUUAUUACGGCGAAGGUGAAGCGUCGCGCGCUUCUCCCGCCAGAGGCGCCGCGUGUCCCGCCGCGGAGUUAAUGCGGCGGGGCGAGUGGUUGGCGAGGCGGCCGUUGCGCGUGCGCGAUUCGUUUGAGGAACGGGUCACGGGCGCACCGUCUUCACGCCGUGGGAGGAGGCUCUCUUGCUGCCCCAGGAUGAGACGUGAGCCUGGCUGACGACGUGACUGCUGCGCCCGCCCGCCUGCCACCGCCAUCACUGCUGGCCCACUUUCGGUCGCUUUGACCAACGCGCCAGGCUAGCGCUGCUGGGUCACCUCGAGUCGUGGCAUAGGCUCCGCAACCGAAGAGGCGCGACGGUGGCGCAAGUGGCGGUGCGGUUGCUUGCAUGCAGCAACUGGCGCGCCGGUUGCUUGACGCGUGGGCCUGGGCUUCCAAGCUGGCGUGUCAGAAGUCGGAGAAGCGCGUCCACCUGGCGCGGUUGCAUGCCGUCUGCAUGGCUGCCCGCCCCUUCUGCCCGUUGGUCUGGGCAAAAGUGGGGGUCGCUUGUAACCGCUGGACAGUCGUGCGCACCACGCGCGGUGGUUUGGCUUCUUCUGCCCUGAGCUGGUUUGCAUGACAUGCGGGACCCAGCCCCCGAGUCGCAGGGGAGGGCCUUGGAGCGUGUUGGAGAAGACUCAGCCCGCGGCGUCUGGGGGCGCACGUAGGGAGAGUUGCCUUUAAAAGGAGGGAGACUCCUUUCGGAAGGCAACCAUGUCUUCUUCCUCCCUUAUGCGUCGUGUCUUUCCAUCUUCCAAGCCCCCGGAUGGGGGGUAUCCGCCGCCUUUCCGCCUCCUCGUUGGAGGAACGCAACCCCGUGGGAGUUGGUACCUCUCAGCCAUCGUUCGGCUUUAAGGAUUUUCAUCAGCCGGCCCGGCCGCACCCCUACGCCGGCGAUCACCCAGGAUGGUGACCACCAGUUUCUGGGUGGGGAAGAGCAAGCCGAGCUGCGAUCUUGGUCCCACCCUCAGCUUCAAGGAUGUUCAUCAUCCUCGCUGGGGUGGGGGCCACGCUGAGCCGGCGCUCUGCCUUCCGCGCGGGUCCGCGGGUCGCCCUUUUCCGCGGCGUUUGGGGGUAGAGGCGCUCGCUGGCCCUGCGGACGGCGCGGACUUAGACAACGUGGGGCUGAUCGACGGCGGGCGCCGUCACCUCCAGCGUGUCGAAGUCGUCGGCCGGGCUUCCGGCGGCCCCUCCUGCCGGAGGGCGACCGCCGCGCCGUGUGCACGGGAGGACCGCCCACGAUGCUGCGCGCUGUUAGGGCGGCGUUCGUGUUCUGGGGUGGUCCUGCUUUUGCACUGGGACGGCGCCCUCGCGCAGAGGCCGGUGCCCCACUCGCCUGGGAGGAUUCGAGUGGGGAUCUGCCGGGGGGCUGGUGUCCCCUGCCAUCGGUGCCGAGGCGGAGGCGGCUCGAGAAGUCCUCGUCACCGACGGGAUCACUGCCACCACCCGCGCCCCGGGCCACCGCGCCGGCGUGCUUGUCCUCGCCCCUCGAGUGUCGGCGGGGGCGAGAGCAAGAUCGCAGCAGCGCCAGCCCACUGUCGCCGUAGUCAGAACGGGCGGCGGCGAGCCGCUCGUCAGUCUUCUGCUGCUCCGCAGGCCUUCCCCAUGGAGUGGGGUCGUUCGUACCCGCGGAGGGGGAACCGGAGUUCCGUACGUAAUGGCACUUCGAAUGCCAGUGUGUUUGUUCAUUGUGGCUGUCGAGGCCUGAACAUAUAUGUAAUUUCGGCACGGAGCUGUGUUUUUUCCUCAUUCUCGAGCACUAAGUCUCGCCUGUUGGUUAUCUGAACCGCUUUACCAAGCAUGAGUCGCCCCGUGUCAAGGUGACGAGUGAGGUAUCCGUAUCCCGGAGGCGUAGGAAUCCCUCGGCCCGUUCGGCCUUGUUGUCUGGGGCUCCUCUAGCUUAGUCAAAGAGACCCCUCGGCUGCCCUUCGAUGAGCCGAGGCCAGGGGUAGCGAUAUCAGUAUGAACAGAGGCGGAGUUGGCUCGAGAAUGGGAACCUGGUUGGCCGAAGCCUAGUCGUGUUGUCCGUCAGCGGAGCCGACGCCAAAGUCGAUCCGCCGAGGCCUCGGGUCGGGCUGGCGCCCUUGGAAGCCGGUUGGCCGAGUCCCCAGGGGUAACCGGCCGAGCUGCCUGCUCGGGUCGGAUUCCCGGAGGGGUCCCUGGACCGCGCCGCCAUCCGAGGCUGGGUCGGACAUAGCUGAAGACGCCGUCGAUGCCGAGGGUGCCGUCGCCUCCCUUCAUCGUGAAGACCCGAGCCUGCAGGAUCAGAUCGUCUUGUAGCGUGUGCCUUCUGCGGCCGCCGAGGCCAGAAAACACACCCUCGCCGUGCUUGCGAAGCUGUGUCUUUUUUCCUCUUGUUUCGAGCAUCUGGACUCUGUCGGUAACAGGGAUGUUUGUGUGAGCGAGAGUUGCUUCUCGCGGAAGGGACGAGUGAGGUAUCCGUAUCCCAGAGGCGUGGGGAUCCCUCGGCUCGGUCGGCCUCGCCGCUUACGCGUACUUUCACCCGUUCAUGAGGCCCUGUCCCCGACUUAGUCGAGAAAGCUUGAAAGACUGCUUCGGCAGGAGAGCUUCCGAACGUGAAGACUUGUUCGGUCCACGGAGUCGCUUUAUCCGAGCGCGAGUUACUUAUCGCAGGAGGUGAUGAGUGAGGUAUCCGUAUCCCGGAGGCGUAGGAGUCCCUCGGCUCGGUCAGCCUUGGCUGCUUACGUGUACCCCAUCGUUUCCAGGAUCCGCUUUCCGAAGUAGUCAAGAAGCACGAAAGUAAUCCUGCUAGAAAGAGAUCCUUUUUCAAGGAAAAAUUCGACGCAGAGGGGGUCUCUCCCCUUUUAGCCCCCGAGGGAGGGUCGGGCUUUGCCGGGGCUAGGCCGACCCUUCCUUGACGACUAAACUUUGCGUAGGUGCGAGGUAUAUGAACAACUUGGAAACAUCUUAAGGGUAGAAGCGACGUAGCUGUUUGAUGUUCCAGGCGUUGCCGUAGAUCUCGCCUUGAUUGUUGGCCAGCUCGUAUGUUCCGGGCUUCAGAUCUUUGGCGAUGACGAAUGGCCCUUCUGUAACGCCCUGAAUUUGGGGGUAGAAUUUUUUUUCUUCUUUUCUCUCACCAAAUUCGGGCGUUACUCUCUUUUCUCUUUCCCUGUUUGCUCCUUCUUCCCAAUUUCAAACCAGUAUAGCGGCAUGUGUCCGUGUCAUGUAUAAACCAAAACCUAAGUGUCAUGGGUGUUGCAUCAUGCCGAAGCACAUUUCUUUGUCUGAUGAUGAGUGUUCGUCUCGUUCCGUUCCGGAUUUCGGUUCGCGAUUUAAUUCCGUUUAGUGGUCGCGCUCGUCGUGGGUUUUCGAUCCGCGAAGUGGCCCGGCCCAGCCCAAUCUAGUCCAGCCCAGCCGACCCGGCCUGCCCCGGCCUGCGCGCCCCUGGCACCCAAACCCCCCCCUGCGCCCCCUCCCCUCUCUCUCUCAUUUGGAUCUCCCGCGCAACAACCUCUCCUCUCCCUCUUCCACCUCUCUCUCCCCGUGGUGCCCUAGGAUUUGGAGACGGCGAUCACCGGAUUUUGGACCCCGAGGUGAGCUCCCCUCCCCUCCCCUUCUCCUCUCUCUCUCUCCCUCCUCUUCUCCCCCGCGCGCGCACCCUCCCUCUUCCCCCUGCCCGCGCCCGACCCCGUCCCUGCCCGGCGCGGCGGCGCCCCUGCCCGCCCGCUCGGCCCCUCCCCGCGGCGGCGCCCCUGCCCGCCCGCUCGGCCCCUCCCGCGGCGGCGCUCGGCGCCCGCCCCCGGCUCGCCCGCCCGGCCUCCCUCCCGCGGCGGCGCUCGGCUCCCCGUCCCCGGCCUUCCCCCCCGCUCGACCCCUCCCCGGCGCGGCGGCGCCCGCCUCCUGCCCCUCCCCGCGGCGGCGAUCCCGCCCGCCCCCUGCCCGGCCCCGCGUGGCGGCGCCCGCCCUCCCCUGGCCCGCGGCGGCGCUCGCCCGCCCCUUCUCGCCCGCGGCGGCGCCCGCUCGCCCCUGCCCGCCCGGCGGCGCUCCCCGCCCCUCCCCCGCGCGCGGUGGCGAUCCCGCCACCCGGCUCGGCCGCCCCCGUGCCCGCCCGGCCUCGGUCGCCCCUGGCCGGUUCAACCGCCCCCCUGGCUGGUUCAACCGCCCUCCCCCCGCUCGGUCGCCCGUUCCCCGUCCCGGCCUCGCCCGACCGUAUCUUCGCUUGCCCGCGCUCGCGGUGAUUAUUCGUUAAUUAGCGUGUUGCGUCGCGCGCUUCGCCGCGCGACGGAUUUGUCUAAAUUCAGAUUCUAUCUUGUGUUGCGUCGUGCGCUUCGUCGCGCGACGAUCCAUUUUUUUGUUUCAGGUUGUUUAAGGUGUAACGCCGCGUGUGUAUUCACGCGACGUUCCACUUUGGACUCAGUUUAGUCGACGUAUGCCGUCGUGCGCUUCGUCGCGCGACGCUUAACGUCUCCUCGUAACUAAGGCGAAGUGUCUCGUUGCGUGCUCGGUCGCACGACGAGUCGUUAACUUCUUAAUUUGUUUUAGAGAGCUUUGUCGCGCGUCUCGCCACGCGACCAUCUUUUUGUUUAUCUCCACCUGCUUAUAAUAAUUAGACAUGAAACAUGACUUUACUUUACGCUAAACAUAGUGUCUACAUUAAAUUUCCUUCCAUUAAGCGAGUAGUUAAUUUAUAAUCAUGUAACGUGAUCGUUUCUCGACUGUCUUUUCCUCUUUCUCUCUUAACCGUACUCGCGAGCCCGCGUAGAACGUCUGUUUACUUAUUGCAUUCUAUUGUAUGGUGUACUGUUCUUUUGUAUUAAAUAUGUGGAUGUAUGUAUGUUUGCGCUCGCAUAGAGAACGAUCCGGUUGAAGAGCCCGAAGAACUCGCAGGAGAAGCCCCUGAGCAGCAGUCGGUUGGUGGAGGCAAGUGUCCCUUGACCUAUCUCUGUCCUAUUCAUUCUUUAAUUCACCUCCCGCUUUACAUAUUUAUACCUAAGGUUUGACUAGCUUUUGUUAUCCCUGUCCUUGAUUACCUAUUUGGGUUGGAUUAUUACUGUUUAGCUUUAUGCUAUUGCUCAAACUCUAAUCAAUGAACAUGAUGAGAUUAUCUAUGAUACGCUGUUUUCCCUUCUCUUAUUAUGAUGUUGUACUUGUGACCUUCAAGGGGGCUCGAGCGGUUUCUCGAGUGCCUCUCCGUAAGGACCUGUUCUAUGGAUGACCGCCCGGGAAAACAGUGCAACCAUGAGGGUAGAAUGGGGUGCCCUUAGCUGAAUAAUUAGAGGAUCCGGGGUGUAGUUCACUUAGCCGUCGUGCCGUCAAUGGGGCUCGGUGUAUGCGGCUCGCUCUGCCAAGGUUGAUUUGUCCCUUGGGGAGGAGUGCGGUACAUUUAGGAAACCUAACGGGUGGCUACAGCCCCGGGGAAUCUUUGUAAAGGCUACGUAGUGAUGCCCUGCUGGGUCACCUUGGUAGUGAUCAAUGGAGAGUCAUGAUCUCCGGGCAGAAUGGGAAUCACGGCUUGUGGGUAAAGUGCACAACCUCUGCAGAGUGUCUGAAAACUGAUAUAUCAGCCGUGCUCACGGUUAUGAGCGGCCAAGGGAGCUCCAGUGAUUAGUGGUACUUGAUCAGAGACAUUGUGGUACAGGUGGCUAUGAGAUCGAUGGUUCUGGUUAUGACUAUGGUGCUGGUAAGUGGUAUUCUUUCCGUUUGGAAAGGGUACAUCGGGUUAAUAACUUGGGUUAAUGCUAAAACUUGGCUUUCUACUAGUAAGUAAUAAUCUGACCAACUAAAAGCAACUGCUUGACUUAUCCCCACAUAAAGCUAGUCCACUACAGCCAAACAGGAUACUUGCUGAGUAUGUUGAUGUGUACUCACCCUUGCUCUACACACCAAACCCCCCCCAGGUUGUCAGCAUUGCAACCACUGCUCAGGCGAAGAUGAAGCUGUGGAAGGAGACUUCCAGGAGUUCCAAGACUACAACGAGUUCUAGGUGUGGGUUAGCGGCAACCCCCAGUCGGCUGCCUGUGAAGGCCGCAGUUAUCUACGUUUCUUUUCCGCACUUUGAUUUAUUGUAAGAACUAUAUGGACGUCUCAGACGCAUGAUGUAAUCAACUAUUAUUCCCUUUUAAUACUAUUUUGAGCACUGUGUGAUGAUGUCCAUGUUAUGUAACUGCUGUGUACGUGAAUAACUGAUCCUGGCACGUACAUGGUUCGCAUUCGGUUUGCCUUCUAAAACCGGUUGUGACAUAAGUGGUAUCAAAGCCGUGCUGACUGUAGGACCGCUAACCUAGAGUAGAAUGGUCGUUCUAAGGACUAUAGACCUCUGUCUCUGCCUUGACUUUGAUAUCCCUUCAAAAGUUGGUCAUACCGACCAAACCUAUGUUCUACUAUAUACAUUAUACCUUGCUGAAAAUCAUGUUUUAUUCUAAUCCUUCAUUCACUCAUGAUUCAUUAUUUGCUGGUCCUAUUAAUUCUGUUCUCACCCUUUUGCUUGCGAUGUCUUUUGUAGAUGGCUCGACUUAGACACACUGCACGAAAGUCAGUCAUCCCCUUCUUACCCUCCUGCCUUGCUGAGCGUCCGCUUCGCCGUCCCGUGGCCGGACAGUCCAGCCACUUGGAGAGACUACACCACCGCCUGCAUGAGGAGCAGGAACGUCGACGACAGGAGCAGCAGGGCUCUUCUUUCUUGCUCCACCAGGAGAUAGAGUCUGUGAGGAGCUGCUCCCCUGUGCUUCCUCUGGAGCCGCCCCCUGCACCACCACUGGGCGUCCCAGCUUCUGGAGUAGCUGCUGGAGGAGACCCAGACGACGGAGGAGGCGACGACAGCUCAAGCCACGACACCGACUUCUCUGCUAACCUUGAGCCGGAAGGAUGGGUUGCUCGACCCAUCACUCGCGACGCUGCUCGCGGGUGUCACUUCCACGAUGCGCUCGACACCCUGCUACGUCGGGCAUUUGACCGGAAUACUUGGUCCGUCGAGUAUCGCUGUGUGGUCUACCAGCACAGUCGCGGGGUCUACCCGGACCGCUGGGAGGCAACCUGCUUGGUGCGCUGUCCGGAGAACAGUCUCCAGGGUGCUGAGGUCUGCUCAGAGCACUAUUCUAUCUCUGAGCGGAACUCAGCUGAGGCAGCCAUGCAAGAUGCUGCACGGCGUGCGCUUUCGCACUACUGCUCGGUUUUCGGUGGGGCAACUGACGGUCUUGACCUGAAGUAUUACCCCCGCCGUUCAUCUGGCAGCACAGGAGGCGUGAUUGUCUCACCUGUCGGUGAGGGCAAUCCUAGGUUGAGCAGCACAGUCAACCUAGCCGCCGUGCUAAACACGGAGCUGGACCAUGCACUAGAUGAGCUGAGUAGGGCUCGUGCUGAGAUCGCCCUGCUGCGGGCUGAGCGCGCGGAACGUCGUCACCUGGAUGGUGGUUCCCCCGCUCCCGUCGGGACUCAGCACCCGUACCGCUCACCUCAGCGUGGACACCAGUCUUAUGGCAACCCCGACUGCAAGACCAAGAUAACUCUAGAACCAUAGAUCGUUAGAGUUGGAUCUUGUAAUUAAUACGAAAUAUAUACAUAGAAGCUUCAGUCUUAGCGUUAGUCUCGCUCUUAGUUAAGUCUUAGUUAGACAGGGUAGUUUGCUAUAUCCUGUGCAUUUAUGUUUGUCAUGAUGAACUAUGUUUGGUUUGGAUCUUUGUAAUGAUUGUCACCAGAGUGUGGGUAUCCCCUGCAUUUUGGUUUACCUAUUAUGUUAAUAAAGUUAGUUAUAUAGUUGGGAAACCCAUUAUUCCACUUUCCUCUUUAUCUGAGAAGCUGUGUGGUCUGUGUUGGAGAUCAGUGAAGAUGCUCAUCUGUUCAGUGCUGUUGAAGAAUUCUAUUCUCUUUCCUUAUGCUGCAAGAUUUGCCAGAUCAGUUCUGAUGUGUGGUUGCAUUCUGCAGAUGUCAGAGAACAGGCGCAGAGGAGGAAGGCGUGCUCAACAGGAGCGAGCCGCUCCGCAGGAUGAGGUGCCCCAGCAGCAGCACCUGCCGCCCCCGCCCCCGAUGUCCAUCGAGCAGAUGUUUCUGAUGCAGACUCAGGCAGUUCAAGCCAUCGGUCAGACUUUGGCCGCCAUUCAGCAGCAGCAGCAACAACAGCAGCAGGCACCACCUCAACCUCAGAUGCCUCAGAUGCCCAGAGACAAGCGUGCUGAAUUCAUGAGAGGUCAUCCACCAACGUUCGCUCAUUCUUCUGACCCUAUGGAUGCUGAAGACUGGCUGCGCACUGUGGAGCGGGAGUUGCAUACCGCUCAGUGCGAUGACAGGGAGAAAGUCUUGUAUGGUCCCCGUCUGUUGAGAGGAGCAGCCCAGUCAUGGUGGGAGUCUUACCUCGCCACCCAUGCCCACCCUGACGCCAUCACUUGGGAAGAGUUCAGAGGUAGCUUUCGUCAGUACCAUGUUCCUGCAGGUCUGAUGACAGUGAAGAAAGAGGAGUUCCUGGCUCUCAAGCAAGGGUCAUCGUCUGUCAGUGAAUACCGAGACAGAUUUCUGCAAUUGUCUCGCUAUGCUCCUGAAGAUGUCAACACUGACGCCAAGCGACAAUACCGUUUCCUGAGAGGCUUGGUUGACCCUCUGCAGUACCAACUGAUGAAUCACACUUUCCCGACAUUCCAGCACCUGAUUGACAGAGCAAUCAUGACAGAAAGGAAGCGUAAGGAGAUGGAGGAUCGUAAGCUCAAGAUCAGUGGACCCCAGCCUGGAAGCAGCAAUCGUCCUCGUUUCUCAGGCAAUCAACCUCAGCAGUUCAGGCAAAACCAGCGUCCACCUCAGCAGCAUCAGCAGUUCCAAAGGCAGUAUCCUCAGCAUCAGUAUCAGAACCGUCAGAACAAUCAGUCAGGAGGUCAGUUUCAGAGGCAGAAUCAGCAGGCACCUCGCCUUCCUGCCCCAGCAAACCAGCAGAACAGUCAGGCAGCACCAGCUCAGGUUGGAAACAGAGCAUGUUUCCACUGUGGAGAGCAAGGCCACUGGGUGAUGCAAUGUCCGAAGAAGGCAGCCUAGCAGCAGUCAGGCCCCAAUGCCCCAGCAAAGCAGAAUGUGCCUCAGCCUGGAGCAGGCAAUCGCCCUCAGCCGCGUUAUAAUCAUGGAAGGCUGAACCACUUGGAGGCUGAAGCAGUUCAGGAGACCCCCGGCAUGAUAGUAGGUAUGUUCCCAGUCGACUCCCAUAUUGCAGAAGUGUUAUUUGAUACUAGAGCAACGCAUUCUUUCAUUACUGCAUCGUGGGUAGAAGCACAUAAUCUUCCAAUUACUACCAUGUCAACCCCCAUUCAAAUUGACUCAGCCGGUGGUAGAAUUCGAGCCGAUAGAAUUUGUUUGAAUAUAAGUGUGGAAAUAAGGGGGAUAGCGUUUCCCGCCAACCUUAUAGUAAUGGGUACUCAGGGAAUAGAUGUCAUCCUAGGGAUGAAUUGGCUAGAUAAGUAUCAGGCAGUUAUCAGCUGUGAUAAAAGGACAAUCAAGUUGGUGUCUCCACUAGGAGAGGAAGUGGUGACCGAGUUAGUCCCGCCUGAGCCAAAGAAAGGAAGUUGUUACCAGAUGGCCGUUGAUAGCAGUGAAGCAGACCCAAUUGAGAGUAUCAAGGUUGUGUCCGAGUUCCCAGAUGUGUUUCCAAAGGACUUACCGGGUAUGCCACCAGAGCGGAAAGUUGAGUUUGCUAUAGAGCUUCUUCCUGGAACCGCCCCUAUCUUCAAGAGAGCUUACAGAAUAUCCGGACCAGAGUUGGUUGAGCUUAAGAAGCAGAUUGAUGAGCUGUCAGAGAAAGGUUACAUCCGGCCAAGCACCUCGCCUUGGGCCGCCCCUGUCCUAUUUGUGGAAAAGAAAGAUGGCACCAAGAGGAUGUGCAUUGAUUACCGAGCUUUGAAUGAAGUCACGAUCAAGAACAAGUAUCCCUUGCCCAGAAUCGAAGAUCUGUUCGACCAGUUGAGAGGAGCCAGUGUGUUCUCCAAGAUUGAUCUGAGGUCAGGUUAUCAUCAGCUCAGGAUCCGACCUUCGGACAUUCCGAAGACGGCAUUCAUUUCCAAGUAUGGUUUGUAUGAGUUCACAGUGAUGUCCUUUGGUUUGACCAAUGCGCCAGCAUUCUUCAUGAACUUGAUGAACAGUGUAUUCAUGGAUUACCUUGAUAAGUUUGUGGUGGUAUUCAUUGAUGACAUUCUGGUUUAUUCUCAAAGCGAAGAAGAGCACGCAGAUCAUUUGAGGAUGGUGUUGCAGAGAUUGCGAGAGCACCAGUUGUAUGCAAAGUUGAGCAAGUGUGAGUUCUGGAUCAGUGAAGUCCUGUUCUUGGGUCACAUAAUCAACAAAGAAGGAUUGGAUGUGGAUCCGAAGAAAGUGGCAGACAUUUUGAACUGGAAAGCGCCAACAGAUGCUCGAGGAAUCAAGAGCUUCAUUGGAAUGGCCGGAUAUUAUCGGCGAUUCAUUGAAGGGUUUUCGAAGAUUGCGAAACCAAUGACAGCGUUGCUAGGCAACAAAGUUGAGUUCAAGUGGACCCAGAAAUGCCAAGAGGCCUUUGAAGCGCUGAAAGAGAAGUUGACUACAGCGCCUGUCCUAGUCUUGCCUGAUGUGCACAAGCCCUUUUCGGUGUAUUGUGAUGCUUGUUACACAGGUUUGGGAUGUGUGUUGAUGCAAGAGGGAAGAGUUGUGGCUUACUCGUCCCGACAGUUGAAGGUUCAUGAGAAGAACUACCCAAUCCAUGACCUAGAGUUGGCAGCAGUGGUUCAUGCACUGAAGUCAUGGAGGCACUAUCUGUAUGGACAGAAAUGUGAUGUUUACACAGAUCACAAGAGUCUGAAGUACAUAUUCACUCAGUCAGAGUUGAACAUGAGGCAACGAAGAUGGUUAGAGUUGAUCAAAGACUAUGAGUUGGAGAUUCAUUACCAUCCAGGCAAAGCAAACAUAGUGGCAGAUGCUUUGAGCAGAAAGAGUCAAGUCAAUCUGAUGGUUGCUCGUCCGAUGCCUUAUGAGUUGGCCAAGGAGUUUGACAGGUUGAGUCUCGGAUUUCUGAACAAUUCUCGAGGAGUCACAGUUGAGUUGGAACCUACCUUGGAGCGCGAAAUCAAAGAAGCGCAGAAGAAUGAUGAGAAGAUCAAUGAGAUCCGGCGACUGAUCCUAGAUGGCAGAGGCAAAGAUUUUCGAGAAGAUGCAGAAAGCGUGAUAUGGUUCAAAGACCGCUUGUGUGUUCCCAAUGUCCAGUCCAUUCGGGAGUUGAUUCUUAAGGAAGCUCAUGAGACAGCCUAUUCGAUUCACCCUGGCAGUGAGAAGAUGUAUCAGGAUCUGAAGAAGAAAUUCUGGUGGUACGGAAUGAAGAGGGAAAUCGCAGAGCAUGUGGCUAUGUGCGAUAGUUGUCGAAGAAUUAAGGCAGAGCACCAGAGACCUGCUAGAUUGUUGCAACCGUUGCAGAUCCCUCAGUGGAAAUGGGAUGAAAUUGGUAUGGAUUUCAUAGUCGGAUUGCCUCGCACUCGAGCCGGCUACGAUUCCAUUUGGGUAGUAGUGGACCGCUUGACCAAGUCAGCCCACUUCAUACCUGUCAAGACCAACUACAGCAGUGCAGUAUUGGCAGAGUUGUAUAUGUCUCGGAUCGUUUGUCUUAAUGGUGUGCCAAAGAAGAUAGUGUCAGACAGAGGAACGCAGUUCACCUCUCAUUUCUGGCAGCAGUUGCAUGAAGCCUUGGGCACGCAUCUGAAUUUCAGUUCAGCUUAUCAUCCGCAGACGGAUGGUCAGACCGAAAGGACCAAUCAAAUUCUUGAAGACAUGUUGAGAGCCUGUGCAUUGCAAGAUCAGUCCGGAUGGGAUAAGAGAUUGCCUUAUGCAGAGUUUUCCUAUAACAACAGUUACCAGGCCAGUUUGAAGAUGUCACCAUUUCAGGCGCUCUAUGGAAGGAGUUGUAGAACUCCGUUGCAAUGGGAUCAGCCUGGAGAAAAGCAAGUGUUUGGGCCAGACAUUUUGCUGGAAGCCGAAGAGAACAUCAAGAUGGUCCGAGAGAAUCUGAAGAUAGCGCAAUCGAGGCAGCAAAGCUAUGCAGACACAAGAAGAAGAGAGCUGAGUUUCGAAGUCGGAGACUUUGUCUAUCUGAAAGUGUCACCGAUCAGAGGAGUCAGAAGAUUCGGAAUGAAAGGCAAGUUAGCACCCCACUACAUUGGUCCGUAUCAGAUUCUUGCAAGACGUGGAGAAGUGGCCUAUCAGCUCAGUCUACCAGAAAAUUUGUCUGCUGUGCAUGAUGUCUUUCAUGUGUCUCAGUUGAAGAAGUGCUUGCGUGUGCCAGAAGAGCAGUUGCCAGUGGAAGGUCUUGAAGUCCAGGAGGACUUGACCUACGUUGAGAAGCCAGUGCAAAUCCUUGAGGUUGCAGACAGAGUCACCCGAAGGAAGACCAUCAGAAUGUGCAAGGUCAAAUGGAAUCAUCACUCUGAAGAAGAAGCAACCUGGGAGCGUGAAGAUGAUCUGAUGGCUAAAUACCCUGAGCUCUUUGCUAGCCAACCCUGAAUCUCGAGGGCGAGAUUCUUUUAAGGGGGAUAGGUUUGUAACGCCCUGAAUUUGGGGGUAGAAUUUUUUUCUUCUUUUCUCUCACCAAAUUCGGGCGUUACUCUCUUUUCUCUUUCCCCGUUUGCUCCUUCUUCCCAAUUUCAAACCAGUAUAGCGGCAUGUGUCCGUGUCAUGUAUAAACCAAAACCUAAGUGUCAUGGGUGUUGCAUCAUGCCGAAGCACAUUUCUUUGUCUGAUGAUGAGUGUUCGUCUCGUUCCGUUCCGGAUUUCGGUUCGCGAUUUAAUUCCGUUUAGUGGUCGCGCUCGUCGUGGGUUUUCGAUCCGCGAAGUGGCCCGGCCCAGCCCAAUCUAGUCCAGCCCAGCCGACCCGGCCUGCCCCGGCCUGCGCGCCCCUGGCACCCAAACCCCCCCCUGCGCCCCCUCCCGUCUCUCUCUCUCAUUUGGAUCUCCCGCGCAACAACCUCUCCUCUCCCUCUUCCACCUCUCUCUCCCCGUGGUGCCCUAGGAUUUGGAGACGGCGAUCACCGGAUUUUGGACCCCGAGGUGAGCUCCCCUCCCCUUCUCCUCUCUCUCUCUCUCUCCCUCCUCUUCUCCCCCGCGCGCGCACCCUCCCUCUUCCCCCUGCCCGCGCCCGACCCCGUCCCUGCCCGGCGCGGCGGCGCCCCUGCCCGCCCGCUCGGCCCCUCCCCGCGGCGGCGCCCCUGCCCGCCCGCUCGGCCCCUCCCCGCGGCGGCGCCCCUGCCCGCCCGCUCGGCCCCUCCCGCGGCGGCGCUCGGCGCCCGCCCCCGGCUCGCCCGCCCGGCCUCCCUCCCGCGGCGGCGCUCGGCUCCCCGUCCCCGGCCUUCCCCCCCGCUCGACCCCUCCCCGGCGCGGCGGCGCCCGCCCCCUGCCCCUCCCCGCGGCGGUGAUCCCGCCCGCCCCCUGCCCGGCCCCGCGUGGCGGCGCCCGCCCUCCCCUGGCCCGCGGCGGCGCUCGCCCGCCCCUGCUCGCCCGCGGCGGCGCCCGCUCGCCCCUGCCCGCCCGGCGGCGCUCCCCGCCCCUCCCCCGCGCGCGGUGGCGAUCCCGCCACCCGGCUCGGCCGCCCCCAUGCCCGCCCGGCCUCGGUCGCCCCUGGCCGGUUCAACCGCCCCCCUGGCUGGUUCAACCGCCCUCCCCCCCGCUCGGUCGCCCGUUCCCCCGUCCCGGCCUCGCCCGACCGUAUCUUCGCUCGCCCGCGCUCGCGGUGAUUAUUCGUUAAUUAGCGUGUUGCGUCGCGCGCUUCGCCGCGCGACGGAUUUGUCUAAAUUCAGAUUCUAUCUUGUGUUGCGUCGUGCGCUUCGUCGCGCGACGAUCCAUUUUUUUGUUUCAGGUUGUUUAAGGUGUAACGCCGCGUGUGUAUUCACGCGACGUUCCACUUUGGACUCAGUUUAGUCGACGUAUGCCGUCGUGCGCUUCGUCGCGCGACGCUUAACGUCUCCUCGUAACUAAGGCGAAGUGUCUCGUUGCGUGCUCGGUCGCACGACGAGUCGUUAACUUCUUAAUUUGUUUUAGAGAGCUUUGUCGCGCGUCUCGCCACGCGACCAUCUUUUUGUUUAUCUCCACCUGCUUAUAAUAAUUAGACAUGAAACAUGACUUUACUUUACGCUAAACAUAGUGUCUACAUUAAAUUUCCUUCCAUUAAGCGAGUAGUUAAUUUAUAAUCAUGUAACGUGAUCGUUUCUCGACUGUCUUUUCCUCUUUCUCUCUUAACCGUACUCGCGAGCCCGCGUAGAAUGUCUGUUUACUUAUUGCAUUCUAUUGUAUGGUGUACUGUUCUUUUGUAUUAAAUAUGUGGAUGUAUGUAUGUUUGCGCUCGCAUAGAGAACGAUCCGGUUGAAGAGCCCGAGGAACUCGCAGGAGAAGCCCCUGAGCAGCAGUCGGUUGGUGGAGGCAAGUGUCCCUUGACCUAUCUCUGUCCUAUUCAUUCUUUAAUUCACCUCCCGCUUUACAUAUUUAUACCUAAGGUUUGACUAGCUUUUGUUAUCCCUGUCCUUGAUUACCUAUUUGGGUUGGAUUAUUACUGUUUAGCUUUAUGCUAUUGCUCAAACUCUAAUCAAUGAACAUGAUGAGAUUAUCUAUGAUACGCUGUUUUCCCUUCUCUUAUUAUGAUGUUGUACUUGUGACCUUCAAGGGGGCUCGAGCGGUUUCUCGAGUGCCUCUCCGUAAGGACCUGUUCUAUGGAUGACCGCCCGGGAAAACAGUGCAACCAUGAGGGUAGAAUGGGGUGCCCUUAGCUGAAUAAUUAGAGGAUCCGGGGUGUAGUUCACUUAGCCGUCGUGCCGUCAAUGGGGCUCGGUGUAUGCGGCUCGCUCUGCCAAGGUUGAUUUGUCCCUUGGGGAGGAGUGCGGUACAUUUAGGAAACCUAACGGGUGGCUACAGCCCCGGGGAAUCUUUGUAAAGGCUACGUAGUGAUGCCCUGCUGGGUCACCUUGGUAGUGAUCAAUGGAGAGUCAUGAUCUCCGGGCAGAAUGGGAAUCACGGCUUGUGGGUAAAGUGCACAACCUCUACAGAGUGUCUGAAAACUGAUAUAUCAGCCGUGCUCACGGUUAUGAGCGGCCAAGGGAGCUCCAGUGAUUAGUGGUACUUGAUCAGAGACAUUGUGGUACAGGUGGCUAUGAGAUCGAUGGUUCUGGUUAUGACUAUGGUGCUGGUAAGUGGUAUUCUUUCCGUUUGGAAAGGGUACAUCGGGUUAAUAACUUGGGUUAAUGCUAAAACUUGGCUUUCUACUAGUAAGUAAUAAUCUGACCAACUAAAAGCAACUGCUUGACUUAUCCCCACAUAAAGCUAGUCCACUACAGCCAAACAGGAUACUUGCUGAGUAUGUUGAUGUGUACUCACCCUUGCUCUACACACCAAACCCCCCCCCCCCAGGUUGUCAGCAUUGCAACCACUGCUCAGGCGAAGAUGAAGCUGUGGAAGGAGACUUCCAGGAGUUCCAAGACUACGACGAGUUCUAGGUGUGGGUUAGCGGCAACCCCCAGUCGGCUGCCUGUGAAGGCCGCAGUUAUCUACGUUUCUUUUUCGCACUUUGAUUUAUUGUAAGAACUAUAUGGACGUCUCAGACGCAUGAUGUAAUCAACUAUUAUUCCCUUUUAAUACUAUUUUGAGCAAUGUGUGAUGAUGUCCAUGUUAUGUAACUGCUGUGUACGUGAAUAACUGAUCCUGGCACGUACAUGGUUCGCAUUCGGUUUGCCUUCUAAAACCGGGUGUGACACCUUCCCAGGGGGGCGUGAGCUUGUGCCUCCCUCGGGCGUCUUGCCGCAGCCAAAGCACUAGAUCGCCCACCUGGAGGUCUCGGGACCGGACCCCUCGGGCGUGGUAGCGUCGCAGGGACUGCUGGUACCGCGCCGAGUGUAGUAAGGCCCUGUCCCGAGCCUCCUCCAGCUGGUCCAGCGAUUCUUCUCGGCUAGCUUGGUUGCUUUGAUCGGUGUAGGCCCUCGUCCUCGGGGAGCCGUAUUCCAGGUCAGUGGGCAAGAUAGCUUCAGCCCCGUAGACCAGGAAAAACGGCGUGAAACCCGUGGCGCGACUCGGCGUCGUCCUUAGGCUCCAGACCACCAAGGGGAGUUCCUUCAUCCACCGCUUGCCGAACUUGUUGAGGUCGUUGUAGAUCCGAGGCUUGAGCCCUUGUAGAAUCAUGCCGUUGGCACGCUCUACUUGCCCAUUCGACAUGGGAUGAGCCACGGCGGCCCAGUCCACCCGGAUAUGGUGAUCCUCGCAAAAAUCUAAGAAUUUUUUGCCUGUGAACUGGGUGCCGUUGUCGGUGAUGAUGGAGUUCGGGACCCCGAAGCGACGGAUGAUGUUGGUGAAGAACGCCACCGCCUGCUCGGACCUGAUGCUGUUCAGAGGUCGGACCUCGAUCCACUUGGAGAAUUUGUCGAUGGCGACCAGCAGGUGCGUGUAGCCCCCGGGCGCCUUCUGCAAGGGACCGACGAGGUCCAGACCCCAUACGGCGAAGGGCCAGGUGAUGGGUAUCGUCUGCAGAGCCUGAGCGGGCAGGUGGGUCUGCUUCGCAUAGAAUUGGCACCCUUCGCAGGUGCGGACAAUUCUAGUGGCGUCAGCCACCGCCGUUGGCCAGUAGAAGCCUUGCCGGAAAGCAUUCCCGACAAGGGCUCGGGGCGCCGCGUGGUGGCCGCAAGCCCUCGAGUGUAUUUCUUGCAGCAGUUCCCGACCUUCGGCGAUGGAGAUGCAUCGCUGGAGGAUGCCCGAGGGGCUGCGAUGGUAGAGCUCCUCUUCAUCGCCCAGCAAGACAAACGACUUGGCGCGUCGCGCUACCCGCCGAGCCUCGACUUGGUCGGGGGGUAGCUCUCCUCGACGGAGAUAUUGCAGGUACGGGGCCUGCCAAUCUCGAUCAGGCGUGGCCCCGCUCUGCUUUUCCUCGACGUCCAGUGCCUCGCCCUCGGGGGCCAAGGGUACCUCGGGCUGAGCCGAGGGUGCCUCGGGCUCGGGCACGUCGUCGAUCUUGACAGAGGGUCGAUGCAGAUCCCGGGAGAAGACGUCCGGGGGGACCGUCGUUCGCCCCGAGGCUAUUUUAGCCAGCUCGUCUGCGGUUUCGUUGUAGCGCCGAGCGAUGUGGUUGAGCUCGAGCCCGAAGAACUUGUCUUCCAGGCGCCGAACCUCGUCGCAGUAGGCCUCCAUCUUCGGGUCGCGGCAGUGGGAGUUCUUCAUGACUUGGUCAAUGACGAGCUGCGAAUCACCACAGGCGUCGAGGCGUCUGACCCCUAGCUCGAUGGCGAUCCGCAACCCGUUGACCAGAGCUUCGUACUCGGCCACAUUGUUGGACGCCGGGAAAUGGAGGCGCAGCACGUAGCGCAGGUGCUUUCCAAGGGGCGAGAUGAAGAGCAGGCCCGCGCCGGCUCCUGUCUUCAUCAGCGACCCGUCGAAAAACAUGGUCCAGAGCUCCGGUUGGAUCGGAGUCGUCGGCAACUGGGUGUCAACCCAUUCGGCCACGAAGUCCGCCAACACCUGGGACUUGAUGGCCUUCCGAGGGGCGAACGAGAUCGUUUCGCCCAUGAUUUCCACCGCCCACUUUGCGAUCCUGCCCGAGGCCUCUCGGCACUGGAUGAUCUCCCCCAGGGGGAAGGAUGACACCACAGUUACCGGAUGAGACUCGAAGUAAUGUCGCAGCUUCCGCCUUGUCAGGAUCACAGCAUAUAGCAGCUUUUGAACUUGUGGGUAGCGGAUCUUGGUCUCGGACAGCACUUCGCUGACGAAGUAGACCAGCCUCUGAACGGGCAAUGCAUGCCCUUCCUCUUGCCUCUCGACCACAAUCGCGGCGCUAACCACCUGUGUGGUCGCGGCGACGUAGACCAAGAGGGCUUCUCCAUCCGCUGGGGGCACCAAGACAGGCGCCUUCGUAAGGAGCGCCUUCAGGUUGCCGAGGGCUUCCUCGGCCUCAGGGGUCCAAGCGAAACACUCGGCCUUCCUUAAGAGGCGGUACAGAGGCAGACCUCUUUCGCCGAGGCGUGAGAUGAAGCGGCUCAGGGCCGCGAGGCAUCCCAUGACCCUCUGUACACCUUUUAAGUCCUUGAUGGGCCCCAUGCUGGUGAUGGCCGCGAUCUUCUCCGGGUUGGCUUCAAUGCCUCGCUCGGAGACGAUGAACCCUAGGAGCAUGCCUCGGGGCACCCCGAAGACACACUUCUCAGGAUUGAGCUUGACUCCUUUCGCCUUGAGACAUCGGAAUGUCACUUCAAGGUCGGAGAGGAGGUCGGAAGCCUUCCUUGUCUUGACUACGAUGUCAUCGACGUAGGCCUCGACUGUGCGAUCGAUGUGUUCGCCGAACACAUGGUUCAUGCACCGCUGGUACGUCGCACCCGCAUUCCUCAAACCGAACGGCAUGGUGACAUAGCAGUACAUGCCGAACAGCGUGAUGAAAGAAGUCGCGAGCUGGUCGGACUCUUUCAUCCGGAUCUGGUGAUACCCUGAGUAGGCAUCGAGGAAGGACAGGGUUUCGCACCCAGCGGUGGAAUCCACGAUUUGAUCGAUGCAGGGCAGAGGGUAGGGAACCUUCGGACAUGCUUUGUUGAGACCAGUGUAGUCUACACACAUCCGCCAUUUCCCCCCUUUCUUCCUCACAAGCACAGGGUUGGCGAGCCAUUCGGGAUGGAAUACCUCUUUGAUGAACCCUGCUGCCAUUAGCUUGUGGAUCUCUUCGCCAAUCACUCUGCGCUUCUCCUCGUCAAAUCGGCGCAGAGACUGCCUGACGGGUCGGGCUCCGGCCCGAAUAUCCAGCGAGUGCUCGGCGACAUCCCUCGGUAUGCCGGGCAUGUCCGAGGGACUCCACGCAAAGACGUCGGCGUUUGCGCGAAGAAAGUCGACGAGCACUGCUUCCUAUUUGGGGUCGAGCCCGGAACCGAUCCGGACCUGCUUGGUGGUGUCACCACUGGGGUCAAGAGGGACGGCCUUAACCGUCUCUGCUGGCUCGAAGUUGCCGGCAUGGCGCUUCACGUCUGGCACCUCCUUGGAGAGGUUCUCCAGGUCGGCGAUGAGGGCCUCGGACUCGGCGAGGGCCUCGGCGUACUCCACGCACUCCACGUCGCAUUCGAACGCGUGUUUGUACGUGGGGCCGACAGUGAUGACCCCGUUGGGGCCCGGCAUCUUGAGCUUCAGGUAGGUGUAGUUGGGGACGGCCAUGAACUUCGCGUAACAUGGCCUCCCUAGUACGGCGUGGUAGGUUCCUCGGAACCCGACCACCUCGAACGUCAGGGUCUCCCUUCGGAAGUUGGAGGGCGUCCCGAAAUAGACGGGGAGGUCGAGUCGCCCGAGGGGCUGGACGCGCUUCCCAGGGAUGAUCCCGUGGAAGGGCGCAGCGCCUGCUCGGACGGAGGACAGAUCGAUGCGCAGGAGCUUGAGGGUCUCGGCGUAGAUGAUGUUGAGGCAGCUGCCUCCAUCCAUCAGGACCUUGGUGAGCCUGACAUUGCCGACAACGGGGUCGACGACGAGCGGGUAUUUCCCCGGGCUCGGCACAUGGUCGGGGUGGUCGGCCUGGUCGAAGGUGAUGGGCUUGUCGGACCAGUCUAGGUAGACUGGCGCCGCCACCUUCACCGAGCAGACCUCCCGGCGCUCUUGCUUGCGAUGCCGAGCCGAGGCAUUCGCCGCAUGCCCUCCAUAGAUCAUGAAGCAGUCGCGGACCUCGGGGAACUCCCCUGCUUGGUGAUCUUCGUUCUUGUCGUCGUCGCGGGCCCUGCCACCCUCGGCGGGUGGCCCGGCCCUGUGGAAGUGACGCCGAAGCAUAAUGCACUCCUCGAGGGUGUGCUUGACGGGCCCCUGAUGGUAGGGGCACGGCUCCUUGAGCAUCUUGUCGAAGAGGUUCGCACCUCCAGGGGGCUUCCGAGGGUUCUUGUACUCGGCGGCGGCGACAAGGUCCGCGUCAGCGGCGUCGCGUUUCGAUUGCGACUUCUUCUUGCCUUUCUUCUUGGCGCCGCGCGGAGUAGACGCCUCGGGAGCCUCUUCCGAUGGGCGGCCCUGGGGCUGCUUGUCCUUUCGGAAGAUAGCCUCGACCGCCUCCUGGCCAGAGGCGAACUUGGUGGCGAUGUCCAUCAGCUCGCUCGCCCUGGUGGGGGUCUUGCGACCCAGCUUGCUCACCAGGUCGCGGCAACUGGUGCCGGCGAGGAACGCGCCGAUGACAUCCGAGUCGGUGAUGUUGGGAAGCUCGGUGCGCUGCUUCGAGAAUCGCCGGAUGUAGUCCCGGAGCGACUCCCCCGGCUGUUGCCGGCAGCUUCGAAGGUCCCAGGAAUUCCCGGGGCGCACGUAUGUGCCCUGGAAAUUCCCAGCGAAGGCUUGGACCAAGUCGUCCCAGUUGGAGAUCUGCCCCGGAGGCAGGUGCUCCAACCAGGCGCGAGCAGUGUCGGAGAGGAACAGGGGGAGGUUACGGAUGAUGAGGUUGUCGUCGUCCGUCCCACCCAGUUGGCAGGCAAGGCGGUAGUCCGCGAGCCACAGUUCCGGUCUCGUUUCCCCCGAGUACUUCGUGAUAGUAGUCGGGGGUCGGAACCGGGUCGGCAAUGGCGCCUGUCGGAUGGCCCGACUGAAGGCCUGCGGACCGGGUGGUUCGGGCGAGGGACUCCGAUCCUCCCCGCUGUCGUAGCGCCCCCCACGCCUGGGGUGGUAGCCUCGGCGCACCCUUUCGUCGAGGUGGGCCCGACGGUCGCGUCGAUGGUGCUCGUUGCCGAGGUGGCCCGGGGCCGCAGGCGCGGUGUUGCGCGUGCGCCCGGUGUAGACCGAGGCUUCCCGCAUGAAUCGGGAAGUCGCGGCAUGAGGUUCCGAGGGAUAUCCUUGCCUUCGGGAGGCAGUGCUCUCGGCCCGUCGGGCCGCAGCGCCUUCCAGGAGAUUCUUGAGCUCUCCCUGGAUUCGCCGACCCUCGGUGGUUGAUGGCUCCGGCAUCGCGCGGAGGAGCAUCGCUGCGGCUGCCAGGUUCUGACCAACCCCGCUGGAUGCGGGCGGCGGCCUGACCCUGACAUCGUUGGCGACGCGGUGCUGGAGACCUUGGGGCAGGUGACGUAUUUCUCCGGCCAGGGGUUGGUCCGCCCAUACCUGCCCGACGUCCCGACGGAUCGGCUCAAGCGCUCCUGUUCCCUCGUUGAGCCUGGCCUGCGCCUCGCGGACUUGCUCGAGUUGUGGGUCGUAACCCCCCGCCGGAGCGGGGACCACAGCUAGCUCCCGUGGGAUGUCGGCGCGAGGCACCGGCCUAGGAAGAUCACCGUCCUCCGGCAUGCCGAGACGGUUGCCUUCGGGGGGAUCCCCUAGCUCGAUGUGGAAACAUUCGCGGCUUGGGCCGCAGCUCUCGUCGCCAAGGCUGCGGCUUCCGUCGGAACAGUCGGAUAGGCAGUAGUCACAUGCGGUCAUGAAGUCCCGCAUGGCACUGGGGUUGCCAAGUCCGGAGAAAUCCCAAUAGACGCUGGGGUCGUCAUCUUCCUCGGACCCAGAGGGCCCAUAGGUCGAGACGUCCGUCAGCCGGUCCCAAGGUGACCGUAUACGAAACCCCAGUGGGGUUGCACUCGCCUCAAUGAGAGCGCCCGCCAAAGCGAGGUCGUUUGGCGGGUUGAGGCCGAGUCGAAAUGACGUAAGAUGGGAGUUAGUCGGUACCUUUUGGUCGACGAGGAGCGACGUAGUCGCAUCGGGGACUGGUUGAACCGUCAUCUCAGGUACGAGGGCGACGUCCUGCAGGCUUUCCGCGAGCGCGCCGGGGGCGUCGAUUCGCUCGACGGCCAACGAAGCGCGGCCUCCCGCUUGGCCUUGACGGCCCCGCCUCCUCCUCCGUUGGCGGGGGAGAGAACGGAGCGAGCUCGAAUGUUGUUCUUCCACCACGCGGGGAAGGUGUCGUCGAUUCCGCCGCCGGCGAGCGGGUUGUCGGCCGCCAUUGUCGUUGUCGCGCGGCGGUGGAAGAAGUAUCAUGUCGUAGCUGCCGUCGAAGGACAUGAACUCAAGAGUCCCGAAACGAAGCACCGCCCCGGGCCGGAGAGGUUGCUGGAGAUUGCCCAUCUGGAGCUUGACGGGGAGCUGUUCGUCAGCACGCAGCAGGCCCCUACCUGGCGCGCCAACUGUCGGCGUUUCGAGACAGGGGGGUCCUAAAGCCGACGAGUGAGUGUGCUGCGUGUCCCAGCCCAGAUGGGUCGAGCGCGUGGGCGAGCGCGAAGGGGGGAGAGGCGAGGUGGCCGGAGUCGAGCGUGAGAGAGGUGGAAGUCCCGCGGCCUUCGUGUUCGUCCCGCGCCCAGGUCGGGUGCGCUUGCAGUAGGGGGGUUACAAGCGUCCACGCGGGUGAGGGAAGCGAGCGGCCCCAAGAGAGCGCCUGUCCCGUCCUCGGUCCCGCGUGGCCAACCUCCUCUAAGAAGGCCCUGGUCCUCCCUUUUAUAGUCGUAAGGAGAGGAUCCAGGUGUACAAUGGGGGGUGUAGCAGAGUGCUACGUGUCUAGCGGAGAGAGAGCUAGCGCCCUAGGUACAUGCCAAUGUGGCAGCCGGAGAGGUCUUGGCACCUUGCUGGCGUGAUGUCGUGGCUGUCGGAGGUGCGACGGAGCCUGGCGGAGGGACAGCUGUUGGAGCGGUCGAGUCCUUGCUGAUGUCGCCCUGCUUCCGUAAGAGAGCUGGGGGCCGCCGUCGUCACAGAGCUUGUGGAGCGCCAUCAUUGCCCAUCCGGCGGAGCUGGCCGGAUGGGACGCCGGUCUUGUUCUCCGUGACCCGAGUCGAUUCGGGGUAGGACGAUGAUGACGCUUCCUGUUGACGUGGCCGGUCUGUGCCCUAGGCGGGGUGACGUGGGGGCUCCUCCGAAGCCGAGGUUGAGUCUGUCUUCUGUUGCCGAGGCUGAGUCCGAGCCCUGGGGUCGGGCGAGGCGGAGGUCGUUUGGCCGAGGCCAGGGUGGAGUCCGAGCCCUGGGGUCGGGCGAGGCGGAGUUUCGUCGUCUUCCGGGUCUUAGCCCGAGUCCGAGCCCUGGGGUCGGGCGGAGCGGAGUUCGCCGUCUUCCGGGUCUUAGCCCGAGUCCGAGCCCUGGGGUCGGGCGGAGCGGAGUUCGCCGUCUUCCGGGUCUUAGCCCGAGUCCGAGCCCUGGGGUCGGGCGGAGCGGAGUUCGCCGUCUUCCGGGUCUUAGCCCGAGUCCGAGCCCUGGGGUCGGGCGGAGCGGAGUUCGCCGUCUUCUGGGUCUUAGCCCGAGUCCGAGCCCUGGGGUCGGGCGGAGCGGAGUUUCGUCGUCUUCCGGGUCUUAGCCCGAGUCCGAGCCCUGGGGUCGGGCGGAGCGGAGUUUCGUCGUCUUCCGGGUCUUAGCCCGAGUCCGAGCCCUGGGGUCGAGCGGAGCGGAGUUCGCCGUGGCGCCUUUGGCAAGGCCUGACUGUCUGUCUGACUCACUCUUUGCGUUAAAUGCUCCUGCAACUCGGUCAGUCGGUGUGGCGAUUUAGUCAGGGUUGCUUCUGAGCGAAGUCAAGGCCUCGGGCGAGCCGGUGAUGUGUCUGCCGUAAAAAGGGGGGCCUCGGGUGAGAAGGAAGUCUCUCGAGGUCGGCUGCCCUUGGCCGAGGCUAGGCUCGGGUGAAGCGUGAUCGAGUCACUCGUGUGGACUGAUCCCUGACUUAAUCGUACCCAUCAGGCCUUUGCAGCUUUAUGCUGAUGGGGGUUACCAGCUGAGAAUUAGGCGUCUUGAGGGUACCCCUAAUUAUGGUCCCCGACAAUAACCGAUAAACAUAGGGUCUCUUAUGCAAACAUACACAGCGAAAGGGUAUCACCGGUUCUCGGACGUCCGAUCUAACACUAACACCCUCAAUUAAAUCGAAGGCCGCUCAACACCCCCGCCACCCGAUUAGGAUCCAAGAGUCCGAAUUGUCCCAGCGGUACAUCCGUUCUACGAUUGAUCCAGGUCGUUCCCUUGCAAUCUACGCCUAGGAUUUAAAACACUCAAGACCGCAUCUGCACCAAUUGUGAUCAAUCCAGUGGCCCAGAUUACUUCUACAUCGUGUCAUGCUCUGGACCAUCGAUCUAUCCAUCAACCGCCCACAAACCCGUCUUCCUUCCCCGACCAACUCCCCAAAACAGAAGACAACGAUGUAUACCACCGCCGGCGAGGCAAAUCCUUGACCCAGGUGCACCAAACUUCAAUUCAAUGGCUCUACACAUUGCGGUAAUCAAGGCGAACAUGAGUGAGGUUUCCAUACUGGGAAUCGCGCGUGCAGGCAUGUUGUCCACGGGGCGGAGCGGCUUCACGGUGGAAGGCAGGGCCCGACGAGCAAUUCCCAGCUACCAGGUGGUCGAUUCCGCCCGCAAACGGCACGGACAGCUUCCUGAUGGCUCGCGCAAGCCCACAACCCAGCCCAAGAUUCCAGCCAAUGGCGAGAAAUAGAUUGGCGGCGGCAGAUAUUACUUGACGUAGGGGUGUGGUUCUCUCUCCCUCUCCUUCUCGGCUCGGGCUCUAACACAUUCGCGAGACGACACUCCUAGGAGCGGCACAUGCGCUUAUAUGCAGAGAGGGCUUCGAUCUCGCAACGACCUCCCGAGUUCGUGGCAGACGGUGGUCGCACGGAAGUCGGCGCAGCAAGCGGGUUCUCGUGUGAUGGCGACAGAGAAUGACUUGCGGGCCCCGUGACGCAGCGACCACACGCGCCCGCGGAGUUCUCGGAUCGCCGUUUCGCUCUCGGACCCACGCGCUAGUGAAUCUCCCCCACUCACCCGACUAUGCGGAGCUGACCAACCGGGUCCACCAGCUAGCGACCCGCAGCGCACGCAGCGCACUUGUCUGGGCCACACGAAGGAAGGAUAGGUGGGCUGAGGGAGGUUUGGGCCCAUUUAGGUUUUCCAUUUUAUUUCUUUCUUUUCUUUUCUGGUUUCUUUUUCUCAAAUUUUAGAAUUCAAACUCAAAUUUGGUUGGGAAUUUUUUAUUCCUAAAUUAAUGUACAAUUCCAAGACCUCAGUAUGGACAGGGACAUCUACUUAUAUAAUUUUCUUUCACAUUAUAAUUAAGAUUUUUCUUUUUACUCUUUUCUUGGGUUACUUCCCAUUUCUAAAUAUUCAAAUUAGGUCUUAACUCACCUUUUGAAAUCCACAUUAAUGUGAUCAUUAUCAUUAUUAAAUGCACACACAAUUAAACUCCAACAUGAUGCAUGAUUUAUUUUAUAGGUUAUUGGCUAAUUACUCACUUAAAAUGUGUUUGUUCACAUGUGCUAAUGAGUGGAGGCGACACACAUAAAGAGAUCAAUCUCUAUUUUCAUUAUUUACAAUUUCGACAUUAGAUGAAGCUUUAGACGGAUAAUAGAAGCACAAGCGCUAAGAGCUGAAGCCUUAGCACGGGUAGCCCUUCCAGCAAAGAAAGACGAAGCCCUCUCGGAAGAAGAGAAGUCUGUUAGGUAUCAAUAGAGACUGGAUUGGGUUUAACUCAACUAAUCGUCUCUUUAAUCGAGUCUUUGGUUGGGAUUCCCCAUGCUAACCUCGGUUGGAGCCUCGGGUACACGACACUAUAAAAGGAUUAAGGGGUCGCAGGAAAGCCAACGCAAGUACCUCGCCCCAAAACCCUAAUCUCCACAGAAGUCCCAUCACCUAAGCGUCAAAGUGUCUAGAAGCGCGACAACCCAUAGCAGCUCAGAUCUUGAUGCAUGUUGUUCCUUUACAGGGUAACGGAGGUGACGCCGACGACAGCGAACUCUCCAACAACAACAACGAAGGUAUGUUUCCCUAUUUCUCUCAGAACAGAUCUACUCGUCAUCGAGGUUUUCCAAUUACAGGUUGGUAUUCUAGAGGCUUAGGAAUCGAUCCUAUGCACCAUAGAAGCUAACAAAGUCAUGCACGACAUAUUAAAGCCAUCUCCAGUAGGUCGUGUAAAUGGACAUGCAAAGUAUUGUUUGUUCUUUAUAUUACACUGUUUAUAUAGUGAAGUUUGAAAUAGAGAGUGUGAUAGGGAGUCUGGUGAAGAUAGUAUAAGGAUAUGGAAUGACGAAAUUGUACCUCUGAUGUUCCGUGUAAUUGUUAUGUAAUUGAGAGGAAAAUUUUGUAAAUUUAUAAGAUGUACAACAUCGACCUGACCAUAUAAAUAUAUGAACUUACCACAACAACGGGAUCGGCCAUUUGAUCUCGUGCCUAUAACAUCUCUCAAGAGAGCCUCCAAAGUUAUAACAACAAAAAAACAAAGUUAUAUUAGUGGUGCAUUCAUAUCAGAGUUGUCAAGGGUAUUCUUUAUGUUGCAGAAAAUAGUGUGUUAUAUAUAUAGAAUUGUUAAGUGAUUAUUUACCUUCGUCUAAUAUAAUAUCAAGUUUCACAUGUGUUCAUCUUCAACUUAUUAUGUCAAUAUUGAGUUGCAAAGCUUCAUUCAUCCUUUCUUGCCCUUCUAUCCGGUGAAACCAUUGGAGAGGGGAGAAGUCAAAGGGAAAUGGCAUCAACAUUUCCUACAAUCGAUUUUGGUGUUUGAUGUCCAUCACAAACUAUAUGGACUAACUAGUUUGCCUAGUGAAUGUUUUUAUUAGGUGCAUAAAGUUCACAUAAACAAACAAAUAAAAUGAUCGAGGGAAUUCUACAAAGUUUGGAGCAUACAAGUUUUGGUGCAGUCAGUGGUGCACCGGACACUGUCCGGUGUGCACCGGCUAGAGCACCUCACGAACUGGCCGCUCUCGAGUUUUCUCAAAGCUCGUCCACUAAAAUUCAUUGGACAGUCCAGUGCACCACCGGACUGUCCGGUGAGCCAACGAGCAACAGUCAACUUCGCCCAACGGUCAACUGCGCGCGCAGUCUGCAGUACCAGAAGUCAGAAGACGGCCUACAACGUCAGGUUGCACCAGACUAUCCCGUGUGCCAAUAGACUGUCCGGUUCCGUAAGAAGACAGAAGACUUCAAUGGUAAACAUCUCCAAACCCCAACGGUCAGCUGACGUGGCACUCACCAGACAAUGGAUAAUGCAGUGUCCGGUGUGCCCAUCGACAUCAAAGUCAGUCAAUGACUAGAAAGUGGUUGGAGGCUAUAAAUACCCCCCAACCACCUCCAUUCAAGCCAUCCAAGCUUCUCACUAUUCUCAUUCAAUACAAGAGCAAAAGACUAGACUCUAAAGACAUAACCAAAGCAUCAAAUCCUCUCCAAGCUCUAAAUCAAGUCAAGUGAUCAAAAGUGUUUAGUGACUUGAUAGAGGGUGAUUUGUGUUUCUUUUGUUUCUCUUGUUGCUUGGUUGCUUUCUUCUUCUCACUCUAAUCUUUCCAAGUGUUUUGUAAAGCUAGCAAGAGACACCUAAUUGUGUGGUGAUCCUUGCAGGGUCUUAGUGACCCGUGUGAUUAAGAAGAAGCACUCGACCGGUCUAAUUGAUCGAUUGAGAGAGGGAAAGGAUUGGAAUAGACUUGGCCUUUGUGGCCUCCUUAACGGGGAGUGGGUUCUUUGGAACUGAACCUCGGGGAACAAAUCACCGUGUUCAUUUGUAUUAAUCUUCAUCACUCGAUUUGUUUCUUCCCUCUCCUCUCUCUAAAGUUCCCUUGCUCAUAUUGUUUUGAGUUGGCUCCCAAAGUUAUCCGUAUUGAUUAACUCAUAGCAAGAGCAACUAUCUUCCGCACUCCUAACUCAUUAUUAUUUAUUUCUAAUCCUAACCCUGGGUGAAGUAUGUGUUCAAAGUUCAUAAUUUUCAAGUUUCACCUAUUCAUCCCCCUCUAGGCGACUUUCAAGAAGGAUAUAAGAUAAUUUUGUUGCCCUGUUGUGUUUCUUUCAUGAAUAUCGAUAGAUCCCCAACAUCAGCCUAUAUAUGUUUUUCCAUCCUAUUCAUAGUUUUUUUCUCUAUUUGCACUUGCACAAACCAACAUAUGCUCUUAAAUACUACGACGACAUCAAGGUCAUAUAAACCUGCAACAUGUUCCUCAUGUCAGUGGUAAAGCUUAAAGUGAAAUCUAGGAUGGAGUAAUUGUGUGCCUCAUAACCAUUAUUUACUUCAAAUGGAUAUCAAAGAGUAGGAAGAUCAUAGUCAUCUUAGUUAGUUUUAAUAUAUUAGUAUUAAUAUGAAUGUGUGGUUUAGAAACAUCUAUGCGUGCAUAAACUAUGGUUAUCUAGAUAUUUUUUGUAAUAGUAGUUGUUGGUAAUUUAGAAGUAGAUGUUGGCAAUUUAGAUGUAGAUAUAAGGGUAUAUUCUAGUUCUUUUUCAUAAUGACAAAAAGUGGUGAUUUAGUACAAUUCAAGGAGUUGCUAGAUUACACUCCCUCUAUCCGAAAUUAGUAUUUGUUUUAGCUCUUGGUUUUAAAUGGAUGAUGAAGAAUCUAGACACAUAUAUAAAAACACAUACAUUAAAUAUUGUAUGAAUCCAUUAACAUCCCAAAAUGAAUUUUAAUUUGGGACAGAGGGAGUAUAUCAAGUUAUGAUUUAUAAUUCCAAAUUGAUGUUGUCUUUCAUAGUAAUUUUAAAAUAUAAUAGAUCUUAUAGUUGUUAUUAAUAAUGGUGAAUAAAGUCUACUAAAUUGAUGGUUUGAUGUUUAUAACAAUUUAUAUUUGUCGGGGAUAAGAUCCCUAGUCCCUGGAGUUCAUCGGUCAACAAGCACAUCCGAGGAAAGCCACAAACAACUGAGGCUCGUCGGUCAGCUGGAGGAGACAGGUAGCGCCUGCUCUGCAGGAACCCACCCCCAGACGAACCCCACGGCACCAAUCCUAGGGUCAUACGUGGAUGAGUCUAAAGGGGGGGGACGGGCGUACCAAACGGAAACCACUUGAGUGGAUCCCUCGUCAGGCCUGAGACUAAUCCAUCAUAUGUAACCAGCUACAAGCCCCUUGGACGACAGAGCACUCAUGACCCACGAACCCCUUGGAUUGUGGCGCAUUUAUGGCUCGCGCACCCAUGACCUACGACGCACUCAUGACCUACUAGGACUAGGCCUGAGUGCGCAGACCUCUGGUAGGGCACAACAUGGCGAACCACGUCGAGCCUUAUGCUACGAAGGCCAGGGGUCAACAUAGCCCGAAUGAUAGCGCUCAGGCCACACGCCGCCCACCAUAAAGAGUAUGAGACAACCAAACAACCACGAGCACGCUUGGCUUUACCCCAUGGUAGAACGCUCGGUUUUACGGUUGCCCGGUGGCUCCUUGAGGAAGCCAUCGCUAGCCAGUCCCCUCCCUGGCCUAUAAAAGGAGGAGGCCGACCCAAGGCUCUAGGUUGGACGGGCAUGACCUGGAUCCCUCUAGCUAGGAUUCAGGCCCCCAGACACACGAUGGACGCAAGGAUGGGCCCCAGACGAGAAGACACCUAGAAGGACAGAUGGAUAGGAGGAGGACCCAGAGGCCGGAGCCCCGCCGCCAAGCCAAUACUAAGAUAGGACUCCACUUUGUAACCAACAACGCCACGAAUAAGAGACUUGGGAGCCUCUCUUUUGUCUCUCACCCACUUGUAACCCCUACUACGAGUUCUGGUCAUCAAUUGUGCUGGUAGCGCAAGGCACCGAUGACUAGAAGUAGGGACGUUCUCCCGAACUAGUAUAAAUCUUGUGUCCACCGCGCACACCAUUCGGAGCUGGAACACGCACAACAAAUUUACUUGUUAGAUCGAGGAUCAAAACACCGACAAUUGGCAUGCCAUGUAGGGACUACGUGUCCCGACGAAGUUCUUUAAGCUCCGAAUGGCAAGCCACGACGUUAAUCGGUCUCCUAGAAUGAUGAUCCAUAUCAGGAGCCUCGACUUCUCCCUCAACGACGAAGGCGAAGUGGUCAGGGCCUCAGAAGCCCGACCCCCUCUGCCGAGGAAUCACGACACGACCGCGAGGGCCAGCAGAGGCCCCCGCUUCGACUACACCCCCAAAGUGCCCAUCCGCUUUGGGAACCUUGAUUUCAUCAUCAACCAGGGGGUGAUAGGGCCAGACCAGUGCUCGUGCGACCUCCUCCGCUCGAGAGGUCUGACAUAGUCUCGGAGGCCCUUGGCGGCCUCAGCCUCACCCCACGCGGGCGGUGUGAGAGGCAUAGGCUGGCCCCGCCUUCCAAGGCAACCAAAAUAAGGCGACAGAUCGUGAUCCAUAUGGGACCAAAGCCCUCAUAUUACGAUCUGUCGGCUUUCUUCGCAUCCUAUGCAGAGCUUUCUGCGUCAUAUUACGCUGUCAGCAAAAUGAGAUGCCACGCAUGGUAGGACACAGAGAGAUCAUGGGACGUAAUGCUUCGAAUGAGAGCCCAUGGUAGAUGCCCGACCAGAGAAGAUCCAUGUCGUGCUUGUAAAACCAUCGAAAGGUUAUGAAUAAAGCAUGGUUUUGGAACUACACUCGAUGCCAAAACACAGUAAAUAAGGGGAGAACCUCGGUUAAAGCCCUAGACCUUUCUCUCCUCCCCCCUCUCUCUCCCUUUCUCGUUUCCCCUUAGCAACUUUCAGGAUAGGAAGUGUACCAAGAGCCGAACGGGGCAUGAUGAACAACGACGAUCUCGACAGAGUAACGAGCGGGAACCCCAUCACAAAACUAGCUAUGUUACUUUAUCUCUUCUGAACUCAUGUGCUUUGAGUUUUUCUUGCCUUUUGUUGGAAGGGUCUUUGGUGAAACAAGACACCAUACCACUCUUUAUCUCUCGGGGCACCCUCGAUGGGCAGGGGGCCUCAGGACAAAGUAACUAGAUACCCCCGUCAUUGAACCCUAGGAAAGGCAUUGAGUGGGGUGGCCCUGUAUCAGUUUUUGCUAGAAACAGACCUAUGAGACGGAUAACGUGAGUGGAAGGACCCACCGGGGAAGCUGGUCCUAACUACGAACACCUAUGCCUUGAAGGCUACGAGAAUGGUCAGCAGUGGAACAUAUGGUCCGAGUGGGUGGUCCAUAUGGGCCACGGUACACCCUAAGAUCAGAUAAAAGUAGUUAGUAUAGUGGUGUAAGUGUUAUUUCUUGGACUAGCAGUCAAGGUUCGAGUCUUGCUAUCCCUAUUUUUUGUUUCUUUUCUUGAUAUUUUUUUGACACACCCUAAGCAUAGCUGCUGGGUCCGCCACUGUCCAAAACCCAUCUCUACGGAACGACCGCUAGCAAAGACGAACCACAAGACACGACGCAAAAAACCCUGAUGGCGUUUAUUAAACAUAUCUCUGCUUGUACAAUUUUUCUAUAAAAAAUUAAUCCUCUGCCUUUUCUCUUUAGGAAACAUGAAAAAGCGAGCAAUCACAGGACGGGCGCCGCGUGAUGGGUCCUGUCAACGCUCUCAGGUCUCCGAAGCUCACCAUGUCGCCGACGACUAGAACAUCUCGGGCGAGCUCAACUUCGCUUGAUCGAGUCCUCACCAAGGGGCCGAGCGGCGAUUAAGGCGUGGUGGACCCCGAGCUGGAACGCGACGCCCUCCAGUUCAGGAAUGUGGCCAGAGAUGAGUGUCAUUCGGGGAGUCAGGGCAGACAUUUUCCUCAACUACGAUGACCGCAUACGAGGUCAAUGGUCAUAGCCACACUAGAGCGCUCGGUGUGAAGAGCCCGAAGGCGCUCCACCGCACGAGAAAGCUACUCUAUCACCAUCGUAGGCGAAAAACAGGAAAUCCCAUGAGAAAACUACUAGGUCUAGGAGGGCUAAAAAUUGAGGAUGAAAGAGCAUGAGCCUCACCUUCUAUCAAGAACCCAGAUGAAUGUCCUUCAACAUCACGCACCAGCGACCGUGCUUCGGUAAGACCCAGCUGGGCCCUCAAAGAGCCCUCCCUCGCUUCAAUCGUAGGGAGCUCAGGCCUCGCCAUCUUACCAAGCUCGGACCCCGCCACCACAACUCCCUCAGCAGCCGUACCUUGAGGGGACCAUCUCCCUAGACUGGGAGUUAGAGUGAUGGCACAAGCUCGCCCCCAUAGGCUGCCCUUAGGGCAGGGGAUCUUCGAUUGGGAAAGGCUGCAUGAACAAUAAAAUAAACUCCUCAUGAUAGCAAGAUAGGAAAAGAGACAUGUGGGAUGGCACAAGAGGCUUAUGAACUCGAUGAAGCCUAGGUCAGGGCACAUGGGAGGACACUCGGGGAUAGAACGCAAGGACGAUCGUAACGCCCCAUAUGCCUACUUCUGAACCUCUAGGGCCUGGCUAAGCCAUCAUGCGAUGUCCGAGUCGCUUGGGAGGAUCCUAGUGCCUAGGGAGAAGAGAUCCUUCCCCAUAUGAUCUAGAGGCACAAGUCGGGCCUUUAGAGGAGCCACCCCUUGUUGAAGAUAGACAUUGAUAGUGCCCACUCCUGUAACUCCUUUCUCUCAGAGGAUAAGCACCCCUUCCAGAUUUUUUGGAUUCAAAAUUUCUCUUUAGGUGUAACAUCGCGACUACAAUUAAAGGGAGCCUAUGACGGGAUGCUCCGGUCGAUGCCAAGAAGCUACAGCCCAGGCAAGGGCCCUUGACUGACGUCUCGUGGGUAAAACCAUCACAUGUGCCAACCCUUAUUACAUAAGGAAAGGGGAAUCAUGAUAUACUCAUGCGACCUCCCGCUGCGAAGGCAGAUACUAGGGCACCCGACCGCCCAUGCUUCCAUUGUUCUUUGCUCUUUCUUCUUCCGUAACAGUUCGACACAAAAGAAGUAUCGCCAUAAGGUGAGAUUGGGCUCGACACUUAGAUGCCUUUCGCACAAAGCGAUAAAAGCAGCUAUGUGCUAAAUCCCAUUCAAAUUCAAAUAUUGAAGUUGCAGCUGCAAAUACUUGAAGAGGGUCACGAUGAAAGUGAAAGGGAAAUGUGCCUUUGGGCCAUUUCUAUAAGUGUUUUGGUGAUUAGAUGCCCAACACAUAUUGAUUGAGUUCUCAUGUGCUAAAUGAGUGAGAAGUGCAAAUCAAAGAACAAGGUAUGUUUCUAAACUUAGUGAAUUGUUUUUGAAUACUAACGUGUUUAUAUAAGUGCUAGAAACAGUGCCAAGAAAAGAGUUUGAGAAGAUAUGGCUCAGUGCAGCAAAAACCAGCUCCAGCCGAGCACACCGGACUGUCCGAUGGUGCACCGGACAGUGACCGGUGCCCCAGGCUAGGCCGGCUGUGAACUGGCCACUCUCGAGAAUCGGCCGAGCAACUUGGAUAAAAAUCACCGGACUGUCCGGUGGUGCACCGGACAGUCUGGUGAGUCUUUAGCGCCCGCGCCCAAGUCUUCAGCGACGAACUCGUCGUUCUCGGGAAAUGGAAAAGGCACCACAGCUAUAAUUCACCGAACUGUCGGGUGGUUCACCAGACUGUCCAGUGAGCCAACGGCGCUUGCAGCCAACGGUCGACCGCACAAUCAGCGGGCGACGUGUGGCCCGCGCCAACGGUCAGUUGGGCUCACUGGACUGUCCGGUGUGCACCGCACAGUGUCUGGUGCGCCAACGGGACCGUUGGCUCAACGGUAGGAUGCGCCAGAUAAAGAAGGAGAUCGCGCACCGGAGAGCUAUAGGACCUGUCUGGUGCACCACUCGAAAGUUGAUCUUCAACGGCUCCUAGCUGCCUUGGGGCUAUAAAAGGGACCCCUAGGCGCAUGAAUGUAAUAUCCACUUUGUAAGAAAAGUCUAAAAAGAGAAAUUUCAUUCCUUUAUAUAUUUGUGAGUCAUCUAUGUGCAUCAUCUCAUGUGGACACCCUACUUAACAAGAAUAAAUGGGUAACAAAAGACACUCAAAUAACUUGUGCAUCCUUUGGAGUUUUGUUUGCUUGUGCAUUAAAAUAAUAACAAUGAUAAUUCUAGAAAAAAAAUAACAAUGACUUGAAAUGAAGUUUGAACCCUAAAUUGGAAUUAGGGUUUUGAAAAUAAGAAGAAGGAAGAUGAUAUAAAAAUAAUACAAUUAUAUUUCUAAAAUAGGUACCCUUAAUUUCAGAAAAAUAGUAGAGAAUAAAUUUGGCAUAAAUUCGAAUUUAAAUUCGAAUUCAAAUUAAACUUAGAAAAACAGAAAAGAAAAUAAAAAGGAAACGAAACUCAUUUGGGCUGCCGUACCUCAAUUGGGCCCAUUAAGUCUUUCCCUCCACGCAGCCCAGCUCCCACCGCGGCGCCGACAGGCGGGACCGCCUUGUCAGCCGCACGACCCAAGCCCAGUUUCUUCUCGCCGUGCUCUGGCUGACACGCGGGCCCAGGAAACCAGCCGAUUGACACAAGCGUCGCGCGGCCCACUCUAUCACUUCCGCGUGGGACCCGCUGGUCUGCGCGAGCUCCACCUCCGCGCGUCCAUGGCGCUGACCGCAACCACCUACGCGGAAUUCUGGGUCGGCCAAGCUCGGACUCCGCCGCUAUGCUAUAAAACUGAGGCCGAUCCCCCUAGCAACAGCUCCCAUGGUUGCGCUGGUGGACAAGCGCCUGUCACCCAGGAAUUUCUCAACCGAAACCCACGACCACCGUCGACCGCACGCAGCCGUGGUCCGCCCGCCUGUGCGCAUAAUCCUCGGUAUGGUUCCCUCAAUCGCGUUCGCUUUUGUUCCCGCAUCGUGUAAAGCCAUUUGGAUUAGAGGAAUAGAGUUGUUAGGGAGGGGGGAUUUGUUGCCGGACUUGUGCUCCCGCUGCUCGUCGUGGGUGUGCGUCGGUGUUGCGCGAAUUCCGGUGAUGGUUGGACCAGCGCGUUCGGGUGGGUUUGGGCAUCGCGUAUAAGUCAUGGGGGCCCGGGAUUGUAACUAGGGCGCCGGAUUCACUCGCGCCGGCGAGCUCACCACCGCCUGGGUGGGUGGCGCCACCGUCGGGCCGCGCUGGGAGGAAGACAGACCUAGGCCAUCAGAUCCGAAUCGUGAGGAUGGGAUUAGAUCCAGUAGGGGCGGGUGUAUGGCCGUUGGAUUAGGAUUGUGUGGAUCAGGGCGCAUGCCAGUAGGGUGAUGUGGUCUUCUGAUCUGAACCGUAGAUCUAGAUCCGAGGGCCACGGAUGGAUAUCGGCUUCAUUAAAUCCUUACCCUUGAUCUUAGAUCCAGUGGCCGUAAUCGCAUACCUCUUCAUUUAUUGGCGAUCUGAUCCGGACCGUCAGAUCUGGAUCGUGCGGCCCUAGAUCCCCGAUACCCAUUCGCCGUGUACAUUUAUUAAAGAGUCCCUCUGUUUUCGGAAAACCAACCCGCGGUCCUCGGGAACUAUUCUCUGUGUCUGGAGAUUCUUACCCCGAGCCCCCUGUGCUUCACAGAAAUUGAGGCCCAGUCCAGAGAUCGUUUAAAUUGAAUAAAUGAAAUAGAAAAUAGUUUUUUAAUAGGAAAAUAAUUGCUAUAACUUCGAUAAUUCAUAGAAAAUGCAUAUGAACUCCAAAUUACUUCAUUCUAGUUCCUAAAAUUUUGUAAUUUUAUUCUCUAGCACUUAGUGUCUCUGUUUUAUCAUGACAACAGUAAGAAAAUUAAUCCCACACUUAAUCCUAUUUUAAACACAUAAAACCUUUGUAAAUUCAUAUCUUAAAAUCUAUAGCUCCAAAAAUUUCUAUUCCUAGGAUUUUAUUUUAAUAUGUAGAUUAUUACUGUGCAUCUUGUUUAUAUGUUUGGUGUGAUGUUAAUUUCUCUAUAUACACUGUGCUUGUUUGUAUUGUGGCGAGUAGAAGAGCCCGUUACUGAGGAUCCUGGUGAGCAGCAGGUUGAAGUAGCUGAGCAGGAGCUCAUUAAAGGCAAGUUGUGCCCUUGACCACUUUUUACCUAAUAAUGUUCCUUAAUAUCACUUACUCAUGCAUAGGUUAAUUUUGAUGGGACCCAAUAGGUUACCCUAGAUUGUUUAUCUCAUUACCUUGUUUACCCCUGAAUCACUUGGGUAGUUUGCUAUUGCUUUACAUGAAUUUGGGUAUAAUUAUUUAUCAUAUCUUUGUUCCAGUUAUUUUGUUAUUCUAUUUAUGUUCAUGUCAAGAUCAUUAAUGUUAAUUGGAACAUAGAGCUUAACUUGAGAAACACGUGCCACCACAAGGGUUUAUGGACGCCCUUGGCUGAUUAAUUAGGAAAGCUAGUGGAGGACUACCUUACCCGAAAGGGGCAAGGGCAGUAGGGGAGUGGUCAGUGUAGGGAGGUCCUUGGUUGAUUUUGCUGCGAUGGCGGUCAGACAAGAACCCUGCAUUGGAGCUUCCUAUAAACUGUAGCGGGUUUUCUGAAGCUAGUGGAACUUUGUAAAGGCCUCGUAGUGUUACCCUGCCUCGCCUCCUCGGUAGAGGUGUAUGGGAAGUCGCGAUCCCUUGGCAGAUGGGUAACAUGACUUGUGGGUAAAGGGUACCACCUCUGCAGAGUGUAAAACUGGUAUACUAGUCGAGCUCACGGUCAUGAGCAGCUCAGGACUCUCUGAUGAUUAACUUAUGGAACUAAAUUCAAUUUGUCAUAUGCAUUGCAUCGCAGGUGAUGUUGUUACUUUUGUUCUACUACUUAAUUGGGUUGGUAUUUACUUAUACUUAGUAAUUGCUAAUAAAAUUUUGACCAACUUUAAAAGCAAUGCUCAGCUCUAACCAUCCUCUUUGGUAAGCCUUACACUUCACGUGAGCUCCCACCUUUGGCGAGUUCAUGCACAUUAUUCCCCACAACUUGUUGAGCGAUGAACGUAUGUGAGCUCACUCUUGCUGUCUCACACCCCCCCACAGGUCAAGAACAGGUACCGCAGGAUGAGGCACAAGGAGGAUGCUGCGAUGAGUUCGUGAGAGAUCUAGGUCGUCGUCUCCCAGUCAACUUUGGGUUGCUGGACCGUUGUCUCCUUAUAUGUAAUUAUUUAUUUUGUAUAGAACUCCUAUUAUAUAGUAAAAUUGUGACAUUCGAUCCUGUGCCAUGAUUCAUCAUAUGUGUGAGACUUGGUCCCAGCACACCUGGUGAUUAUGUUCGCGCCCGGGCUUUGGGCCCCUAAAACCCGGGUGUGACAGAAGUGGUAUCAGAGGAAUGUUGACUGUAGGACGAAACCUAGAUAGAACUGGACAACCCUUAUGUACUUACCUCUGCUACUCUGAUUCUUUUCUAAACUUAUCUUAAUCUUUUCUCAUCUAAUUCCGCUUACUCUGAUUAUUCUUAUCUUUUCUUUCUAAAGACAAAUGUGGAUUUCACACUUUGAAAUCCUGUACCUAAAGUGACCUUUAGGAAUAGGAGACCUACUCCUAGAAACAAAAACAAAAGUAUUUUCUUUGUAUCUAUACGCUUGAGUGUUUGUUCUUAUGAUAAUUGUCUGAUUUGGACCUUUGAUUGAGUGUGAAUAGUUUUGGAAUAAUGUCCACAAUUACAUCUGUAUAUACAUAUAGGCAUAAAUAUAAAUAAAUAAAAUUCAUGAGAUAACUAAACAACUUAGAUUAUCCAACAUUAAAGUGUAUCUAUUUUAUAUAGAUCCCUCUUAUCUCAAAAGAAUCACUCUUACUAUAUUGGAUCCCUCUUAACCUAAAGGAAUCUAUCUUAUCUUAAAUGAUCCGUCUUAUCUUAAAAGAUUCUCUCAUAUCUUAAUUGACCUAUCUCAUCUUAAAAGAUUCUUUCUUACCUUAAUUGAUUUGUCUUAUCUCAAAAAGAUUUUGUCUUAUUCUUAGAGACUUAUCUUGUCCUAAUAAUCAUACUUAUCCUAACCACUUUGCUUAUAUCAUAAUAGUGUAGCACACAUGAUCUAUUCCAAAAUAAAUUAAGUGGAUCUUAUCCAGUCUAAUCUAGUUAUAUCCAAUCUAACCUAUACCCUACCUCAUCUGAAGAUCUGUUUCUACUAAAUGAAGCCCAACAAGAAGGUUAACCUCGAAAAUGAAGGAUACAAGUAAAAAAAUAUCUUCGGAUGAAUCAUGAUCCACUAUCCAGAAUAAAUGUUUCUGUUACCUAACUUUUCCCCAAGUCCUCUUUAUACUCACCUAGCAUCAAACAAUAUUUUGACCUACAUCAUGUAGUCAUGUAGUCCAUCUCAUCCAUAACUAUCUUAACCAUAUUCCCCAACUCCGAUAAAACACACACCUCAAAUCAGUGAGACCAAGACUGGAGAAGAAAAGAUCGACACCGGCAAGGAAGGACAUUAUAAUCAAAGCGAAUCUCAAGAUGACUCAAGACUUAAACAGUUCGGAUGAAGUAUUUUCCUUACCAUAACCUUUCUUACCUCAACCUGUUCGGCUUACAUCCUACAUAAUAAGUAGCUGGAUACCUAUGGUCUCCACAUCACCUAGUAUUGACUAUAAAAAAAGGAAUAAUAAAGUCUAAUUGACCCAUGUGUUGCUAAUAAAUUAUGCAUCAUGCUGAGAUUUUUGUUUGUGCACAUGUGUUGAUACAAUAUGAGUAUACACCCUUUCCUUACAAAAUCUCGAGGACGAGAUUUCUGUUAAGGGGGGUAGGAUUUGUAAUAUCCACUUUGUAAGAAAAGUCUAAAAAGAGAAAUUUCAUUCCUUUAUAUAUUUGUGAGUCAUCUAUGUGCAUCAUCUCAUGUGGACACCCUACUUAACAAGAAUAAAUGGGUAACAAAAGACACUCAAAUAACUUGUGCAUCCUUUGGAGUUUUGUUUGCUUGUGCAUUAAAAUAAUAACAAUGAUAAUUCUGGAAAAAAAUAAUAACAAUGACUUGAAAUGAAGUUUGAACCCUAAAUUGGAAUUAGGGUUUUGAAAAUAAGAAGAAGGAAGAUGAUAUAAAAAUAAUACAAUUAUAUUUCUAAAAUAGGUACCCUUAAUUUCACAAAAAUAAUAGAUAAUAAAUUUGGCACAAAUUCGAAUUUAAUUCGAAUUCAAAUUAAACUUAGAAAAACAGAAAAGAAAAUAAAAAGGAAAAGAAACUCAUUUGGGCUGCUGUACCUCAAUUGGGCCCAUUAAGCCUUUCCCUCCAUGCAGCCCAGCUCCCACCGCGGCGCCGACAGGCAGGACCGCCUUGUCAGUCGCACGACCCAAGCCCAGUUUCUUCUCACGGUGCUCUGGCUGACACGUGGGCCCAGGAAACCAGCCGAUUGACAUAAGCGCCGCGUGGCCCACUCUGUCACUUCCGCGUGGGACUCGCUGGUCUGCGCGAGCUCCACCUCCGCGCGUCCAUGGCGCUGACCGCAACCACCUACGCGGAAUUCCGGGUCGGCCAAGCUCGGACUCCGCCGCUAUGCUAUAAAACUGAGGCCGAUCCCCCUAGCAACAGCUCCCAUGGUUGCGCUGGUGGAGAAGCGCCUGUCACCCAGGAAUUUCUCAACCGAAACCCACGACCACCGUCGACCGCACGCAGUCGUGGUCCGCCCGCUUGUGCGCAUAAUCCUCGGUAUGUUUCCCUCAAUCGCGUUCGCUUUUGUUCCCGCAUCGUGUAAAGCCAUUUGGAUUAGAGGAAUAGAGUUGUUAGGGAGGGGGGAUUUGUCGCCGGACUUGUGCUCCCGCUGCUCGCCGUGGGUGUGCGUCGGUGUUGCGCGAAUUCCGGUGAUGGUUGGACCAGCGCGUUCGGGUGGGUUUGGGCAUCGCGUAUAAGUCACGGGGGCCCGGGAUUGUAACUAGGGCGCUGGAUUCACUCGCGCCGGCGAGCUCACCACCGCCUGGGUGGGUGGCGCCACCGUCGGGCCGCGCUGGGAGGAAGACAGACCUGGGCCAUCAGAUCCGAAUCGUGAGGAUGGGAUUAGAUCCAGUAGGGGCGGGUGUAUGACCGUUAGAUUAGGAUCGUGUGGAUCAGGGCGCAUGCCAGUAGGGUGAUGUGGUCUUCUGAUCUGAACCGUAGAUCUAGAUCCGAGGGCCACGGAUGGAUAUCGGCUUCAUUAAAUCCUUACCCUUGAUCUUAGAUCCAGUGGCCGUAAUCGCAUACCUCUUCAUUUAUUGGCGAUCUAAUCCGGACCGCCAGAUCUGGAUCGUGCGGCCCUAGAUCCCCGAUACCCCUUCAUCGUGUACAUUUAUUAAAGAGUCCCUCUGUUUUCGGAAAACCAACCCGCGGUCCUCGGGAACUAUUCUCUGUGUCUGGAGAUUCUUACCCCGAGCCCCCUGUGCUUCACAGAAAUUGAGGCCCAGUCCAGAGAUCGUUUAAAUUGAAUAAAUGAAAUAGAAAAUAGAUUUUUAAUAGGAAAAUAAUUGCUAUAACUUCAAUAAUUCAUAGAAAAUGCAUAUGAACUCCAAAUUACUUCAUUCCAGUUCCUAAAAUUUUGUAAUUUUAUUCUCUAGCACUUAGUGCCUCUGUUUUAUCAUGACAACAGUAAGAAAAUUAAUCCCACACUUAAUCCUAUUUUAAACACAUAAAACCUUUGUAAAUUCAUAUCUUAAAAUCUAUAGCUCCAAAAAUUUCUAUUCCUAGGAUUUUAUUUUAAUAUGUAGAUUAUUACUGUGUAUCUUGUUUAUAUGUUUGGUGUGAUGUUAAUUUCUCUAUAUACACUGUGCUUGUUUGUAUUGUGGCGAGUAGAAGAGCCCGUUACUGAGGAUCCUGGUGAGCAGCAGGUUGAAGUAGCUGAGCAGGAGCUCAUUAAAAGCAAGUUGUGCCCUUGACCACUUUUUACCUAAUAAUGUUCCUUAAUAUCACUUACUCAUGCAUAGGUUAAUUUUGAUGGGACCCAAUAGGUUACCCUAGAUUGUUUAUCUCAUUACCUUGUUUACCCCUGAAUCACUUGGGUAGUUUGCUAUUGCUUUACAUGGAUUUGGGUAUAAUUAUUUAUCAUAUCUAUGUUCCAGUUAUUUUGUUAUUCUAUUUAUGUUCAUGUCAAGAUCAUUAAUGUUAAUUGGAACAUAGAGCUUAACUUGAGAAACAUGUGCCACCACAAGGGUUUAUGGACGCCCUUGGCUGAUUAAUUAGAAAAGCUAGUGGAGGACUACCUUACCCGAAAGGGGCAAGGGCAGUAGGGGAGUGGUCAGUGUAGGGAGGUCCUUGGUUGAUUUUGCUGCGAUGGCGGUCAGACAAGAACCCUGCAUUGGAGCUUCCUAUAAACUGUAGCGGGUUUUCUGAAGCUAGUGGAACUUUGUAAAGGCCUCGUAGUGUUACUCUGCCUCGCCUCCUCGGUAGAGGUGUAUGGGAAGUCGCGAUCCCUUGGCAGAUGGGUAACAUGACUUGUGGGUAAAGGGUACCACCUCUGCAGAGUGUAAAACUGGUAUACUAGCCGAGCUCACGGUCAUGAGCAGCUCAGGACUCUCUGAUGAUUAACUUAUGGAACUAAAUUCAAUUUGUCAUAUGCAUUGCAUCGCAGGUGAUGUUGUUACUUUUGUUCUACUACUUAAUUGGGUUGGUAUUUACUUAUACUUAGUAAUUGCUAAUAAAAUUUUGACCAACUUUAAAAGCAAUGCUCAGCUCUAACCAUCCUCUUUGGUAAGCCUUACACUUCACGUGAGCUCCCACCUUUGGCGAGUUCAUGCACAUUAUUCCCCACAACUUGUUGAGCGAUGAACGUAUGUGAGCUCACUCUUGCUGUCUCACACCCCCCACAGGUCAAGAACAGAUACCGCAGGAUGAGGCGCAAGGAGGAUGCUGCGAUGAGUUCGUGAGAGAUCUAGGUCGUCGUCUCCCAGUCAACUUUGGGUUGCUGGACCGUUGUCUCCUUAUAUGUAAUUAUUUAUUUUGUAUAGAACUCAUAUUAUAUAGUAAAAUUGUGACAUUCGAUCCUGUGCCAUGAUUCAUCAUAUGUGUGAGACUUGGUCCCACCACACCUGGUGAUUAUGUUCGCGCCCGGGCUUUGGGCCCCUAAAACCCGGGUGUGACAAUGAAGCAACACACCAAACAUUCACUAAGCAUCCUAAGACUCCCAGACUCCGCCUCCAUGCAUUUGAUUUGUUGUGUUAGUGAUUUGAGCUCCGUUCGAGUUGUGAACUCCAUGUCCUGUGUUUCUUGCUCAAGUCUUGGCUUGUGUGCGUAUGUGUGCUGCGGAUUCAAGUCUUGUGUGCGUUGCUUUCCCUCCCAUACUGUGCUUCUUUGUGAUCUAUAUUGUAAGGGCGAGAGGCUCCAACCUGUGGAGAUUCCUCGCAAACGGGAGAAGAACACCAAAAAAAGACCAUGGUAUUCAAGUUGAUCAUUGGAUCACUUGAAAGGGGUUGAGUGCAACCCUCAUCCAUUGGGACGCCACAACGUGGAAGUAGGCAAGUGUUAUACUUGGCCGAACCACGGGGUAAAACACCGUGUCUCUUGUGCUGCUUUCCUCUGUGAUUGUUUUGUUCGCAAGAGCUCGCUUCAUAGCAACUUGAUUAACUCGCACUAACACUUUUAUAAUCAAGUUUGUGGCUAUUUAGUGUUUUGAUUUCACAGGAUCACCUAUUCACCCCCCUCUAGGUACGAUGCUCUCAGAAAGGAUGAUGAGGGAAGGUGAGGCCUUGCUCGUGGAAGCAAACAGACGAAACCAUAUAACCGAGAGGUGGCAUCAUGGCCUCCUCAAUGCUCAGAAUCAGCCAUCCGUCGUCGUCAAGUAGAGCAUGUCGUCGAGGGCCCAAAGGUUCUACGCUAGUCCGCCAUAGGAAGCGCGAAGGACAACCCGUGUACGAGAAGGAUAGGCCAAGCGAGGAAGACAAGGAACAAGGGAACCGAAAGCACGAUGGAGAAUAUAGGUAGUGUAGAACAAUUAAAUAAAAGUCAUUCUGUGAAACCCUACCGAUCAGUGCUAGCAGAGAUGACCUGACAGAUGAGGAAGCAGGCCUGACCCACCAUCAUGUUAGGCCUCAGGCUACGCCAUCGCCCUGAGGCAGAGGCACGAGUAAGUUAUUUCCAUGUGCAUAAUAAACAGGGGGACACAAAGGUAAAAGUCACUAAGGUGGGAUUUCUCCCGGAUUACAUCGUCCUCUACAUGAAGGUACCCUGAGUCCCAUGGUGCCACAAUUCUAGGCUCGAGGGUUGAACGCGUGGCCAGACACCCAAAAAGAGGGGAAACUACGACUAAGGUAGGGCGAAAAGCUCAUCACUCCUCUCUCCCAUUCUAACACCUGGUGCAACUACAAGAGCAGAAGCCCAUGCCAGGGAACCAAAAGGUGGACACCAAAGUAGGCCGUAAGGCACCCAUCGAAUCAGAUCCUCCGAGGAUAAGGCGCCGAUGAUCCCACCAGCGGUCUCGCCAUAAUCCUAGAUCAGGCUCUCGAAGGCCGCGAAUGAAGCACCUAGGGAAGGGCCAUUGAAGCACGAAGAUAAAUCCCAGUGCGGAACUGGGCAAUGGCAAAUGCAACAAUGGAUCCAUGGUGAAUGUCGUGUUCCACGACAUUUCGGACAUGACUCGGGAUGUCGAGCAAGCGCUGCAGACGGGUCGCCCUGCAGGCACGGUUGCUCCAAGUCACCACAUCGAUCUCCUAGCGAAGCUCCACCAGCUCGGCCUCCUACACUGAUUAGGAACAAAAAAGGUAUAAAGGUCUGAGCAUCCCUGGAGAGUGGGGAGUGAUGAAGAGCGAAGCAAAUAGCUUACUCGACUCGUGGGCCUCCACAACGUCUAACCGCGCUUGGAGGCCCGCGGUGUCCUCACAACCGAUCGAGAUGCCUCCAGUCUGCCCCGUAACUCGGCCAUCGCUAGCAGUAGAAGGGCCAAGGUUCCGACCCCGCGGGGUGACAGGUGGGGGAGGGAGCUGCGACAACUCGCCUCAAUAGGAUGACAUGGCUGAGUUGGGGGCUGGCACCGAUCAGCCUUAUGGACACCACGGGACGACCAACGAUGGUUGGCGCAUUGGAGGCAUCGUACGCCAGGGAUGAUGGCUUGGGCUCACCGCCGCUAGGGCCAGCCCUUGAUUCUCCAUUCGGAGAGGUCGAGGGGGAGGACGAGAGCGAUAUGACUUCUCCUGUAACGCUUGAGCCCAGCACCCGACGAACAAAACCAGUCACCAAGAUGACAGAGGAGCAAGAAAAAGGACAAGUUCCUAGAAACCACCCACCUUUCUCGUGGCAAGCGACUCUUGGAACGACCUUAGUGAGGAUACUCUAGAGCGGGACACUUGCCAUGGUUCAUGGUCAGCUGGGAGGAUCCUAAAGGGUUUUAGACAGUGUUACCCUCUUAACAGAAUGUUGUUCUUAGGAAGCAAGGGAGCGACGAUUGAAAUCAGUUGGGGGAAGUGCAGAGGGACCCUUUACUUAUAGCGCCUGACUGGAUCUCGGAAGCCAAUAGCGGGCCUCACGAGCCUCUCCAACUAAUUGGUUGCGAGCGACAAAAGGGACAAGACGACGCCAGACCCGGGAGAAGCCCCCGAGGGGAAAUACUAUCCCCCUAGGGGCUCAGGGGCUACUAUCGGGGAUAAGAUCCCUAGUCCCUAGGGCCGAUCGAUCAGCGAGCACGUCCGGGGAAAGCCAAUAGCAACUGGGGCCCAUCGGUCAGCUAGAGGAGGCAGGUAGUGUCUGCCCUGGAGGAACCCACCACUGGACGAGCCCUGCAGCACCAAGCCCGGUGUCGAGAGUGGUAGAGUCUAAUAGGGGGUCGAACAUAGCGAAGGGAAACCACUCGAGUGGAUCCCUCGUCUGGCCCGAGACCGACCCUUCAUCAGUGACCGGCAGCAUUAACUACGUCUCGCGCCGAGCCAUAGCGGAGUUUUUAGUCCGCCUCCCAUUUAUAGCCUACGAGCCACUCAGACCAUGAGCACUCAUGACCUUUGAACUGCUCGGACUGCGACACAUUUAUGGCCCACACACCCCCACCUACGACGCACUCAUGACCUACCAGGACUAGGCCUGAGUGCGCAGACCUCUGGCAGUGCACAACACAACGAACCGCGCCUAGCCCUAGGCUAUGAAGGCCAGGGGUUGACAUAGCCCGAAUGAUGGCGCUCGGACCCCACGUUGUCCGCGUUGCUCGCCAUAAAGAGUACAAGACAGCCAAUCGACCACGAGCACGCGUGGCUUUACCCCAUGGUAGAACUAUCGGUUUUACUGUCGUCCGUUGGCUCUUUAUUUAGGCAGUCGUUGUUGGCCGACCCCCUUCUUGGCCUAUAAAAGGAGGAGGACGACCCGAGGCUCCAUGUUGGACGGGCACAACCUGAAUCCCCUGGCUAGGAUUCGGGCCCCGGGCACACGAUAGACGCAAGGAUGAACCCUAGACGAGAAGAUGCUUAGAAGGACCGACGGACAGGAGGAGGACCCAGAGGCCGGAGUCCACCACCAAACCAAGACUUAGCUAGGACUCCAUUUUGUAACCAACUCCACCACGAAUAAGAGACUUGGGAGCCUCUCCUCUCUCUCUAUCGCCUGCUUGUAUCUCGUACUAUGAGUUUUGAUCAUCAAUGGUGUCGGUAGUGCAAGUCGUCGAUGGCUGGAAGUAGGGAUAUUCUGCUCGAACCAGUAUAAAUCUUGCGCCUACCGUGCACACCGUCCGAAGCCUGGAACGCACACAACAAAUUUACUUGUCGGAGUAAGGUUCGAAACACCGACAUUAUUAUUUAUCUUUUUUUUUGCAUCGUGCCAGGUAAGAUUUAACUUAGAGGCUCUCUUGGCGGACUCAAGUUUGAAAUAUGAAGACAGCAUGUAUUUUCAUCCUUUAUAAUUUUUCCUUUGUGUGUCUGUGAUAUGAUUUAAUUGAUUGAGACUUAUAUAAAACUCCUGUUGUAUCUCUUUAUAUAUAAAUAAACUUAUAUAAGCUGCCUUUAGUUGAUCGAAACAUGUUUAAUUGUUAUGAGUGCGGCAUACCUACGGCAAAAUGAACUAAAAGGUGAUGGUUAUGCAUGAAUACAUUUUCAUCAUUUAUACACCUUACAGUAAAAAUUUGCGCAUUCAUCACAAAGCAUGCGCGCUCCACCAAAUAUCUACCCUGAUGAGAGAGGAGAGAUAAGGACGUGGAACCAUAGAAGAAGAUGAGCAUGACAUUGUCGAUACUACAUGAUUGGUCCCUGUCACCAUAUAGCUAGCAGAUAACAUUAAUUAUAGUGAUUAUGACAUUAUAUGGUACGAUUAACAAGUUUAGGGACUUGGUAUAUGUACUCAAAAACGUUAGGAAUCCAGAUGACACUCAGCGUUGGCAACUCUAUUUUUUAAAGAGAUUUCUAUUUUCUCAAAAGAAAAUAAACUAAUUUUGCUUUGAAAAAUUAAAUUUCCUUUAUAAAAAAUAAGGUUGCCAAACUAGCCACGGGAACUUUAUUUUCUAAAAAAAAUCUAUUUAAAAAAUGAACUAAUUUUCGUUGAAAAAAUAAAAAUCCAUUGAGAAAAUAAGGUUUCCAUACUCGUCCUUAAACGUCAAAUCUAAUGUCUCUCGGGACGGUGGACCCCUACGUACAGCUCGGCACAACGUGUUGCCUUGCCGCUCCUUUCCUACUCUCAUGAUGGCGGUAGGCGUAGGAACGUCGAACAUUGCGAACACUCGUACACACGGGAACGUGGACCUUGCCGCGGCAGAUGGCAGACGUGUGCCGCAUGCGGAAAAAGAAAAUGGCAACAGGCAAGCACACGUCCGGUCCAGUUCAGCUCCCUAGGCCAUACCUACCGAGCAGCAGAGAAUCCAAAGCUUGGCGCUAGGGUCCCUGCAGUCGAUCAACUGGUCCAGGCCAACUCUUUCAUCAACCUCAAUAUAUUUAUAGAUAUCCAUCAUACAAGUUGAUUUCGGGAUGGAAGACGAGAUUCGGUACAUAUAUUAGAAAAAAAACGCUGGCCGGACGCCGCGCCACAGAUCGACGUACAGGGCAGGGAGACUGGGGUCCAUCGAUCCCGUGCACCAGCUCUGAUUGGUUGUUAUUUUUUGUCAGUGGUAAUUGUAUAUUAAAGCACCCUAUCGUAUCUGUCUAAACGCUGGAUUAAACACGGGGCAUGUACAGUGGAGAGACACCAAAACGGUUCUCUAAGCACAGGAGACAACUAAGAGACUCUAUUGUACAAUGGAGUGUCUCUAAACGUAGUCUAUUAAUAAAUACAGAAUUAAAUGUAUUUGUAUAGCAUCAGAUCGAUAGAACAGACGACAAAUUCGUACAGUGGUAAGUGAGGCGUCUGUUGUUACUUGGUUUACGAGCCAGAGGCGUCUCUUCACGGAGAGACGGCUCUAAGAUUUUUUUGCAAAUAACCCCCUAAAACACCUUAAGAGCCUUCACAUUAAACACCACUGUACAUGCCCUAAUCAUGUCCCACUGGGUCGUCAACCAUUUCCGUCUCACGAUCUGCCAUUACUGUUUUGUUUUUUGUUUUUUUGCGAUCGAGAGACUGAUGGGAACCGCUGAACGAAGCGCCGCUUGGCAUAUACGGCAAUACCCUACAGCUCCCACAAGCGAAAUGAUUUUAGUGAUGGUGUGUUGAUGAAAGACGCUUAAGGUUUUUAGUUUGUUCCACUAAAAUUUAGUGGUUAGGAAUAAAGAUUUUAAUGGAAAAGAACCCUCCACGAGCUUCUUUUGACGGCUAUUCAUAUAUAAUCCUAUAUUCCAGAUAUAGACUGUCAAAAUGAAUAUUUGUCACUCUACAUGACUUCAAACUAAAACCUUGUCACCUACACUAUUUAUUAUUCUAAAUUAUAAUAUAUUUUGUUUAUUCACAUCCAUAGCUUUUUACUAUACAAUAUAUAUAUGUUAUAUCUAUAUAAAAUACUCGCUCUGUCCGAAAUUAAAAUUUGUAUUAUAUAAAAUACCCGCUAACCUGUGACAUGUUGAGUUCAAUAAAUUUAUCAUGCUGGAUACAAAGAUAAUAUGUUAUUUUAUUAUAUUCCAUUUUUUAUGAAGUAUUGAGCUUCAAAUUUUAAUAUUUAGUACUUACUUUUACGAUUCAAAUGAUCAUGUCUACUAUAAUAUUUAGGGGUAUGGUACCCUAUGGAUACCCUCUACCUAUGGUGUGUAUGGGUUACUUUUCUACUCAUGAUAAGUAGUGGGUACAUGUAAUAUGAUAUUUUUUUAUCUGGUAGGUAUAAGUAUGGCUUUGUGUGCCCAUCGGAUAUCUUGCCCACCACCAUCCCUAGUAAGAGGCAAUGAUGCAUAGUAUUAUUUUUUAUAAACUAAUGUUUUAAUUUCUAAGCCUUUGUUAUUGAAUGUAAUAGCAAUAUUAAUUACACCGAUAAAAUGCACUACUAGCUCUUUAUCAGACAUACGGCUCAAUGUCGAGGGUUUGAGUUCCAUUUUUCAGUAAAAGAAUCGUCAAAAGUGCGCUCAAAUAACUGACUGAAGCUAAUGAUAAACAAGAUAAGAUUCGCGCAUAUUAAGUGAGAGAAGCCUUGUUGUCAUGACUUGAAUCGACUCGUAGUUUAUAUUGAGAGUAGCACUAACUCGGUUCUCGAAUAUUUAUGAAUCGCUAGUUUAUUUUUUCAACUAAAACACAACAAUAAAAAAGAACUGAGGAUUAGUAGUAGCAGCAGCUAGCCGGAAAGUGCGUGGUGCUCGACCCAGCAGACGGGGAUAGAUGGGGACCAAGCACCCGUACCGUACGUGUCUGUCUGCUCUGUUCAUCGCGUGAUGGCGUAGGGUAUGGAUAAUCGUACGCGCGAACGUGGAUCUCGCCGCGACAUGCCACCAACCACUGGGGGACGUGUCUGGCAAAUUAUUGGAUGGAGACUUGGGCGUACGUCCCAGCACAGAGCUCGUGCGCCGCAUGGGGACGUGGUAUGGCAACAAACACGUUACGUUAGACUAUCUCUCCGAUCCACACCUUCUGAGUUCUGACGCUAGGGCAGCAGAAUUUGGAGCUCCUUUUUUUUUUAACCAGCAAUCAACUGCUCUCCAGGCCGACUCUCAAUAUACUCCAUGUGCCAGCUCUGAUCGGUUGUUAUAUGUUUGCGUUUAUCUAGAUCUAGCACUAUUACCGAAAAAAUAAAUCUAGAUCUAGUAUUACUCCUUCCGUUCCAGAAUAUAAGUCGUAAUUACUUUUUGUUCUUGUCCUACAAUAUAAGGCUUUGUUCGGUCAUAAGGGAAUAAAUCCCACCAUGGAUUUAAUCCGGAUCUGGAUUGAGUGGAUCAAUAUGUCACACUCAAUCUCAUGGUGGGACUAAAUCCAACAUUUAAUUCAUGUAUCUCUCAAAACUAGCUAUUUUUUUGAUCCAUAGAUUUUAAUAUAAACUUGUGCAAUAUCUUCAUGGAUUUGUUCCAUACCUAAUGAGCUAUGGAUAGAAUACAUGCCUUCCAUAGUUUAAAAAAUUCCCAAACCCUUGAGUUAUAAUCCAUGAUGGGUUUAACCGAAUAAAAAAAAUUUGAGUAAGCUUGGACAGUGCCGGUCCUGACAUUUUAGAGACCCGGGGCAAGACUUAUAAUGGAGACCCUUGAUAAUAUUAAUUAUUACACGUAAUUACAGUGCAUAUAUAUAUAUAUAUAUAUAUAUAUUGUUUACAAAUAUUUAUGUAUAUUUGAAAACGUUGUUCAUAUUAAAUACAAAGUAACUAAAAUAUAACAUAACAUCUCGUAGAAAAAUGGGGUAUAUAUGUGUCCAGAUGACUCAAAAGAAGGUUACCUCGAACAAUGAUCAAAUAGAUGUAAUACGUUGUGAGAUCAAUCGAUUAUGUCAUGUUAGUUUCGUGUUCGCUAUGUAGGGAAAGACAAAAGCACUGUCGUACCCAAUGUCGUGUGUUGGCUACCGAGAGGAGAGGGCACGACCGCCUGUCUGUUUGCGACUGAGAGCCUAGGCAGAUGGGCAUGAGACUAAAAAGUACUACUACUAGAAUAUAUAAAUCAAGAUUAAUGGGUUACGUCUAAUUCUCCUUGCUUGUUGUUGCCAUGUUGUUGACUUAUAAUUAAGUCUUUAAAAGUUUUAUAGAGCUAACAUAUAUAUAUAUAUAUACAAUAUACGCUAUAUGGCUGUAUAUAUUUACUGUUAUUUAGUAACUAAAGUGAGGCCCUAUUAAGUUGGGGGCCCUGGUCAGGGGCACUGCUCGACCCCCGCCAUGGCCGGCACUGAGCUUUGAUUAUUUUGGGGUAUGGAUUGUGACAUGGAUUUAAUUCCAAUCCAUGCUAAUACAGAGCUGGAUUGGUGUAAACGAACAAGGCCUAAGACGUGCCCUUUCUAUGCAAGAAUUAAAUAUAUUUCUUAGGAGGUGUUUGAAUAAACUAGAGAUAAUAGUUAGUGACUAAAAUUAGUUGAGACUUCUAAACACUCUAGCUAAUAGUUCACUUGUUCGCUAUUUUUGAUAAAUUAGUUAAUAGUUAGGUAGUUAUUUGUUAGCUAGCUAAUUCCAUUAACAAUUUUUAGUCAACUAAUUAUUAGUUAUAGUGCAUUCAAAAUACCCCUUAGUCUUUAAAUUAUAGGUGGUUACACCUUAUAUACCGGUACGAAGUAAGUAAUAUUUAGACCAGUGAAAGUGAGAUCUACCGUGAAUUUAUCAUAAAACUAUGGAUGUUUGGCCUUACGAUAGGCCUCACAUUCAGUGUCUCGAGGGAAAAAAAAAUAACUUCUAGAUAUUCUUCCUCGAUGGCGUACGCAAGGCGGCACCAGCUGGUACGACGGCACUAAAAGGCGCCUCUCAACUCUCAUGCCCCUUUCUCUCAUCAAGUCAUGUACGAUCUAAAGUAAAGCUAUUUAAACGGUUUUUUAGAUACAAGAUACAACUAAAAUGUUGUAUAAUAUAAAUCUAAACCUUUAGAUCAUUAAUAAAGCUAAAAGAUAUUAUAUACAUAAAGUCUUGAAGAGAUAGACUUUUAGUUAAGAACAUGUCUCUUGAUUUUUUUUCACUAUAUACUAUAAAGACCCUUCAAAAUACCCCAUUUUUUCACUAAAUACUAUAAAGACCCCUCAAAAUACCCCAUUUACUGGUGUUUUACAUGCCGCCAUCACGGUUCAAAGUUUCACACUGCUUCGUAUCUUCUUGGUAAACACGCCACCCUUCUCUAUUAAAAAAUACUCCAUCCAUUCCAAUAUAUAAGCGUAACCACCUUUGAUUUAAAAACCAAGAAAUACAUUUAAUUCUCUCUAUAUCACUACAUCGGUGUACGUGUGAAUAGAGAGAGCACGCCUUAAUUUUUUAGGCAGAGAUGGUUCAAAAUUUUCAUACCCUAAAUUAAGUUCUGUGAAGACAUUUUUAUUUUUAAACAACUUUAGAUUGAAAAAUAAUCAAAAGCAAAGUUAUAAUUUAUUUUUUUAUUUAAGUUUAUUUAUGGUCUCUAAAAUAUUAAUUAGUACUCACUUAAGUUAUUGUAUCAGCCAUUAGGCCAUAAGUGAAACGAUUUUAGUGGUGGAGUGUCUAAGGAAGGACGCUUAAGGUUCUUAGUUUGACCCCUGCGUCGAAAAGCGGUCAUAUUUUGGCCUGUCUCUAGAUUCCAAUUUGUAAAGGCAACUAGGAUUUCCUCUCUGACCUGCCUAUAUAUUUCAGUCUCUAUGAGCAGCGAUUAGGUUUUCGAUGUGUCUAUAUAAAUCGAUUUCUAGCAAAAGAUGGAAAUCACCGGUUUUUAGAGACAUACAAAUAAUGUCGGGUGGAGCAGUGAAAAUACAUUCAAGUUUUCCCUAACAGGGCGUUUGGAUCCCUUCAUUUUAUAGGAAUUAGAAUUCACUCAAUAAAAUAACUUAUUUAGUUUGGAAUUUGACAUUCCAUCACUUUCUAAAGUUUAUAUAUAAGUCUAUGUCAAAUUUAUGUGGUGAGGGAUGAGAAAUGAUUUUAUACAUUAGUAGAAUUUGUUUCUAAUCUGUAACUAGCAUGACACUCUUCGUCAUACUCAUUUAUAGUAAAAAUAUAGCACAUAAACAUCUUUAAUAUCUUGCUAAUAAUAGUAUACAAAUAUAUUUUGUAUAAAACCAAAUUAGCUUAAUUGAUAUAUGUCUAAACUAUUAUUAUUAGGGUAGAAUUCAAUUCCAAUGAUCUAAAGGGGACAUAAGAGCAUAUUCGACGACCUUUCUAAAUUUUACUCUCUAUAAAUCAUUAUUUAGAGAGUCAUUUGAGUAAAAAAUAGGUCUUAUAUAUUUGUAACAACCUUCUUAUAUCUUGUGCGCACUUUAGUGCAACUCCAUGGGUCUCUCUAUAUCCUUUCUAAUGGUUAGGAAUAAACAUUUUAGUGAAAAGUACCCUUCAAGAGCUUCUUUAAAUAUUCAUAGCUUUUUACUAUAAACCAUAUACUCCCUCCGUUCUAAUUUAUAAUUCAUUUGACUUUUUUACUCCAAAUUUGAUCGGCUUGUCUUAUUUAAAAACAUAUUAUUAUUAUUAUUAUUAAUUUUUACUAUGAUAUCGUUUAAUAUAUAAUAUAAUUUAAGUAUGCCUUUGGAUUUUUCAUUUUCCGCAAAAAAAUUGAAUAAGACGAGCCAUUGAAACUUGGUUUAGAAAAUUGAAAUGAAUUAUAAAUUAUGACGGAUGGAGUAUAUAUUAAUAUAUUAUGUACAUAUACAUAAUAAACACUGUAAAUCUAGAGAUACCAUAAAGUCUUACAAUUUACGAUGGAGAAGGUAUAAAGUUGUGGAUUGGGUUGACCACUACAACUUUGGUAUUGACCAUAUCAACAUCCAUGAUCAUUUGAAAAUUUGUAUUUUAAAAUCUAAGAACUUAAAACACAUAUUUUUGACUCUAAAUGAUUUCAAGUCAUAAGCUUGUAAACUACUACCUUCGUUUUCGAAUAUUUGUUGUCCGUUAGUUCAUUUUUGAACUAGAACAUGACAAAUAAAAAAGAGGUAGUAUAAAGUUAUAGAUUGGAUUGGAAUACAGUGUUAAUACCUGGAGUAAUAGAUUUAGGGUCUGUUUGGUUGGGCUGUGGCUGUGGAAAAAGUUGCUGUGGGCUGUGAGCUGUGGAAAAAGCUGCUGUAGGCUGUGUGCUGUUAAAAAGCUAAAAAUCGUUUGGUGGAAACCACUAAAAGUCGUUAAAAGUUCUUCGAUAUAUGUUUUCACAGUUCCAUCCAAAAGCCACUAAAAGCAGGUCCAGGGGUGCUUUCAGUUUUGCACUACGAGAAAGUCGGCUUUUAGAAAAAGCUGCUUCCUGGAUCCAGCCCUUUGGUUGGCGUUUGGCUUUUAGGGGGCAAAAGCCAAAGCCAAAAGCCAAACCAAACACACCCUUAUCAAUUCGUAGUUGAGAGAGAGGGAGUAGUCGGAUGGGACUGGAGGUUGAUCCCCCAGAUGGAGGCCAAGCACCCGUACGUGUAUGUCUGGUGCCCCGCAACUCUCCUGUUCAUAGGGGUGAAAAAGGUCGAAAACGAUUGGUAAACACUAAAACAUUUUUAUUUUCAUAUUUUUUUUCCAGAAACGAGAUUUAAAACAGUAACUCUGGAAACGAAAACAACAUCGAUAAUUCGGAAACAUCUGAAAUGAAAGUUCAGUAUGAAAAUUACACGAUUAUGAUGGUAAAAACGGUAACAUGUACCAUCAAUUGACUUCAAAAAUUCACGCAAGUCAUACAUUUAUAUAAAAUUAGUAAUAAUAUAUAAGGUAGGAGGUCACAAUAAAUAUAUAAGGCAAGAAGUCAUACAAUAAUAAAAUCAUUAUUAUGUAUCUAAAUAAAGUAAAAUCAAGAUGUGUAUAAUGAUGACACUUACAUUGUAAUUGUACUCCUACUACUUGACAUAGUCAAUAUAAUUAGUGUUCUCUUGGUCCUUCUUAAGUUCUCGUGCAAAUUUUGAAUAUAUGUAUCAAAAGUAAUAACAUGUAAGAAAACAUAAAAAAGAUUUAAUAAAAGUUUUUAAGUAGUUCUAAACUAUAUACUAUUAGAUAGAUCUUGAUUUUAGGAAAUUAAUACAAUUAGUGUCAUAUUUUUAUAAGCUAAAAUGAAUCUAUUAUGAAUUUAUAAAGAUUAGUUCAGAUUUAAUAUUUUCUGAAAAACACCGUAUUUAUUACCGAUAAAUACAGAUAAUAAAAUACCGAUUAAAAUGAUAAUUUUUGGAACGGUCGGAACAGACCUGAAUCAUUUCAGUUUCUAAUUCGGAUUUUUUUUAACCAUUUCUAUUUAUAUUUAGACUUAAAUUUUGAUAAAACUUUAUAAACGAUUCCGGUAUAAAAAAUUAUCGUUUCCGUUUUCACGCAUGUUCAUCGCGUGAUGGUGUAUACGGUGUGGAUACUCCGAAACGUACACGUACUAGGGACAUGGCAGCAACCAAAGAUAAUCAAAGAUAUUCUCAACGAUUUUCGGGAACGUGGAUCUCGCUGCGGCGGCAUGGCAAGAACCUCUAGCGACGUGUCCGGGAAAUGAUUGGCCGGAAGUAAGGACUUGGGCGUACGUCCCAACACAGAACUCGUGCGCCGCAUGGGGAAAUGGCAGCAAGCACGUUCGCUCCGAUCCGCACCUUCUGUGCAACAGAUACCCAAAGAUUGGACGCUAGGACCGUGAAAUUUGCAGCUCAUUUUUUUUUACCUGCAAUCAACUGCUCUCCAGGCCGACUCGACUCUCAAUAUAUAUCCAUCGUAUCAGUUGAUGAGUUGAUUUCGAGAUGGAAGACAAUAAACUACUGGAAAAGUAAAUCUAAAUUUAACAUUCACUCCGUACAUAUGUUAUAACUAGGUAGUUGCCCGUACGAUGUCACGGAACACAAAUUGCGAGUCUCCAAUAGACUUAGAGCCCUGACGACAUGCGGCGUGAAUACAAAUUACGUGUGGUAGGGUUUAGAAUGUAUAAAAUGACGGUUUUCUAUUAUCGCAACGAGUCGGCUGAUACCAUAUUUACGUUGAUUUUGGACGAUUUUGACUAAACUGGUACUUAUAGAAGCGAGCUGAAAAGCUGAGCGUUUGACUGUCUGUAGCAGCUUUUGUUGGUCACAAGCUGAAAAAGGUUGAAACAAACAGAUCAUUGUAGCGCUAAAUUGAUUCUCUUCGAAUGUGCCGAAUGUGCGUUCAAUAAACGUGUGAUACUUACUCCAGGACUAAGAGUGCCUUAAUUAACCAUUCACGGAGUAGCUGCACAGUCGCCUUUUUUGUUCAACUUUUUUCUCAUGAUCCUUUUCAGAAUCUAGCUGCAGUGAGAAUUUAGUUAUGAAGUGGUUCCUAAUGCGAGAGUGUAUUGGUGAAGUGGUUCCUGAUGCAAGAGUCGAAGUUACUCAAGGACUGGUACCGACAUCAAUGGAAGGAAUGAAGUGGUGACUGGACAAUAUUUAUUUCUAAGAAACUAUACAAUAGUUCAAGACAAACUCAACAAUAGUUACUGAUAAACAGAAAAAUAGUUCAUGAGAUUGAACAAUAGUUCCUAAGAAACUGAAGAAUAGGUCCUGGGAAACUAUACAAUAGUUCAUGAGAAAAUAAUCUCUAGUUCCUGAGAAACUUAAAAAUAGUUCAGUUGAGACUGAACAAAAGUUCUCGAGAAACUGAAGAAUAGUUCCCGAGAAACUAUAAAUAGCCUCAGUAGUACACAAACUUAGCCAUUUAGAGCCACAAUAUAGAUAGAUUGCUAGUACCUCAUUCACAAAAAGCAGGUUUCUCUUAAACAUAUGCUUUUUAGCCACAACAAGCACACGUACAUAGAUUUAGCUCUCUGUAGUACAAGUGCAAUGCAUUACCUCAUCACUACACUUAAUACAAAAGGAACUACAGUGUGUACGCCGCGGAACUGAUUUCAGAUUCAUAAGUAAAUACAGAAGGAAAAAAAUACAGAACAAUGUGGGUGUGCAUGUUCACACUUAUAUAGAUCAUUACAAUAAUAAGAAGCUAUCCUUCGAAAAGUAAACAAAAGCCUCCCCUGCCCCUACACUAAUUAAGUAAACAAGGCCCAAUAAACAAUUACAACCCUGAGUUAAAAUAAGGGCACCAACUACUAUGGGCACACAGCAAAGUAGUGUAAGUAGUAACACUAAAACUAAAACCUCAGUAAGCCUUAAUACAAUCGGGAAAUACUAAAACGUUUACUCUAAGAAUUAGUCAAUACUAAAAAAUCCUGUUUCAGUCAGUGAGACUCAUUCCGGGGUGAGUCUUAGAGCGUGGAGUCUGCAAUUUGGAUAGUCGAGAGCAGUCGAAUGAAUGGACUAAGAGCAGCUCUAGUGUUGGUAGGAAUCUAACCUCGCGGAUGGAAACUGAACUAUCAACACUGCAGCAGUCAAUCGCUCACUGUCAGUAGCAGAAUUCGACCUCCAAACAUGGCUAUGUGCGAGGGAGUAAAAUAUUCAGCCUUCACUGCUCUGACCUCUUUAGUGCAGUACAAUUUCCUCUUUCUCUUGGCUGUUUUGGAGAUUGAACUCGAUGAGAAAGGAGUAGAUUACACUAUUUUAUUUGGUUGUAGGCUCCACUAAAUCGAACUCAGCAGUGGAGGCGGCGAACUCAGCAGUGGAGGUAGAGGUCGAAGGGAGGGGGAGAUGCCAUCUAGCCACGGAGACACCAUCUAGCUUGACCUUCUUGACUUGUUAUUCGGCGGUGGCUUUUGCGAAGGAAGAAAUUAGAACCAUUAAGUAGAUUGAAGGGCGAGGAAAAACAAUGAAGCAAGAAGAGAAGGUCGUACAGUACCUGGGGGCGGAGACGGUGGCGGAUUGGGGCUAGGGUUAGGGUUUUGGGCGGGGCGCUGGAGUCUGCAGGUGAAGCGAAGGAGGUGGUCGUUGAGGCCGUUCAUCGUAGGGGUGGCGGCAGGGAGACGACGAUCCUUAGGGACGGUGGUGACGGGUUCAUCGAUGUCGUCGUCGUUGAGAUCGCCGCAGAGGUCGAAGGGAGGGGGAGACGCCAUCUAGCCACGGAGACGCCCAAGAGGCAAGAGGCAAGGGGACGGAAUCGAAUCGAAGAUGCGCAGUGGGGAUGGGUGCUCUUCCUCGUUGGUUCAUACCUAUCUCACUUGCCGAGGAGAGGAAGGAGAGGGCGAGAGGCAGCAGCGAGCAUGUGUGACCCAUGCUCCUUAGGCACUAGACAUGCGGGGGCGGCAACGAGGAUCCCGCAUGGUUGUGGGGAUGGAGGCGCCUGCGCACAUGGCGGGGUUGGGGGAGGCUGCAUGCAUGGCGGGGAUGGGGGUGGCUGCGCGCAUGGCGGGGAAGGGGGCGGUUGCGCGCAUGGCGUGGAAGGAGGCGGCUGCGCGCAUGGCCGGGAUGGAAGCGGUUGUGGGAGCAGAUCCGGCGCUAGGCGUGACUCGCAAGCGAGGAUGGCAUCGCAAUCGGACGGUGGGGAUGGACGCAAUCGGACGGUCGGGAUAGAGGCGGGGGCACGUUUAUGCCUGGUCUACAGUAUCGUCUUAAGGAUUAGUAGAGAAAAUAACUUCGAGGUCUUCUUGUUCCUUCGCAUCAUAUGCAAAGAUGUUAAUUGACCACGAUCUAAAUAUCUCUUCAUAAUAAGUUAGAGUUAUUAAUUAAUUUUAGUUAAAAAUAAAAUGGAAUAGAUCUUGAUAUUAAUUAGAUGUGAUCCUUAAAUUUCAUAUUGUAAAAUCUAGAGCCAAUUAGCACCCUAUGCGUACGACGACAACAACAGACAUAGUCGUUGUGGCGCGGCCCUCGUCGGUGCGUCUAGUGUCUACACGUACGAGGCCGUCGUCGAUAGUAUGCUACAUGCGUACCUAGGGAUGGGCGUUCGGGUUACCCGAAGAUUUCGGGUCGGGUAAUUCGGGUAUUUAAAAUUUCGGGUUUUGAAAAUCGAUACCCGCAAUUACAACGGGUUUUGCAAUACCCAAAAAUUCGGGUACCCGGAAUUUUGGGUUCGGGUAUUUCUGAACUACCCGAACUGUUGUGUCGGCUUCAUAAAAACACAUACACCCUAUUAAAUUAGUAUAAAAAUACAGUUUGAAUAAUAAUAUACAUGAACAUAUAAAACACAAGCAAUCUACAAUCACAAGUUAUGCACACUUACACAUAAUUAUAGAUGUACAAAUUAAUAAUUAAACAUGACAUGAGUAUAUGACACAUGAAAGUUUGGGUAAUUUGGGUAUUUCGGGUACCUGAUUGUGAUACCUGAAUUACCCAAAAUAAAUUCGGGUUUUGCAAGUUGGUACCCGAAAUUCUCGAACAAAAUUCGGGUUUCGGGUAUUCCGGGUUCGGGUUCGAGUAUUCCGGAUUCGGGUUUUUGGUUACGGUUUUCUUGCCCAGCCCUAUGUGGCGAUACUCAAGGCGUUGCGUCUGCUCUCCACCCCCUUCAUCUCGCGAGUCCAGGCACGGCACGGAAAAAAGCACGGCCCAGGUACGGCACGACAUGACCCGAAAUAUUUUAGUGUCGGGCCGACACGGCCCGAUAUAUCGGGCCUGGUUUGGGCCGAGGUCGCGGCCCAUGGGCGGGCACGAGCACGACCCAUUUAAUGCAGGCACGAAAUGGCCCAUAUAGAGGCACGAAAAGGCCAUAUAUUUAUCAAAACCAUACUUUAUUCCACACUUUCAUGUACUUGAUAAAGAACACAAAGCUAGAGAUAAUGUUAGUUAUAUGUUUUUUCUAGCUUUAAAUUAGAGUAUGUGAUGUAAUUUUAUUUUUGUUAUGAACAUUAGAUAAUGAACUGAACUUAUGAACUUUAUAUAGAGUUGAUUAUCCUUUAUUUCUUUCUAAUAAAAUGAUUUGUAAAUAAGGUAGUCAUUGCAUAGCUCUGGUAACUUAAUACAAAUAUUAAGUUUGCUUUUUGUCAAAUUUAUUUGUCUUAUCUUUUAUUUGUUUUAUUAACUCUGAUGUGAAUUUCGGGCUCUGAUGUGAAUUUCGGGCCCUGAUGUGAAUUUCGGGCCAAAAACUGAAUUUUGGGCUCUAAUGUGAAUUCAGGCUUUUAUAAUUUCGGGGCGUCCGAAAUGAGCCCGACACGUUUAAGUAAUCACGGGCCGGGUCGUGGGCUGAAGGCUAAGCCCGUGGCCGGCCCGAAAUUCAAACGGACUAGACUAGCUCGAAAUUUAAAUAUUACGGGUCUUUUCGGAUUUGGACCAGACAUGACGGACCGAAUGUACACCUAUACUCGCGACCAGUCGGCUGCUCUGGUAGUGUUGUCCUCUUGUGAGUCUCCUCCUAGAGCCCACGCGACGCCUUUACGCCCUAGUCCUGGCUCACGCACCGACACAUGCAGCCCGGCCAAGGAAGGACGUGAAGGGAUUACUGCUCCGGGUCUAGGUCAGUGAUUGCAAUCUCAGCCGAUAAGUGCCGUUUUUUGGUAAAAAUUAUCGUUACCGGUACUUACCGAGAAGCAAAAAAUAUGUUCACUUUUUAUUGUAUUUCGGUUUAGAAUUUAAAUAUAUAAAAGUCAAAUUUUGGUCAACAAAAUGGUUUUCAAAGUUAGGUGAUCCCUGGUCCAGGCUCAGGCUCACGCUCACACAUCCCGCUUGUGUCCUGCACGGACGCGGAGGGGCAGCUCCUGAGAGGAGGCCAGAGGCGGCACUAGCACUAGUGACUCUGAUUGGCGGCGAGGUAUCACGACGGGAAGAGAGAAAACAAACUAUGCUGAUAGUUUUUUUUUCUAACUCCACUUACUUCAAUUUGAAUUUGUCAGACCACCUCUUAAAAAACUUUUUUAAAAAGAAAAUUUUUAAAGUUGAACCGUUUGAGCAACUUUUUUUGAGAUAAACCCCCUGGUCUAACUUGUGAACUGCUUAAGCUAACUUUUCGUAUAGCAGAGUUGUUUUUAGUUACUAUAGAGCUCAUGAUGCUGUACCAAAACAACUCCUUUACAUCUAAUCAAGAUCCACUGGAUCAUCAAUUAUCUCCGUCUGACAACAAUGAUAUCUUCAAACGAGAUGCUAUCUUCCUCCUCGGUUCUAAAUUAUUUGUUAUUUUAUUUUUUAGUCAAAGCAGUUUAAAUAAAAUUAUAUAAUAAAACAAUAAUAUUUAUGAUACAAAACAAGGUUUAUUAGUGUCGGCGUUUCGAGACCGGGGUUCCUCGGGCCGACGAGUGAGUGUCGCCGCGUGCCCCAGCCCAGAUGGGUCGAGCGCGAAGGGGGGAAAGGAGCGAGGCGGCCGGAGACCGGCGUGAGAGAGGUGGGAAUCCCGCGGCCUUCGUGUUCGUCCCGCGCCCAGGUCGGGUGCGCUUGCAGUAGGGGGUUACAAGCGUCCACGCGGGAGAGGGAAGCGAGCGGCCCCGAGAGAGCGUGUCACACCCGGUUUUAGAAGGCAAACCGAAUGCGAACCAUGUACGUGCCAGGAUCAGUUAUUCACGUACACAGCAGUUACAUAAUAUGGACAUCAUCACACUGUGCUCAAAAUAGUAUUAAUAAGGGAAAUAGUCGAUUACAUCAUACGUCUGAGACGUCCAUAUAGUUCUUACAAUAAAUCAAAGUGCGGAAAAGAAACGUAGAUAAACGCGGCCUUCACAGGCAGCCGACUGGGGGUUGCCGCUAACCCACACCUAGAACUCGUCGUAAUCUUGGAACUCCUGGAAGUCUCCUUCCACAGCUUCAUCUUCGCCUGAGCAGUGGUUGCAAUGCUGACAACCUGGGGGGGGUUUGGUGUGUAGAGCAAGGGUGAGUACACAUCAACAUACUCAGCAAGUAUCCUGUUUGGCUGUAGUGGACUAGCUUUAUGUGGGGGUAAGUCAAGCAGUUGCUUUUAGUUGGUCAGAUUAUUAUUUACUAGUAGAAAGCCAAGUUUUAGCAUUAACCCAAGUUAUUAACCCGUUGUACCCUUUCCAAACGGAAAGAAUACCACUUACCAGCACCAUAGUCAUAACCAAAACCAUCAAUCUCAUAACCACCUGUAAACCAAAAGGUCUCUUAUCAAGUACCACUAAUCACUGGAGCUCCCUUGGCCGCUCAUAACCGUGAGCACGGCUGAUAUAUCAGUUUCAUAACACUCUGCAGAGGUUGUGCACUUUACCCACAAGCCGUGAUUCCCUCUUGCCUCGGGCCGAUCAAACCCUUAAACACUACCAAGGUGAAUAGGCAGGGUUUCACUACGUAGCCUUUACAAAGAUUCCCCGGGGCUGUAGCCACCCGUUAGGUUUCCUAAAUGCACCGCACUCCUCCCCAAGGGGCGAACCCAAACUUGGCAGAGCGAGCCGCAUACACCGAGCCCCAUUGACGGCACGACGGCUAAGUGAACUACAUCCCGGAUCCUCUAAUUAUUCAGCUAAGGGCACCCCAUUCCACCCUCAUGGUUGCACUGUUUUCCCGGGCGGUCAUCCAUAGAACAGGUCCUUACGGAGAGGCACUCGAGAAACCGCUCGAGCCCCCUUGAAGGUCACAAGUACAACAUCAUAAUAAGAGAAGGGAAAACAGCGUAUCAUAGAUAACCACAUCAUGUUCAUUGAUUAGAGUUUGAGCAAUAGCAUAAAGCUAAACAGUAAUAAUCCAACCCAGAUAGGUAAACAAGGACAUGGAUAACAAAAGCUAGUCAAUCCUUAGGUAUAAAGGUGUAAUGCGGGAGGUGAAUUAAAUAAUGAAUAGGACAGAGAUAGGUCAAAGGACACUUGCCUCCACCAAACGACUGCUGCUCAGGGGCUUCUCCUGCGAAUUCCUCGGGCUCUUCGACCGGAUCGUUCUCUAUGCGAUUACAAACAUACAUACAUCCAUCCACAUUUAAUACAAAAGAACAGUACACCAUACAAGGGAACAAAUAAAGUGAGUAUGCAUCAAGUAUGACAUUUGAUAUCGCAUUUGUUAUGGUUAGAAAGAAACGGGAAAGGGUCUCGCAGGGGGUUAAAUCUUAUGCGCUAACAAUCAAUUACAAUUGGUUCUUAACAAAAGAAUUCUGUUACAUAUACACUAAUGGAAACCUAAUCAUUUUAAGUUGAUCAACAUCGCACGAGAUAAACAAUUAACUACAUGAAUCAAUUAGCAUAACGGAAUUUUAAAUUAAACUUCCUAUUUCAAUGGCAUUAAUAAUGAUUAACCUACCUAAAACAAAAUAGCUAUGAUCACAGAAAGUAAAUAAAAUAAAAUAAAAAAAACAGAGGGGGGGGGGCGGUUGAACCGGCCCUAGGGGCGGUUGAACCGGCCGGGGGCAGGGCGCGCAGGGGCGGCCGAGCCGGGGCGGCCGAGCCGGCCGAGCGGCCAGGGGGGGGGGCGCGGCCAGGGCGCGGCCAGGCGGGCGGCCAGGCGGGCGGCCGGGGCGGGCGGCCGGGCGGCCAGGGCGCGGCCAAGGCCAGGGCGCGGCCAAGGCGGCGGCCAGGGCGGGCGGCCGGGCGGGGGCGGGACGAGCCGGGCGGGCGGCCGGGCGGGACGAGCCGGCCAUGGCGGCGGCCAUGGCGCCGAGCGGCGAGGGGAAGGGGAGGGGGGAUGGGGGAGGGAGGGGAGAGGGAGGAGGGGGCUCACCGGCGAGGGGCGGGCGACGGCGGGGGGGCGGCCGGCAGGGAGCGGCGGCCGAGCAGGGGGCGGCGGCGGCUUAGGGCAGGGGCGGGUAGGGGCGGCGCUAGGGGAGAGAGAGGGAAAAUGAGAGAGGGGGAGAGGGAUUGGGGGGUUUUGGGGAAAAAUAAAGGGAGGGGGCGGCAUGGGCCAAUUGGGCCCAAGGGGGGGGCGCCAGGGGCGGCUGGGCCGGCCGGGGUCGGCCCACGGCGCGGGAGAGAGAGAGAUAGAAGAAAGAGAAAGAGAGAAAAAGAAAUAAAAGAUCUUCUUCUUAUUUUCGAAAUCCGAUCUUUCUAUAUGAAUGCAUUUGCACUUUCAAAGCAAUCAAAAGAAAUGCAAGGUUCGGCAUGGUGCAUCAAACAACAUAAAGUACUUAGGGUUUUUCUUACACGGGAAAUCCAAACCGAAUCCCGCUAGAACUUUGGAAAAGGUCAAGGUUUAGCGAGGGGAAAAAGAAAAAGAAAAGGUAACGCCCGAAUUUUGGCGAGUAAAGAAAAGAAAAAAUUCAACUGCAAAAUUCGGAGCGUUACAAACCUAUCCCCCUUAAAAGAAUCUCGCCCUCGAGAUUCAGGGCUGGCUAGCAAAGAGCUCUGGGUACUUGGCCACUAGAUCAUCUUCACGCUCCCAGGUUGCUUCUUCCUCAGAGUGGUGAUUCCAUCUGACUUUGCACAUUCUGAUGGUCUUCCUUCGGGUGACUCGGUCUGCAACCUCAAGGAUUUGCACUGGCUUCUCAACGUAGGUCAAGUCCUCCUGGACUUCCAGACCUUCCACUGGCAACUGCUCUUCUGGCACACGCAAACAUUUCUUCAACUGGGACACAUGAAAGACAUUAUGCACAGCAGACAAAUUCUCUGGCAAACUGAGCUGAUAGGCCACUUCUCCACGCUUUGAGAGGAUCUGGUACGGACCAAUGUAGCGGGGUGCUAGCUUGCCUUUCACUCCGAAUCUUCUGACUCCUCUGAUCGGUGACACUUUCAGAUAGACAAAGUCUCCGACUUCGAAACUCAGCUCUCUUCUUCUUGUGUCUGCAUAGCUUCGCUGCCUCGAUUGCGCUAUCUUCAGAUUCUCUCGGACCAUCUUGAUGUUCUCUUCGGCUUCAAGCAGAAUGUCUGGCCCAAACACUUGCUUCUCUCCAGGCUGAUCCCAUUGCAACGGAGUUCUGCAACUCCUUCCAUAGAGCGCCUGAAAUGGUGACAUCUUCAAACUGGCCUGGUAACUGUUGUUAUAGGAAAACUCUGCAUAAGGCAAUCGCUUAUCCCAUCCGGACUGAUCUUGCAACGCACAGGCUCUCAACAUAUCUUCGAGAAUUUGAUUGGUCCUUUCGGUCUGGCCAUCUGUCUGCGGAUGAUAAGCUGAACUGAAAUUCAGAUGCGUGCCCAAGGCUUCAUGCAACUGCUGCCAGAAAUGAGAGGUGAACUGCGUUCCUCUAUCUGACACUAUCUUCUUUGGCACACCGUGAAGACAAACGAUCCGAGACAUAUACAAUUCUGCCAAUACUGCACUGUUGUAGUUGGUCUUGACAGGUAUGAAGUGGGCUGACUUGGUCAAACGGUCCACUACUACCCAAAUGGAAUCGUAGCCGGCUCGAGUGCGAGGCAGUCCGACUAUGAAAUCCAUACCAAUUUCAUCCCAUUUCCACUGAGGGAUCUGCAACGGUUGCAACAAUCCAGCAGGUCUCUGGUGUUCUGCCUUAAUUCUUCGGCAACUAUCGCACAUAGCCACAUGCUCUGCGAUUUCUCUUUUCAUUCCGUACCACCAGAAUUUCUUCUUCAGAUCCUGAUACAUCUUCUCACUACCAGGGUGAAUCGAAUAGGCUGUCUCAUGAGCUUCCUUAAGAAUCAACUCCCGAAUAGACUGGACAUUGGGAACACACAAGCGGUCUUUGAACCAUAUCACGCCUUCUGCAUCUUCUCGAAACUCUUUGCCUCUGCCAUCUAGAAUCAGUCGCCGGAUCUCACUGAUUUUCUCAUCAUUCUUCUGCGCUUCUUUGAUUUCGCGCUCCAAGGUAGGUUCCAAUUCAACUGUGACUCCUCGCGAAUUGUUCAGAAAUCCGAGACUCAACCUGUCGAACUCCUUGGCCAACUCAUAAGGCAUCGGACGAGCGACCAUCAGAUUGACUUGACUUUUUCUGCUCAAAGCAUCUGCCACUACGUUUGCUUUGCCUGGAUGGUAAUGAAUCUCCAACUCAUAGUCUUUGAUCAACUCUAACCAUCUUCGUUGCCUCAUGUUCAACUCUGACUGAGUGAAUAUGUACUUCAGACUCUUGUGGUCUGUGUAAACAUCGCAUUUCUGUCCAUACAGAUAGUGCCUCCAUGUCUUCAGUGCGUGAACCACUGCUGCCAACUCUAGAUCAUGGAUUGAGUAAUUCUUCUCAUGAACCUUCAGCUGUCGGGACGAGUAAGCCACAACUCUUCCCUCUUGCAUCAACACACAUCCCAAACCUGUGUAACAAGCAUCACAAUACACCGAGAAGGGCUUGUGCACAUCAGGCAAGACUAGGACAGGCGCUGUAGUCAACUUCUCUUUCAGCGCUUCAAAGGCCUCUUGACAUUUCUGGGUCCACUUGAACUCAACUUUGUUGCCUAGCAACGCUGUCAUUGGUUUCGCAAUCCUCGAAAACCCUUCAAUGAAUCGCCGAUAAUAUCCGGCCAUUCCAAUGAAGCUCUUGAUUCCUCUAGCAUCUGUUGGCGCUUUCUAGUUCAGAAUGUCUGCCACUUUCUUCGGAUCCACAGCCAAUCCUUCUUUGUUGAUUAUAUGACCCAAGAACAGGACUUCACUGAUCCAGAACUCACACUUGCUCAACUUUGCAUACAACUGGUGCUCUCGCAAUCUUUGCAACACCAUCCUCAAAUGAUCUGCGUGCUCUUCUUCGCUUUGAGAAUAAACCAGAAUGUCAUCAAUGAAUACCACCACAAACUUAUCGAGAUAAUCCAUGAAUACACUGUUCAUCAAGUUCAUAAAGAAUGCGGGCGCAUUGGUCAAACCAAAAGACAUCACCGUGAACUCAUACAAAGCAUACUUGGUAAUAAAUGUCGUCUUCGGAAUGUCCGAAGGUCGGAUCCUGAGCUGAUGAUAACCUGAUCUCAGAUCAAUCUUAGAGAACACACUGGCUCCUCUCAACUGGUCGAACAGAUCUUCUAUUCUGGGCAAAGGAUACUUGUUCUUGAUCGUGACUUCAUUCAAAGCUCGGUAAUCAAUGCACAUCCUCUUGGUGCCAUCUUUCUUUUCCACAAAUAAGACAGGGGCGGACCAAGGCGAGGUGCUUGGCCGAAUGUAACCUUUCUCUGACAGCUCAUCAAUCUGCUUCUUAAGCUCAACCAACUCUGGUCCGGAUAUUCUGUAAGCUCUCUUAAAGAUAGGGGCGGUUCCAGGAAGAAGCUCUAUGGCAAACUCAACUUUCCGCUCUGGUGGCAUACCCGGUAAGUCCUUUGGAAACACAUCUGGGAAUUCAGACACAACCUUGAUACUCUCAAUUGGAUCUGCUUCACUGCUAUCGACAGUCAUCUGAUAACAACUUCCUUUCUUUGGCUCAGGCGGGACUAACUCGGUCACCACUUCCUUUCCUAGUGGGGACACCAACUUGAUGGUCCUUUUAUCACAACUGAUAACUGUCUGAUACUUAUCUAGCCAAUUCAUCCCUAGGAUGACAUCUAUUCCCUGAGUACCCAUUACUAUAAGGUUGGCGGGAAACGCUAUCCCCCUUAUUUUCACACUUAUAUUUAAACAAAUGCUAUCGGCUCGAAUUCUACCACCGGCUGAGUCAAUUUGAAUGGGGGUUGACAUGGUAGUAAUUGGAAGAUUAUGUGCUUCUACCCAUGAUGCAGUAAUGAAAGAAUGCGUUGCUCCAGUAUCAAAUAACACUUCUGCAAUAUGGGAGUCGACUGGGAACAUACCUACUAUCAUGCCGGGGGUCUCCUGAACUGCUUCAGCCUCCAAGUGGUUCAGCCUUCCAUGAUUAUAACGCUGUUGAGGGCGAUUGCCUGAUCCAGGCUGAGGCACAUUCUGCUUUGCUGGGGCAUUGGGGCCUGACUGCUGCUGGGCUGCCUUCUUCGGACAUUGCAUCACCCAGUGGCCUUGCUCUCCACAGUGGAAACAUGCCCUGUUUCCAACCUGAGCUGGUGCUGCCUGAUUGUUCUGCUGAUUUGCUGGAACAGGAAGACGGGGUGCCUGCUGAUUCUGCCUUUGAAACUGACCUCCUGACUGAUUGCUCUGACGGUUCUGGUACUGAUGCUGAGGAUACUGCCUUUGGAACUGCUGAUGCUGCUGAGGUGGACGCUGGUUCUGCCUGAACUGCUGGGGUUGAUUGCCUGAGAAACGAGGGCGGCUGCUGCUUCCAGGCUGGGGUCCACUGAUCUUGCGCUUACGAUCUUCCAUCUCCUUGCGCUUUCUCUCUGUCAUGAUCGCUCUAUCAAUCAGGUGCUGGAAUGUCGGGAAGGUGUGGUUCAUCAGUUGGUACUGCAGAGGGUCAACCAAGCCUCUCAGGAAACGGUACUGCCGCUUGGCAUCGGUGUUGACAUCUUCAGGAGCAUAGCGAGACAAUUGCAGAAACUUGUCCCGGUACUCACUGACAGACAAUGGCCCUUGCUUGAGGGCCAGGAACUCCUCCUUCUUCACUGUCAUCAGACCUGCAGGAACAUGGUACUGACGAAAGCUACCUCUGAAUUCUUCCCAGGUGAUGGUGUCGGGGUUGGCAUGGGUGGCGAGGUAAGACUCCCACCAUGAUUGGGCUGCUCCUCUCAACAGACGAGGACCAUACAGAACUUUCUCCCUGUCAUCGCACUGAGCGGUAUGCAACUCCCGCUCCACAGUGCGCAGCCAAUCUUCAGCAUCCAUGGGGUCAGAAGAGUGAGCGAACGUUGGUGGAUGACCUCUCAUGAAUUCAGCACGCUUGUCUCUGGGCAUCUGAGGCAUCUGAGGCUGAGGUGGUGCUUGCUGCUGCUGCUGCUGCUGAAUGGCGGCCAGAGUCUGACCGAUGGCUUGAACUGCCUGAGUCUGCAUCAGAAACAUCUGCUCAAUCGACAUCGGGGGCGGGGGCGGCAGCUGCUGCUGCUGGGGCGCCUCAUCUUGCUGAUCGGCUCGCUCCUGCUGAGCACGCCUUCCUCCUCUACGCCUGUUCUCUGACAUCUGCAGAAUGCGACCACACAUCAGAACUGAUCUGGCAAAUCUUGCAGCAUAAGGAAAGAGAAUAGAAUUCUUCAACAGCACUGAACAGAUGAGCAUCUUCACUGAUCUCCAACACAGACCACACAGCUUCUCAGAUAAAGAGGAAAGUGGAAUAAAAGGUUUCCCAACUAUAUAACUAACUUUAUUAACAUAGUAGGUGAACCAAAAUGCAGGGGAUACCCACACUCUGGUAACAAUCAUUACAAAGAUCCAAACCAAACAUAGUUCAUCAUGACAAACAUAAAUGCACAGGAUAUAGCAAACUACCCUGUCUAACUAAGACUAACUAAGACUGAGACUAACGCUAAGACUGAAGCUUCUAUGUAUAUAUAUUUCGUAUUAAUUACAAGAUCCAACUCUAACGAUCUAUGGUUCUAGAGUUAUCUUGGUCUUGCAGUCGGGAUUGCCAUAAGACUGGUGUCCACGCUGAGGUGAGCGGUACGGGUGCUGAGUCCCGACGGGAGCGGGGGAACCACCAUUCAGAUAACGACGUUCCGCGCGCUCAGCCCGCAGCAGGGCGAUCUCAGCACGAGCCCUACUCAGCUCGUCUAAUGCAUGGUCCAGCUCCGUGUUUAGCACGGCGGCUAGGUUGACUGUGCUGCUCAACCUAGGAUUGCCCUCACCGACAGGUGAAACAAUCACGCCUCCUGUGCUGCCAGAUGGACGGCGGGGGUAAUACUUCAGGUCAAGACCGUCAGCUGCCCCACCGAAAACCGAGCAGUAGUGCGAAAGCGCACGCCGUGCAGCAUCUUGCAUGGCUGCUUCAGCUGAGUCCCGUUCAGAGAUAGAAUAGUGCUCUGAACAGGCCUCUGCACCCUGGAGACUGUCCUCCGGGCAGCGCACCAAGCAAGUUGCCUCCCAGCGGUCCGGGUAGACCCCGCGACUAUGCUGGUAGACCACACAGCGAUACUCGACGGACCAAGUAUGCCGGUCAAAUGCCCGACGUAGCAGGGUGUCGAGCGCAUCGUGGAAGUGGCACCCGCGAGCAGCGUCGCGAGUGAUGGGUCGAGCUACCCAUCCUUCCGGCUCAGGGUUAGCAGAGAAGUCGGUGUCGUGGCUUGAGCUGUCGUCGCCAUCUCCGUCGUCUGGGUCUCCUCCAGCAGCUACUCCAGAAGCUGGGGCGCCCAGUGGUGGUGCAGGGGGCGGCUCCAGAGGAAGCACAGGGGAGCAGCUCCUCACAGACUCUAUCUCCUGGUGGAGCGAGAAGGAAGAGCUCUGCUGCUCCUGUCGUCGACGUUCCUGCUCCUCAUGCAGGCGGUGGUGCAGUCUCUCCAAGUGGCUGGACUGUCCGGCCACGGGACGGCGAAGCGGACGCUCAGCAAGGCGGGAGGGUAAGAAGGGGAUGACUGACUAUCGUGCAGUGUGUCUAAGUCGAGCCAUCUACAAAAGACAUCGCAAGCAAAAGGGUGAGAACAGAAUUAAUAUGACCAGCAAGUAAUAAGUAAAUGAAGGAUCAGAAUGAAACACAAUUUUUUAGCAAGGUAUAAUAUAUAGUAGAACAUAGGUUUGGUCGGUAGGACCAACUUUUGAAGGGAUAUCAAAGUCAAGGAAGAGACAGAGGUCUAUAGUCCUUAGAACGACCAUUCUACUCUAGGUUAGCGGUCCUACAGUCAGCACGGCUCUGAUACCACUUAUGUCACACCCGGUUUUAGAAGGCAAACCGAAUGCGAACCAUGUACGUGCCAGGAUCAGUUAUUCACGUACACAACAAUUACAUAAUAUGGACAUCAUCACACUGUGCUCAAAAUAGUAUUAAUAAGGGAAAUAGUCGAUUACAUCAUACGUCUGAGACGUCCAUAUAGUUCUUACAAUAAAUCAAAGUGCGGAAAAGAAACGUAGAUAAACGCGGCCUUCACAGGCAGCCGACUGGGGGUUGCCGCUAACCCACACCUAGAACUCGUCGUAAUCUUGGAACUCCUGGAAGUCUCCUUCCACAGCUUCAUCUUCGCCUGAGCAGUGGUUGCAAUGCUGACAACCUGGGGGGGUUUGGUGUGUAGAGCAAGGGUGAGUACACAUCAACAUACUCAGCAAGUAUCCUGUUUGGCUGUAGUGGACUAGCUUUAUGUGGGGGUAAGUCAAGCAGUUGCUUUUAGUUGGUCAGAUUAUUAUUUACUAGUAGAAAGCCAAGUUUUAGCAUUAACCCAAGUUAUUAACCCGUUGUACCCUUUCCAAACGGAAAGAAUACCACUUACCAGCACCAUAGUCAUAACCAAAACCAUCAAUCUCAUAACCACCUGUAAACCAAAAGGUCUCUUAUCAAGUACCACUAAUCACUGGAGCUCCCUUGGCCGCUCAUAACCGUGAGCACGGCUGAUAUAUCAGUUUCAUAACACUCUGCAGAGGUUGUGCACUUUACCCACAAGCCGUGAUUCCCUCUUGCCUCGGGCCGAUCAAACCCUUAAACACUACCAAGGUGAAUAGGCAGGGUUUCACUAUGUAGCCUUUACAAAGAUUCCCCGGGGCUGUAGCCACCCGUUAGGUUUCCUAAAUGCACCGCACUCCUCCCCAAGGGGCGAACCCAAACUUGGCAGAGCGAGCCGCAUACACCGAGCCCCAUUGACGGCACGACGGCUAAGUGAACUACAUCCCGGAUCCUCUAAUUAUUCAGCUAAGGGCACCCCAUUCCACCCUCAUGGUUGCACUGUUUUCCCGGGCGGUCAUCCAUAGAACAGGUCCUUACGGAGAGGCACUCGAGAAACCGCUCGAGCCCCCUUGAAGGUCACAAGUACAACAUCAUAAUAAGAGAAGGGAAAACAGCGUAUCAUAGAUAACCACAUCAUGUUCAUUGAUUAGAGUUUGAGCAAUAGCAUAAAGCUAAACAGUAAUAAUCCAACCCAGAUAGGUAAACAAGGACAUGGAUAACAAAAGCUAGUCAAUCCUUAGGUAUAAAGGUGUAAUGCGGGAGGUGAAUUAAAUAAUGAAUAGGACAGAGAUAGGUCAAAGGACACUUGCCUCCACCAAACGACUGCUGCUCAGGGGCUUCUCCUGCGAAUUCCUCGGGCUCUUCGACCGGAUCGUUCUCUAUGCGAUUACAAACAUACAUACAUCCAUCCACAUUUAAUACAAAAGAACAGUACACCAUACAAGGGAACAAAUAAAGUGAGUAUGCAUCAAGUAUGACAUUUGAUAUCGCAUUUGUUAUGGUUAGAAAGAAACGGGAAAGGGUCUCGCAGGGGGUUAAAUCUUAUGCGCUAACGAUCAAUUACAAUUGGUUCUUAACAAAAGAAUUCUGUUACAUAUACACUAAUGGAAACCUAAUCAUUUUAAGUUGAUCAACAUCGCACGAGAUAAACAAUUAACUACAUGAAUCAAUUAGCAUAACGGAAUUUUAAAUUAAACUUCCUAUUUCAAUGGCAUUAAUAAUGAUUAACCUACCUAAAACAAAAUAGCUAUGAUCACAGAAAGUAAAUAAAAUAAAAUAAAAAAAACAGAGGGGGGGGGGGCGGUUGAACCGGCCCUAGGGGCGGUUGAACCGGCCGGGGGCAGGGCGCGCAGGGGCGGCCGAGCCGGGGCGGCUGAGCCGGCCGAGCGGCCAGGGGGGGGGGGGGGCGCGGCCAGGGCGCGGCCAGGCGGGCGGCCAGGCGGGCGGCCGGGGCGGGCGGCCGGGCGGCCAGGGCGCGGCCAAGGCCAGGGCGCGGCCAAGGCGGCGGCCAGGGCGGGCGGCCGGGCGGGGGCGGGACGAGCCGGGCGGGCGGCCGGGCGGGACGAGCCGGCCAUGGCGGCGGCCAUGGCGCCGAGCGGCGAGGGGAAGGGGAGGGGGAUGGGGGAGGGAGGGGAGAGGGAGGAGGGGGCUCACCGGCGAGGGGCGGGCGACGGCGGGGGGGGGGGGCCGGCAGGGAGCGGCGGCCGAGCAGGGGGCGGCGGCGGCUUAGGGCAGGGGCGGGUAGGGGCGGCGCUAGGGGAGAGAGAGGGAAAAUGAGAGAGGGGGAGAGGGAUUGGGGGGUUUUGGGGAAAAAUAAAGGGAGGGGGCGGCAUGGGCCAAUUGGGCCCAAGGGGGGGGCGCCAGGGGCGGCUGGGCCGGCCGGGGUCGGCCCACGGCGCGGGAGAGAGAGAUAGAAGAAAGAGAAAGAGAGAAAAAGAAAUAAAAGAUCUUCUUCUUAUUUUCGAAAUCCGAUCUUUCUAUAUGAAUGCAUUUGCACUUUCAAAGCAAUCAAAAGAAAUGCAAGGUUCGGCAUGGUGCAUCAAACAACAUAAAGUACUUAGGGUUUUUCUUACACGGGAAAACCGAAUCCCGCUAGAACUUUGGAAAAGGUCAAGGUUUAGCGAGGGGAAAAAGAAAAAGAAAAGGUAACGCCCGAAUUUUGGCGAGUAAAGAAAAGAAAAAAUUCAACUGCAAAAUUCGGGGCGUUACAGAGCGCCUGUCCCGUCCUCGUCCCCGCGCGGCCAACCUCCUCUAAGAGGGCCCUGGUCCUCCCUUUUAUAGGCGUAAGGAGAGGAUCCAGGUGUACAAUGGGGGUGUAGCAGAGUGCUACGUGUCUAGCGGGGGGAGAGCUAGCGCCCUAAGUACAUGCCGAUGUGGCAGCCGGAGAGAUUUUGGCACCCAGCUGGUGUGAUGUCGUGGCCGUCGGAGGAGCGACGGAGCCUGGCGGAGGGACAGCUGUCGGAGCGGUUGAGUCCUUGCUGACGUCCUCCUGCUUCCGUAAGAGAGCUGAGAGCCGCCGUCGUCACAGAGCAUGCGGGGCGCCAUCAUUGCCUGUCUGGCGGAGCUAGCCAGCUGGGACACCGGUCUUGUUGUCUGCGGCCCGAGUCAGCUCGGGGUAGGGUGAUGAUGGCGCUUCCUGUUGACGUGGCUGGCCUGCGCCCUAGGUUGGGCGACGUGGAGGCUCCUCCGAAGCCGAGGUCGAGUCUGUCUUCCAUGGUCGAGGCCGAGUCCGAGCCCCUGGGUCGGGCGAGGCGGAGGUCGUUCAGCAGAGGCCAGGGCGGAGUCCGAGCCCUAGGGUCGGGCGAAGCGGAGUUCGUCGUCUUCUGGGACUUAGCCCGAGUCCGAGCCCUGGGUCGGGCGGAGAGGAGUUCGCCGUCUUCCGGGACUUAGCCCGAGUCCGAGCCCUGGGUCGGGCGGAGCGGAGUUCGCCGUCUUCCGGGACUUAGCCCGAGUCCGAGCCCUGGGUCGGGCGGAGCGGAGUUCGCCGUCUUCCGGGACUUAGCCCGAGCCGAGCCCUGGGUCGGGCGGAGCGGAGUUCGCCGUCUUCCGGGACUUAGCCCGAGUCCGAGCCCUGGGUCAGGCGGAGCGGACUUCGCCGUCUUCCGGGACUUAGCCCGAGUCCGAGCCCUGGGUCGGGCGGAGCUUCCUAUGGUGCCUUUGGCAGGGCCUGACUGCCUGUCAGUCUUACUCUGUCAAGUGGCACUGCAGUCGGAGUGGCGCAGGCGGCGCUGUCUUUCUAUCAGGCCGGUCAGUGGAGCGGUGAAGUGACGGCGGUCACUUCGGCUCUGCCGGGGGGCGCGCGUCAGGAUAAAGGUGUCAGGUCACCUUUGCAUUAAAUGCUCCUGCGACUUGGUCGGUCGGUGCGACGAUUUAGUCAGGGUUGCUUCUUAGCGAAGGCAUGGCCUCGGGCGAGCCGGAAAUAUGUCCGCCGUUGGAGGGGGGCCUCGGGCGAGAUGGAAAUCCUCCGGGGUCGGCUGCCCUUGUCCGAGGCUAGGCUCGGGCGAGGCGUGAUCGAGUCGCUCGAAUGGACUGAUCCCUGACUUAAUCGCACCCAUCAGGCCUUAGCAGCUUUAUGCUGAUGGGGGUUACCAGCUGAGAAUUAGGAGUCUUGAGGGUACCCCUAAUUAUGGUCCCCGACAGUAGCCCCCGAGCCUCGAAGGGAGUGUUAGCACUCGCUUGGAGGCUUUCGUCACACUUUUUUGCAAGGGGACCAGCCUUUCUCGGUUGCAUUUUGUUCCGGUGGGUGCACGCGAGCGCACCCGCCGGGUGUAGCCCCCGAGGCCUCGGAGGAGUGGUUUCACUCCUUCGAGGUCUUAAUGCCUCGCGUAAUGCUUCGGCUGGUCUGGUUGUUCCCUCAUGCGAACUGGCCGUAGCCCGGGUGUACGGUCGGGGCCCAAGUUCUCGGGCUGGUAUGUUGACGCUGUCAACGGUUCGGCCGGAGCCGGGUUUGCGAGAGCAGCCCCCGAGCCUCUGCACAGGGCGAGAGGGCGAUCAGGGACAGACUCGUCUUUUUGCAUACGCCCCUGCGUCGCCUUUCCGCAAGGAGGAGGGGGGAAAGCGCCAUGUUACCCUCGAUGGGCGCCGAACAUGGUGUCUCCGGUGAGCUGCAAGCGGGUAAUCCGAGUGGACGUCCAUGCCCCGUUCGUUAGGGGUCGGCUAGGGGCCCAGAGGCACGCCCAAAAGUACCUGCGGGUGAUCUGCCGGACCCGGUCCCCUGGCGACGGGGUCCGAGGGCUCGAUGCCUCCCUCUGAUGGGAUUCCGUUACAAGAUCGCUCCCGCUGGUCUCGGAAAUGUCCUAGGAUACCUCGGGAGCGCAGCCCGAGCCUUGGUUAUGUAUCGAACGUACCCUUGGUCAUCCCUCGCUCGGCGUCUGAGGCGACUGUGAACCCUUCGGGGGCCAGCCUUCGAACCCCUGAUCAGUAAUGGGCGCAGAGCCCGAGUAGCCUGAGGCGGCCGUUGAACCCUUCGGGGGGUCGGCCUUCGAACCUCUGACCAGUAGUGGGUGUAGGGCCCACGUGAUCUGAGGCGGCUGUCGAACCCUUCGGGGGGCUAGCCUUCGAACCUCUGAUCAGUAGGGAGGCUCGGAGCCUGGUUCCUUCACGGGGAAGGAUCCUUUUCGGGGUAUCCCCCUUUCCCGGUCCCUGCUGCAAGAGAUAGAGAAAGAGGAAAAAAGGAAAAGGAUACGAAAUCGAACGACGCGACGUACCUCUUUUGGCGCGGUUAUUUUGGCGAAGGCGAAGCGUCGCCCGCUUUUCCUGCCAGAAGCGCCGCCUGUCCCGCCGCGGAGUUAAUGCGACGGGGCGAGUGGUUGGCGGGGCGGCCGCUGCGCGUGCGCGAGCCGUUCGAGGAACGGAUCACGGGCGCGUUGUCUUCACGCCGUGAGAGGGGGUUCUCUUGCUGCCCCCGGAUGGGAUGUGAGCUUGGCUGACGAUGUGACCGCUGCUCCCGCCCGCCUGCCACCGUCAUUACUGCCGGCCCACUUUUGGCCGCAUUGACCGCCGCGUCAGGCUGGCGCUGCUGGGUCGUGCGCCGGGUCGCCUCGAGUCGCGGUAUUGGUUCCGCAAUCGAGGAGGCGCGGUGGUGGCGCAAGUGGCGGUGCAGUUGCUUGCAUGCAGCAUCCGGCGCGCCGGUUGCGUGACGCGUGGGCCUAGGCCUCCAUGCUGGCGUGUCGGGAGUUGGAGAAGCGCGUCCACUUGGCGCGGUUGCACGCCGCCUGCGUGGCUGCCCGCCUCUUUCGCCCGUUGGUCUGGGCAAAAGUGGAGGGUCACUUGUAACCGCUGGGCGGUCGUGUGCACCACGCGUGGCGGUUUGGCUUCUUCUGUUCUGAGUCGGUUUGCAUAACAUGCGGGACCCAGCCCCCGCGCCGUAGGGGAGGGCCUUGGAGCGUGUUGGAGAAGACUCAGCCCGUGACGGUUGGGGGCGCAAGUAGGGAGAGUUGCCUUUAAAAGGAGGGCGACCCCUUUCGGAAGGCGACCAUGUCUUCUCGCUUCCUUAUGCAUCGCGUCUUUCCAUCUUCCAAGCCCCCAGAUGGGGGAUACCCGCCGUCUUUUCGCCUCAUCGUUGGAGGAACGCAACUCCGUGGGAGUUGGUACCUUUCAGCCAUCGUUCGGCUUCAAGGAUUUUCAUCAGCCAGCCCGGCUGUAUCCCCCCGCCGGCGGUCACCCGAGAUGGUGACCACCAGCUCCUGGGUGGGGAGAAGCAAGCCGGGCUGCGAUCUUGGUCCCACCCUCAGCUUCAAGGAUGUUCAUCAUCCUCGCUGGGGUGGGUGCCGGGCUGAGCCGGAGCUCUAUCUCCCGCGCGGGUUCGCGGGUCACCCUCUCUUGCGGCGUUCGAGGGAGAGGGCGCUCGCUGGCCCCGCGGGCGGCCCGGACUUCGACAACGCGGGGCUGGUCGACGGCGGGCGUCGUCACCCCCAGCGUGUCGUGCUCGUCGGCCUGGCUCCCGGUGGCCCUUUCUGCCGGAAGGUGGCUGCCGCGCCGUGUGCACGGGGGGACCGCCCAAGAUGCCGCGCGCUGCUAGGGCGGCGUUCGUGUUCUGGGGUGGUCCUGCCUUUGCACCGGGACGGCGCCUUCACGCGGAGGGCGAUGCCCCACUCGUCCGGGAGGAUUUGAGUGGGGAUCUGCCGGAGGGCUGAUGGCCCCUGCCGUCGGUGCCGAGGCGGAGGCGGCUCGAGAAGUCCCCGUCGCCGACGGGAUCACCGCCACCAUCCGCGCUUCGGGCCUCCGGUUCUUUGUACUUGUCCUCGCCCCUCGAGCGUCGGCGUGGGCGAGGGCAAGAUUGCAGCAGCGCCCACCCUGAGGCCUGCGUUGCUGUAGUUCGGCCAUCCGGAGCGGGGGUCGUUGUCGUCGUAGUCAGAGCAGGCGGCGGCGAGCCGCUCGUCAGUCUUCUGUUGCUCCGCAGGCCCACCCUUAUCGAGUGGGGUUGUUCGUACCUGCGGAGGGGGAACCGGAGUUCCGUUUGUAAUGGCACUUCGAAUGCCAUGGUUUUUUGUUCAUUGCGGCUGUCGAGGCCUGAACAUGUAUGUAAUUUUGGCACGGAGCCAUGUUUUUCCUCAUUUUCGAGCACUAAGACUCGCCUGUUGAUUAUCUGAACCGCUUCACCAAGCAUGAGUCGCCCCGUGUCAAGGUGACGAGUGAGGUAUCCGUAUCCCGGAGGCGUAGGAGUCCCUCGGCUCGGUCGGCCUUGUUGUCUGAGGCUCCUCUAGCUUAGUUAAAGGGACCCCUUGGCCGCUCUUUGACGAGCCGAGGCCAGGGGUAGCGAUAUCAGCAUGAACAGAGGCGGAGUUGGCUCGAAAAUGAAACAUGGUUGGCCGGAGCCUAGCCGGGUUGUCCGUUAGCGGGACCGACGCCGGAGUCGAUCAGCCGAGGCCUCGGGUCGGGCUGGCGCCCUUGGAAGAUGGUUGGCCGAGGCCCCAGGGGUAACCGGCCGAGCCGCCUGCUCGGGCCGGAUUCCCGGAGAAGUCCCCGGCAGCGAUUGUCCGGGCGUGACGAUGACGUCGUCCUCCAGAGUGGGGAUCCUUGGACCGCAUCGCCGUCCGAGGCUAGGUCGGACCUUGCUGAAGGUGUUACUGCCCCCUUCCAGCGUCAAGACCCGAGCCUGCAAGAUCAGAGUGUCUUGUAGCGUGUGCCUUCUGCGGCCGCCGAGGCCAGAAUACACACCCUCGCUGUGUUGUAAAGCUGCGUCUCCUUUCCUCUUGUUUCGAGUAUCUAGACUUUUUUGUCGGUAACAGGGAUGUCUGUGCGAGCGAGAGUUGCUUCUCGCGGAAGGUGAUGAGUGAGGUAUCCGUAUCCCGGAGGCGUGGGAGUCCCUCGGCUCGGUCGGCCUUGCCGCUUACGCGCACUUUCACCCGUCCAUGAGGCCCUGUCACCGACUCAGUCGAGAAGGCUCGAAGGAUCGCUUCGGCAGAAGGGCUUUCGAACGUGAAGACUUGUUCGGUCCGCGGAAUCACUUUAUCCGAACGCGAGUUACUUAUCACAGAAGGUGAUGAGUGAGGUAUCCGUAUCCCGAAGGCGUAGGAGUCCCUCGGCUCGGUCAGCCUUGGCUGCUUACGUGUACUCCGUCGUUUUCAGGAUCCACUUUUUGAAGUAGUCAGAAAGCACGAAAGAUAUUCUGGCAGAAGAGAUCUUUUUUCGAGGAAAAUUUCAACGCAGAGGGGGUUCCCCCCCUUUUAGCCCCGAGGGAGGGUCGGGCUUUGCCGGGGCGAGGCCGACCCUUCCUUGAUGACUAAACUUUGCGCGGAUGCGAGGUAUAUGAACAACUUGAAAACAUCUUAAGGGUAGAAGCGACGUAGCUGUUGGAUGUUCCAAGCGUUGCCGUAGACCUCGCCUUGACUGUUGGCCAGCUUGUACGUUCCGGGCUUCAGAACUUUGGCGAUGACGAAUGGCCCCUCCCAGGGGGGCGUGAGCUUGUGCCUCCCUCGGGCGUCUUGCCGCAGCCGAAGCACCAGGUCGCCCACCUGGAGGUCUCAGGGCCGGACCCCUCGGGCGUGGUAGCGUCGCAGGGACUGCUGGUACCGCGCCGAGUGUAGCAAGGCCUUGUCCCGAGCCUCUUCCAGCUGGUUCAGCGAGUCUUCUCGGCUAGCUUGGUUGCUUUGAUCGCUGUAGGCCCUCGUCCUCGGGGAGCCGUAUUCCAGGUCAGUGGGCAAGACGGCCUCGGCCCCGUAGACCAGGAAGAACGACGUGAAACCCGUGGCCCGGCUCGGCGUUGUCCUCAGGCUCCAGACCACCGAGGGGAGUUCCUUCAUCCAUCGCUUGCCGAACUUGUUGAGGUCGUUGUAAAUCCGAGGCUUGAGCCCUUGUAGAAUCAUGCCGUUGGCACGCUCUACUUGCCCAUUCGACAUGGGAUGAGCUACGGCGGCCCAGUCCACCCGGAUGUGGUGAUCCUCGCAGAAGUCCAAGAAUUUUCUGCCGGUGAACUGGGUACCGUUGUCGGUGAUGAUGGAGUUCGGGACCCCGAAGCGAUGGAUGAUGUUGGUGAAGAACGUCACCGCCUGCUCAGACCUGAUGCAGUUCAGGGGUCGGACCUCGACCCACUUGGAGAAUUUGUCGAUGGCGACCAGCAGGUGCGUGUAGCCCCCGGGCGCCUUCUGCAAGGGGCCGACGAGGUCCAGCCCCCACACAGCAAAGGGCCAGGUGAUGGGUAUCGUCUGUAGAGCCUGCGCGGGCAGGUGGGUUUGCUUCACAUAGAAUUGACACCCUUCGCAGGUGCGGACAAUUCUAGUGGCGUCAGCCACCGCCGUUGGCCAGUAGAAGCCUUGCCGGAAAGCAUUCCCGACAAGGGCUCGAGGCGCUGCGUGAUGGCCACAAGCCCCCGAGUGUAUCUCUUGCAGGAGUUCCUGACCUUCGGCGACGGAGAUGCAUCGCUGGAGGGUGCCCGAGGGGCUGUGGUGGUAGAGCUCCUUCUCAUCGCCCAGCAAGACGAACGACUUGGCGCGUCGCGCUACCCGCCGAGCCUCGGCUCGGUCGAGGGGUAGCUCUCCUUGGUGGAGAUAUUGCAGGUACGGGGUCUGCCAAUUUCGAUCAGGCGUGGCCCCACUCCGCUCCUCCUCGAUGCGCAGUGCCUCACCCUCGGAGGCCGAGGGUACCUCGGGUUGAACCGAGGCCGCCUCGGGCCGAGCUGAGGGUGCCUCGGGCUGUGCCGAGAGCACCUCGGGCUGGACCGAGGGCGCCUCAGGCUCGGGCGCGUCGUCGAUCUUGACGGAGGGUUGAUGCAGAUCCCGAGAGAAGACGUCCGGGGGAAUCGUUGUUCGCCCCGAGGCUAUUUUUGCCAGCUCGUCCGCAGUCUCGUUGUAGCGCCGAGCGAUGUGGUUAAGCUCGAGCCCGUAGAACUUGUCUUCCAGGCGCCGAACCUCAUCGCAGUAGGCCUCCGUCUUCGGGUCGCGGCAGUGGGAGUUCUUCAUGACUUGGUCGAUGACGAGCUGCGAGUCACCGCGAGCGUCGAGGCGCCUGACCCCUAGCUCGAUGGCGAUCCGCAACCCGUUGACCAGAGCCUCGUACUCAGCCACAUUGUUGGACGCCGGGAAGUGGAGGCGUAGCACAUAGCGUAGGUGUUUCCCGAGGGGCGAGAUGAAGAGUAGGCCCGCGCCGGCCCCCGUCUUCAUCAGCGACCCGUCGAAAAACACAGUCCAGAGCUCCGGUUGGAUCGGAGCCGUCGGUAGCUGGGUGUCGACCCAUUCGGCUACGAAGUUCGCCAAGACCUGGGACUUGAUGGCCUCCCGAGGGGCGAACGAGAAUGUCUCGCCCAUGAUUUCUACCGCCCACUUUGCAAUCCUGCCCGAGGCCUCUCAGCACUGGAUGAUCUCCCCCAGGGGGAAGGAUGACACACAGUUACCGGAUGAGACUCGAAGUAGUGUCGCAACUUCCGUCGCGUCAGGAUCACUGCAUACAACAGCUUCUGAACUUGUGGGUAGCGGAUCUUGGUUUCGGACAGUACCUCGCUGACGAAGUAAACAGGCCUCUGAACGGGCAAUGCAUGCCCCUCUUCUUGCCUCUCGACCACAAUCGCGGCGCUAACCACCUGAGUGGUCGCAGCGACGUAGACCAAGAGGGCUUCUCCGGUAGCUGGGGGCACCAAGAUGGGCGCCUUCGUGAGGAGCGCCUUCAGGUUCCCGAGAGCUUCCUCGGCCUCAGGGGUCCAAGUGAAGUGCUCGGCCUUCCUUAAGAGGCGGUACAGAGGCAGGCCUCUUUCGCCGAGGCGUGAGAUGAAGCGGCUUAGAGCCGCGAGACAUCCCAUGACCCUCUGUAUGCCCUUUAAGUCCUUGAUGGGACCCAUGCUGGUGAUGGCUGCGAUCUUCUCCGGGUUGGCUUCGAUGCCCCGCUCGGAGACGAUGAACCCCAAGAGCAUGCCCCGGGGCGCCCUGAAGACACACUUCUCGAGAUUGAGCUUGACGCCUUUCGCCUUGAGACAUCGGAAUGUCACUUCAAGGUCGGAGAGGAGGUUGGAAGCUUUCCUCGUCUUGACUACGAUGUCAUCGACGUAGGCCUCGACCGUGCGACCGAUGUGUUCACCGAACACAUGGUUCAUGCACCGCUGGUACGUCGCGCCCGCAUUCCUCAAAUCGAACGGCAUGGUGACAUAGCAGUACAUGCCGAAGGGCGUGAUGAAAGAAGUCGCGAGCUGAUCGGACUCUUUCAUCCUGAUUUGGUGGUACCCCGAGUAGGCGUCGAGGAAAGACAGGGUUUUGCACCCAGCAGUGGAAUCCACGAUUUGAUCGAUGUGAGGCAGAGGGUAGGGAACCUUCGGACAUGCUUUGUUGAGACCAGUGUAGUCUACACACAUCCGCCAUUUCCCUCCUUUGUUUCUCACAAGCACAGGGUUGGCAAGCCAUUCGGGAUGGGAUACCUCUUUGAUGAACCCGGCUGCCAUUAGCUUGUGGAUCUCCUCGCCUAUCGCUCUGCGCUUCUCCUCGUCGAAUCGGCGCAGAGGCUGCUUGACGGGUCGGGCUCCGGCCCGAAUAUCCAGCGAGUGCUCGGCGACAUCCCUCGGUAUGCCGGGCAUGUCCGAGGGACUCCACUCGAAGACGUCGACGUUCGCGCGGAGAAAGUCGACGAGCACUGCUUCCUAUUUGGGGUCGAGCCUGGAACCGAUCCGGAUCUGCUUGAAGGCGUCGCCACUGGGGUCGAGGGGGACGGCCUUAACCGUCUCCACUGGCUCGAAGUUGCCGGCAUGACGCUUCACGUCUGGCACCUCUUUGGAGAGGCUUUCCAGGUCGGUGAUGAGGGCCUCGGACUCGGCGAGGGCCUCGACGUACUCCACGCACUCCACGUCGCAUUCGAACGCGUGUUUGUACGUGGGGCCGACGGUGAUGACCCCGUUGGGGCCCGACAUCUUGAGCUUCAGGUAGGUGUAGUUGGGGACGGCCAUGAACUUCGCGUAGCAUGGCCUCCCCAGUACCGCGUGGUAGGUUCCUCGGAACCCGACCACCUCGAACGUCAUAGUCUCCCUUCGGAAGUUGGAGGGCGUUCCGAAGCAGACGGGAAGGUCGAGUCGUCCGAGGGGCUGGACGCGCUUCCCGGGAAUGAUCCCGUGGAAGGGCGCAGCGCCUGCUCGGACGGAGGACAGAUCGACGCGCAGGAGCCUGAGGGUCUCGGCGUAGAUGAUGUUGAGGCUGCUGCCCCCCGUCCAUAAGGACCUUGGUGAGCCUGACGUCGCCCAUGACGGGGUCGACGACGAGCGGGUAUUUCCCCGGGCUCGGCACGUGGUCGGGGUGGUCGUCUUGGUCGAAGGUGAUGGGCUUGUCGGACCAGUCUAGAUAGACCGGUGCCACCACCUUGACCGAGCAGACCUCUCGGCGCUCUUGCUUGCGGUGCCGAGCCGAGGCAUUCGCCGCUUGCCCACCGUAGAUCAUGAAGCAGUCACGCACCUCGGGGAACUCUCCUGCUUGGUGAUCUUCCUUCUUGUCGUCGUCGCGGGCCCUGCCACCCUCCGCGGGUGGCCCGGCCCUGUGGAAGUGGCGCCGAAGCAUGACGCACUCCUCAAGGGUGUGCUUGACGGGCCCCUGAUGAUAGGGGCACGGCUCCUUGAGCAUCUUGUCGAAGAGGUUGGCACCUCCGGGGGGCUUCCGAGGGUUCUUGUGCUCGGCGGCGGCGACAAGGUCCGCGUCGGCGGCGUCGCGUUUCGCUUGCGACUUCUUCUUGCCUUUCUUCUUGGCGCCACGCUGAGUAGAUAGCCCUGGGGCUGCUUGUCCUUUCGGAAGAUAGCCUCGACCGCCUCCUGGCCAGAGGCGAACUUGAUGGCGAUGUCCAUCAGCUCGCUCGCCCUGGUGGGGGUCUUGCGACCCAACUUGCUCACCAGGUCGCGGCAAGUGGUGCCGGCAAGGAACGCGCCGAUGACAUCCGAGUCGGUGAUGUUGGGCAGCUCGGUGCGCUGCUUCGAGAAUCGCCGAAUGUAGUCCCGGAGAGACUCUCCCGGCUGCUGCCGGCAGCUUCGGAGGUCCCAGGAAUUCCCGGGGCGCACGUACGUGCCCUGGAAAUUGCCGGCGAAGGCUUGGACCAGGUCAUCCCAGUUGGAGAUCUGCCCCGGAGGCAGGUGCUCCAACCAGGCGCGAGCGGUGUCGGAGAGGAACAUGGGGAGGUUGCGGAUGAUGAGGUUGUCGUCGUCCGUUCCACCCAGCUGGCAGGCCAGGCGGUAGUCUGCGAGCCACAAUUCCGGUCUCGUUUCCCCCGAGUACUUUGUGAUAGUAGUCGGGGGUCGGAACCGGGUCGGGAACGGUGCCCGCCGGAUGGCCCGACUGAAGGCCUGCGGACCGGGUGGUUCGGGCGAGGGACUCCGAUCCUCCCCGCUGUCGUAGCGUCCCCCACGCCUGGGGUGAUAGCCUCGGCGCACCCUCUCGUCGAGGUGGGCUCGACGGUCGCGAUGAUGGUGCACGUUGCCGAGGUGGCCCGGGGCCGCAGGCGCGGUGUUGCGCGUGCGCCCGGUGCAGACCGAGGCUUCCCGCAUGAAUCGGGAAGUCGCGGCAUGAGGUUCCGAGUGGUACCCCUACCUUCGGGAGGCAGAGCUCUCGGCCCGUCGGACCGCGGCGCCUUUGAAAGGGAAUUAGGCUUACACCUAGUUCCUAAAUAAUUUUGGUGGUUGAAUUGCCCAACACAAAUAAUUGGACUAACUAGUUUGCUCUAGUGUAUAAGUUAUACAGGUGCCAAAGGUUCAUACUUAGCCAAUAAAAAGACCAAGUAUUGGGUUCAACCAAAGAGCGAAGGGACAACCGAAGACACCUCUGGUCUGAGGCACCGGACUGUCCGGUGUACACCGGACAGUGACCGGUGCACCACCGGACAGUGUCCGGUGCACCAGAGGACUCCAACUUGAACUUGCCACCUUCGGGAAUUUCUAGAGGCACUCGCGCUAUAAUUUACCGGACUGUCCGGUGUACACCGGACAGUGUCCGGUGCUCCUCGAAAGAGCUGCCUCAGGAACUCGCCAGCCUCGGGAAAUCAGAACGCCUGCUCCGCUAUAAUUCACCGGACAUGUCCGGUGUACACCGGACUGUCCGGUGAACCAGCAGAGCAACGAAUACUUCGCGCCAACGGCUACCUGCGACGCAUUAAAUGCGCGCGCUGCGCGCGCAGAGGUCAGGCACGCCCAUGCUGGCGCACCGGACAAUCUACAGUACAUGUCCGGUGCGCCACCGGACAUCCAGGCGGGCCCAGAAGUCAGAGCUCCAACGGUCGACCCCAACGGCUUUUGGUGACGUGGCUGUCGCACCGGACAUGUCCGGUGUGCACCGGACUGUCCGGUGCGCCAUCGAACAGACAGCCUCCACCAACGGUCAAGUUGGUGGUUGGGGCUAUAAAUACCCCAACCACCCCACCAUUCAUUGCAUCCAAGUUUCCCACUUCUCAACCACUUACAAGAGCUAGGCAUUCAAUUCUAGACACAUACAAAGAGAUCAAAUCCUCUCCAAUUCCACACAAGGCUUUAGUGAUUAGCGAGAGAGAUUUGCCGUGUUCUUUUGAGCUCUUGCGCUUGGAUUGCUUCUUUUCUUUCUCACUUGUUCUUGUGAUCAAAACUCCAUUGUAAUCAAGGCAAGAGGCACCAAUUGUGUGGUGGCCCUUGCAGGGAAGUUUUGUUCCCGGCUUUGAUUUGAGAAGAGAAGCUCACUCGGUCCGAGGGACCGUUUGAGAGAGGGAAGGGUUGAAAGAGACCCGGCCUUUGUGGCCUCCUUAACGGGGAGUAGGUUUGUGAGAACCGAACCUCGGUAAAACAAAUCCGCGUGUCACACUCUUCAUUUGCUUGCGAUUUGUUUUGCGCCCUCUCUCCCGGACUCGAUUAUAUUUCUAACGCUAACCCGGCUUGUAGUUGUGUUUAUAUUUGUAAAUUUCAGUUUCGCCCUAUUCACCCCCCCUCUAGGCGACUAUCAAUUGGUAUCAAAGCCCGGUGCUUCAUUAGAGCCUAACCGCUCGAAGUGAUGUCGGGAGAUCACGCCAAGAAGGAGAUGGAGACCGGCGAAAAGCCCACUACAAGCCACGGGAGCACUUCAUCGGAAGAGUCCCGCACCAAGAGGAAGGAGAAGAAGAAGAGCUCCUCCAACAAAGGGAAGGAGAAGAAAUAUUCUUCUCACCACAAAGAGAAGAAGGAAAGAUCUUUCUCUCACAAGCCGCAUCGGAGUGGGGACAAGAAAAAGAGGAUGAGGAAAGUGGUCUACUACGAGACCGAUUCUUCAUCGCCAUCCACCUCCGGCUCUGACGCGACAUCCGUCACUUCUAAGCGCCAAGAGCGCAAGAAGUAUAGUAAGAUCCCCCUACACUACCCUCGCAUUUCCAAACAUACACCCUUGCUUUCCGUCCCAUUAGGCAAACCACCAACUUUUGAUGGUGAAGAUUAUGCUAGGUGGAGUGAUUUAAUGCGAUUUCAUCUAACCUCACUCCACAAAAGUAUAUGGGAUGUUGUUGAGUUUGGUGCACAGGUACCAUCCAUAGGGGAUAAAAAUUAUGAUGAGGAUGAGGUGGCCCAAAUCGAGCACUUCAACUCUCAAGCAACAACAAUACUCCUCGCCUCUUUAAGUAGAGAAGAGUAUAACAAAGUUCAAGGGUUGAAGAACGCCAAGGAGGUUUGGGAUGUGCUCAAAACCGCGCACGAGGGAGAUGAGCUCACAAAGAUCACCAAACGGGAAACGAUCGAGGGGGAGCUCGGUCGGUUCCGGCUUCGCAAAGGGGAGGAGCCACAAAACAUGUACAACCGGCUCAAGACCUUGGUGAAUCAAGUGCGCAACCUCGGGAGCAAAAAGUGGGAUGACCACGAGGUGGUUAAGGUUAUUCUAAGAUCUCUUAUUUUCCUUAACCCUACUCAAGUUCAAUUAAUUCGUGGCAACCCAAGAUAUACACUAAUGACCCCCGAGGAAGUAAUCGGGAAUUUUGUAAGUUUUGAGUGCAUGAUCAAAGGCUCAAGGAAGAUCAACGAGCUUGAUGAUCCCUCCACAUCCGAAGCUCAACCCAUCGCAUUCAAGGCGACGGAGGAAAAGAAGGAGUCUACACCAAGUCGACAACCAAUCGACGCCUCCAAGCUCGACAAUGAGGAAAUGGCGCUCGUCAUCAAGAGCUUCCGCCAAAUCCUCAAACAAAGGAGGGGGAAAGACUACAAGUCCCGCUCCAAGAAGGUUUGCUACAAGUGUGGUAAGCCCGGUCACUUUAUAGCUAAAUGUCCAUUAUCAAGUGAUAGUAACAGGGGCGACGACAAGAAGGGGAGAAGAAAGGAGAAGAAGAGGUACUACAAGAAGAAGGGCGGCGAUGCCCAUGUUUGUCGGGAGUGGGACUCCGACGAAAGCUCAAGCGACUCCUCCGAUGACGAGGACGCCGCCAACAUCGCCGUCACCAAAGGACUUCUCUUCCCCAACGUCGGCCACAAGUGCCUCAUGGCAAAGGACGGCAAAAGGAAGAAGGUUAAAUCUAGAUCUUCCACAAAAUAUGAAUCCUCUAGUGAUGAUAAUGCUAGUGAUAAGGAGGAUAACCUGCUUACCCUUUUUGCCAAUCUUAACAUGGAACAAAAAGAAAAAUUAAAUGAGCUAAUUAGUGCCAUCCAUGAGAAGGAUGAUCUCUUGGACUCCCAAGAGGACUUCCUAAUCAAGGAAAAUAAGAAACAUGUUAAGGUUAAAAAUGCUUAUGCUCUAGAGGUAGAAAAAUAUGAAAAAUUGUCUAGUGAGCUAAGCACUUGCCAUGAGACCAUUAACAACCUUAGAAAUGAAAAUGCUAGAUUAAUUGCUAAGGUUGAUUCUCAUGUUUGUAUUGAUUCAAUUCCCGAUCCUAGAAAUGAUAAUGAUGAUUUGCUUACUAAGAUUAAGGAAUUGAAUGAUUCUCUUGCUAGCCUUAGAGUAGAAAAUGAAAAUUUGAUUGCUAAGGCUAAAGAUUUUGAUGUUUGCAAUGUUACUAUUUCCGACCUUAGAACUAAGAAUGACAUGUUACAAGCUAAGAUUGUAGAAUUAAAAUCUUGCAAACCCUUUACAUCGAUUGUUGAGCAUGUAUCUAUUUGUACUAGAUGUAGAGAUGUUGAUAUUGAUGCUAUUCAUGAUCACAUGAUUUUAAUUAAACAACAAAAUGAUCAUAUAGCAAAACUAGAUGCUAAAAUUGCCGAGCAUAACUUAGAAAAUGAAAAGUUUAAAUUUGCUAGAAGUAUGCUCUAUAAUGGGAGACGCCCGGGCAUCAAGGAUGGCAUUGGCUUCCAAAGAGGAGACAAUGUCAAAAUUAAUGCCCCUCCUAAGAAAUUGUCAAAUUUUGUUAAGGGCAAGGCUCCCAUGCCUCAGGAUAACGAGGGUUACAUUUUAUACCCUGUCGGUUAUCCCGAGGACAAAAUUAGGAGAAUUCAUUUUAGGAAGUCUCACUCUGGCCCUAACCAUGCUUUUAUGUAUAAGGGUGAGACAUCUAGCUCUAGGCAACCAACCCGUGCUAAGUUGCCUAAGAAGAAAACUCCUAGUGCAUCAAAUGAACAUAGCCUUUCAUUUAAAACUUUUGAUGCAUCUUAUGUUUUGACUAACAAAUCCGGCAAAGUUGUUGCCAAGUUUGUUGGGGGCAAACACAAGGGCUCCAAGACUUGUGUUUGGGUACCCAAAGUUCUUGUUUCUAAUGCCAAAGGACCCAAAACCGUUUGGGUACCUAAAGUCAAGAACUAAAAUUGUGAUGUAGGUUUAUGCAUCCGGGGGCUCAAGUUGGAUACUCGACAGCGGGUGCACAAACCAUAUGACAGGGGAGAAAAGGAUGUUCUCCUCCUACAAGAAAAACCAAGAUCCCCAACGAGCUAUCACAUUCGGGGAUGGAAAUCAAGGUUUGGUCAAAGGUCUUGGUAAAAUAGCUAUAUCUCCUGACCAUUCUAUUUCCAAUGUUUUUCUCGUAGAUUCAUUAGAUUACAAUUUGCUUUCUGUAUCUCAAUUAUGCAAAAUGGGCUACAACUGUCUCUUUACUGAUGUAGGUGUCACUGUCUUUAGAAAAAGUGAUGAUUCAAUAGCAUUUAAGGGUAUGUUAGAGGGUCAGCUAUACUUGGUAGAUUUUGAUAGAGCUGAACUCGACACAUGCUUAAUUGCUAAGACUAACAUGGGUUGGCUCUGGCACCGCCGACUAGCCCAUGUUGGGAUGAAGAAUCUUCAUAAGCUUCUAAAGGGAGAGCACAUUUUAGGAUUAACAAAUGUUCAUUUUGAGAAGGACAGGAUUUGUAGCGCAUGCCAAGCAGGGAAGCAAGUUGGUGCCCAUCAUCCACACAAGAACAUCAUGACGACCGACAGGCCGCUUGAGCUACUCCACAUGGAUCUAUUCGGCCCGAUUGCUUACAUAAGCAUCGGCGGGAGUAAGUAUUGUCUUGUAAUAGUGGAUGAUUAUUCUCGCUUCACUUGGGUAUUCUUUUUACAGGAAAAAUCUCAAACCCAAGAGACCUUAAAAGGAUUCUUGAGACGGGCUCAAAAUGAGUUCGGCUUAAGGAUCAAGAAAAUAAGAAGCGACAACGGGACGGAGUUCAAGAACUCUCAAAUCGAAGGCUUUCUUGAGGAGGAGAGAAUCAAGCAUGAGUUCUCUUCUCCCUACACCCCACAACAAAAUGGUGUAGUGGAGAGGAAGAAUCGAACUCUAUUGGAUAUGGCAAGGACCAUGCUUGAUGAGUACAAGACUUCGGAUCGGUUUUGGGCCGAGGCAGUCAACACCGCCUGCUACGCCAUCAACCGGUUAUAUCUUCACUGAAUCCUAAAGAAGACAUCCUAUGAACUCCUAACCGGUAAAAAGCCCAACAUUUCAUAUUUUAGAGUUUUUGGUAGCAAAUGCUUUAUUCUUGUUAAAAGAGGUAGAAGAUCUAAAUUUGCUCCUAAAACUGUAGAAGGCUUUUUACUUGGUUAUGACUCAAACACAAGGGCAUAUAGGGUCUUUAACAAGUCCACUGGACUAGUUGAAGUCUCAUGUGACGUUGUGUUUGAUGAAACUAACGGCUCUCAAGUAGAGCAAGUUGAUCUUGAUGAGAUAGGUAUUGAAGAGGCUCCGUGCAUCGCGCUAAGGAACAUGUCCAUUGGGGAUGUGUGUCCUAAGGAAUCCGAAGAGCCUCCAAAUGCACAAGAUCAACCAUCCUCCUCCACUCAAGCAUCUCCACCAACUCAAAAUGAGGAUGAAGCUCAAGUUGAUGAAGUAGAAGAUCAAGCAAAUGAGCCAUCUCAAGAUGACGACAAUGAUCAAGGGGGAGAUGCAAAUGAUCAAGACAAGGAGGAUGAAGAGCAAAGGCCGCCACACCCAAGAGUCCACCAAGCAAUCCAACGAGAUCACCCCGUCGACACCAUCCUCGGCGACAUUAAUAAGGGGGUAACUACUCGAUCUCGGGUUGCACAUUUUUGUGAGCAUUACUCUUUUGUUUCCUCUAUUGAGCCACACAGGGUAGAGGAAGCACUCCAAGAUGCGGAUUGGGUGAUGGCAAUGCAAGAGGAGCUCAACAAUUUCACAAGGAACGAGGUAUGGCACUUAGUUCCACGUCCUAACCAAAAUGUUGUAGGAACCAAGUGGGUCUUCCGCAACAAACAAGACGAGCAUGGUGUGGUGACAAGGAACAAAGCUCGACUCGUGGCCAAGGGGUAUUCACAAGUCGAAGGUUUGGAUUUUGGUGAAACCUAUGCACCCGUAGCUAGGCUUGAAUCAAUUCGCAUAUUAUUAGCCUAUGCUACUUACCAUGGCUUCAAGCUUUAUCAAAUGGACGUGAAGAGUGCCUUCCUCAAUGGACCAAUCAAGGAGGAGGUCUACGUUGAGCAACCUCCCGGCUUUGAAUAUAGUGAGUACCCUAACCAUGUCUAUAAACUCUCUAAGGCGCUUUAUGGGCUUAAGCAAGCCCCAAGAGCAUGGUAUGAAUGCCUUAGAGAUUUCCUUAUUGCUAAUGGCUUCAAAGUCGGAAAGGCCGAUCCUACUUUAUUCACUAAAACUCUUGAAAAUGACUUAUUUGUAUGCCAAAUUUAUGUUGAUGAUAUCAUAUUUGGGUCUACUAACGAGUCUACAUGUGAAGAAUUUAGUAGGAUCAUGACACAAAAGUUCGAGAUGUCUAUGAUGGGGGAGUUGAAGUACUUCUUAGGAUUUCAAGUGAAGCAACUCCAAGAGGGCACCUUCCUAAGCCAAACGAAGUAUACUCAAGAUAUUCUAAGCAAGUAUGGGAUGAAGGAUGCUAAGCCCAUCAAGACACCCAUGGGAACCAAUGGGCAUCUCGACCUCGACAUGGGAGGUAAGUCCGUGGAUCAAAAGGUAUACCGGUCGAUGAUAGGUUCUUUACUCUAUUUAUGUGCAUCUCGACUGGAUAUUAUGCUUUCCGUAUGCAUGUGUGCAAGAUUCCAAGCCGACCCUAAGGAAGCUCACCUUACAGCCGUAAAACGAAUCUUGAGAUAUUUGGCUUAUACUCCUAAGUUUGGGCUUUGGUACCCUCGGGGAUCCACAUUUGAUUUGAUUGGUUAUUCGGAUGCCGAUUGGGCGGGGUUCAAAAUCAAUAGGAAGAGCACAUCGGGGACUUGCCAGUUCUUGGGAAGAUCCUUGGUGUCUUGGGCUUCAAAGAAGCAAAAUUCGGUCGCUCUUUCCACCGCCGAAGCCGAGUACAUUGCCGCAGGCCAUUGUUGCGCGCAAUUGCUUUGGAUGAGGCAAACCCUGCGGGACUACGGUUACAAAUUAACCAAAGUCCCUUUGCUAUGUGAUAAUGAGAGUGCAAUCAAGAUGGCGGAUAAUCCCGUCGAGCAUAGCCGCACUAAGCACAUAGCCAUUCGGUAUCAUUUUCUUAGGGAUCACCAACAAAAGGGAGAUAUCGAGAUUUCUUACAUUAAUACUAAAGAUCAAUUAGCCGAUAUCUUUACCAAGCCUCUUGAUGAACAAACUUUUAACAAACUUAGGCAUGAGCUCAAUAUUCUUGAUUCGCGCAAUUUCUUUUGCUAGAUUGCACACAUAGCUCAUUUGUAUACCUUUGAUCAUGUCUCCUUCAUAUGCUAUGACUAAUGUGUUUUUCAAGUCUACUUCAAACCAAGUCAUAGGUGUAUUGAAAGGGAAUUGGAGUCUUCGGCGAAGACAAAGGCUUCCACUCCGUAACUCAUCCUUCGCCGUCGCUCCGAGCCACUCUCCAUCCUAGGGGGAGAAAGCAAAAGGACUUCGUCUUUGGAAUAAUCUUAACUCAUUUAUUUAUGACCAAAGGAGAGGAAAGUACUUCGAGGGCUCUAAUGAUUCCGUUUUUGGCGAUUCAUGCCAAAGGGGGAGAAAGUAAGAGCCCAAAGCAAAAGGACCGCACCACCACCAAUUUCAAAGACUUCGUGUUUCCAAGAAUAUUAUCAAUUGGUUUCCUAUUGUGUUCAAAAAGGGAAGAAAGUAAUAUUUCAAAAAUGAUAUAUCAAAACCCUCUUGAACACUAAGAGGAGGAUCUCAUUUAGGGGGAGUUUUGUUUAGUCAAAGGAAAAGCAUUUGAAACAGGGGGAGAAAAUUUCAAAUCUUGAAAAUGCUUUGCAAAAUCUUAUUCAUUUACCUUUGACUAUUUGCAAAAGAACUUCGAAAAGGAUUUACAAAAUAGUUUGCAAAAACAAAACAUCUGGUGCAAGCGUGGUCCAAAAUGUUAAAAACAAAAGAUCGAUCCAUGCAUAUCUUGUAAGUAUUAAUAUUGGCUCAAUUCCAAGCAACCUUUGCACUUACAUUAUGCAAACUAGUUCAAUUAUGCACUUCUAUAUUUGCUUUGGUUUGUGUUGGCAUCAAUCACCAAAAAGGGGGAGAUUGAAAGGGAAUUAGGCUUACACCUAGGUGCUGUUUGGUUCACGAAAUGUAACGUAAAGGGUAAUGGUAAUGGUUUCUUCUCGAUUACUGGCGGUAACAAGUUUGAAUAGUCCGGUAUCAAUUUUUAGUAUGGUAUCUGAUUACGGUUAAACUAAAACAAACAUGAUUUAACGUUAUCACUUACCCAUUACGUUACAAAUAUUUGAACCAAACGGUACCCUAGUUCCUAAAUAAUUUUGGUGGUUGAAUUGCCCAACACAAAUAAUUGGACUAACUAGUUUGCUCUAGUGUAUAAGUUAUACAGGUGCCAAAGGUUCAUACUUAGCCAAUAAAAAGACCAAGUAUUGGGUUCAACCAAAGAGCAAAGGGACAACCGAAGACACCUCUGGUCUGAGGCACCGGACUGUCCGGUGUACACCGGACAGUGACCGGUGCACCACCGGACAGUGUCCGGUGCACCAGAGGACUCCAACUUGAACUUGCCACCUUCGGGAAUUUCUAGAGGCACUCGCGCUAUAAUUCACCGGACUGUCUGGUGUACACCGGACAGUGUCCGGUGCUCCUCGAAAGAGCUGCCUCAGGAACUCGCCAGCCUCGGGAAAUCAGAACGCCUGCUCCGCUAUAAUUCACCGGACAUGUCCGGUGUACACCGGACUGUCCGGUGAACCAGCAGAGCAACGGAUACUUCGCGCCAACGGCUACCUGCGACGCAUUAAAUGCGCGCGCUGCGCGCGCAGAGGUCAGGCACGCCCAUGCUGGCGCACCGGACAAUCUACAGUACAUGUCCGGUGCGCCACCGGACAUCCAGGCGGGCCCAGAAGUCAGAGCUCCAACGGUCGACCCCAACGGCUUUUGGUGACGUGGCUGUCGCACCGGACAUGUCCGGUGUGCACCGGACUGUCCGGUGCGCCAUCGAACAGACAGCCUCCACCAACGGUCAAGUUGGUGGUUGGGGCUAUAAAUACCCCAACCACCCCACCAUUCAUUGCAUCCAAGUUUCCCACUUCUCAACCACUUACAAGAGCUAGGCAUUCAAUUCUAGACACAUAUAAAGAGAUCAAAUCCUCUCCAAUUCCACACAAGGCUUUAGUGAUUAGCGAGAGAGAUUUGCCGUGUUCUUUUGAGCUCUUGCGCUUGGAUUGCUUCUUUUCUUUCUCACUUGUUCUUGUGAUCAAAACUCCAUUGUAAUCAAGGCAAGAGGCACCAAUUGUGUGGUGGCCCUUGCAGGGAAGUUUUGUUCCCGGCUUUGAUUUGAGAAGAGAAGCUCACUCGGUCCGAGGGACCGUUUGAGAGAGGGAAGGGUUGAAAGAGACCCGGCCUUUGUGGCCUCCUCAACGGGGAGUAGGUUUGUGAGAACCGAACCUCGGUAAAACAAAUCCGCGUGUCACACUCUUCAUUUGCUUGCGAUUUGUUUUGCGCCCUCUCUCCCGGACUCGAUUAUAUUUCUAACGCUAAUCCGGCUUGUAGUUGUGUUUAUAUUUGUAAAUUUCAGUUUCGCCCUAUUCACCCCCCCUCUAGGCGACUAUCAGCCUUCCAGGAGAUUCUUGAGCUCUCUCUGGAUUCGCCGACCCUCGGUGGUUGAUGGCUCCGGCAUCGCGCGGAGGAGCAUCGCUGCUGCAGCCAGGUUCUGACCGACCCCACUGGAUGCGGGUGGCGGCCUGACCCUGACGUCGUUGGCGACGCGGAGCUGGAAACCCUGGGGCAGGUGACGUAUUUCUCGGCCGGGGGUUGGCCCGCCCAUGCCUGCCCGACGUCCCGGCGGAUCGGCUCAAGCGCUCCUGCUCCUUCGUCGAGCCUGGCCUGCGCCCCGCGGACUUGCUCGAGCUGUGGGUCGUGACCCCCCGCCGGAACGGGGACCACAGCUAGCUCCCGCGGGAUGUCAGCGCGAGGCACCGGCCUAGGGAGAUCACCGUCCUCCGGCAUGCCAAGAUGAUUGCCUUCGGAGGGACCCCCUAGAUCGACGUGGAAACAUUCGCGGCUUGGGCCGCAGUCCUUGUCGUCGAGGUUGCGGCUACCGUCGGAACAGUCGGAGAGGCAGUAGUCACAUGCGGUCAUGAAGUCCCGCAUGGCACUAGGGUUGCCAAGUCCAGAGAAAUCCCAACAGAUGUUGGGGUCGUCGUCUUCCUCGGACCCGGAGGGCCCAUAGGUCGAGACGUCCGUCAGCCGGUCCCAAGGCGAUCGCGUGCGAAACCCCAGAGGGUUUGAACUCGCCUCUACGAGAGUGCCCGCCAAAGCAAGGUCGCUAGGCGGGUUGAGGCUGAAUCUAAAUGACGUAGGAUGGGAAUCGGUCGGUACCUUUUGGUCGACGAACGGCGAUGAAGUCACGUCGGGGACUGACUGCACCGUCAUCUCAGGUACGAGGGUGACGCCCAGCAAGCCUUCCGCGAGCGUUCUGGCGUCGUCCGCUUGCUCGGGAUUGGCGUGUCGCGGGGAGACGGCGCUCGCCUUCGUCUCAAACGCGAGGUCGAUGCCCGACGCGCCCCCCGUUGGGGCGCUAGGGACGUCGACUCGCUCGACAGCCGACGAGGCGCGGCCUCCCGCUUGGCCUUGGUUGCCCCGCCUCCUCCUCCGUUGGCGGGGGAGAGGACGGGGCGAGCUCGAAUGUUGUUCUUCCACCACGCGGGGAAGACGUCGUCGAUUCCGCCGUCGGCGGGCGGGCCGUCGGCUGCCACUGUCGUUGUCGCGCGGCGGUGGAAGGAGUAUCAUGUCGUAGCUGCCGUCGAAGGACAUGAACUCAAGACUCCCGAAACGGAGCACCGUCCCGGGUCGGAGAGGUUGCUGGAGACUGCCCAUCUGGAGCUUGACGGGAAGCUGUUCGUCAACACGCAGCAGGCCCCUACCUGGCGCGCCAACUGUCGGCGUUUCGAGACCGGGGGGUCCCUCGGGCCGACGAGUGAGUGUCGCCGCGUGCCCCAGCCCAGAUGGGUCGAGCGCGUGGGCGAGCGCGAAGGGGGGAAAGGAGCGAGGCGGCCGGAGACCGGCGUGAGAGAGGUGGGAAUCCCGCGGCCUUCGUGUUCGUCCCGCGCCCAGGUCGGGUGCGCUUGCAGUAGGGGGUUACAAGCGUCCACGCGGGAGAGGGAAGCGAGCGGCCCCGAGAGAGCGCCUGUCCCGUCCUCGUCCCCGCGCGGCCAACCUCCUCUAAGAGGGCCCUGGUCCUCCCUUUUAUAGGCGUAAGGAGAGGAUCCAGGUGUACAAUGGGGGUGUAGCAGAGUGCUACGUGUCUAGCGGGGGAGAGCUAGCGCCCUAAGUACAUGCCGAUGUGGCAGCCGGAGAGAUUUUGGCACCCAGCUGGUGUGAUGUCGUGGCCGUCGGAGGAGCGACGGAGCCUGGCGGAGGGACAGCUGUCGGAGCGGUUGAGUCCUUGCUGACGUCCUCCUGCUUCCGUAAGAGAGCUGAGAGCCGCCGUCGUCACAGAGCAUGCGGGGCGCCAUCAUUGCCUGUCUGGUGGAGCUAGCCAGCUGGGACACCGGUCUUGUUCUCUGCGGCCCGAGUCAGCUCGGGGUAGGGUGAUGAUGGCGCUUCCUGUUGACGUGGCUGGCCUGCGCCCUAGGUUGGGCGACGUGGAGGCUCCUCCGAAGCCGAGGUCGAGUCUGUCUUCCAUGGUCGAGGCCGAGUCCGAGCCCCUGGGUCGGGCGAGGCGGAGGUCGUUCGGCAGAGGCCAGGGCGGAGUCCGAGCCCUGGGGUCGGGCGAAGCGGAGUUCGUCAUCUUCUGGGACUUAGCCCGAGUCCGAGCCCUGGGUCGGGCGGAGCGGAGUUCGCCGUCUUCCGGGACUUAGCCCGAGUCCGAGCCCUGGGUCGGGCGGAGCGGAGUUCGCCGUCUUCCGGGACUUAGCCCGAGUCCGAGCCCUGGGUCGGGCGGAGCGGAGUUCGCCGUCUUCCGGGACUUAGCCCGAGUCCGAGCCCUGGGUCGGGCGGAGCUUCCUAUGGUGCCUUUGGCAGGGCCUGACUGCCUGUCAGUCUUACUCUGUCAAGUGGCACUGCAGUCGGAGUGGCGCAGGCGGCGCUGUCCUUCUGUCAGGCCGGUCAGUGGAGCGGUGAAGUGACGGCGGUCACUUCGGCUCUGCCGGGGGGCGCGCGUCAGGAUAAAGGUGUCAGGUCACCUUUGCAUUAAAUGCUCCUGCGACUUGGUCGGUCGGUGCGGCGAUUUAGUCAGGGUUGCUUCUUAGCGAAGGCAGGGCCUCGGGCGAGCCGGAAAUAUGUCCGUCGUUGGAGGGGGGCCUCGGGCGAGAUGGAAAUCCUCCGGGGUCGACUGCCCUUGUCCGAGGCUAGGCUCGGGCGAGGCGUGAUCGAGUCGCUCGAAUGGACUGAUCCCUGACUUAAUCGCACCCAUCAGGCCUUAGCAGCUUUAUGCUGAUGGGGGUUACCAGCUAAGAAUUAGGAGUUUUGAGGGUACCCCUAAUUAUGGUCCACAAUAAUUAGUUUUUUUAUUAACUGUAUUUUAAUAAUAUAUCUAUUGGAUGUUAUAUUUUUUGUAUUUUUUUAAAAUUUUAGUUAAAAUUUAAACCUUCGUAAAAGUUAGAGUAAUGUAUAAUUUAGAAUGGAUUGAAUCCUUAUUACUGUUUGACGAUCUCUGUGUAGUAGUAAAUAAUAUGGGGGAAAUGUUAUCUUGUUCGUGUCGACCUAAUAAUUUUAAGGGAGCAGUAGCAAGUGGGACAAAACGAUUGAUGUCAUGCAUGAGCUACCCUACCCUUUCCUGCUACACUUUUUUGAUAAAUGCAAUCUGUCCUGCGUGCUGCUCACUUCCACGUGUUCAAUUUGGACGCUAAUCAUCAUCACGUACUACUUACUGUUCAGUCAUCCCCUAUGCAAAGUCAUUUACAAAUUUACCAUUCUUAGGUCUUAAGCCUUGUUCCGUUAUUUAAGUUCACAUGGAUUAAAUGAAAUUGAAUAAAUUAUGAAGAAUUUUGACUUGUUUGAUAUUUAAACCUAUUUAAUCUCGUCCAAUCCAUAUGGAUUGAGAUUAAAAUAAAUGGAGUCCGGCACUACUACAGUAAUAUUUUUUUAGAAGCGGCUUGUCCUAAAAUUCGAUUUUUAGAGACAGCUAUGAACUCAAGUCAUCUUUAUAGAUAUAUUUUUUCUAGCUGUGUGUGUGUCUCAUUAAAUUUUAAAUAUCAAUUUCUAAUUUUAGUAUAUAUAUUCAAAUGCAACAAUUUGAGAAGUCUAGAAUAUUACUAUGCAUAUGGACAUUGCAAUCGAGGUAUGUACAUACUCCCUCCAGUGCAGUAAAGGUAGUCGUUUAGGACAUGAUUGUGCAUACCAAGGAGUGAUUAAUUAUCAUAGAGUUUUCCCUGUUUGCCCUAUUAAAUAGGGAUAUGGGUGCAUUAACGUCACUAAAGCAAUCAGGCUUGAUUGGUUGCUGCAGCAGCUCUAAGGCAUUCUAGACUGGAGGUCUUAAGUUUGAUUCCUCUUAAAUGCAUCUUUUUUUGCAAUUACUAGGGGCAACAACGUCCAAAUCCCAGACCCACGCGCGCUAUGACUUCUUUUUGUGCACGCUCGGUCACGCGCAGGAUGACUUCUCUCGGUAGUUGUGACUAGACUAGCAGUAAGAGGACUGAUAAAGUUGCUCACACAGUACCUACACCUACAGCUGUCAUAAAGAUGUCUUAGGCCCCGUUUGAUUUGGUGGUCUAGAAAUUAGACCAUCUAUUUUAGUCUCAUUUAGUCUCUAAAUUUACAAAACGGUAGAACUAAAACAGUGACUAAACUGUUUUAGUCUCUAGUCUCUAAAGAGAUGACUAAAAGGGACUAAAUCAUAUAAAUUCCACUUUUCGCUCCUCCUUUAUUUUAGUUACACUAAUGGCGGGAGAAUUCUAAGGGUUAUUUUGAUUCUCUUAUUCAUUGAAUGUGUUUUGAAUAACUUUAGUCCAUAGAACGAAACAUGAUAGCGACUAAACUUUAGUCUCCUAACUAAUAUCCUAUUUGGUUCCUUUAGUUCAAGGACUAAAGUUUACUUAGGAGUCUAAAGUUUAGUCCCUACCUUAUUUGGUUUUAGGGACUAAAACUAUUCAAAAUACAUUAAAUAAAUCAUAAGAGGACUAAAAUACCCUUAACAUUCUCCCGCCGUUAGUGCAGCUGAAAUAAAGGAGGGGCAAAAGGUGGAAUUUAUAUGGUUUAGUCUCUUUUAGUCACCCCUUGAGAGACUAGAGACUAAACAUCUUAGUCCCUUUUUUAAUCCCACCGUUUGCCAAUUUAGAGACUAAAAUAGAGGGACUAGUCCCUCAAAUCAAACAUGGCCUAAACUUUACUCCUUGUGCUAAGUAACCAAACGGCCCCUUAGUUCAAAUCCAAAGUAAGCAUCACAUUCAUGGACCGCCACGUUUGUACUGUAGGUCAUGUGUGCCCCCUCGUCCCUACUCUGUUUAAUUUUAGGGACUAAAACUAUUUAAAAUACAUUAAAUCAAUCAUAAGAGGACUAAAAUACCCUUAGCAUUCUCCUGCCACUAGUGCAGUUGAAAUAAAAGAGGAACAAAAAGUAGAAUUUAUAUGGUUUAGGCUCUUUUAAUCACCCCUUGAGGGACUAGAGACUAAAACAGUUUAGUCCCUAUUUUAAUCCCACCGUUUAUCAAUUUAGAGACUAAAUAAGACUAAAAUAGAUGGAUUAGUCCCUUAAACCAAACGAGGCCUAAACUUUACUCCCUGUACUAAGACUGUCUCCAGCAACGUCCUCUAAAAUUUAUCCUCUAAAGUAAUAUUCUCUGUCCUUUACAGAACACUCUAAAGGAUUCCAUCCUCUAUAUCUUCAUCGACUCCAGCAGCGUCCUCUAAAAUUCAUCCUCUAUAUCUCAUCCACUUUAAUAUGCCAACUUAACAAAUUGAAUAUAUUAUUUUACUAAAUCAGAACCGUCGUUUUUUUGCUUCGCAACGUCCGGAGCAUUUCGUCGAGAACCUUGCACGCGAUAUCCCACCACCUUGGCCAUGGCUACAAUUUGGACCACCUCCUGCUGCUGCUGGCUCAACUAUCCGCGCAUGGGUACAGUUAGGAGCACCUGCUGCUGCUGCGCGGGGUCGUAGGCAUGGGUGCCGCUGCUGGCUCAACUGUGUGGACGUUGCUCGGAGACGAGGACACCCAUGUGCGCCGAUGGAUAGCGGGUGAACAGCAAAACACUAGAUUUAGCGGUGGUCGGACAGACGCUAUAUUUUAGCGAAUCUUUUACCGUUUCUUGCUAGGGCGGUAGCGAACGACGAAAAACUCUAUAUAUAAAGUUGUGGAUCAUUUAGUGUCUCUUGCUGGAGACAACCUAAGGAAUCAAACGGCCCCUUACUUCAAAUCCAAAGUAACCAUCACAUUCAUGGGCCGCCAUAUUUGUACCCCACAUACACCCCACCCCACUAGACUAGUCUAGCAGACUAGCAUUAAGAAGACUGAUAAAGUUGCUCACACAUUACCUAUAGCUGUCAUAAAGAUGUCUUAAAUUAUUUUUACAUUCGAUCAAAUGUCUAGAAACUAGCACGAAUAUUUAUGACAUAAGAGUAUCUAAAAAUAUAUCUAAUGAUAAUUCGGUAUCAUAAAUUUUAGCAAUAAUUCGGUGAUAGCAAUCUUUUAUAUAAGUUUGAUUGCACACAAAAAUAUUUAAUCUAAAACAACUCUGAAAUUAAGGAUUCAUUUGAGUACAGGAUGGUGCUUUACCCGAGACACUUGCUCAUUCAUUGAUUGAUCAGCGUGGGCCACAGUUCCAGCCCAUGCAGCGGCAACACGUAGCCGCGUACUCGUGGAACACGAACUGGCCAUUAUUAUCUGCCCACGCUGGCAAAAUUGUCUGUAGUAGACAUGAGCGCCUCUAACUUGUCGUUGUCUGAAACGACAAAAGUUUGCAAUAAUGAUGAGAUGGCAAGGGAACUAAAUACAGUAAUCUGUAAGAGGUGUACAGUAGAUGAUAGAUUCAUAAAAAAAAAUAAAGUUUACUAAAAGGUUAAAGGGUAAUUUGAUGCGGUGGAACUAGAGAUGUCCAAACGGGUGGGCCGUGCCGGCCCGGCACGGGCCCGCCUUUGGCCCGGCACGUUUCGGCCCGGCACGUUUCGGCCCGUUAGGUUGACGGGCCGUGCCGGGCUAGGCCACCGUGCCACAUCCUAGGCCCAAGCACGGCCCGCACAUAGCCGUGCCGUGCCGGGCCGGCCCGCAGCCCGUUAAGGCCCGCCGUGCUUUGACCGGGUGGGAAGAAAAAUAAGUAAAAAAAAAGACUAAAAACAAACUUUGCUAGGAUUUGAACCUUGGUUGGAGGGUUUAAAAUGCUUAGUUGCACCACUCUAGCCAACUAAACCAAACUUAUUUUGUAUCUAAACUAUUAAAAUUGCUUAUAAUAUACAAAUAAAUGCACUGGAAAAUAAAAUAAAAAACCGGGCCGUGCUCGGGCCAGCACGGCGUGCCACGGCAGCGGCCCAAGCCCGGCCCGACUAACGGGCCGUGCCGGCCCGGGCCCGUCAACCACCGGGCCGUGCCGUGUUCGUGACGGGCCAAAAUCGUGCCGUGCCACGGGCCGCCCGACGGGCACGGCCCAUUUGGACAUCUCUAGGUGGAACUAUGUUUAGAAAUUAAAAACAUGUAAAACAAUCCAUAACGGACCGAGAAAAAUUAGUUUGCCUAUUUACUAUCUUCUGUCGAUUCUUAACUGAUGCUCGUUGCCUCGUUGGAGAUGGAAAUUAUUAAAUCAUCGACGACCAACAGAAAAUACAUAUCUUUUGUUAGCUAUACGCAACCGACAUAAAUUACCUCCGGUCAUGCUAACUUUCAUCGGCUUGCGCCUCACAGAAGGAAAAUAGCUAACUUAGAUCGGCUAAUAACCCAGUCGACGGAAGUUAGCUCUAGUCGCACUAACUUUCGCUCGCCAAUUUAACUGACCUAAAUUAAUGGCUUGCACCAGUAAUAAAAUAUGGUUUUAUUUAUUUCCCAUAAAAAUCAUAUAAAAUUUCAUUCAUACACAACACACAAAAUGGCACAAUUACCACUUUAUUUACAACUCAACAAACAACAUUGGCAUAAACAACCACAUAAAUAUUCAUAAUUCAAAUGUCUUACCACACACAUCUCACAACUAUUUUCUCACAUCACAUAUAAAUACCCAUACUUCAAGCCAAAUUACCACAGCCGUACGUAUUUCAUGGAAUAUAAUCUUCAAUAGCCAUCGCACGGAUUAUUAGAUUUUUGGCUACUACCUCCAAAAGGGUCACCAAAUAUUGUAAUUACAAAUGCAGUUCUAGCAUCCCUCGGCACCAAUACAUUGACCAAAAUAUGCGAUUAGCAAAAAAUAUUCAUUUUCCUGCAUACCAUGAUCAACCUAAUGAUUGACUAGUUUCCUGUUUAUCCUGUCCUUGGUUACCCUUUUGGGAUUUGGCUAUUAUGACUAAUAUUGUGCUAGUACUUUACUUUCAUCAAUGAACAUGAUGAGAAUACUUUAUGACACGAUGUUGAUAUUCUGGAUAUGAUGGUGAGCUUGUGGCACUAAAGGGGACUCGGGCUAUUUUUCGAGUACCUCUCCGUAAGGACCUGUUCGUUGGAUGACCCCCCCCCCCCCGGGAAAACAAUACAACCAUGAGGGUGGUAUGUGAUGCCCUUAGCUGAUUAAUUAGAGGAACUUGAGGUGUAGUCGGCUUCGUCGUUGUGCCGGUAAUGGGGUCCAGGCACAGUACUUGUUCUGCCGAGGCUAGGUUCGUUCGUUUUGCUUUUGUUAGUCACCCCUCCUGUGGGGAGAUGUAUUGUGUUUAUCAAACUGAAAAAACCUAACGAAUGGCUAUGACCUCUAGGGAAUCUUUGUAAAGGCCACAUAGUGAAACCUUGCCGACUCAUCUUAGGAGUGUUUAAGGGUCUGUACAACCUGAGGCAAAAAGGCAUCAUGGCUCAUGGGUAAAGUGUGCGACCUAUAUAGAGGGUUAGAAACUGGUAUAUCAACCGUGCUCACGGUUAUGAGCAGCUUGGGGAGCUCCUUUGAUUAGAGAUAUUCUGGAUACCUCGAUGAUGAUGGUUUAAUGAUGAUGAUAACUAUGAAUUAUUGUAUUUCCUCUUGGAAGGAGUACCUUUUAGGAUAAUAACUUGGGAUUAUUGUUAAAAAUUGGCUCUCUACUAGUAAGAAAUAUCUGGCCAACUAAAAGUAACCGCUUUAAGCUUCACCCUACAUACAACUAGUCUACUUUAGCCAAAUGGGACAUUUACUGAGUACGUUGAUGUGUACUCACACUUGCUAAAACACCAAACACUAGGUUGUCCCCAUUGCAACCUCUGCUCAGGAGAAGAUGAAGGCAACAUAGAGAACUUUUAGGAGUUUCAGGACUUCGAUGAGUUCUAAAGUAGAUUAGCGGCAAAUCCUCAGUCAGCUGCUUGUGAAGGCCUUAUCUUACUAUGUUUUGUUUAGCACUUUGAUUUAUGUUUAAGUUAAGGACUAUGUGAAUGUUUCGGACAUCAUGAUGUAAUAAAAUAAUACUCCUUUCGGCUACUAUUUUGAGCAUUGUGUGAUGAUGUCCAAUUAUGUAAUCGAUGUGUACGUGAAUUUCUGAUCCUGGUACGAACAUGGUUCGCAUUGAGUUUGCCUUCCAAAACCGAGUGUGACAAAACGAGACAGAUAUAGACGAAUACAAUGUCAUCCCAUAUCAUACUCUAAUGUAUUUCUAUUGGAUACAUGACCGUGUACGAGUAGUUAAAAUUCGGGACAAAUAUAUGAUGGGAUCGGGUAAUAAUUCAGGCGGGUAAGAAACAGAUAUCAGAUAUUAACCGGGUAGAUAACGGAUAUUCGUCGGAUAGUUCGUCCCGAUAAUAUUAGUUGCCCAACCGUCAAACAAACAAAUAAAAUGAUACGUAAGCAUGUACAUGAUAGCUCAAAUAUAGAAAAAUAACAGAUAAAAUUGACAUCAUGUAGUUUAAAGUUACUAAUCACAAGGACAUUAUAAAACCAACAAUACAAAAAAAAACGGCAACAUAUCCCCUAUUUUAGGCAUAAUAGGUUAAGUCAUCUGAUUAUAUAAAUUGAUCAAGCUUAAGAUAUUUUGAAUCCCCAGGGAAGACAAAUUAUAAUUUGGCAUGAAGAAAGUACUAAAUUAAAAAGGCAAGAUGUUUCUUAUUAUCGUGAGAAUUUCAUAAAUUUAUAUCUUUCUUCUGGUAUAUUUACUAGCGAGAAUUAACGUGUUGUUGCCUUGUAGGAACCUCUGCUUAGUAACAGUAAGAUGAGAUUUGUUUGAUUUUUUUUUUUUUUUGAAAAUAGAUAAUAGCAUAUUUCGUUUGCGGAGGUCGCAAAGUGAAUUGGGCCAGAAGGCCGCAAGAGCAAGGCGCCAGGCACAAGGCUGAAGGCACAAGGCAGACCCGGAGAGCAAAAACAAAGCGCAGGCGCGCAGCGGGUACCCGAUGGUCAGAUACUUACUUGUAUCCGACUGUCCGACCUAGGAUAUUUGAGUGUUUAUUAUCUGAAUACUAUCCGUAUUCGUUCUGAUAAAAAAAUACACAUAUCUGUAUCCGAAAUUCGAGUUAUUUUACCAUCCGUAUUCGAUACCCGACUCCGAUAUCUGUUCCGUUUUCAACUCUAACAGAUGCAGACAGUCUUAUAUUAGCAUUGGUGUUGAUAAAAAGAAAAACAAACAAACAAAAUGUGUCGAUUCCAACCAUCAUAGUUUAAAUCUGUUGGCAGUCAUCUUGGACAGAAAUAGGUUUAUACAACUAGUGUUAUGACAGAAACACGAAAAGCAUGUCAAUCUUUGAUAUUUUUCGUGGAUUUUGCCAUUGACUCCCCCGUACACAUGCAUUACAAGCUUGUGAGCGACCCAAUAGACAUCGUUUAGCGUCUUUUUUUUCUUAAAUUUUUUUCAAUAGAGAAAGCUUUAUUAAUCUUAGACAAUUACAUUAAAAUGAUAUAAGAGUACUAACAUUUUUUUUCUUCAAUUUCUCACACAAGUGAAAACAAAUAUAUGUCCAUAUCAUUUUCAAGGACAGUGCCAAUUUUUUCUUACAAGACUUUGUGAUUGUUUGGUUCCUAAAGCAUCACAACAUGUCUAAACUUAGUUACUCGAAUUGGAAAACUAACUUUUUAAACAAAAAAGAUUAGACAAGUUCUAAUCGUCUUAGGCAGAAACUAAACAAGCCCUUUAGUUAUGGAUGGAGGUGGCGCAAUGAAAUGGUUGGUUAGCAACACUCGUACCAGUAGUGCCUCCAACAAACAUAAGUUAAAUUGUGAAAGAUCUCGCUGGGAAUUGGGUCAGUCCGUAGGUGGCGCAAUUGAGGCCGAGAACGCCCAAUUUUUUUGGCUAUGUUGUACCACAUAAAGUUUAUAUCUUAUUAAAUUAAAGUUAUUAAACAAUACGAGCAUCAUUUGACCAUAAAAAAUCUAAAUAAAUAGCUUACUAAAUUAAAGAAAUUAAAUAAUAUAUGUUUUAUUGGGCUCGUGCUCGUGCUGGCCCAAAAGGCUCGGUCCAUAUUCCCAACACUAGUUCUAGGGCAAAAAGACAACCAUGACUUCAUAAAAAAAACGUACAAGGUAUUUCAAAGAUUAGAUUUAGAAGAGAGCCCAUAAAUGAAAUAAUUUCUUAGAGACUUAGGGCAUGGUUUUAUCAAGUACCUUUAUUUGGCUAUGAUACAAAUUGCGUAGCCAUAUGGCUGGUACAUUUUAUCAUAGCCAAAAGGCCAAAAAUGAAUGAGUUAAAAAGAAGUCCGACUCCUGUUUUAUAGCUCGCUCGUUUUGGUAAUAUAUGAGAGCGUUACGUGUGGCUUCCUAUCGUUUUGGACUUGGACGGUUUCUUAUGACCCAUCUGUGGUGUAACAAUCUAUUGAACUCAUUAUUAGACGAGAAGCGGGAGGAAAGGAAUAGAGCUACGCGCUUAGUAUGUGACGCACGACGUAUGGAACUGGUGCUUUAAAGAACUAGAGAAAAGUCAAAUAACAUAUACUUUGGUCCAUCAUUUCUCUUAUAUCACUAAUUGCUAGAACAAGACUAUUGUUGGGGACUUGUUCUCAAACACUAUGAAUUAAGAACAAGGCAACAUAAAAUAUAAUUCACAUAUUUUAUUAUAAUACAAUGUAACAUGAAAUAUAAAAUAUAAAACAUUAGAGAAAGAUAUACCAAAAACUGGUAAUAUAAUUCACAUAUUUUAUUAUACAAACCUAAAUAUUAAACAAUAAUAUUUAGGUACAUUUAUACCUUCGUCUUGACAGAAAACAAUAAUUCCAGCGUAACGUGUUCGCGAUUACAAGAUUGCGUGAACAGUACAGGGGUACUGUUCACAUAUUUAUAGGCACAGGGCGCAGCCUGUGUAAAAUUAAAUUUAUGCCCUUUACAAUCGACUACAAUGAUGACACAAAACGCCAUGGGUCUUUAAGUUAUUUCAUCUUUAAAUCGGUUCACCCUUUUGUCUUGAGAUCUGUCACUGUGCCGAAGCUUUAUAGGUGAUAGCUUCGGCGCUGCUUCUGAGAAGAUUUGCCGAAGGUGUUCUCUUGCUUUAGGAUCUUCGACUACGAAGCAUACCCCCAACAGUAGCCCCUUCGCGGUGCUAGAUCGUUUUUCGUAACGAGCUUGAUCCGUGAAAAGGUCUUCUAGGCUUAGGGAUGCCAAAGAUCCGAAAAACAUCUUCCCUGAGCUCGUUGCCGAGAAACGAUUAAAAUAAUCCGCGCACGGAGUGGCCCCAUCUUGCAGCAGUUACGCGCGUCCUGGCGAUUCACCUUCUCGGACCCUGUGGCCCACCGUUCAGUGAGUGAGGGUGACUGUUUGUCUGUUGCGGAAGACCUUGGCGAUCCACCUUCCCACCUGCGGCACUAUAUAAAUAGAUGGGUAGGUGUGUAAUUACCACAACAUUCAUUGCUAUUGCACUGUUUUUCUGCCAAAAUAUUGACCAAAGUCGAAGCUUGUUUGCUGCAUCUCCAACCGAAGCUGUUUACUUUGCUCAAGCUUUGUAAAAAGAAAGAGCUUCGGCAAAGUAAAGAAAAUUUUUCAACUUUAUUCAAAAAACAAGAAAAUCAUCAGAUGGCCAGAGUUCGCUCCACAGCUAGGGUUACGCGCGACGGAGAGGAAGCCGAAGGUGCUAAAACUGCCCCAAUCUCCGAAGUGAUGCAACGGUCAGGGCUAGUAGUGCCGGAGGAUGCACCUUCUACUGAAGCUGAGCAGGUUGAUGCUGGGGAAGUUGAAUCAGAAGAUGAUUAUGGUGUAGCGCCAAGUAAACCCAGCCACCUGGAUUUCGGGAAAUCCACCAUCUCCGAAGGUGAUCUGCCUAAGAUGUUGAAUUUGGGCUACUUCAAUGAAGCGAAGAAAGAGCUGAUUCGUUUCGGUGGGGACGAGACUACUCCGAAGCCAGGAAAGGAUGAAGUAGUGGUCUUUAAAAGCUUUUUUAAGGCUGGUUUGAGAUUUCCUUUGAACAAGAUGAUUGCUGAUGUAUUGAAUAAGUUUGGGAUCUACCUUCAUCAGCUAACUCCUAACGCUAUCGUUAGGCUUAGUGUUUACAUCUGGGCUCUUCGAAGCCAAGGGGUGGAACCAUUUGCCGAAGGUUUCUGCCGAGCGCACGAGCUUCAUUACCAGACCAAGGCUAGAGGAGAUGGGCUGCAUGAAAACUUUGGCUGCUAUAAUUUUGCCUACCGCAAGAGUACAAAAUUUCCAGUGAUUAGUUACCGAAGCAAGUGGCCAGCUGGCUGGAAGUCUGAGUGGUUUUAUGUCAAGGUUGACGAAGAUAAGGAGAAGCUAGUCCAGAGUCCGCUAGAAUUAAUCUUCGGAGAAACCAGACCCCAGUGCAACAUGUCACCAGGGAGUCCAAGUCAAAUUGCUCUGGCCGAAUUUAGAGUUAUUGCGGAGCAUAUCGGCACUAGGGACUUAGUGCAAGAAUUUUUGGCCUUUAGAGUGUUCCCAACUUUGAAGGAGUGGGAAAUGCCGAAGCUGAAGGGAGAAAAGAAAAAGGGGGAAUUUGUUCGGUUACCUUAUCAUUACAAAUUCAAGAAACAUUUCAAAGUGCCUUGCCAAGAGUGGCUGGACACAAUUGAAGUAAUGUGCAAUGAAAUACUCGGCAAUUAUUCUAAAAAAGAAGAUCAAUUGAUGACUGUGGCCUUCGGCACCCGUUCGAAGCGGAGGUGAAACCGAGUAAUGGAUGCUCUGGACUUCGAGUAUCCUGACUAUGAGCGGCUAGACAAGGAUACCGAAGGUCAAAAGAGGAAAAGAGUAGCUGGUGCUCUGAAAAAAGACGAUGAAGAACAACCGAAGAAGAAAAAGUUAGAGCCUAAGCCGAAAACAGGUGUUUCGAAGAAGAGAAAAGAUACAGCUCCGAAGCAGAAAGCAAUUGAUGAUGAAGAAGAAUCUGCUGCAACACCCUCUGCUACCGAAGUAGAGGAAAUCUUAAAGGUAAUGACUGAAUCUUUGUCUGUCAAGCUAAGUCCACUCGGGCCACAUCUGACGAAGCUUUUUCAGAAGGAAAAGGAGCCCGCGAAAACGAAGAAAGCAGCUAGGCCAAAAAAGCAAAGAAUCAUUACAGUGACGGAAGCCAUCGAAGGGACACCACCACAAGCUUCAGCUCCGAGGGUCCCAGCCAUUGAGAGCACAACAACUGCCGAAGCUGCACCUUCGGAAGCCACAGCUACCGAAGAUACCAGAGCCGAAGAUAUUCAUUUAGAAAGCACGAUUGCUGAUAUAGAUAAAAUACUGCUAGACAUGGCUGCAGAAGAAGCUGCCGUAGCCACCAAAGAGACUACGGCCCCAGAGCCUGAAAAAGAGAAAGAAAUAACCGAAGACACUUCGGAAGAUGAAUUUAACUUUCAAAAGUUAGUUGGUCAAGAACUGACAAAGGCUGAAAAAGAAGAGCUAAAAGAAUAUGCUAUAUCUUGCGGAUAUCGGCCGGGAGCUCUUCUCUUCGGUGGCAUUGAUGACGAAAGGUUGGGCUGCGUUCGAGAUCAGAUCGGUGCGAAGGUUAUCGGUACUCUAUCAAAGAGUAUUGGCUUCCCGAAGCUCAAUAGAUAUCAGCCGCUACCGACGACAGCACAUCGUCGGUAGUUUAUUUUAUUCCAAUUUCAAGGUAAACAACUUUUUUCUGACUUUUUUUGUUUUUAAUAGCAAAGUUGUUUUCUAACGAAGGUUGUUUAUGUGCAGAGUAUGCUGCUGAGCAAAGCUUUAAAAAUGCAGCAGGAUUUGGAAGAUAAAAAACAUGAGGUUAUAAUUGAGAAUUUAGAGAGCAAAAUAAAGGAGCAGUCAUCUGCUAUUGAAAAGAAAGACUUCGAGCUUCAGACAACCGAAGGCUUAUUGACAGAAGCUGAAGCUAAAAUAACAGAAUUAAGUACGAAGCUUCUCUGCCAAUCAGAACACUUUGAACAAGAAAAGCAAGAGCUUAAUGCAAAAUUUGAGGUCGAAGUCCAGAAAAAUGCAGAUUUGAAAAAAUCAUUGACAAGCCUUCGAAACAAAUAUUUGGAAUUCAGUAAUCGAUGUGUUCAACGGCUGAAGCAAAUCUUCUAUUCAGUUGGAGCCAGCAGCGAAAAAUUUACUCCUUCGGCCGAAGACCUGCCAGGGGCCUUUGAACAUAUCGAAGGUGAAAUUGACGACCUUGAUGAAGUUAUUGCUGGACAUGGUGACUUUUGUGCCCUGGUAGCUUCUCGGGGCACAGCUGUUGCCUUCCUAAAAUCUGGCUGUGACCAUGGAAAGGUUAUCAAUAGACCCACUUUCAGCCUGUCACCAGCAGAUCUGGAUAAUAUUCCCAACCUUGCCCAAAGCAUAGCAAAUAGAUUUGUAAAACUGGUAUGGACAAAGGGUGGACGAAGCAAAGCUGGUGAUGAGGCUCGGAGUCAUCUUAAGCCGGUAACAAAAUCAUACCUUGUGCUUACCUCUUCCUUCGAACUUGAAUUUUGCUUACAAUACUUUAAUACGUAUAGGAUGACGAAGCCGAGGCCGAAGCUGAGGAGUAAAAAGACGAAGCUCCAUGGAUACUGACGAAGCUUGAAUAGUCUGUAGAAAAAGCUCUAGAAACUCUUGUAAUAACUUGUGUAAAGAAUGGUGUAAUUAAAUUUUACUUCGUGGACUUUGUCCAUACCUUGUAAUAUAUUCUUACCUUUCCAUCAAUGUAUAAAGUGCUUUGAUGUGAACGAAAUUAGCAUUUUUGAGCCGGAGGCGAAAAACACGUUCCCUUCUUUUCGUACACAGCUAAGCAUAAAACUGCUUCUUUUUCUGUUUUCCGAAGCCUUCUCUUUAGAGCCGAAGCAACUGCCUGUGUUAUGAUGAUGAUGGUCCUAUGUAUGUCUAAAUGAAUGUUUAUGAAUGCAAAUGUAUGAUGUAAUGUGUCGUGCAAAUGAAUGUCCAAACACUCAUACGAAGCUUUAUUCACAACCUUCAUUCCCUAAGGAAUGACUGAAAUCUCUUUUUGAUGCAAGCUUCCCUUAGGAACUUCUUCGCCUUUUAUUUCGGCGGUAUCAGCGUUGACUUUUCGCUCUAAGACUCCCUUAGGAGCUUCUUCGCCUUCUAUUUCGGCGGUAUCAGCGUUGACUUUUCGCUGCAAACUCUGCAUUCCCUUGGGAACGACUUUUGAGCAGAAAACUUACGCUGCGCUCCCUUAGGAACGACUUUUUGUAGCUUCGUCGUGCUCUGCAUCCACUUAGGGACGUCUUUCGAGCUUCUCCCUGUUUUUUCUUUUCUCUUUGCACUCGAUGGUGCAUGCUCAGCUUUUACAUUUACAUCUUUGGGGGAAAUUGCCCUUGUAGAGCUGAAAUAAGAAAAAGAGAAAUUACAUGCUAUGGUCCCAUUAAAAACCUUUCUCCCCCUUUGGAAAGGAAAAAGGUGUAAUAUGAAAAAAAAGAUUACAUCAAGCUACACAUAAUAUCGCUGAAGCUCAUCCGCAUUCCAAGAUCUAGGAAUGUCGUUGCCGACCAUGUCCUUCAAUCUGUAUGAACCGGGUCUUGACGAAGAUACUACCAGAAGAGGUCCUUCCCACUUUAACUGUAGCUUGCCUACUGUAUCUGGGUUAGCAACUCUUCGAAGUACCAAGUGCCCUGGCUUGAUAUUUUUAACCAAACUUUUCUGUCACGCCAUUUUAUUGUUUCGGCUUGAUAUUUAUUGAUAUUCUCCACAGCCUAAAGCCUGAUCCCUUCUAUAGCAUCUUUUGCCACAGAAUAAUCAGCUUCGUCCUCCACCGAAGCCACUGUUCUUAUUGAUCCAGCUUUAGCUUCUUCUGGGGUUAUUGCUUCGUCAUCAAACAUCAAUUUGAAUGGUGUAAAGCCUGUUGACCUUGACAUUGUUGUAUUAUGGCUCCACACCACUUUGAUUAAUUCAUCUGGCCACUUUCCUCUGGGCUGAUUGAAGAUUAACUUCAUUAUUCCUGUCAUUAUAAUGCCAUUAGCUCUUUCGACAAGUCCAUUUGACUCGGGAUGUCUAACCGAUGCAAAAUGAAUCUUCGUGCCAAUUUGUUCACAAAACUCUUUGAAAGCUUCGGCAUCAAACUGUGUUCUGUUGUCCACAGUAAUAGCCUUCGGCACUCCGAAGCGACAAACAAUAUUUUGCCAGAAUUUUUUUUGAAUGGUGACCGAAGUUAUUGUGGCUAAAGGCUUUGCCUCAAUCCACUUAGAAAAGUACUCUACUGCCACCACAACAUAUUUUAAAUUUCCUUGUGCUGGUGAAAGUGGGCCUAGCAAAUCAAGGCCCCAUCUUUGCAAUGGUCAAGUGGGCUGUAUUAACUGAGUCAGAGACGAAGGUUGUUUUUGAUCUCUUUCACAUUUUUGAUAGCCUUCACAUUUUUGGACUAUUUCUGCUGCAUCCGAAGCUGCCUUUGGCCAAUAAAAUCCUUGACGAAAAACUUUUCCCAGCAAGGGCCUAGAUCCGAUGUGAGAUCCACACAGGCCUGCGUGUAUUUCCUUCAUCAAUUCUAUACCUUCAGCUCUGGAUAAACAUUUGAGCAAUGGAGAACAGACUCCAUGUUUGUAUAACUCCCCUUCUAUUAUUACAUAUGGUCGGGCUCUUGCCUCUAUUCUCUUGUUAUAAGCUUCGUUAUCUGAAAGGCAGUUACCCUGGAGAAAAGAUAUAAUCUCGGUUCUCCAAUCUUCACUAUGAACAGGAGAUAUAUUAAGCACUGCUCUUUCAAUAAGUUCCACCGAAGGUGCUUUUAUUGUCUCAAAGAAUACUUCUGAAGGUAAAGGCAGCCCCUGUGCCACUGACUUGUCUAGCAGAUCAGCAUGCUCAUUUUCUCCUCGUGGAAUAUUCUUGACAGAAAACCCUUCGAAGGAAGCUUCAAGCCUUCGAACUGUAUCCAAAUAUUUCUCAAGCUUCGGAUCUCUUGCUUUACAACUUUUGUCCACAUGACCAGAAAUAACUUGGGAAUCAGUUUUGAGAACAUCCCUUCUUAUCCCCAUUGCCUUUAACUUUUCGAAGCCCCAAAAGUAAAGCUUUGCAUUCAGCAAUAUUAGUUGUGCAGCUGAAAUCAAGUUUCACUGCAUAGCAUGUUCUAACUUUGGAAGGUGCAACUAAAACAGCAGUUGCACCUGCCCCGAAGGUCCCCCAGGAAACGUCGCAGAACACUGUCCAAGCUUCAACAUCUUUACUUGCUUCUUCUUCCUGAGCCCCUAGCGUCCAGUCUGCGAUGAAGUCUGCUAACGCCUGGGACUGAAUCGAGGAUCUAUGCACAUAAUCAAUGCUGAAUUCGUUGAGUUCCGCAGCCCACUUUCCAAUCCUUCCAGUAGCUUCUCUGUUCCUCAUAAUAUCCUUCAAAGGCUGUGAUGAAGGAACAAUUAUAUGGUAUGCUUGAAAGUAGUGUCGAAGCUUCCUGGAGGCCAUUAAGACAACAUAUAGCACCUUCUCCAAUUAUGUAUAGUUUUUCUUUGAUAAACUGAGAACUUCAGAGACAAAGUAUACUAGGGCUUGCUUUUUAGUUUGUCCUUCAAGCUUCUCCUGGACAAGUGCCACACUUACUGUAGAGUGCGAAGCUGCUACGUACAACAGCAGAGGAGCCCCUGGCGCGGGUGGAGUUAGCGUCGUUAGAUCUAUCAGAUACUGUUUCAGCUCUUCGAAGGCUUUCUGCUGAGCUGAUCCCCAUUGAAAGACUUCGGCCGACUUCAGUACCUCAAAGAAUGGUAAAUUUCUCUCUGCUGAUCUAGAUAUAAAUCGAUUCAGAGAUGCCAGUCUUCCUGUCAGCCGUUGAGCCCCCUUCUUUGUGCUUGGCGGCUCCAUCCGAAGAAUAGCUUCGAUUUUAUUUGGAUUAGCUUCGAUCCCUUUUGUUGAAACUAGACAACCAAGGAAUUUCUCCUUCUUUACUCCAAAGACACACUUUUCUGGAUUCAACUUCAGGCCAGCUUGCCUAAAAUUAGCGAAUGUCUCCUGCAGAUCAGCAAUGUGAUGUUCUUGCUUCGUGCUUUUUACUAUGAUAUCAUCAACAUAAGUUAGCACAUUUCUGCCUAUCUGAGAAUGAAGGACUUUCGCUGUCAUUCUACUGAAGCUUCCUCCAGCAUUCUUGAGCCCCUCAGGCAUCCGAAGAUAACAAUAUGUACCACUAGGUGUUAUGAAGCUUGUUUUUGGCUCGUCUUCCUUUUUCAUCCAAAUUUGAUGGUAACCUGAAUAACAAUCUAGUAGAAUCAUGAGCUCUGAUGAAGCUGUUGCAUCUACUAGAGAAUCUAUCCUUGGUAAUGGAAACUCAUUCUUCGGACAAGCCUUGUUGAGAUCAGUAAAAUCAAUGCACAUUCUCCAUUUACCGUUGGCCUUCUUCACCAUAACAGUGUUAGCUAGCCAUUCUGGGUAUUUUACUUCUCUGAUGACUCCAGCGCUAAGAAGUCUUUUCACUUCAUUCUGAGCACCUUCGGCUUUGUCAUCAGACAUUUUCUGAAGCCUCUGCUUUCUGGGUCUGAAGGAUAGAUCGACAUUGAGCGCGUGUUCAAUGACAUCCCUGUUGACACCACAAAGAUCGUUGGCGGACCAUGCGAAGACAUCUUUGUUGUUAAACAGAAACCUUGUUAGGUUUUUCUCCUGUUCCUCAGACAAUUGAGAUCCCAACAACACCUUCUGCUCUGCUAUAUCUUCACAUAAGAGCAUGGGUUUCGGCUGAUCGGCCACAGCAGCCUUCUCCCUUCUGUACUUGUUUUGCUCACAGGCUUCGGCUCCAUCUAUAUUAUGGAUUGCUUUUGAAUCUGUCCAGUUUCCUUUGGCCUUUCUAGCAGCUUCCUGACUACAUGAAUAGCAAUAGACCCUUGAUCCGAAGAUAUCUUCAUGCAAAGAUAUGCUGGAUGAAGAUUUGCUUCAAAAGCAUUGGGUGUCCCACGACCAAUGAUUGCAUUGUAGGGGUACUCCAUGUCGACAAUAUCAAACACAACUUGCUUAGUCCUUGUAUUGUUGACAUAUCUGAAGGUCACUGGCAUCGUGAUCUUGCCGAGCGCUACAAUCUGCCUUCCUCCGAAGCCACAAAGAGGGUGUGUAGCAUCAUGAAUCUUAUCCUCUGGCUCUUGCAUCUGUCUGAAGGCCUUAGCAAAUAUAAUAUCCGCUGCACUGCCUGUAUCAACCAGAACAUUAUGGACCAGAAACCCUUUGAUAACACAAGAAAUAACCAUAGCAUCAUUGUGAGGGUAAUCCUUAAGCUGAAGGUCCUCUUGGGAGAAGGUAAUCAGGAUGUGGGACCAUCUUGACUUGAUGAAGGGUCCUUGCACCCCAACAUGUUGUACCCUUCUCUGUGCCUCCUUCUUCUGCUUCUUGUUGACCGGCUCUGAGCAUGAACCGCCUUUUAUCGGAAGUACCAGCUUCGAAGCCGAAGCAGCUCCAGCUUGGUUGUUGAAAAAAACCAUCAGCUCAAAAAGUGGAAGUGAGUUCACCGGAGGUGGGCGCCAAUGUUGGGGACUUGUUAUCAAAUGCUAUCAAUUAAGAACAAGGCAACAUAAAAUGUUAAAUAUUAAUACCCUUUGUCCGCUGGAGCAUUAUCUCCCCAAGGAUUUAAUGAACUUCGGACGAAGGCCAUGAGCAAAGUUUCACGAAGGUCACACCUUCGUGAUCAGACUUAUAAUACAAUGUAACAUGAAAUAUAAAAUAUAAAACAUUAGAGAAAGAUAUACCAAAAACUGGUAAUAUAAUUCACAUAUUUUAUUAUACAAACCUAAAUAUUAAACAAUAAUAUUUAGGUACAUUUAUACCUUCGUCUUGACAGAAAACAAUAAUUCCAGCGUAACGUGUCCGCGAUUACAAGAUUGCGUGAACAGUACAGGGGUACUGUUCACAUAUUUAUAGGCACAGGGCGCAGCCUGUGUAAAAUUACAUUUAUGCCCUUUACAAUCGACUACAAUGAUGACAUAAAACGCCAUGGAUCUUUAAGUUAUUUCAUCUUUAAGUCGGUUCACCCUUUCGUCUUGAGAUCUGUCACUGUGCCAAAGCUUUAUAGGUGAUAGCUUCGGCGUUGCUUCUGAGAAGAUUUGCUGAAGGUGUUCUCUUGCUUUAAGAUCUUCGGCUACAAAGCAUACCCCCAACAACUAUUAUUUUAGAGACAUUUUUUUGAAAUGAACGACAAGAGAGCUACCGAAAAAUAUAUUAGAAGAGAAAGUAAAAUACAAUUAGCAUGCUCCUAAGGGACAACCACACCCUGAAACAAAAAAAACAAGAAAAAGAAGAAAAAACCACUAAAACAAUAUGGAAAGAAAAUUUAGGAACUCAUAGCUAACUUGAACGGGUCCGCAUCCUCUUUGAUGAUGAAAGCAAUUUGAAGGGGCUGACAGAUUAAUUGUUGAAAAAUUAUUCUAUUUAUCUCCUUCCAAAUAUUCCACCAAAUGAGGCCAUCAAAAUCUCUUCUACUAGACCUCGGGACUGUAGACCUACAUUUUCUCCACCAUUUGAUAAGAGACUCGUCUUGACGAAUAGCUGGUAAAUAGUUUAGGUUGAACUAGCUAGCUAGCUGAUUCCAAACCUGUCCUGAGAAACCACAAUAUUUGCAGAGAUGAGUCGAUGUUUCUAGCGCAAUGUCACAAAGCUUGCAGAUUGGGUCAUGUGGCCAAUUCCUUUUAGCCAAGUUGUUAGCGAUUAAGAUUUUCUUUCGAAGGAGGAUCCAAGCAAAGAUCUUAAACUUUGGCUCUGAUUUAGCUUUCCAUAUCGGUGUAAUAUUAAACCUUUUAGAUCUUCCAGCAAAUUGGAUUCGAUAUGCACUAGAAAUGGAAUAAUCACCAUUGGACGUUUAUUUCCACAUAAUUUCAUCCUCGACGGAUUCAUUUCUAUUGAUUGCUUGAAUUUCCUCUCAUAAGGCAACAAAUUCUCUUACAAGCUGUUGCGUUGUGAUCCCAUGAAUGAAGGUGGGAAACCCAGGAGAGCUUUCUGAAUGUUCAUGUUCUUUCGUCUAGAUUUACUAAAGACAAGAGGAGCUAGGUUUUUUGGUGCUUGUCCAUUUAACCAAUUUAAAUGCCAAACACUACAGGAAUACUGAAGAUUCCCGUCGUCCAAGUUAAUUCCCGUCGGCCUUUGCUCUGGCCGACAGGAAUUAGUUAACUCCCGUCGGCUACUGUACACAGUAGCCGACGAGCCUUAGGUUAACUCCCGUCGGCCCUGACGUAAGCCGACGGGCAUUAGUUAACUCCCGUCGGCCUAUACACUGGCCGACGGGGAUUAUUGCUUUAUGGAGGCCGGCGGACAUCCCGCGUGGCUCAUUCUCCUCUCUCUCCGCUGUCUUUCCAAACCGACACCCCCACCGCCGCCAACCGCCGCCCCUAGCUACCCUGCCGGCCCCCAGCGCCCCCCCCCGCGAUGGGUGUCGCCCCCAAUGCCACUGCCCCGGAGCGCCGCCCGCCCCUAACGCCGCCGCCCCGGAGCGCCGCCCGCCCCCAAAGCCGUCGCCCCGGACCGUCGCCCGGCUCGCCCCCAACGCCGUGUCCCGGAGCGCCGCCUUGCCCGCCCCCAAAGCCGUCGCCCUGUAGCGCCGCCUGGCCUGCCCCCAACGCCGCCGCCACCGAACCCCUCCCGGAGAGCCGCCGCCGCCCCCAACCGCCUCCCCGAGCGCCGCCGCCGCGCCAAAGCGUCGCCGCCGCCCCGGACCGUUGAGGUAUAUAUAUUUGUGAAUUAUUGAAUGUAAAUGCGAGUGUGAUUGUUAAAUAUGUGUAUACAUGUUUAUUUUUGUCGGUUUUUAUGGCCGACGUGAGUUAACUUUCAUGUGAUUAGAGUUAGUUUAAUAUCACAUGUGAUUAGAGUGUGAUUAGAGUUAGUUUAAUAUCACAUGUGUGGCUUGAUGUUAGGUAAGUAUUAAUUCUAUUAUUAUAAUAGAUUUAACUUAUGCUAUUGAAUUGUUGAAUUUGAUGUUAUUUAUUGAUUAGAUUUAACUUAUAAUAUUAGGUUGUAUGAAGGUUUCGAUAUUGAUAAAUUUAAUAUUAUUUAUGUAUAUAUAUAGUUAUUUAUGUAUAUAUAUAGCUUUACUACUUACCUAUAGAUGUAUGUGUGACAUGUAGAAACGUGAUUGUCUCACACACACUCUUUACUCGUACACACAACCGCAAUAAUGGGUGAUAGACGUGAUUGGAUGUAUAAUGGUUUCAAGAAGGGUUGGUGCCACACAAGUGAAUGGUUUACCAAGACGCAAAUGUUUCUGGACCAUGCAACUGCUUUGUCACAAAUAGAUAAUAUUAGGUGUCCAUGCAAUAAAUGUAGAAAUAUGACGAGCCACACCAAGAGGCAGGUCACACUACACCUGUGCUCACAUGGUUUCGUGCCAGGCUAUAAGGUCUGGUAGCUCCACGGUGAAGAUGUUGAACGAGCAAAGCAGCUCUCCAGGAGGGUAUGCUAUUGAAUUAUUAUAAUAGCUCUAACUUAUGAAAUUAUAUGGUUGACACUAAAUUGAUUAUGCAGUAAUCACAAUUUUUGAAUCACUUAUAGAUACUUACUCUUCGACAGAUUCAUUGACUCGUCGUCGGUGAGAUCUCAGAGGAAGGGUUCGUCUUCCCGUAGCUCAUGCUCUCGUCGACCGAACGAGUAGGAGUUGGAGAUUAUGAGGAUGCGUGAAGAGAUAUGACAACAACGCGAAUUUAUGGAGGCUUGCAAUGCACAUACCCAAGCGAUGUAUCAAGUGAGUAUACAUAAUUCGAAAUCUAAAUUAUUAUAUUUCAAUACAACAUCUUCAAUAGUAAAACAUAUGUUUAACAGUUAAUGCAGCAACAGGGCAUGACAACAAAUAUUCCAUCGCCACGUGGAGAUAGGGUACGUUUGAUAACUCUCGAUUAAUUUAUACACUUGUAUACUUUUUGAUAUUUGUAUUAAAAAUGUUGAUAUUUGCUAACUUGCAUAGGUUACGCCUGAAGCGGUGGUAGUGGGUCUGAUCCCGCAGGGACUGGAUUUGUUGACUCCCUCUUCGCGUUCCCUCCUCCUGGUGGCGGAAACGGUCAAAGCUCUAACCACCCAAGUGGUGGUUAUCUCUAAACACUUGAACUCGUGCACACUAUGUUUCUUAACUCGUUGACGUUAUGUUUGUGUAAACACUUGAUCUUAACUCGUAUUUGAAAUGUUUGUGUAAACACUUGAUCUUAAGUUUGUGACGUGUGAAUUUUAUCAAUGCAUGUGUUUGUAAUGUGUAUGUUCUGUGUGCUGAUAUAUAUGUUUUGUGUGCAAUUGUGGAGAAAUAGUGACCUGAUUUGGUGCUUUUGCAGCAUUAUAGGUUAAUCCCCGUUGGCGCAGUUAAUUCCCGUCGGCUAUGGUAAAAUCGACGAGGAUUAAAAAUUAAUCCCCGUUGGCCUAGUUAAUUCCCAUCGGUUGGACCAGGCCGACGAGAAUUAAGGCUUAUCCCCGUCAGCCCACGUGGCCAGCAAAAGUUAAGGCCAAUUCCCGUCGGUUGGACUAGGUCGACGGGAGUUAAGGCUUAUCCCGUCGGCUAGUCCUUGGCCGACGGGAAUUACUUAUUCCCGUCAGCUAACGACGGGAAUAAGUUUAUCCUCGACACCUGAUGGCCAUCGGUUUGAUGCCGACGGAAGUUAGCCAGUUACCGACGGGAAUUAGUUAUUCCCGUCGGUUUAUAGGUUAUUCCCGUCGGUUUUUAGCCGACGGGAAUUAACUGGAUUCCUGUAGUGAAAAGAGGGUUUUGUUGCCAAUACCAGUAGUAACAAUCGUGGAAGCGUGGAAUAAAUCUCUAUCACUUUUGUUGCAAGGGAUCUCCAAGUUUUCCCAGGGUCUCUCGGUUUGCUUCCAUUUAAACCAAUACCAUCUUAGUCUCAGAGCCCUAGCGAAUCGCUCUAGGUCUAGGAUGCCCAGUCCCCCUAAGUCUUUUGGUGAACAGACUGUUGGCCAAUUGACCAAGCAAUAAUGGCCACCAUAAACGUUUUCUGGUUACAUACCUUUACAUAAGAAACUUCUUUGAUAUCGAUCAAUUUUUUUGAUAAACCAUUUUUGAAUAGGGAAAAUAGUGAGGUGAUAAAUAGGUUGCGCCGAAAGAACUGUCUUUAUCAAAGUUUCGCGGCCUGCCGAUGAUAGGAGCUUCCCCUUCCAUCCUUGAAGGCGACUUCCAAUUCUGUCGAUUAGGGGUUGGACAUCGAUGUGCAACAGAAGGCCUAGGUAUAGAAACUUUGCAAUCUUAACAGGGAAGCUUUGCUGGAUUUUAGCUACCGUAUUCUCUGAGCAGCGAAUUGGAAAGAUCUCAAUUUUGUUCAGGUUGACCCUCAGCCCCGAGCAACACCCAAAGAUAUGAAGGAACCUCCUCAGACGUGUGAGCUCCUGCUGACUUGGAUUUGCAAAAAUAGCAGCAGCAUCAGCAUUGAGAGAGCAUCCCAAACACAGUUGUCUUGAUACAAGUUAUAAGUCCAAAGCUUGGAUAAUUUUGCUAACUGUUGGUCAGACUUUACAAUAACUCAAAUUUUGUCUGGUGAACAUAUGCUUAUCAAGGGAGUAUAGUAGUUGAAACAUGGUGACGUGAUACACGUGGUUUUGGUUCUAAGAAAGAUGCUCGACGUGAGAUAUAUAUAAACAUAUCUUCAUGGGCCACCAGCUGUGUCUCCCGCUCUAUAAAUAGCUGGCCUGCUCGCUCGAUCAGCCAUCACCGACUCACACUCACACAGCAAAUACCCCACAAGGCCACUCCAAAGACCUAGUAGUGGAACCGAAGAUGUUCGGGAACAUCGGAAAGAUCCCCAUCAUCGGCGACCUGACGGGCAGCAACAAGAAUGCGCACCUCAAGGGCAACGUGGUGCUCGUGCGCAAGACCGUGCUCGGCUUGGACGUCACCAGCAUCGCCGGCUCCCUCCUCGACGGCAUCGGCGAGUUCCUCGGCCGCGGCGUCACCUGCCAGCUUAUCAGCUCCACCGUCGUCGACCCUAGUGAGCAGAGCACCCCUCCCUUCCUGCCUCCUCCUUGCCUUCUCAGCUCUCUUACAUGCAUCAGUAAUGAAGAGGGAAAAAAUGUCGUUUUCAAGAAAAGAAAAAAAAACAGAAAGCGACAAAAUUAAAUUAUCUACGGAUGGAUGCUUGAGACGAACAAUGAGGAAAACGACGGCAGAUGAAUCCACUUUAAAUCUACUAGCACAGUAAACCGGAUCCAGACAAAGAACGGACCGUGUUUUUUUAGCAUAGCAGUAGUGCAUUUCACACGUUGGUCGUCUGACGGCGACGCUGACCGGCGCGCGCGUGCACCGUGCAGACAACGGCAACCGCGGGAAGUUGGGCGCGGAGGCGAGCCUGGAGCAGUGGCUGCUGAACCCGCCGCCGCUUCUGUCCAGCGAGAACCAGUUCCGCGUCACCUUCGACUGGGAGGUGGAGAAGCAGGGCAUCCCGGGCGCCAUCAUCGUCAAGAACAACCACGCCUCCGAGUUCUUCCUCAAGACCAUCACCCUCAACGACGUCCCCGGCCACGGCACCAUCGUCUUCGUCGCCAACUCAUGGAUCUACCCGCAGUCCAAGUACCGCUACAACCGCGUCUUCUUCUCCAACGACGUGAGUCGUUAGUAGCCCGUCCGUUGUCCAUUGGCAAACCAACCUAGGAGCAGGGUCAUCAGCUGGCAUGAACACGCGCAAUCUCCUUCUCUACGUACACAGACGUACCUCCCCAGCCAGAUGCCGGCGGCGCUGAAGCCCUACCGCGACGACGAGCUCCGGAACCUGAGGGGCGACGACCAGCAGGGCCCGUACCAGGAGCACGACCGCGUCUACCGCUACGACGUCUACAACGACCUGGGCCUGCCUGACAGCGGGAACCCGCGCCCCGUCCUCGGCGGCACCAAGGAGCUCCCCUACCCGCGCCGCUGCCGCACCGGGCGGAAGCCCACCAAGAGCGGUACGUGCGUCGUCCCCGGCCGAUCCAUGCGUCCCCGUGCCACCCCCUCCCUCUCUGCUUUCGUUUCCCCCCUGUCCUAACCAACCAACGUUGGUACGACCGACAUACAGACCCCAACAGCGAGAGCAGGCUCACGCUGGUCGACGGCGACGUCUACGUGCCGCGCGACGAGCGCUUCGGCCACAUCAAGAAGUCGGACUUCUACGGCUACGCCAUCAAGGCGCUGGUGAACGCCGUCAUCCCGGCAAUCCGCACCUACGUCGACCUGUCGCCCGGCGAGUUCGACUCCUUCAAGGACAUCAUGAAGCUGUACGAGGGCGGGAUCCAGCUGCCCAAAAUACCAGCCCUCGAGGACCUGCGGAAGCAGUUCCCACUCGAGCUCGUCAAGGAUGUCCUCCCGGUCGGCGGCGACUACCUCCUCAAGCUCCCCAUGCCGCAGAUCAUCAAAGGUCGGUCGAUCGUCUCGUCUCUUCGUGCAAAUCCGGAAUUUGUCUUUAACUCCUCGGAGUCUGGUUACCGAUGCCGUCUCGACUGUUCUGUUGUGGCUAUGCAGAGGACAAGACAGGUUGGAUGACAGAUGAGGAGUUUGGACGGGAGAUUCUCGCCGGCGUGAACCCCAUGCUCGUCAAGCGUCUCACGGUGAGGGAACACGAUCAGUUCUCAACCUCAGCUCAGCUGUGCACUGAAGUUCCUCGAGUUUAAUUCUGCCCGUGUUUUCAGGAGUUCCCUCCGAGGAGCAGUCUUGACCCGAGCAAGUACGGCGACCACACCAGCACCAUCAGGGAGGCGGACCUCGAGAACAAGCUCGAGGGCCUGACGGUGCAGCAGGCGCUGCACGGCAACCGGCUCUACAUCCUGGACCACCACGACAACUUCAUGCCGUUCCUGGUCAGGGUGAACAGCCUGGAGGGCAACUUCAUCUACGCCACCAGGACCGUGCUGUUCCUGCGCGGCGACGGCACGCUGGUGCCGGUGGCCAUCGAGCUGAGCCUGCCCGAGCUCCGGGACGGCCUGACCACCGCCAAGAGCACCGUGUACACGCCCAAGUCGACCACCGGCGCGGAGGCGUGGGUGUGGCACCUGGCCAAGGCCUACGCCAACGUGAACGACUACUGCUGGCACCAGCUCAUCAGCCACUGGCUCAACACCCACGCCGUGAUGGAGCCGUUCGUGAUCGCCACCAACCGGCAGCUCAGCGUGACGCACCCCGUGCACAAGCUCCUCCUGCCGCACUACCGUGACACCAUGAACAUCAACUCCAACGCGCGCCAGAUGCUCGUCAACGCCGGCGGCAUCUUCGAGACCACCGUCUUCCCGCGCCAGUACGCGUUCGAGAUGUCCUCCGUCAUCUACAAGGACUGGAACUUCACAGAGCAGGCUCUCCCUGACGACCUAAUCAAGAGGUUAGCAUUGCGCAGUGACGCUGACGCCAAUACCCAAUAUUUACAUUGGAUUGCAAUCACUAAUAAUGUGCGAUAUCUGCAGAGGCAUGGCGGUCGCAGACCCGUCGAGCCCGUACAAGGUACGGCUGCUGGUGGAGGACUACCCGUACGCGUCGGACGGGCUGGCCAUCUGGCACGCCAUCGAGCAGUGGGUGACGGAGUACCUCGCCGUCUACUACCCCAACGACGGCGUGCUGCGGGCGGACGUGGAGCUGCAGGCGUGGUGGAAGGAGGCGCGCGAGGUCGGGCACGCCGACCUCAAGGACGCGCCCUGGUGGCCCAAGAUGCAGACGGUGGCCGAGCUGGUCAAGGCCUGCACCACCAUCAUCUGGAUCGCGUCGGCGCUCCACGCGGCCGUCAACUUCGGGCAGUACCCGUACGCCGGGUACCUCCCGAACCGCCCGUCCGUCAGCCGGAAGCCGAUGCCGGCGCCGGGCAGCGACGAGUACGCGGAGCUGGAGCGCAAGCCGGAGAAGGUGUUCGUGCGCACCAUCACCAGCCAGUUCCAGGCCCUCGUCGGCAUCUCGCUGCUGGAGAUCCUGUCCAGCCACUCCUCCGACGAGGUGUACCUCGGCCAGCGCGACACCAAGGAGUGGACGUCGGACGCCAAGGCGCAGGAGGCGUUCAAGCGGUUCGGCGCGCGGCUGACCGAGAUCGAGAAACGCGUCGUCACCAUGAACGCGGACCCUCGCCUCAAGAACCGCAACGGCCCGGCCGAGUUCCCCUACACGCUGCUCUACCCCAACACCUCCGACACGAAGGGCGACGCCGCCGGCAUCACCGCCAAGGGCAUUCCAAACAGCAUCUCCAUUUGAGUUCUGUCUGUCUGAGCUGAGGACGUACGGUCG